UCUUCUUUUUCUUUCUUUCUCCCUUCUUCCCCGCUGCUUUCCCUUUUCCCUUCUUUUCUUCUUCGAUCUCACUCCCAAGCCGCCGCUGCUGCCAUCGACGCCGCCUCGCGCACACCACCAAGCGCGACAGCCGCGCGCCGCCCCUUUCUCCCUGCUGCUCUCCACGCGCGCCUCCAUCCAGCAGCUGCCACCGCCAGCUCUGCCGCGAGCUCCACUCCAGAGCACGCCAGUCCCUGCCACCAGCUCCUCCAGCCGCCGCCAAGCUCCGAGCUCCACCUCGCGGUCCAUCACUCACCUCGCACCACCAGCUCUCCCUCCGCCUCGCUCUCACUCACCUCUCGCCACCUGAGGCCCACCAAGCAGCCGCGCGCCACCAACUUCACAUCGCUCGCCGCCGCUCGCCGUGGCCUCCUUCUUCACCCCAGCCCAAGCUCGCUCCUCCCUCUCUCUCCCCCACCUCAGCUCAACCUCCAACCAGCCGCCGCCACCUGCUACACCGCUCCUCCAACCUCGCGCGCCCCCACUGACCUCCUCCUCCACCAGCUCCACGACGACGCCGCCUCUCCUUCGCUCCACCCUCGGUCUCGCUCCUCCCCACCUAGCUUGCCGUCCCCAACUGCCGGGCGGCGCUGCUCACGCCACCCACAGCCACGCCAUUCCCACCUGUCAAAAUUGACAGGUGGAGGUAUUGAAUCUUCAACCUCGAUUAGUAUUUUUCUGGUUCUUCUAUUGCUGGAAUUUGCGCGCUUUUGUUUCUUGGGUUUCUUGAUAGCUAAUAGCAGGGGGUGAUUUAGGCAUUUUCUGGGGUUAAUUUUGGUGGAACUAAGUUUAUUUGCUGCUCCAUUUUGGGAUAUUCUCUGGUAUUGAUUACAUUGUUGAAUAUUGUUUGGGUUUUGACUACUUGAAGCUUCUAUUUUCAUAUGUGGGGAUCAAAUUUGAGUUGACUAUUUGAUUUAAUUUUUCCCUUUGCAUUCAGCAGUGGUACUGGCGAUGGUAGUUGUUUAACAUUUGUUAAUCCGGAGUUAUUGGUUGCCUGAUUGAUCGAGUUGUGACUACUGGGCAUUUGUGAUUGUGUUGCCUAGUCCAACUUCUGAACUGUGGUUGCUGGUUUUGUUGGUUUCUUGGGUCAUUUGCUAAUUUUGGUAGGUUUAAUUGGAUAUUUGACUGUCCAAUUGGAGACAGUUGUUGAGAUUUUGGAUGGUCUUGUGUCCAAUUGCUGAAAUUUGUUCUUUUGAUUAGCCAAUGGCACCACUCUGAGUUUGUUAGACUUGUUGUUUUGGUGCAUUGUUGGGAGCUGUACUCUGGUAUUGUGGGUCCUUUUCUGCGCCUGUUUGCUGAAUUGGGAUAUAACUGUGACUUUGCAUUUGCUUAUUAAAGUGGGUUGCCUCUAAUUGCCUUGUGUGAAAGUAUUUUGUCUUGUCAUUUCAAUUACUUAGUUCAUUGGAACAUCUGCUGCAAUUUUGGGUUGCCUGCUAGUUACCAUGGUAAAGCCACGGUCCUCUUCUAGGUCUAGGACCCCUAGGACUUCUCAGCCUCCCCCACCCCAGUCCUCCAUUCCUGCCUCUAACCCCUCGCACGAACCUUCUUCCUCUGGGAGGAGGGCUCGCCUUGGGCGGCAGAGAGGCGUCCAUAUCUCUGACCCUACACAUUUUGGGAGUAAUUUGGACUUCACCAAUCCCGCCGAUAGGCAACGGUAUGCUAGCUGUUGUGAACGGCGGAUUAUUCCCUGUCGCUAUCGGGAUACCGCCACCUUGGGUCUUCUAAAUAUUAGAGUUGAUUUUGACAGGUUGAUUGAGGCCAUUGGAUGGCUUCCCUAUCCUCGUAUUCUUGACCGCCCGGCCUUUGUUGAGUUAGUUAGGGAGUUCUAUGCCACAUUUGAGUUCAACCUCCCCACUGGUUACACAGUUUCUACCCCCAAUGUCAUCUGUUUCCGCUUGAUGGGUCAGGAGUUCCACCAUUCCAUUACUGACUUCAACUUAGCCUUUGGUUUUAUUGAUCCAGCCUAUGCUGAGUCUCGUGAGUAUGUCGAGAGUGCGUGUGACUACAUAGAGCCUUUUUUCUCCCGCUAUCGGUAUAUUUGGGAGGAUAUGUCUGUCGACUGUGCUGAGUAUGACCCCCGCCAUUCUAAGAGUUGUUAUCUUAAGGACCCGGCGUCUCGCUAUAUCCAGCGCUUCUUGGCCUAUAGUUUUUCGGGUAGGCGAGAUAGCUCGGGCAUUUUGUCUAAGCCGGAGUUUUUCUUUAUUUGGUGCAUGCAUAAUAACAUCAAGGUUAACUUGGGGUGCUGGCUCGCUUCUCAGUUUAAAUCUGUUUUGCCUAAAAAGAAGCGCCCCCUGAUUCUUGGGUCCUAUAUUACUCAUUUGGCUGUUAAUUUGCAUCUGCUUGAUCUCUCUAACCAUGAUUUGCAUGUAGCAUGUCAAAUGGAGCCCUUAGACAUUCCUUGUCUAGAGAAAAUGGGCUUGGUACAGGAGGGUGACGACGGGUGGGAGGUUGUUCCCCCGGGACCGAUUCGUGUCCUCCCUCGUUCCUCUUUUGCUCGUUCUUCUACUGCUGGCGGUGAUCCUGGCCCGUCUACCUCCGCUCCGCCUCCUCCUACCCCAGGGGCCGACGACUGGCUCGAACUCCGGAACACAGUUGAGAGACUGGAGACUCGAGUGACCAACAUUAGCAUCAACUUGAAUAACAUGGCGCAGAAUUUGGCAGCAUUUAUGCAUCAUGUAGGCCUUGCUCCUCAAUUUCGACCUGAGCCGCCCCUGUUUUGAUGACUUCAGGGGAGUACCGUUGCCCUUCUCCUUCCUUCUGCUUUUACAUUAUAACAUUGAGGGCAAUGUGUGAAUUAGGUGUGGGGGGGAUCGUUGUGGUGCUAGUUUUUCCAGUUUUUAGUCUCUAGAGGUUGUUCCUUUAUGUUUAGUUUGUUUUUGCCUAUCUUUCAUUUAUUUUCUUUACUUUUUUUUCUAGUGAUCAGUUCUUAUAUGAAUACCAAGUUUUGAUCUGGGGUUGUUGUCUCUAAUUCUGAUAUUGCCAAGUUUUAGUAAUAAAAGGGUAUCAAGUUAUUGUGGUUGAGUUCAGGAACAUUUUUUUGGUGAAUAUCAGUAAUUGCUUGACUUUUCCAAUUUUUGGUUAACUUUUCUAGGUAUAGGGAAUGAUUGUUGGCAUUUUUCAUGUGAAUUGGUCCAGUUAUUAAUUUUAGUUCUCUAUGUUUGGAAAUUUGACGCUGGCUGCUGUUAUUUUUGUGUUGUUUUUAGAUAUUGUGCUAUAUGAUUGUAAAUAAGAGUUGACUGUACUCCGCUAGUUGUUACUACUGAGUAACCGGGGAUUUUCACCUAAAGUGUCGAUUCUCGCGUCAAAAGGUAGUGAUUUCUAUGAGUACGUGGUCAUAUAGCGAUAGGAGUUGAGUAACCGGACUCCUUCAUUUGACAAAUGUUGGAGUUCGCGUCAAAAAGCUCUAAUGGCUAGAGACUAAGUCUUUUGCUAUGCUCAAAAAAAAAAAAAGAGAAAAUAGGAAAGUGCGAAAAAAAAGAAAAGUGAAGGUUGUGUUAGUAAGUGAUAAAAGUCAGCUUGCCGAUUUGUGGAGUUAAUGUUGAGAUUUUGGUUAAUAGUUGGACCAUUGGCUGAUAAAUGUGAGCAAUCAUUCCCUUUUCUUAGAUUAGUUUGCUUUAAAUUGGAGGAGUUGGUGGUUUAGAAGCUAACUAGAGUGAUUUUUCUUUGAUCUUGACCUGUGAUACUUGAUAUAUGUUUUCCUGGGUAUCUUGGCAAUACGGUAGUUGGAGCAAUAGCCAUUGUCGAAUUUUGGUGUUCAAUUGCUGUCCCCAUGCUUGAGGGCAAGCAUGAUUUAGAUGUGGGGGGAAUUGAUAGGGUGUUAAUUGUUAGUAAUUUUAUUGUUAAUUUUCCCCUUUGUCUUUGCCAAAUAUUGUUUUAAUUGUUAAUAUCUACUUAUAUUUGGUAUUUGGACUCAAUUUCAGGGAGUGGAAUAGAAAAGCACAAAAUAGGAGGGACUUUUUGGAGAAAAUGAAAACUUCUAAGGGCUUCACUAACCGGGCCCACAUGGUGCUGAGAAGGAGACGAAUUUCCUUUUUGCUUCUGGCUGAUUAAUACUUAAUAGCGGCUGACUAGGAGUCCUACUAGUGAUGGGAAACAAAAUAAGACGGAAGGCCUGGGUUGGUGCAGGAAAUUUUCUUCUUUUGGUUAUGCUUGUUCCUAAUUUGUGGGGACCACUGGAGAUAGCAUUAGUCAUCUUUCUUUUGGCCUUGAAAAGGUAUAAUCGUACAGAAGGCUAGGACGGCUCUGGGGCUUAGUCUUUAGCAUAGUUUUUAGUUUUCUUUCUUUUCCCUUGUCAGGCGCACGCCUACUGUUCGACAAUAUUUCCCAACGGGAAGAAUAUCUUUUGCUUCUGGUUUUUAAAUGAAAAAUGUGAUGCAUUUGCAAUCAAUUAAUUUGCGUGAAGAUUUAUUUAUGCGGCGUGGCUAAGCCUGCCAUCUAGUCAAGGAUCAACUCGACGGCGCAGUCCCGAAAAUCUGUGAGAUCUAAUUAGUUUUCAUGCGUUUCUCAAUUUGUUAAUAUUUGCAUGUUGUCUACUUGAAUUUUCAUGGGAUUAUUUUAUUAAUUGGAUGUCAAGGGCCCGAUGUUCAAUGUGAUUUAUUAAUCUCUUGCCAAAUUAGUCAAUUAAAUCCGUAAUUGUUUGAUUGAUUAGUAUUAGUGGCAACUGGCGUGUUUACACACUAGGGGAACGUGCAAUCUAAUUUAAAUAACCCUCGUAGCGUGUUAUUGAUUGGAGUUAGAUUUUUUUAGUUAUUAAUGCAAUUGGAAAAUUAAUUCCUACGGUCGUACUUAGGAGUAUUUUCUGGUUAGGGAUAAUCAAUGGUCGUACUUUGGUUAUCAAUAAAUUAAGAAAAAAUUGGUCGUUAGAGUUCGUCGGCUACUAUAACUAGCCUAUUAAUAAAUCAAGUGAAUCUUUCUUGCAUCAAUGAUCGGAUAAAUGGACUGUGUCUGAAUAGUUGUAUCCUUGGUUAGAAUUUAUCUAUUCUUGAUUUAAUUCCUGCUAUAUUCGUGUUAGUUAAUUACUUAUUUUUAGUUGAAUUGCUUAAUUGUUUUUAGUUUCCGAUAAAAUCUCCUUUUACCAAUUGAAAUUUCAAAGAGACAAAUAUUUCCAGUCCCUCCCUGGGGAGACAAUCCUGCUUGUCACUGUCUACUAUUUAGUAAUUUUUGUCAAUUAAUUAAUUUUGGUAUAUCGGAUUAAGCAAACUCUUUGGGAAUAAGAUGAAUCAAGUAAUCCAUUGCACACCUAGAGUCCCUACUCCAGUACCUAGGGUUAAUUAUUGACUGCUUUUAGUGAUAGUUAGGUUUUAUUUUUAUUAUUAUAAAGGCUCGACACCUGUCUGUGUUAUUGGAAAUUCUGUUAUCAUUUCUUUUCAUGUCAGUCUUUGUAGUAAUCACCGUCAGCAGCUCUGCUUUUCAUGCUAGUCUUUGUAGUAAAAACUGUUAGCAGCUACUCAAGAGCAAUCUGCAUGGACCUUGCGGAUCAACUUCUGAUGAUUUCCUUGUCUGCAUUGUUUAUCAAGAGCUCUCCACUUGGACCUUACGGGAUCAACUUCUGGAUGACUCAGGGGAUAAAGUUGUUGUUGUAUUGUUUAGUAAGCCACAAUUGUUAUAAUUAUGCAACCACAAAGUUGUAGCCAAAAAAAAAAAAUGUUUUCUAUAGCCAGUGAAAUCUUAGCAUCAUUCUUAGUUUUCCUGUUAGACUUCUUUCUCCUAUUGAUGCAUACAAACAGGUUCUUAGCGCUCAAUUUCAGGCUAAGGAAUUAUUGAAUGAAAUAAAGCGAAUUCCAGCAUUUAUGCUCCUAAGUCAUCUUAGCACUAUAGGUUAGAUAGUUUUAUGAUCUUAUUAAAGUGAUGUUUUUAUGAUCUUAUUAAAGUGAUGUCUAAAGGUUGCAAAAAUGUAUUUAUAUUUCUUGUAUUAUGAAAUUCUGUAGAAGGUAAAACGGGUAGUUAGUAGAUCUUUUACAAAUUCUUUAAAUUAGGCUGAAGAUAAAUGAAUUGAAUCUAUAAAUCAGAAAGGAAAUUUACUUCAAAUUGGACCAUUUAUAAAAGUAGGGAAUGAACUUCAGAAUGGUAAUCGUACUGCAUCAUGCAACUUGUUUUAUCUAGACAAAAUUCAACUUUUUUUUUUUGCCUUUCUCUUUAUAGUUUGAGUUCAGAUACCUUUAAAAAUAAAAGAACCAAGAAGUGAGACAAAAAAUCCAGCUUUUGUCUCGUUAAGUUUUGAUUUAAGAUUUGUUAUUGUCUUGUUAAGUUUUAAUUUAUAGUUUUUUUAAGAUGACUUUUCUCCCCCUUCCAAUUACAAUUGGAUGCGUAAUUUGGAGGGAUACUAACCUGUUGUACUUUUGAAUAAUAAUACCUUUUUCUUUUAUAUAAAAAAAGAGAUUUUAUUAUUAAGAUUGUUGAAAAUCAUCCAACAACAAAUGAUUAACAAAAGUUGGGGGAGAAUUCCAAAGGGAUUCAACACAGUAAGAUGAUUGGAUGAUUCACAAUAUCUUUAUCUAAUUGGCUGGCUAUAUUUUUGUCAAGUUAAAAUCUUAUCAUAGAACAACAAAUUCCUUCAAGAUAGAACAUUUCAUCUCAAAUAAAAUUUCCAAAAGAAAUUGUUCUCAUGUCCAAUUAAACUUAACGAAGAGAAUGUAGUAAUUUAGAAACUAAAAUUCACAGUGUUUGUAUGUGUGUGUGAAGUUCAAAAUAGUUUAAAAUAUGUUAAAAUUUUUAACCCAUGUUGCAAGGGUUCAAAAUUUUCCUAUAACAUUGCCCAAAAUCUGACAAAAGCAUCAAAUUGAGAACUGUAUUCGCCAGAGAAGUGAAGAAUCAAAUGACAAAGUACCGUAUCACUAUUAGAACAAAAUGGCAUUUUCCAUGUCUGAAUGGUGAAUUGUGGUAGAAAUUUGUGUUUGAUUCCCCCGCAAAUAAAACAGCCAACCAUGAAUCAUAGCAUUAUUUGUCAACUAUACCAUAUGGCUUCAUUUGAGUUUAAUCUACUUCAAGAAAUUCAUAAAGGUUCAUUAAAGAAUAAAAGUACAAAAAAAAAUAUUACUUCCCCUUCAAAUGCAAAUGAGGAUAAGGAAUCCCAUAACCUUCAAAAAACAAAAACUAAACGUUGACAAAUGCCAAAUCAACAAAAUCAACUAAAAAGUAUUAAAACAAAAAAGUAUUCAGCCCAAAAAAAAAAGAGAUUACGUAACUUAAACAAAACAAUAAAUAAAUUUCAUAUAACAUAUUACUCCUCAUUACCUAAACGAAAAUAACGAAAAAAUGAAAUAAAAAAAUUACUAGAUUUUUUUAUUGACAAAUAAAAUGAAUUAAUGAACUGUCUCGUGAGAACAAUAUUAGCUGUGCUUAAGAGUGGGUAUACAUCUGUUAAAACCCAAAAUAAAAAGACUAAAUGGUGGCGGGCCACUCACAAAAAGGUCAGAUUUCCAUAAAAAAGAAAUAAAAAUAGAAAAAGAUUAUUGAGACCACCAUAAAAAUAAAAAAAUAAAAAAAUUAUAACUAACAAGCGUCGUUCUAGGUGUGAAUAAUGCGAAUGCAGGAAAAAUGAUUACCAACAAGUGCCGCUUGGACCUUACUGAUCAACUUUUGGAUGACUCAAGAAGAAGGGGAUGAAGUUAUGUGAUAAGAGUUUAUUUUACGUAUUUUUAAGUGCAUUUUAUUAGUUAAUUUUGAGUUGAUUAUUUAGUUUUAUAAAUAAAAUAAAGAGGUUUUUGGUAAAAUUAUAUAUUUUUGGUAAAAGUGGAUAAUAUUGCAUUUUUAGUGAUUUUAAUGGUAAAACCUUCAUUUUUAUGCAGGAAUGAUGACUCAAUCACCAAAGGAUGGCAAAUGAGGUGAAAAAUAGAGAUUUGGUGAUGAAAUUAAGUGGUGAAAAGAAAAAUGAAGUGAAAAACGUUCAAAUGAAGAAUUGCACUUCAAGUCAGUUUUGACACUCUUCAGUAUUUUGACCAUAUCUGGAGCUACACUUAUCGGAUUUAGGUGAUCUUUAUACCAUUUUAAAGCUAAGAAAGAGACCUACAAUUCGUAUGAAGACAUCGAAAUCCAUUUCUGCCAUCUUCAUGGGCAAAACGUUGGAAUACAGAAGCUGCAUUCUGUGGUCGGAAGUUAAAACAGAGGUUUGAACAGGUGACAGUAUUUCGAUCAUAUCUCAGGCUACAAAGCUCCGAUUUGGAUGAUUCUUGAAGCAUUGGAAAGCUAACUCAAAGGGCUACAACUUUUGUGUUUUGUACAAAAGCUAGUUCGGCCUUCAUCAUGGAGAAAAUUGCAGUUGAAAUAAGGCCAGAGUGAAAACGUGAGUAGACAAAACGCGAGUUAUGCCGCGUUUUGUGUAGGCGCGUUUUAUAGCCGAAAUUCUGCAAUUUGACUCAGUCAAUUCUCUUGUGUUCAUACCACUUUCCAGCUAUAAGAUGCAAGGGAAUUCGGUGCACAUGCUUCUGCAAUAAAAGAGAAGACCAAAUGAGUGUGGACAAAAGGAAACAUCAUAUCUUUGACUUCUUUUUACAAAAUCUGAGUGGAGGAAAUUAUGAAGUGAGAGGAAUGGAAUUUCUACCACCUUUUAUGCAGAAAUAUGGGGAGAGGUCUGGGAUCCAUUCGUAGCUUAGCUUCUUACAGAAAAACAUAUUCUCUCUACCUAGGACUUGCAAGGGGCAAUUGGGAUUUCAUCUUGUAAUCAUCUAAGUUCAAGACAAAGGAGAUUUUUGGAAGGCUUCACCAUAUCUUGGCUAAGACUUUCUUUACUCUGUUUGUAUUUGUAAUUCAUGAUGAUUUACAUUAAUGAAGUUAUGAGUGUUUCAUCAUUCAUGAGUAGCUAAUUUCCUUUAUCUAGGGAGUAGAUGAAGCUUAUGGCCAAAUGAUAUGAAGUGAUUGUGAUUUAUGCUUGUUAUGUCUUGUAUUAACUUAUCUACUUGUGUAUGUUGGAUUACUUGUUGUUGCUUGAUCACCAAUAGCAGGUUUAUAGUUGUUUUUACUCAUUGAGAAAUGGUAAAAAUAAUGGAAUGACACAAGUAGAACUUGAGUUGUAUAUUCAUGAGAAUAGAAAUACAUUCAAGUGGAUGAAAUCUGCAUUUCAUGUGUGAAUAAGAACAGAUUUAGUAUUUACCAAGAGAUUAGGUAAAACUAAUCUGUUUUAACCCAUUAUUAUCAUGAGAAUGUGAUUUUGGUAUUUCUGGAAAUGAAUCCUUGGUUAAACAAGAGCAGUAACAAGUGUUGAAUUAAUUCAUUUUAGAUCUUUUGUGUUAUAAGUGGAAUCUACAUCCCUAGAUCUUAAUAUUUAGUGAAUUCUACUCCUAUUGUGAAAUUGCAUUUAUCUAUUUAAGAAUUUUUGUAGUUGAAUUAAAAUCUGAAGUUUCUGCUCAAAUUAAUUGUAAGUCUAAAUAAUAGAGUAAAUUAGUAUCUAAUAAUUGUUUUAAAUUGCUCCUCGUGGGAUCGACCCGAUACACAUCUCGUACUACAAUUGCGACCUGUAUACUUGCAGUCCAACGGGUGUAAAUUCGGAAUUAAACUUGCACUUAAAGUAAAAACCCGUCAAGUUUUUGGCGCCGUUGCCGGGGAGCGGCAAUAUUAGAGCCUAAUCAUCUUUAUUAAUUUAGACAGCUUUAUUUUAUAUUGUAAUCAGUUUUUUUUACCAUUGAAGUUGCAUAAUUCCCUUAUUUCUGUUUGUAGUGUAUGCACCGGGAGUCUCGAGAAGUCGCACCUUUCAAUCCAGAAAUUGAGAGGACACUACGUAGACAAAGGAGGCACACACAACAGCAGGAGGAGCAAGAGAUUUGGCAACCGAUAGAGGAAAUUUUGAUAGAACUACCAUUUGAAGAAGAAAUGGCUGAAAAUGAAGCAAAUAGGCGAGUUCUACGAGAUUUUGCUCUACCGGGAACACAAGGAUCUCAAACGAGCAUAGCAAGGCCUACGGUAAAUGCUAACAACUUUGAGAUUAAGCCAUCACUUAUCCAAAUGGUUCAACAAUCUCAAUUUGGAGGUAAUGCAGUAGAAGAUCCUAAUACACACUUAGCUACAUUCUUGGAAAUUUGUGAUACAAUUAAAAUGAAUGGAGUUAGUGAUGAUGCUAUAAGGCUAAGAUUGUUCCCAUUUUCAUUGAGAGAUAAGGCCAAACUUUGGCUACACUCUCAUGCUCCUAAUACUUUCACCGGAUGGGAUGAUUUAUCAAGAGCAUUCUUAAAUAAGUAUUUUCCACCAGGAAAGACUGCUAAACUUAGAAUGGAUAUCACUAGUUUUAGUCAAUUGGAGGGAGAAUCAUUAUAUGAGGCAUGGGAAAGGUUUAGAGAUUUGCUUCGGAAAUGUCCACAUCAUGGACUGCCGGAAUGGUUAAUCAUACAAACCUUUUAUAAUGGUUUAUCUUUCUCCACUAAAACUAUUAUUGAUGCAGCCGCAGGUGGAGCUUUAAUGGGUAAAUCACCCCAAGAAGCUCAGAAUUUAAUAGAAGAAAUGGCCGUAAAUAACUACCAAUGGGCCAAUGAAAGAGGUAAUACGAGACGUCACGCAGGUAUGAUCGAAAUGGACACUCUCAAUAUGUUGAGUGCCCAAAUGAAUAACGUGAUGAAGUUAUUGAGUAGACAAGGUUGAGUUAGCCCAAGUUCAUCUAAUGCUCACGUAGCUUGUUGCUCUUUCUGUGGAGGUGAACAUGAUAUUAAUGAGUGUGUUGAUUCUGAGCAGGUACAAUUUGUCAAUAAUUACAACCGAAAUGCUCCAAAUAAUCCCUACUCGAAUACUUACAAUCCGGGGUGGAGAAAUCAUCCAAACUUUGGAUGGAAAGAUCAAGGCAAUCAACAAAGGCCAACCAAUCCGCCGGGAUUUCAACCAAGGCAACCACAGGCUGAAACUAAACCGAGUUGGGAGAUCGCGGUGGAAAAACUUGCUAAGGUGACUUCGGACAGAUUUGAACGAGUAGAAGGGAGACUGGAUCAACUCACUACAAUGUACAGGAAUGUGGAGGUUCAAAUUGGUCAAAUUGCCAAUGUGAUCAACAAUAGAAACCCUGGUGAAUUACCAAGUAAAACCGAAGUGAAUCCGAGAGAGCAUGUCAAUGCAAUCAUUCUUAGAAGCGGUAAAACGGUUGAGGGAUUCGAUUUUGAAAAUUCAGGUGGUGAAAAAGACAAGAAGCAAGCAAUUGAAGGGGAGCAAGAAAGUCAAAAUGAUCAUGUUAUCAUUGAUAUUGAUGCACUUCAUCCCAAAUUAAAUUCUAAUGUGAUACCUUUUCCUCACAGGUUGAAGAAAGAUGGACAGGAUCGGGAGUUUGAAAAGUUCUUCAAAAUGUUUAAACAAUUGCACAUUAACAUUCCUUUCAUUGAUGCUAUAACACAGAUUCCCUCUUAUGCACGUUUCUUGAAAGACAUCAUGUCAAAGAAGAGGAAAAUUGUAGAUAAUGAGAUGAUAGCAUUAACGGAAGAGUGUAGUGCAUUGAUUAAGAAUAAACUCCCUCCUAAAUUGAAAGAUCCGGGAAGUUUUUCUAUUCCUUGCACUAUUGGUCAAUUGCAUUUUUCUAAUGCUUUAUGUGAUUUAGGUGCAAGUGUGUCACUUAUGCCGUUAUCGGUUGCCCGGAGAUUGGGACUUCAAGAGCUAAAAGCUACCAAUAUUACAUUGCAAUUGGCGGAUCGGUCAAUCACACAUCCCAUGGGUAUUUUGGAAAAUGUACUCAUAAAGGUAAGACAAUCUAUAAUACCUGUGGAUUUUGUUGUCUUAGAUAUUGAAGAAGAUGUGAGAAUGCCAAUUAUUCUAGGACGACCGUUUUUAGCCACUGCACGAACUAUAAUUGAUGUAGAAAAAGGUAAGAUUAUAUUACGGGUUAAUGGUGAGGAAUUGGAAUUCAAUUUGGAUAAUAAAGAAGGGAGUAUAGAGCCUACUGCUCUUGUGUCUAAUAUGCCAUAUGAUGAAAAGGUUAACCAAGAAAGGACCGAAGAAGUUAAAUUUAUAAAUGUCCUUGGUACUAACUUUCAUGGUGUAGGAACAAAGGAGGAGAAGAUAAGGAUGGAAGUUGGCUUAAUAAAUUCUCCAUUCCAUGAAGAAAAUGGUGAAAAGUUGAGCCAAUUCAGAAAAGACAAGCAAAAUCCACUCCAAGGUGAAGUUGAGCCUCUCUAUGACAAGUCUAAUAUUCCUCCUUGGCAUUUGAGGAAAUUGGACUAUGAAGAUCAAUGCAUGGUUCACCACAUGGUGGAUUGGCUCGGGAGUUUCGACCCAUGGGGAGAAAAUCUCUCUCUAAUGCUCUAAAGUGAUUCAACUUUUUCAGUCGAGCCAACGACUAUAAACAAAAGCGCUAAUUGGGAGGCAACCCAAUAUUUAGGUUAUAUUUGUUAACUUGGUGUGAUUUUGUGGUUUGAAUCAAUGUUUUAGCUAAAUUGUUGUUUUUGUAAUGUAGGGUUGGCAAUUGAAGGCAAGGAUGACCAAUUGAGUACAAAAAAGGCGAACUUUGAUCAAACAACUCAACCCCUCGAUUUGCGUUAAAGGUGUUUUUGAUUCAUUAUAAAGGGGUAAAAUGCAUGUUUUUAAUGUUUUACAUUUGUUCCAGCCAUUAAAAUUGGCAAACAAAUGAUCUAUGAUGCAUUUUGAGUCAUUGGGGUACCUUUUGUAAUUUUUCAAAAGUUGAAAUUCUGCUAAAAAUCGAAGCAGAAAACGCGUUUCCCAAGAAAACGCGACUAAAUGUCGCGUUUCUCAGAAUCGCGUUUUCAAUUCUGCGCCUGCAGAAAAGAAAACGCGCCUUCAAAACGCGACCUAGAGUCGCGUUUUAAUGGAAUUCGCGUUUUCAAGCCUGGAUCAAGAGUCAAAAACGCGACUUCGGAAACGCGACGCAAAGUCGCGUUUUCCAACACAGUCGCGUUUUCAGUCCUGCAAGAUUUGUGCAGGAAACGCGACUUCAAAAACGCGAGUUGAAGGCGCGUUUUUAGUCGCGUUUUCUGUGUCUGAAUAUAACCCUCAAAAACGCGAUUUCAGCUUCAAAUUUUUUUCCUCUCUUCUCAAUUUUUCCAGCCGCGUUUUUCUUCUUCUCUUCUACCCAACUCACAAAUCUUAAUUUUUACUCCAUAAUCUUGCUAGAAAUCAUCACCCCAACACCUUUUGAGCUUCAUAUACCCUUUUUAACCGAUUAAAAUCCAAGAAAAACACCUAAAAUCAGGUUUUUGAGAGAUUGAAGGUUAGGGUUCUUAAACUCUAAUUUCUUCAAUUAGAGGUCAAUUGAAGGUUGUUUCAUAGGGCUUUUUGCAUUUUUAGCAUCACCAAACAUCCUUCUACGUGAUUGAGGUAAGUUUCUUCAUCAAAUCUUUUGAUUUUAGAAGUUCAUAUUUUUUAUCCUGAGCUAUCUGACAUCUUUUAAUUUCGAAAAUUUGAUGAGGUUCAUGGCUAUUUUUGAUUUUAUUCAUGAUUAUUAUGAUUGUUUAAGCAUGUUUAAAUGUUUAAAUGUAGCAAUUUAUUGGUUUUCAAGUACUUUAAAAUUCACAAUUGCUAUAUUUAGAUGAAAUUGGAAAAAGGAACUAGGAUGUUUUUGAGUCAUUGGUGAUGUUAAAUUAUGGUUAAAAAUGGUUAGUUGAUGAUGUUUAAGCAUGUGCAUUGUGUAUAGUGAGUAAUUUGGUUGAUUUGGUGAGUUAAUUAGUUUAAUUUUUGCCUAAACAUGAUUAUAGCUAAAAGCAUAUUAUUAUUGUUAAUUCUAAAUAGUUAUAAUCAUAAUUGUUCCUAUUUUCACUAAUUAAAGUAUAAUUGAUACAUAUCUUGUGUAAUUUGGUGAUUUUGGGCAACUUUAGGCAGAAAAUAUGUCUUGUACGAUCAUUGAAUGAUUAGAACUUGAGCAAUUGUAUUUGACGUUAUUUGGAUUAAUGCUGAACUUUUGUUGCCAAAUAAUGAGUUGUAGUACAUGUGGAUAAUUGAAAUAUUUUUUAGGUACUAUGCCAAGGGGAAGAAGAGCGGUACUUUCAUCCUCUAGUAGUGAGGAGAGGGAGGUUAAUGAAGAGAUGGAGGUGACUGAAGAGGAGAAUUCACCUUCUCCUCCACCAGUUAACCGUCGACCUGGUGAGGGCACCUCCCGUGGAGCGGGAAAAUCGGUAUUUGACAGUGCUAGGUUCAACACUCGCAGGAAUCAGGAGUGGCAUGAGGCGCGUGCUAAUUUGGAGUUUUUGUUUGAGAUGCACGUCAGUCCACCAGUUGAGAUGAUGUACAACAUCUCAGAAGCUUUUGCUCAGCUAGGAUGGGCUCCGAUUCUCACCCUUCCAAACCAUUACUACCCAGAGUUGGUGCGCGAGUUUUACGCCAACAUUGAAAGUAAGGCGCGCCAUAGUGGAGAAAUAGUUGAGUCCUGGGUGCGUGGAAGACGAAUCACCUUGUCACGGCAAGAUUUGGCUGCUAUUUUGGGGUGUAUGGAUGACGGACGUCCAGUAGACUUGAAGAAGGAGUUUGUUCCCCCGAAUAGGAGGUGGGAUCCCUCAUUGGCCAUGGCUAGGUUUGGUCUCGAGUACCAACCUUUUCGCUCUACCAGAAAGGAGACCAUAUUGGCGAAUGUAUUCGAACCUCGUCAUCGUCUUAUCAUUUACAUGAUGGCUCACAAUGUCAUCCCAAAGAAGACGGGGCACACGGAGGUCCGCAAGAGCGAUAUUUACUUCUUGGAUUACAUGUUCCAUAACCGGACAUCUCCAUAUGCUCGGAUUUCAUUGCCUAACAUCAUCAUCAGCCACAUUAGGUCUACGGCGAGGCGUAAGACAACUUCCUUCAAACUAUCAUUUCCUCGUCUACUGACUUUAAUCUUUCCCCGUUUUGAGGUUCCCUUGGAAGGCAUGCGGCGGGAGUAUGUUCCACCACGUGCUGAGAUGACUAUCACUACUCUUCGCCGCCUUGGUAUUGGCACGGGAGACAUUCCACGCCCUGUUCAGGAGCAGAGACAAAAGGCUAGACAUGGUCGGGAUGAAGCUGGACCUUCUACUGCAGAACCACCUCCUCCUCCACCACAAACUAAUUGGCAGCGACUUUUUGAUCAUAUGGAGGACUUUGCAUUCCAGUUCGCUGACGUUAGGAAUCGUCUAAGCCGAAUUGAAGAUCAUUUGGGCAUUCAUCCACCGCCCAAUCGUGAUGCACAGGAUGACGAUGAUGCUGAGGGGGAUGACUGACUUGGCACACUGCAGAAGCUAUCUUUAGUUGAUGAACUUGCUUGCCUAAUUAUCUUAACUUGUGGAACUUAAGAUGUUUAACUUCAUUUUAUUUUUCUGUUUUCUAUGUGGUAGGUACUUGUAUUUUGACAGUGGUUCGUGAUUAGUGGCUGAUAAGGAUCUCAGCCAUUGACUUGGGGAGUACUUCUUUCUUUUCUUUUCUUCUUUUGUUUCAUUUCUUCCCUACACAUUGAGGACAAUGUGUAAUUUAAGUGUGGGGGGAGAAAUAUGUGUGAUACUUGUGGUUUUAGUUGUGUUUGAUAUAAUUCUUGUGCUUAAAUGGUGUUUCUUGUGGUUGCUGGCAGGGAGUUUUAGUCCAGUUGUGUUUGAUAUAAUUCUUGUGCUUAAAUGGUGUUUCUUGUGGUUGCUGGCAGGGAGUUUUAGUCCACUUUUAAGGGGAGAUUCUGUCAAAAUUUUUCCAAAACCUUAUACACAUAUAUGUUAUUAACUAUAAUAAAUAAAUAAAAUGUUGUCACUUAUCCUUUUAAAAUAAAUAUAUGCGGUUUUGAUACUUCUUUUCUCAUGAAAUUUGGAAAUGAUUUUUAUGUGAUUAUAAUUUUUACAUCUAUAGGAAAGUAUAUCUAGUAAAAUGGAGAAAAUUAUGCCUACAUUUUGUAUAUUUGAUGAAAAUUCUUCUUUUUAUCUAAUUUUAUAAGAUAAGAAAUUAAUAUGGUUAAUAAGUGUCAUACUCUUCUCAUGAUUACUCUUAGAGGGAAUUUUAUUAUAUAUAUAUAUAUUAAAAAAAAAAAGGGUUAUUCUACUCCAAUGAUUCUCAUACCGAGUAACCGGGGGUUGGCAUCUACAAAUGUCGACAUUCGCGUAAAAAGGUACUUGAAUUAAGAGUAUGCAAAGCAACUUGAGUAUGUGAAAUGUUGAGUAACCGGGGAUCUGCAUCUAAAAAUGUUGAUCUUCGCGUCAAAAGGCAUUUUUCACAACUUAAGUAAUAUUUAACCCUUAAAAUAUAAAAAAAAUAAAAUAAUAAUAAAUAAAUAAAUAAAAAGUAAAUUAAAUCCCUCUUUAAGAAAAAUAAGAAGUUGAUCAUGAGAUUAGUUAGCAUCUUUAUUGACUAUAGGAGUUGCUUGCUUGCGAAAUUGGAUAAAAAUAAGAAGUUGAGUUGAAUUGGCAAAAUUAUGGUAUACUUGGCUCUUCUUUGCUUGAUAUUAUGAGUACUUGAACUUAAUGGAAAGAUCACAUAAGGGUUAUUUACCUUGAUUCAAGGAAAUGGAGUUGAAAUACUACAUAUGUUUAUUUUCAAUUUUUUUUGGAUGUUAGAAUUUUAUAUUGCUUGAGGACAAGCAAUGAUUCAAGUGUGGGGGUAUUUGAUAAGAGUUUAUUUUACGUAUUUUUAAGUGCAUUUUAUUAGUUAAUUUUGAGUUGAUUAUUUAGUUUUAUAAAUAAAAUAAAGAGGUUUUUGGUAAAAUUAUAUAUUUUUGGUAAAAGUGGAUAAUAUUACAUUUUUAGUGAUUCUAAUGGUAAAACCUUCAUUUUUAUGCAGGAAUGAUGACUCAAUCACCAAAGGAUGGCAAAUGAGGUGAAAAAUAGAGAUUUGGUGAUGAAAUUAAGUGGUGAAAAGAAAAAUGAAGUGAAAAACGUUCAAAUGAAGAAUUGCACUUCAAGUCAGUUUUGACACUCUUCAGUAUUUUGACCAUAUCUGGAGCUACACUUAUCGGAUUGAGGUGAUCUUUAUACCAUUUUAAAGCUAAGAAAGAGACCUACAAUUCGUAUGAAGACAUCAAAAUCCAUUUCUGCCAUCUUCAUGGGCAAAACGUUGGAAUACAGAAGCUGCAUUCUGUGGUCGGAAGUUAAAACAGAGGUUUGAACAGGUGACAGUAUUUCGAUCAUAUCUCAGGGUACAAAGCUCCGAUUUGGAUGAUUCUUGAAGCAUUGGAAAGCUAACUCAAAGGGCUACAACUUUUGUGUUUUGCACAAAAGCUAGUUCGGCCUUCAUCAUGGAGAAAAUUGCAGUUGAAAUAAGGCCAGAGUGAAAACGCGAGUAGACAAAACGCGAGUUAUGCCGCGUUUUGUGUAGGCGCGUUUUAUAGCCGAAAUUCUGCAAUUUGACUCAGUCAAUUCUCUUGUGUUCAUACCACUUUCCAGCUAUAAGAUGCAAGGGAAUUCGGUGCACAUGCUUCUGCAAUAAAAGAGAAGACCAAAUGAGUGUGGACAAAAGGAAACAUCAUAUCUUUGACUUCUUUUUACAAAAUCUGAGUGGAGGAAAUUAUGAAGUGAGAGGAAUGGAAUUUCUACCACCUUUUAUGCAGAAAUAUGGGGAGAGGUCUGGGAUCCAUUCGUAGCUUAGCUUCUUACAGAAAAACAUAUUCUCUCUACCUAGGACUUGCAAGGGGCAAUUGGGAUUUCAUCUUGUAAUCAUCUAAGUUCAAGACAAAGGAGAUUUUUGGAAGGCUUCACCAUAUCUUGGCUAAGACUUUCUUUACUCUGUUUGUAUUUGUAAAUUCAUGAUGAUUUGCAUUAAUGAAGUUAUGAGUGUUUCAUCAUUCAUGAGUAGCUAAUUUCCUUUAUCUAGGGAGUAGAUGAAGCUUAUGGCCAAAUGAUAUGAAGUGAUUGUGAUUUAUGCUUGUUAUGUCUUGUAUUAACUUAUCUACUUGUGUAUGUUGGAUUACUUGUUGCUUGAUCACCAAUAGCAGGUUUAUAGUUGUUUUUACUCAUUGAGAAAUGGUAAAAAUAAUGGAAUGACAUAAGUAGAGCUUGAGUAGUAUAUUCAUGAGAAUAGAAAUACAUUCAAGUGGAUGAAAUCUGCAUUUCAUGUGUGAAUAAGAACAGAUUUAGUAUUUACCAAGAGAUUAGGAAAAACUAAUCUGUUUUAACCCAUUAUUAUCAUGAGAAUGUGAUUUUGGUAUUUCUGGAAAUGAAUCAUUGGUUAAACAAGAGCAGUAACAAGUGUUGAAUUAAUUCAUUUUAGAUCUUUUGUGUCAUAAGUGGAAUCUACAUCCCUAGAUCUUAAUAUUUAGUGAAUUCUACUCCCCUUGAGAUAUUGCAUUUAUCUAUUUAAGAAUUUUUGUAGUUGAAUUAAAAUCUGAAGUUUCUGCUCAAAUUAAUUGUGAGUCUAAAUAAUAGAGUAAAUUAGUAUGUAAUAAUUGUUUUAAAUUGCUCCUCGUGGGAUCGACCCGAUACACAUCUCGUACUACAAUUGCGACCUGUAUACUUGCAGUCCAACGGGUGUAAAUUCGGAAUUAAACUUGCACUUAGGGUCUGUUUGGUUGGAAGUAAAAUGUUUUCCUUGGGAAAAUAUUUUCCGUGGAAGUAAUUUUUCAUGAAAAUCAUUUCCUUUUCAUCAUUUUCAGGUGUUUGGUUAGCUUAUUGAAAAUAUUUUCUUACUUCAUUUUUCUGGUGUUUGUUUAACUUUUGAAAUAUUUUCACUUUUAUCUCUAUCUUUACUUUCUACACAUUAUAACUACAUACUUCUUCCCAUGCAAAAUAAGAAAAUUUAUCUCAUUGUUUAACUUUAAAAAAUCUUGAAGAAAGGUAUAUAUGAAUAAAAAAUAUCUCCUUAAGCAAAUAAAUAAAUUGCUAGCCAUUUAGUGUCAAAUAUCAAUCACAUGCAAUGCUUAUUGUGACAUAUAUCUUGCAUUCUCACUGCUGAAAGUUUCUCUAGAAAAGAAUGUCCCUAUUAUACAUAAUUAAUUACUAGCAUAGGAUGAGCAGGAUGACGUUUUUUUUUAUUUUGAAUAUACUAGGGGGAGGGUUGGGUGGUACGGGGGAGGGAGUGUAAGGAAGAGGUCUUGGGUUCGAGUCUUCCUGUUUACACUAAAAAAAAAAAAAGAACAUACUGCAAGAUGAUUUCAGUAAGUUUGGAACAUACUACAGGCAAGAUACAUGCAUUUCGGAAAACAACUUCAGGAAGUUGGGAAGGGAAGUUGUUUUCCAUAAGAUGAGUGAAAAUAUUUUACAUAGGAAAAUGUUUUCAGUAACUUUUGUGCAACCAAACACGGGAAAUUAGGAAAAUAUUUUCCUGGAAAACAUUUUCACCCGAAACAAACGGACCCUUAAAGUAAAAACCCGUCAUUAUGCUCUGAUGAUCUGAUGACCUUGUUUGUGGGAUGAGGUUAUGUUCUGAUGAUUUGAUGAUUUCCUUGUCUGUAUUGUUUAGCAAGACCUCUCCACUUGGACCUUACGGGAUGUUACGAAUCAGCUUUUGGAGCAGUCAAGAAGUAGAGGAUGAGGUUAUGUUCUGAUUUGAUGAUGUCCAAUUUCCUUGUGGGAUGAGGUUAUGCACCUAAGUCAAGAUUGAAUAACGAUUUUGUAAGAGAUAAGUCUGAAAUUAUGUCAAAAGUCAUUCUCAAAUUUAAUGUUUAAACUUUUUCUCUUCACUUACCAUAGGCCUCGAAUGAUUGUACCAUCUUGUUCUACACUGCUUCCAAAUUCCCCUUUCAACAUCUUAGCAAUUUGAGACCAUUCUUCCACCCCAAAUUUUUCGAUAAAGAUGGAUUAGUUGCCUGUAUAUGUACAUAGGUAGGACCAAAUCAAAAUUGAUAAUGAUAGAUUAGUUGCCUGUAUACAUAGGUAGGACCAAAUAAAAAUUGAUGCAUAUAUGUUUGCAUAAAGCAAAUUCAAAAUUUAGCAAACCUACUUAAUUAAUAGUACCAAAAACUAUCAAAAUCUCAUCAAAUAUUUGGAAGAAAAAUCUCUAUCUAGCUUCUUCAGUGUUCCAUUGCUUUUUGCUAAUCUAGAGAUUUUUUUGAUCUUGCCUUGGAUGAUCAUCAAAGAAGACGAGGCACUAUUGGAAAAUCUACCUUGGAUGAAUCAUCAAGAUUUUACUUUGUUAACCAUGGAGUGAAAUUAUCUUCGACCAAAUCAAGAAUAUUUUCCUAAAACUUUUAGAUGUGGAGAAAAGAGGAUAGAUGUAGAUUUUCUCGACAAUUAUUUUCGAAUCAAAAUGCAUAACGUCUCUUGUAGGUUCUUGCUAUAAGAUAUAUUGUAAGACAUAUAGUAGGGCUUAGGGAACUCCCGAAUGAUGAAGUUGGAGAGUCAGACAUAAAUGGUAGUACAACUUAAAAAUUCCAAUGACCCUGAAGUGUGAAGAGGCAGGCCAUUCGUAUCCCAAAUCCGUUUGCUACCAGAAAUACCUUUGCUGUAUCUAUAACAUCCAGAAUUGCAAACUAAGCAGUCAUAGUAGAAAUAUUAGCUACGUUUCUAACAUCCAUAACUAUGAUAUGAACAUGUAAUACAAGAAACAUGAUGAGAAUCUUACAAUAUAUUAGAAGUUUUAGUAAAUGAAAAUCAAUUUGGCACAUACAUAUAGUAAGAACAAAUAAUUAAAACAUAUUAUAACAUUGCUAGUAAAAUAUUUAAUAUUAUUAAUGGGGUUAUGUGACAUGAUAGACAUGGAAUUCUAAGAGAAUUUUAUCCAUCUCAAGUUCUAAAAUUAUCGAAUAUGUCUUUUGGGACUUUAAGUGCCACAAGUGCUUAAGACACUUUUUUCUGAUCUAAGAAGGAAUGAUAAUUUAUCCUCUUACGGCUAGUUUGAUUCAUGAUCGGAUGAGAUGGAAUGACCCAUCUCAGAUUAUUAAUCUUGGAUUGUGUCAUCUCCCGAUAAAUAAUCCAAAUAUCUAGUGUUUGGUUGGUUUUGGGUUGGAUAGGAUAUGUUGAGAAAUAAUCCUAUCCUGUGUUUGGUUGGACAUUGGAUGAGGUAGAAUUACUAUUUUAAUGAUCAAAGCACUCCUUAAUUUGUAGAUUCUUUUUAAUCAAAUAAUUUAAUAUUUAUAAAAUAUUAAUAAACAAUUAAUAUUUAUAACUUUUAUUAAAAUAGAGUAGUUUGAAACUUUAGAAUUAUAAAGUAAAACAAGGGUUUUGCUAUAUAAAAAUUCACAUUCACUCAAACUUAGCCCAUUCGGGCCUGAAAAAUAGAUUUUGACCAAAAUUUUGAACCUAAAUUUGAAAUAUAGGAUUAAAUUGAUUAAAACCUGGCUCCGUUUGGAUUAGUUAUUUUUGGGGUUGUUUUUUAAAAAUAGCACUGUAGCAUUUCGUUUUUAAAAUACAAGUCCGUUUGGAUUAGUUAUUUUUGGGGUUGUUUUUCAAAAACUAUAUGAAAAACUUUUACUGUAGAUGUUUUUUGGAUUAUUUUUAGAGGUAUUUUUAAAACAUAUUUUUGAGUAUUUUUAUAAUUUAUAAUUUAUAAUUUAUAAUUUUUAUAAUUUUAUAUUUAUAUACAUUUAUGCAUUUAUAAUACAUUUAUAAAUAUUUAUAAAUAAAUAUAUUUAUAUAUUUAUAUAAAUGCAUUAUAAAUGUAUUAUAUUAUAUGUAAUACAUAAUAUAAAUAUAUUUAUAAAUGUAUAUUAUUAUAGAUGUAUAAAUUAUAAAUGAAUAUUAUAUAAAUGUAUAAAUGUAUAAAUUAUAAAUUAUAAAUUAUAAAUUAUAUAUUUUUAUAUAAAUAUACAUUUAUGCAUUUAUAAUACAUUUAUAAAUAUUUAUAAAUAAAUAUAUUCAUAUAUUUAUAUAAAAAUAUAUAAAUGCAUUAUAAAUGUAUUAUAUUAUAUAUAAUACAUAAUAUAAAUAUAUUUAUAAAUGUAUAAGUGUGUAUUAUUAGAAAUGUGUAAAUUAUAAAUGAAUAUUAUAUAAAUGUAUAAAUUAAUAUAUUAUAAAUAUAUAUUAAUAUUAUGUAUAAAUGUAUUAAUAUAAUUAAUAUAUAUGUAUAAAUGUAUUAAUAUUAUGUAUAAAUAUAAAAUUAAUAUUAUGUAUAUUAAUAUAAAUGUAAAAAUGUAUUAUAUUAUAUAUAAUACAUAAUAUAAAUGUAUAUUAUAAAUAUACAUUAAUAUAUGUAAUAUGUAUAAAUGUACAUUUAUUUAAAUGUAUAAUAUAUAUAUUAUAUAUUAUAUAUUAUAUUAUAUAUAAUUUAUAUAAUAAUUGUAAAUAUAUAAAAAUAUUUUUUAAAUAAAAUAAAAUAUUUAUAAUAUGUAUAAAUAAAUAUAUAAAUAUAUAAAUAUAUAAUAUACAUUAAUAUUAAUUAUAAAUAUUAUGAUAUUAUAAAUAUGGUGUUUAUAUAAUAUUUCAAUUUGUAAUAUUUAUUGUAUAUUUCAUUAUAUAAAUAUUUAUAUAAUUUAUAAUUUAUAAAUAUAUAAUAUAUAAUUUUAAAUUUGUAUAAUAUACAUAAUAUUGUAUAUAUAUAAUAUAAUAUACAUAAUAUAAUAUAUUAUACAUAAUAUACAUUUAUACAUUAUUACAUAUUAUGUAUAUUAUAUAUUAUACAUAACAUUAUCAUACAUUAUUAUACACAAUAAUGUACAUAAUAAUAUUAUACAUUAAUAAUGUAUAUAUUAUAAUAUAAUGUACAUAAUAUAUUAUGUAUAAAUGUUUAUACAUAAAUGUGUACAAUAUUAUAUAUUAUGUAUAUUAUAUUAUAUUAUGGAUAAUAUUAAUGUAUAUAAAUAUUUAUAUAAUAUAUAAUUUUUAAUUUGUAUAUUUCAAUUUAUAUUAAUAUAUAUAUAAUAUACAUAAUUGAAAUAUACAUAUGGAGUUGUUUUUGAUAAUGUUUGGAUAUGGUGUUUUUGAAGUUGUUUUGAAAAUACACAUUUACUGUAACAUUUGGAAUGUGAAAAACAGUUUUUCAAAAACAGAGGCAAAAACAAGGAAUCCAAAUGGACCCUAAGUCAUUUAAGAGCUUUAAAUGAGCUGAAUUCAAGCUAAAAUAGAAGAUUUUCUUUGGACUGAAUUUGAGCUGAUUGAAAUCCUCAUUCACAAAGCCCAAUUCAUAAGAUUAUGUAUUUAUAUAAAAUUUAGUUUAGAAAAUAAGUUUAAUAAGGGUAAUUUAAUCUAAGUGCAAUAUAGUCCUUCUAUUAUGAUGUUAGUGACGAGCGUGGGGUAUACAUAUAAUAAUUAAUUCAUCCAUGGUCAAAUUUUACAUUUAUAUAUUCCUAAAUACCCUAUACAUGAUUUUUCACAAGUAUACGAGUUGUUUAUUGUGCAUAGGGGUAUUAGGUGUCGAUCCCACAGGGAAGAUUGUCAAUUACCGAUGAUUUUCGAACUCCUUUAUUAUUUAGACUAUCACAAAUACAAAAGAUUAAAUUUACAAUACAAACAUGAGAUGAAAGUAAUAAAAAUAACAAUAUAAACUCCUUGAGGUAUGGAAUGCCUCACUACUCUUGCAAAUGAAGUUACUGGUUAAUUGACUAUUAUUAUCUUGACUAGUUAUAACGUAAUUUCCUAAUGUAUGUGAAACCUACUCUCGUAGUGAAUCAACUAUACUUGCAGCUAAACCAUACAUACUCUCAUGAUUAUGAAAUUAACUACAAGUUCAUUUCUUCUAUGAAAUUACAUGAAACAAGUCACUAAAACCAUAUAAGUGUAUCUCGACUCUCGUGAGUGUAUUUUCUAGGUUUAUCACUUUCUUGAACUAGUGUUAAAUUCCAAUUUUCAUUGCAAAUUUAACACCUUAAAAUUAUCACAAUUAAUGGACGGUUAAUCAUGAUUAGAAAAUCAAAAGUGAUAAAUAACUUACUCAAAAAUAAUAUCAUCAAAUAAUCAAGUAAAUGUCACUAACAAGAUAUAGAAAGUUCAUAUAUAAUCCUAUGCAUAAACUAUAGAAACAUAUAUUGAAAUACAAAUCCAAAACUUACAUAUUAACCAUAAUUAAGAAUCCAAUACAAAAGAUAAAGAGUCAGAGAAGAGAUAACCCUUAUCACGUGUGAUUGAGCCCCUCUUUCUUUAUCUCCAUGUUCAUCCUAAUAUAGAGAAUAUACAAGAGUGGAUAAAAACUAUACAACUCUAUACUAAACUACUAAACUAAACUAAUGAACUAAGGAAAUUCUAAUGAAAACUAUAUUUUUGGUGAGUUUCUCUAGCCUUCCAAAAUUGUGAAAAUGGUCUCCAAAGGCUGCUAUUUAUAGACUAUUCAAGAGCCAAAUGUGUGAGAACCCGUAAUUUUCUCAUUUUCUAGGGUUUAUUCUCUUUACUGGCAUGUUUUCUGCAUUUUCUUUAUUAGGAAAAUUGUUUCGAUAAUUUUUAUGAGUAAAAAUAGGUUUUAGGUGAUUUUUCUAGUAUCGGUUAAUUUUUGAAAAAUUAAGAGCAUACACCGGACGUGGGACCCGCUAGUGCGGAAAGUUCGGAAAAAUUCGGCCAACUAGGUUAAGUUUUGGAUACUGGGUUUAAAUUAUCGGGUGCUAAGAGAUAAAUAGAGGUUACCAAGUGGAUUGGUGUGAGAGGAAACAAAGUGAUAUGCAUGCAUUAAAUAGGGUGACAAGUGUCACCAUAUGAUUAAACCUUACAUUUUGACUACUAUUCACAUUUUUACCAAUUGACUAUAUAAACCAAAAAAUUACCAAAAUCAUCUCCAUUUCAAGCACCUUGAAGCCGGCUCUCUCCAAGGAAGAAAGAAAGGAAAACUCUCCAAAUUCCUAGCUCUACUCUUGCUCAAAUCCAAUAACUCAACCAUUUAAUCUUGCUUUUGUUCCAUAGAAACCCUUAAGUGAGUGAUUGUGAGGUGUUUAGUGGAGUUGUUUGGAGGAUUAAGGUGCCAAGUUGUUCCUUUUCUUGCAUUUCAAGGUGAGUAGCUAGGGAAUGCUUCCUUUGGUCUUGAUAAUGUCAAAAUAAUGAUUUGUGUUGAUUAAAUGUGUGAUUGGGUGAAAGAUAUCUUGAAUUGGGUUGAGAUUGGUGAAUUUUUUUGAUUAUAUCAUGAAUUUUCUGUUUCAUAUGUGUAAUAUGGUGUGGCUUUGUAUGAUGAUGGGAAUUGAUCUAGAAUGAAGCUAGAAGGUGUAAAUUGUGGUUAAUUGCAGAAAAUUUCUGCUUUGGAAAGAAAUUUUGGAAGUUAGGGUUUUAUUUUCCCCUCAUUCUGCCCGGCACUGUUCAUCAUAGUUAGAGGCCGAAUUAGUUUUGGGUUAAAUCAUGAAAGUUGUAGGGAAUGAUAUUUUAGAGAUGCCUUCAAAAUUUCAGGUCAAUCGGAGUAGUGUAGCUUGUGAAAAGACCGAAAUACCCCUGCUGCCCUGUUUUCACCCGAACUUGAGAAUUGCUUCUGUAAUGGGUUAUUUUGGUUGGGAAUACUUCAGAAUUGGUUGUUGAGGUCUUCUGAAGAAAUGUAGCCUGAUGUCUUAGCUUUCGAAUGGCUUUGGAAUCACUUGAUUUGGACUUAGGUAGCCUGACUUACAGUUUAUUAACCAGAAUACGGUUUGUUCACCUAUUUUUACGGUUCUGGUUUAGUAUCCUGCAUUUUUGGCCUAGUUUCACUAUGAACUGGGCUGAGUGACCUUCUACAACAUUGUAGCCCUAUCUGUUAGCUUCAAAACAGUGUAUCUUUCACCUCCAUCCGAUAAUCGUAGUGCUAAUGGUGCCAAAAUCGUAAAAUAAUGUCAAAAACUAUUUUUUUGGAUUAGAGCUUAAUUCCGUUUCCGGAUUUCCCUGGUUUACUCUAGUGCUUAUACAUUCUAGUGGAACCUUAUUUUGGUGGUAUGUGGAUUUGGUUAUGACUUGUAAUUGAGUCUUAUUAUACUUAUUUGAAUGUUCUAGGACGUGACGGUGGUCCAAGACGCUCUUUGAGCGGAAGUUGAUGAAAUUUCACUUGCUUGCUUGGUGAGUGUACUACUCACUUGUUGUUUACAAUGUGGCUUUGGUAUAUGUGAACUUGAUGCCUUGAAGGCUUAUUUGCUCCGUUGAAAUUGAUUAAGUGAGGGUGUACUUGAUCGCUCUCACCCAUUUGGUAUCUCAUAUGACUGUCUACUGUUUCACUGUAAUGAUUGAAUGAUACAUGAAAUACUGAAUUUGGUUCAUGAAUUUGGUGUCGCUUGGAUGAGUAUCCAACGACCAUUACUGAUACUACUGAGCUCAACCCCAUUGGUAGUCGAUUGGGUCGAGCCGGCGAGGGCUUGGUCGUGAAAAUUGACGAGCCAUGGGGACUGUUAUAUGGAAUCUUGUAGUAGUGAGACUCUUGAUUCCGGUAUACUCGAGUAUUACCAAAUUUCUACUGUUUGGAGUUCGGGCCCGGUAGGGGUAUGUUGGGUGGAAGGAAUGGAAGUAAAGUGGAGCCUACGGAUGGUUACUUUGUAAACAUUGAUGGAGGGUCAAUGAAAUCCGAUCAAGUAUACGAGCGAGGAAAGGGGCUCUUGAGAGCCGUCUGUAUCAUUUUACCCAUCUUGUUAAUGUGUGAUCUUGGUUUAUUUCUUUCUUGACCGCUUUAUGCCUAUAUAACUUGGUUGCUUGAGUGAUAGUAUACCACUGAGCGUAAGCUCACUCUGCCCCUUUUAUUUUCCUUACAGGAAAAUAAAUACUUUUGGACUGGAUUUGAUAGUUGGUUGCCGAAUUGAGCUAGAUGGACAUAUCUUUUGUAUAGCUCAUUGAUUGAAACCCUAAAUGUACUUUUGGGUCCGUUUUCUCUUUUGAUUUGGCAAACCGUACAUGUAUCAACUUUUGAAUAACUUUUGUAUUCCACUUUGGAUUGUAUAUGCUUAAUUUCAACGUAUAAAUGUUUGAUUGAUGUUGGCAGUUACUGUCAAUGACCGGCUCCGAUUUCAUUUUUUUUAUUUUGUGAUUUUGACUUGUUUACGGGCGUUUGUAUGUUCCGGAAAGUAUUAGAUCGCUCUAAACUGAACCGUUAGUCCUGGCGAGAGUUGGGCAGGCAGUCCGCUAACCCCUUUGGUUCACCUAAGGGGAAGGUGGGGCUGUCACAAAAUGAAUUAUUUCUAGUUAUCAUUUUUGGCUCUUAAAACUUCCAAAGGUUGGUUCCCCAAUUUUCCACACUCUUCUUGAUCAGAUAUAGCCGAAAUUACUUGCUAGAAUUGAGCUAGAAAGUUGUGUGAAUACAGAACAAGUUGUAGAGCAAGUUGCAGCUGAAAACUGAAGAAUAUGCGAUCUCGAAAACACGACCUUAGGUCCCGUAUUGUAUCCCAAGUAUUGCCUUUUACAGGUUUGCUCAAUUUUGGACAGAUUCCAUCCUUGCUCUAUUUUUUAUCCAAUUUCAACUGAUAUUUUCUCGAUGAUGGAGGUUGAACUUGAUAAGUGUAUAAUUUACAUGUUUUAAGUGUGUUUUAUUAGUUAGUUUUGGUGCGUUUUAUUUAGUUUUAUAGCUAAUUAACUAAGUUUCUAGUGAAAAUAUGCAUUUUGUGGUUUAAGUGUGAAAAAUUACAUUUUUAUGGAUUUUAAUGGUGAAAACUUCAUUUUUUUUUUGGAGAUUUAAGGAUUCAAUCAUCAAAUGGCAUGAAUUGAGAAGAUAACUGGAUGAUUGACGAUGGUUUGAAGUGAUAAAAAGACAAUAUGAAGUGCAAGAGAUGAAAUGCAAUUAAGUUCGAAAGAAAAGGAGUUUCACAGCUUUGAUACAUUUUAGUAUUUCGGCAAUAUCUUGAGUUACAAGCAUCGGAUUAAGGUGAUUCUUGUACCAUUUUGAAACUAUGAUAUAGAUCUACAUUUGGUAUGAGAUAUUGAAGUCGAGUUUAGUUGUUUUCAUUGUCAAAAAAUUGAAAUACCAAAAUGCAUUUUCAUUGUCGAAAGUUGAAAUAGAAUUCUAACCAAUCGAGGGUAUUUUGGUAAUUUUUUGGUCCACAGAGCUCCAAAUUGAAUGAUUCUUGAUGCAUUGGAAACUAACUCAAGGGUUACAAAUUUCAUGUUUUACACAAGAGUUACUUAAGCAUCCAUUUUGAGAAAAUAUCAAUUGAAAUUGGACAAAAAACAGAGUAAGGAUGAAAUUUGCCCCGAAUGAGCAAAUUUGCAAAAAGCAAAAUGUAGGGUGCAAUACCCGACCUAAGGUUGCAUUUUUUAGGUCGCGUAUUCUUCUUUUGUAGCUAAAACUUGAUCUGUAACUUGUUCCUUGUUCAUACAACCCUUUUGACCAAUUUUUCUGCAAGAAAUCUGGUUGUAUCUGAUCAAAUGAUCAUAGAAUCUUGUAGAAGCAACCUUUGGUGAUUUGAAGAGAUAACUUUGCCAACUAGAAACAACUUAUCUAGAGCUUUAAUUGCUCUAUAUGUUAGGAUCGAAGACAACCAAGUGGAAGAGAUAAACAAUGUAAAGAUCACAAAUGUAAUAGUAAGUAAAUAAAAAGGAAAGGAUUGUAAACCAAUUAAUUACCCAACUCCUCUUGAACUUGUAGAUUAAUUGAAACAAGCUACUUCAAGUUGAUGAAUUACAAUCACUCUUGUGUACAAAUGAAGGUUCACCUCCUCCUUGCCCCGAACUCCACUCGAUCAAGUCAGGACGUUUUACUAUCCCUCAGGACAACCCUCACAGAGCUACACUCAUGAAGUAUUCACUCACAAAUGAAAAGUUUAUAAUGAACCUCACACCACUAAGACUACAAAUCUUUUUUGAAGAGUAUUUUCUCACUAAAAUCACUCUAGAUCUUUUGUAUCUUCAGUGUGCAAAAAUUAAUUGAUGUAUCUGACCAACUACUAUAUAUAUAGGACCAAGAAAUUGUCACAAUAAUGCUUCCAACGGAUAGAAAGUAACUGAAGAGUCAACUAGCCGUUGGAGUGUCGGACGUCCGAUAGUCCUGUUUUUUACGUCCGACAGCAAGCAGUGAGUUUAAGAGAUUUUCUUCAAUUCUUUCGGACGUCCGAUAGGCUGGUUUUCUGCGUCCGAAGGUAUGAUGUAAAACUGAAAUUUUUUUUUCAAUUCUUUCGGACGUCCGGUAGGCUGAUUUUCUGCGUCCGAAAUUGCGCAAUGAUUGUCGGACGUCCGAUCCUGACUUCUUGAGCGUCCGACAGCUUCAGCAUAUUUUGUCCCUUUCAAAUGUGAUUAAUCUUUGAAUCUGAUUUGCUUCAUAGUUGAAAGUAUUUCUUUAAAAGAUAUUAGUAUUAUCCAUCGUUUUGUAAAUAUCAAAAGAUAGGGAUCAAGGUCAACAUUCUCCCCCUUUUUGAUGAUGACAAAACAAUGGAUGGAAGAAGGAAAAAGAUUGAGUAUAUGAGCAUAAGCUCCCAUAUAAGCAUAAGCUCCCCCUCACACAAUGCAUCUAAACUUAUAAUUUCAGAAUAACUCCCCCUUACACACAACAUCCAUUUCUCCCCCUUUUUUGUCAUCAUAAGAUGAGAGUAAAAAUCAGUUACCAAAAAUCAGCAACAAUAACAGAGAAUCCAAUAAUUCAAAUAAAAACAGAGAAAUGACAGCAAUCACAGCAAAUCAUCAUGAGAUCAGCAUUAUUCUUUUUUCUCUCUUUUUGACAUCAUACAAAUUCAGUAAAAAAUCAAUAAAAACUCAAUUCAAAACAUUAGAAACAUCAAAAGAGAAUUACAAAAAAAUAUUAUGAACAAGAAUCUCAUCAAUUUUACCAAUAUCUCCUACUUGUUAGAGUUAGCAUCAUGUCUAACUAUCCACAUGCAUUUCAUGUCUUUUUUUAUAUUCUUUCUCAUAUAGCAAUCACUUUUCAUGUUACCUUUUUUAUAACAGAAAUUACACAUAAUCAGGGAGUUAUUUAUAUGAACAGGUUUAAUAAAUGUUACUUGUCUUCUCUUAUAAAUAGCAAAUUCGUUGGAAUUAGAAUUCAACCUAUUCUUUUGAAAACAGACUUGUUUUUUGUGUUUAAGCAACUCAUUUAGACCAUCCAUUCUUCUUUUCAAAUCACCUUGUUCCUUUUUGAACAAUUCACAAAACUUUGUUUUUCUAUCAAGCUCAAAGUGUAAAGCAGUCUCACUCUUUUUGAAAUAAUCAUUUUCAGCUUUCAACUUUUUAUUUUGUUGAAAAAAAUUUGUAUUAUCUCGAAGCAAAAAACUAAUUUUCUGUUUUAACUCCUUGUUUCUAGCAUAAGAUUCUUUCAAACUAUCAUACAAUUUAAUAAUGAAAGAUUCAAGAUCAUUAUCAGUUUCAUCAUCACUUUCAAAUUGAGAACUAGAAGAUGUUACCUCAUCAUCUCCAAUAGCCAUGAAAGCCAAUUGAGCAGAUUCUUCUUCCUCUUCAAUUUCACCAUCGGAGUUGCAUUCAUUCCAUGUGAACUGGAAGUUAUUGAAUCUGGAUUUUCUUUCACCUUUUCUCUUCUUCAUUGGACACUCACUUGCAUUGUGUCCAGGUUGGCUGCAUUCAAAGCACUUAUCAGUUUACUUUUUGUUGAACUCUAGCUUCCCUUUGUUUCUUGAGUUGUUGAACUAAUUUGGGAAUGAAUUGCUAGGUCCUCCUUUUCUGAAUCUCCUCUUGUUGAGAAUUCUCUUGAAACUUUUCGUGAUGAGUGCAAUAUCAUUGUCAUCACCUUCCAUGUCAUCUUUAUCUAAGGAGGCUGAAUCAUCUUCAUCAUGAGAUGUCUUUAGAGCAAUGUUUCUUCUUACUUUUGCAUCCUCUUCCUCUUGCAUUUUGGACUUAAGUUUCAACUCAUAAGAGAUUAGAGAAUUAAUAAGAGAUUCAAUAGGUAAAGAAUUUAGAUCUUUAGUUUCUUCAAUGGCAGUAACUUUACUUUCCCAAUCUUUAGACAGAGCAUUCAAGAUUUUUCUGUUUUUCUCUCCUAAGGUAUAUCCUUUUUUCAGAACAUCUAAAUCUUUAAUAAGAUCAUUGAAUUUACAAUACAUUUGAUCAAUAUUUUCAUGAGAUUCCAUUUUAAACGACUCAUAUUUAGUAAUCAAGAUAGAUUUUCUCUUUUCUCUAACAUUCUCACUACCUUCAUGAAUAUCUUUUAGUUUGUCCCAAAUUUCUUUAGCUGACUUGCAACCCUUGACUCUAAUAGAUUCAUUUGAGUCUAAAGCACAAAAUAAUACAUUCAUGGCCUUUGCAUUUAAGGUGAGAUGAAUUCUAUCUGCAGCAGUCAGUUCACUUCUUAUUUUUGGUCUAGACGUACGAGUAUUUUCAUCUAUAAGAGAGGCAUCAUAUGAACAUUCACUAAUAAUAAACCAUAAUUCAAUAUCAAUAGAUUGCAAAAAGAUAAUCAUUCUUUCUUUCCAACUCAAAUAAUUUGACCCAUUAAACAUAGGUGGUCUAAUCGCAGAAUGUCCUUCAAAAAAUAUGGCAUUAUUGGUUGUCAUUUUUACUCCAAAAUCGAUUGAACUUAAUCUCUAAGAGACCAAACUCUGAUACCAAUUGUUAGGAUCGAAGACAACCAAGUGGAAGAGAUAAACAAUGUAAAGAUCACAAAUGUAACAGUAAGUAAAUAAAAAGGAAAAGAUUGCAAACCAAUUAACUACCCAACUCCUCUUGAGCAUGUAGAUUAAUUGAAACAAGCUAUUUCAAGUUGAUGAAUUACAAUCACUCUUGUAUACAAAGGAAGGUUCACCUCCUCUUUGCUCCGAACUCCACUCGAUCAAGUCAGGACGUUUUACUAUCCCUCAGGACAACCCUCACAGAGCUACACUCAUGAAGUAUUCACUCACAAAUGAAAAGUUUAUAAUGAACCUCACACCACUAAGACUACAAAUCUUCUUUGAAGAGUAUUUUCUCACUAAAAUCACUCUAGAUCUUUUGUAUCUUCAGUGUGCAAAAAUUAAUUGAUGUAUCUGACCAACCACUAUAUAUAUAUGACCAAGAAAUUGCCACAAUAAUGCUUUCAACGGAUAGAAAGUAACUGAAGAGUCAACUAGCCGUUGGAGUGUCGGAUGUCCGAUAGUCUUGUUUUUUGCGUCCGACAGCAGGCAGUGAGUUUAAGAGAUUUUCUUCAAUUCUUUCGGAUGUCCGGUAGGCUGGUUUUCUGCGUCCGAAUGUAUGAUGUAAAAUUGGAAAUUUUUCUUCAAUUCUUUCGGACGUCCAGUAGGCUGAUUUUCUGCGUCCGAAGUUGCGCAAUGAUUGUCGGACAUCCGAUCCUGACUUCUUGAGCGUCCGACAGCUUCAGCAUACUUUGCCCCUUUCAAAUGUGAUUAAUUUUUGAAUCUAAUUUGCUUCAUAGCUGAAAGUAUUUCUUGAAAAGAUAUUAGUAUUAUCCAUCGUUUUGUAAACAUCAAAAGAUAGGGACCAAAGUCAACACUAUAAAUAGGGCCUUUGGAGAGCAUUUUCACAACUUUGGACGGCUAGAGAAACUCCAAAAAAAUAUAUUAACUUUGGAUUCAAGAGUUUUUCAAAAAUUAGUUUUUCAAAUACUAUUAAAAUUUUUUAAAAGUACUCUAAAACGUAGUCUAAAAUUUUUUUUAAUGUUCUUAAAAUUUCCCAAAAUAUAUUCUAAAAACUCUUCUACUCUUAAAUAUUCCAAAAUAUUUUCUAAAAAUAUCCCAAACAAACUAUAAAAACUCUGCUACAGUAAAAUUUUUCAAAAACACCCCCAAAAAUAGCUAAUCCAAACGGAGCAACUUCACUAGUUUUUCUUAGUUUAUUAGUAUAGUAUAGUUAGAGUAGGCUAUAUUUUUCAUAUUUGUAGUUAGAUUUGGAUGAAAAUUUGAAGAGUAAAGAUAGAGAGUUGGAUCUCAUGUGACAAGGGUGACUUCUCUCCUAUCACUUUCUCUUUUAUAUUUGAUUUCUUGUUUAACUAUGAUACAAGUUUGGUGUUUAUCUUCACGUUUAGUUAAAGUUUAUGCCUAGAGUAUGGAUGAACUUUCUAUAUUUUAUUAGUGAUGUUUACUUGGUUAUUUGAUGAUAUUAUAUUAAGCAAGUUAUUUAUCAUUUUUGCUUUUCAAAUUAUGAUUAACCGGCCAUUAAUUAUAAAAAUCUUAAGGUGUUAAGUUUGCAAUGAGAAUUGAAAUUUAACGCUAGUUCAAGGAAGUGAUAUACCUAAGGAGCACAUUCACAAGAAUAGAGGUGCACCUUUGUGGCUUUAGUGACUUGUUUCAUAUAAUUUCAUGGAAGAAAUGAGUUUGUAGUUAAUUUCAUAAUUACGAGAAUAGGUAUAGUUUAAUCACAAGUAUAGUUGAUUCACUACAAGAAUAGUCUUUACAUACAUUAGGAAAUUAUGCCAUAAUUGACCAAUAUAAUAACAUUCAAUUAACUGGUAAUGUCAUUUGCAAGAGUAAUAAAGAAUUCCAUACCUUUGCAAGCUUUCUAUUGUUAUUUGUAUUACUUUUAUCUCAUGUUUGUAGUGUAGACUUAAAUUCUUGUAUUUGUGAUGGCCUAAAUAAUAAAGAAAUUUAAAAAUCACCGAUAAUUGACAAUCUUUCCUGUGAGAUUGACACCUAAUACCCCUAUACUCAAUAAACGACUCGUAUACUUGCGAAAAUUGCCUGUGCGGUAUUUAGGAAUUUAUGAAUGUAAAAUUUGAUUGUAGAUGAGUUAAUUGUUCUAUAUAUACCUCAUGCUCAUCAGAACUAACUCUUGUACAAAACAUGAAAGUUGUAACCCUUUGAGUUCGCUUUCCAAUGUCUUAAAAAUCAUCCAAUUUGGAGCUCUGUGGACCUAUAAAUGACCAAAAUACCCUCAACUGGUCAAUCCCCUGUUUCAGCUUUCAACAAUGAAAAUGCAUUUCUAUAUUUCAACUUUUUGACUAGGAAAACAACUAAACUGGAUUUUGAUGUCUCAUACCAAAUAUAGAUCUAUCUCUUAGUUUCAAAAUAAUUCAAGAAUCACCUCAAUACAAUGCUUAUAACUCAAGAUAUAACUGAAACACCACAAAGUGUCAAAGCUGGAAAACUUGCAUUUCAUCAUUUGAGUAUUUUGCAUUUUAUGUCUUCUUUAAAUCACUUCAAAUCAUCAAUAAUCAUCUAAUUAUCUCCUCAAUUCACUCCAAUUGAUGAUUGAAUCAUUAAACCUACCAAAAAAUGAAGUUUUCACCAUUAAAUCAAUAGAAAUGCAAUUUUUACCACUUCAACCAUAAAAUGUAUGUUUUCACUAGAAAUUUAGUUUAUAAGUUAUAAAACUAAAUAAAACACAUCAAAACUAACUAAUAAAACACUUAAAAUAUAUAAAAUAUACACUUACCAGUUAGUAUGGCAAAUUAGUCAAAAAUUUAAAUUAAUUAAUAGAGGUAAGUCAAAAUUUUUAAAAUAGUGAAUAAAGGCAAAUUAGUCAAAAUUUUUAAUAUAAUUAGUGGGGGUUAAUUAGUCCAUUUAUUAUUAUAUUAUAAUGUCUGAGUAUGGCUAUAUAAUAGUCAGUAUGAAUUUGAAUCAUUCAUAAGGGCAAAUUAAUUCAAAUAUUGUUAUGUUGGUAGUAAAGGCAAAUUGGUCAAAAAACUUUAAAAUUAAUUAGUAGGGGCAAAUUAGUCUAUUCAUAUUAUAUUAUCAUGUGUGAGUAGGGUUAUAUAAUUAUAAGAGUAUAAAUUUAUAUUUUUUUAAGGAUAAAUUAGUUUGAAAUUUUAUCAUCUUAUCUGUUAGCAUCUUGCGAUGACUAAUACCACUUCUCUCACGGGAUUAUUUUAUCCCAUGAAUAGGGGAUUAAUUCAAUUAGAUAGUGACGGGAUUUUUUUAUCAAUGCAAGUUUAAAUCCGAUUUUAUACCCAUUGACUGCAAGUAUACAGGCCGAAAUCAUAUUGUAGGGUAUGUACCGGGUCGAUCUCACGAGCAGCAAAUUAAACAAGUACUAGACCCUUAUUUCUCUCUAUUAUUUAGACUUACAAUAAAUUUGAGCAAGAAAAUAAUAAUGCUAUUGUAUACAAAUCUGGUUUAAUCAAUAUUAAAUGCAAAUGAAGAAAUUUCACUAAAGAUUGAAUUUACGGAUGUAGAUUUCACUUAUGCCUUAAACGAUACAAAUAAAUGGAUUUACCUCUUGUUAUUAUUCUUGUUUAACCAGAGAUUCAUUUCCAAUAUUAUCAAAUCUCAUUCUCAUGAUGAAAUGGCCUAAAACAAAAUAGUUUUCCCUAUUUUCAUGGUGAAAUACUAUUACUACUCUGUUUUCUUUCAUGAAAUGUUAAGUAAUCCACUUAAGUGUAUCUCUAUUUUCAUGAACAUACAACUUAAGCUCUACUCAUGUGUUUCCAUUGUUACUACCAAUUCUCAUUGAACAAUAACAACUAUAAACUUGCUAUUGGUGAUCAAGCAAUAACAAGUAAUUACUACAUGCACAAAUAGACAAGUUAAUACAAGAUAUAACAAGUGUAAAUCACAUUCAAUUCAUAUCAUUUAGCCAUAAGUUUCAUCUACUCCCUAGAUAAAGAAAAUUAGCUACUCAUGAAUGAUUUAACAAUCAAACUCACAAGUUUAUUAAUGCAAAACAUCAUAAAGUACAAGUACAAUAAAGAUAAAAGAAAGCUUAGCCAAUUGAUGGUGAAACCCUCCAAUUUCUGCUAUGUUCUUGUACAAGAUGAUUACAAGUUAAAACUCCAAAUGCUUCUCAAAGAACUCCUAACUAGAGAGAAACUAGUUAUAAGAAGGAAAACUAGUUAUGUAUGGUAUUCUCCAGCUCCUCCCUUGUGUCUCUGCAUAAAAAGUGGCAUAAAGGCAUUUUUUUCUCCUUCAUGAUUUCAACCACUUAGAUUUUGUAAAGGAAGUCAAAAUAUUUGUUGUUUUGACUUGUCAAUAACUCAUUUGUUUUCCCUUUUGUUGCAGAAGCAUGUGCCACCGAAUUCACUCACUCCAAAUAGCUGAAAAAUUGUGUGAAAAGUGAGAAAAAACGGUUGUGCCACUUGCAGAAGAGAGAGGCAGAUCCGAGCUUCGGAUCCGAGGGGUGCACAACGAUCCGAGCUCGGAUCGAGGUUGAUCCGAGGCCUUUCACUAAUGAUCCGAGCUCGGAUCAUCUGACCUCGGAUGCAUUGCUCCAGAAGUACAGACGAGGGCUCGGAUCACCCUUGAUUCACACGGAUCCGAGCUCGGAUCCGUGCUGGUCUUUUUUUCAAUUUUUCAUUUUUUUUCAUUUUUCUUCACUUUUGCUCCUAAUUUCUUGUGUACUUUAUCUUCUAGACGAUCCUUAUAUUUCCUUCAUCUCAUGCAUGAAUUUCAUACAUCAAUAUCCUUCACAAUUUCACAAAAUUAACGCAUUAAUCCACUAAUUUAUCAAGUUUUGAACACUUAAACAAUAUUUAAUCAAUUAUCACCAAAAGAGUUCAAAUAUGACUUUAAUCUUCUUAAAACAUACCAAAAGUUCAUGCCAAACUUGUACAAAAAUGCAUGUUAAAUAUUCUCCUAUCAAAUUCCCCCACACUUGAAUCAUUACUUGUCCUCAAGCAAUUUCACACAUAACUUACCACAAUGAUACAAGAGAUAAAAUAAUAUAUAUACUUUUGUCAAAUUUAAUUUCUCAAAACCUAGAAACCAAUCAUUGUGCCAUUUCUCAGAUUACAUUAAAUACUCAUAAUAUUCAAUUAAAUAAAAAUAAUUAUGCCUUAAUUUUAACAAAUUCAACUCAAUCUCUUAUUCUAUCUUAAUUCCAUAAAUAAGUAAAUCACAUAGUCAAUUCUAUAGCCUUUCUCAUCCCAUGACCAUCAAAAUUUAACAGUUGAGAGGGAUUUAUCUGUACAUUCAUUUUACUUAAAUAGUGAAAAUGCCUUUUUACGCAAAAAUCAACACUUUUAGGUGAAAAUUACCGGUUACUCAACAUUUCACUUAUUCAAAUUGCUAAACAUACUCUUAAUUUCAAUACCUUUUUACGCGAAUGUCGACAUGUGUAAAUGCCAACCCCCGGUUACUCAGUAUGUGAAUCAUUGGAAUAGAAUAAAAUCUAUUUUUUUUAAGAUAAUUUUCUUUUCCCUCUAAGCAUAAUUAAGGAAGAAUCUGGUCUUGUCUUGACUAUAUCAAUCACUUACUUAUAAAAUUAAGCAAGAAUGAGAAAUAUUAUUAAACUUGCAAAAUUCUAAACAUAAUUUUCCUUAUUUAACCAAAUAUACUUUCUAAAAUAUAAAAAUUCUAAUUACAUAAUGACUAAUUCCACGUCAAAUAAGGACUAAACUUUCUCAAAAUACAUAUAACAUUUUAUCCAAUGGAAGAAUUAGGCACCUAAAAUUGAACAUUUUGGCCAUUAUUUGAAAGAAUUGCAAUGAAUUAUUGGAAAAUAUUUUAGAAAAAUUUUGACAGAGUUUCCCCAUAUAAUUGAACAAAACUCGCUGCCAAUAGCCUCAAGUUCAAUCAAAUUAUCCUUAUAACAAUAUUUCUAAAUAUGAUUCCAACAUUUCUAAGCCAUAAACAACUAAAAUCAUGCACUUCAAGACACAACCACCAUAAGAUAAAGUAAUCCCUCCCUCACACUUAAAUUUAACAAUGUCCUCAUUGUAAGGAAGGUAAUAGAAACUGAAACUUCCCCCAAAAUAAGUGGUGAUUCAAUUUGAAACCAUUAAUCUUCACGAUCAUCCAAAUUCUGUCCAAAAUGAAACAAAAAGGUACGAAAAAUCAUAAGUAGCACAAUAUAAUCCAUUAUGAAAACUACAAAGUUUAAACCGAACACAAUAAAAGAAAAAUAAAGCAAUAAAAGAUGUAAUCAGCUAAAGAUCUUCAUGGCUGCUCGGAACGAGGGUCUACUGCCUCCUCAACUCCAUGAGGACCAUGUGAUGUACCAAUAUGCCCCUCCUCAUGCUGAGGCGUCGGAGUAGGUGACCGACGGAUAUGGAAAUGAUCCUCGAUCGCACGAAGACGGCGAUCAUGUCUGUCGAGUCACUCUGUCAUCAUCCGCUCGGUCCGGUCAAUGCGCUCGAUGACUCGUGUCUCCAUACAACAGAUGGCAUUGAGGAGCUCUUGCCACUUGGAUCGCGGCAGAGGUGGUGGUCGUGGCACGGGAGAAGAAAGAGUCUGCUGUGCCUUCAUCUCAUGAACUACUGGUUCCUGCUGAGUGUGAGGUGGAGGCUGAGCUGAGGUUGAAGCUUCUCCAGUGUCUCGAACCAGAGCAGCUCCAAAAUCCGUAGAGAUACUCAAGGAUUUUAGUAUCGAGACACUGACCUCGCGCGAACCUAGUGACAAUGGCUCACUUGGUUCCAAGAGGAACCUUGAGCUUUUAAAAAAUGAGGGAUAGCAGUCGAGGGAACCCAAACCAAGUCUCGCCGGCUCUCAUGCGAGCUGUGGUCCGCAUGUAACUGAUGAUGAUGCUGGGCAAAGGAAUACCAGUCAACUGCUCACCCACACCAUGCAUCAUCUUAUCCAAGAAGUAGAGGUUACUAUUGCGGAGCUCCCAUUUUCCACUUCUUUUGGGUACCACAUUGAAGGCGAAGAGAUAGAAGAUCAAGUGGUACCUAUGCUCGAAGGAGUCAGCAUAUACAGUGAGUUUCUUCGAACUUUCUCGCUCCCUAUAUUGACCCUUUAGGCGUGCUACCGCUUCUCCCACCUGCCAAGGGUCGCGUGCCUUGAAGUCCUUGGUCAAUUUAACAUCAACUCAUUCGUCUCUGAGUUUGGCAAUUUUUGCGACUGUAUCCCGAUUAAGAGCCACUCUCUUGCCUUGAACCCAGGAGACGAUGAGGUUGCCACUGUGACUCUGUUUGUUUUCUACAUUGGCGUAGAACUCCCGGUCCAGAUUGGGAUAGUAAUGUUUCGGCAAAUUUAGUAUAGUCUCCCAUCCGAGUCGCUUGAAUGCCGUGGAGAUCUUAUAGUGGUCAUCCACCUCCGGUGCCAAAUGUUUUUCAAUAAUGAUCUCCUUGUCUAAACCGGCCUCGUACCACUGUUGAUUCUCGAGUGAGGUGAAUUGCGUGGUAUCAUAGUCUGGAAACGGCUCUUCGGGGCUAGUAGACGCGGUCUUCCGGCGAGAACGAGGUGGGGACUCAGGUGAAGGAGAUUCCUCCACUGAUGACUCCUCGGGUGACGGAGUGCGUUCCUCGCUUGAAGAGGGACAAGGAGUGCGAACACGAGACCUUCUUGUGCGAGCAAUAGUACCUAUACAAAAACAAGAUGAACGUUCAUUAGAAAUAGUAUAGAUUUGCUCACACAUGUUAAAUAAGAAUUUAAUAAAAUUUCGGCAGAGUUUCCCUUUGAAAAAGGGCAAAACUUCCUGCCAACAUUUACCCAAAAACAAUCAAAGUUCCUACUUAAACCACUUCAAAUACAAAUGCACGUGUAUAAUAUCAAUUUCAAUCCAUACUCUGAACAGAUGGCUUGAAUAUUCCAUUUUCAAUGAUUGAACAUCAUAUUUCAGUUAGACUUUUAUUAAAAAGUCCAAUCUUUUGAGAAUUGAUACAUAAUUCAACAAUAAAGUAUAAUCUCAAAGUAAAAACAUCAUGAGAAAACAUAGAGGACAAUAACUUAUCCAACCAAUUUGACAAGAAUGACUUCAAUGAUACAUUAUGGCCAAAGCACAGGAGAGCUUUUAAAAACAAAACAAGAGUGCAAUGGUUGAAUUUUGGGGAUCAAACUACUGGAUUAUUCUUCAAAAAGUUCAAACAGAGGAAUAACACCAAUAAGAUUUUGAAGAUUGAAAGUGCUAUACACAUUAUCACCAAAGUACCAGCUAAUGAGCUGCAACUUUUCUUUAUGAGUGCCAAUUAUCUCCAAAAACAAGGAAUGCUCAAGCAAAAGUUUUAACAUGUGCAUUAACCUAAAAUUUUAGAAGAAAAUUCUACAAAAUAAUACCAAAUCUACAAUUCUCUCAAAACUAAGCAUAAAAAUAGUUGUAACACUCUAUUUAAGCGCAAUGUAGCACAAUUAUAUCAAGAAAUUUCAACAUAUAAACAAUUACCAAAAUUUGCCAAAAAAUUAGAAAAAUGUAAAAUUGAAAAUUAUGAAAUCUCAAAGAGAAUUGCAAAUUUUUACCUCAAAUGUGUAGAUUGAUGAUGGAGGAUGAUAAUGAUGCAAAAUUUGACACAGCAACAACCCAAAAUAGCCCCCAAAUUGAAGAAUUUCCAUUCGGCCAAAUGUUAUGUAAGAGGAUUAAAAUCCUUCUUUGAUGUUGCUUUGAUGCGAAACAAGUUGUGGUUAAUGAUCAGAAGACAUUUGGGGAGGUUUCUAUGGUGAAAAUUUGGAUGAUUGAUGGAUGAAAUAGGAGAUUUGAGAAAAAGGGUUAGGGUUUGCGAUGAAUAGGAAAGAAAGAACUGGAAAAAUGAGGAACCGAGGCCUCGGUUGUUUUCUUAUCGCGAAUCGAUCCGAGGUCGGAUCGGUUCUGAAAGCCCUCGGAUCAGAUAGAGUUCGGAUCCUUCACUCCAGAAGUUCAGCCGUUCCCUCGGAUCCAAUUGGAUUUUGUUGGAUCCGAGCUCGGAUAAAAGGAUCCGUGGUCGGAUCCGUCUGAGCACUUAGGAUCCGAGCUCGGAUCUGUAUUUCUCUGCACUAAUUGUAGAUACUGCAAUUUUUCAAACUUUUUCUCCCUUUUCCAGCUAAUUCCAAAUUACGCUUUGGACAAACUUUUUAUCAAUUCCAACCUCCCACGCACAUGUAAUAUACCAAAAAUACAAUAUCCAAUCUCUCAAAUCACAUCAAACACAUCUUCAUUGAAAAUCGAGGGGUGAGGUUCUUUACUCAUUUUUACACUUUUACACCAAAAUAGCACUUUUGGACAUUAAAUGCACAUCAAAUGAGUCCAUGAGUAUUAUAAACAUGUUAUCACCAAAACUCACUUGAACAUACUUGAAAUGCACAAUAUAUAUAUGAGUGGUAAUUCUAAACACUUAAAGCAUAAUUUGGUAAGAAAACCUCCCUUUUUACACUUGUUCUUCAAUUGUUCUUCCAAGAUGGAUGAUGAAACUCCGGUACCUCCUACAAACAAGUGAAAUAUAUAUUUAGUCAAUGAAAUCACACCAAAAUGUAACAAACAUAUAAAAACACACAACUAUAAUAUUAUUAUUGGUUGCCUCCCAACAAGCGUUUUGUUUAGAGUCGUUAAGUUCGACUCUCCUAUAGCUUCUUUAACUCUCCAUUGCGUUUCCUAAGGAGUAAAUCAUUCCUUUAGGAACCUUUUCUUCGGCUAAAUAGGGUUUCAAUCUUUGACCAUUUACUUUGAAUGGGGCACCAUUUUCUCCUUUUAUUUCCACAGCUUCAUAAGGAAACAUACGAACCACUUCAAAUGGCACGGACCAUCGAGACUUGAGCUUUCCAAGGAAUAAUUUAAGUCUUGAGUUAAAUAAUAACACCUUUUGCCCUUCUUCAAAAUGCUUAGAAAGAAUAUGUUUGUCAUGCCAAAAUUUCACUUUUUCUUUGUAAAUCUUGGCAUUCUCAUACGAAAUCAAUCGCAAUUCUUCCAAUUCACUCAAAUCGAGCAUUCUCUUUUCACCUGCAGAUUUAAAAUCAAAAUUAAUAGUCUUAAUGGCCCAAUAAGUUUUAUGUUCUAUUUCUACAGGUAAAUGACACGCUUUCCCAUAAAUAGGCUUUUAUGGAGACAUUCCCAACAGUGUUUUAAAUGCCGUUGUAUACGCCCACAAAGCAUCUACAAGUUUGUUUGUUCAAUCCUUUCUUGAUGGGUUGACCGUUUUCUUCAAAAUGAUUUUAAUUUCUCGGUUAGCCAACUCGGCUUAACCAUUGGGUUGAGGAUGAUAGGGGAGUGGCUUUUUAUGCCCACAACUAGGGGUGCAAACGAGCCGAGCCGAGUCGAGUUUUAAAAUUAUCGAGUCGAGUUAGACUAAUUUAUAUGCAAGCUCGAGUUCGAGCUCGAGCUCGUCGAGCUCGUAAAAUGAAGCUCGAGCUCGGCUCGAUUUAAGAAAAGGCAAGUUCGAGAUCGACUCGCUUAUGACUCGCGAGCUUAGCUCGAAUUAUGGCUCGCGAGCAGCUCGAUUUUCUGGCUCGCAUUUCGCUCGAAUUUAGCUCGAUUUCUAGUUCGAACUCGAGCUCGAAAUUAGCUCGAGUUUUUGGAAAUUUAGGCAAGAAAAUAGCAUUUUUAUCCGUGUGGAGUUUUAGUCCUUAAAAUAUCAACAAACGCAAUUCUAAUCCCCAAAUAUCCAAUUUGAAACAAUUUAGGAUAAUUGAAGGAUUUUUUUCCGAUUUUUUUUUAUGGAAUUUAGUCAUCAACAAUUAGAAAUGGCAAUUUGAAUCCAUAUCCACUUAUCCAUCCUAAUAAACAAGUUUAAAUAGAUAUGGAUGACCAUUUAAAUAAAUUAUAUUUAUAGAUUUGAGUUGUUUAUCUAUAUCCAUAUAAAUCAAUUUAUCAGAAAUGGAAUGCAACCAACCAAGGUGGAAGAGAGACUCGUCUUGAUUUGACACAAAUGAUCACAAUUUUCGGCCAUUUCACCUUUGCACCAUAGUUUAAAAAGCUCAAGUCUAAUGUUUGUUUCUGGAUUUAAAAAAUAAAUAAAUAAAACUUACAUACUCCGUUCUCACUAGAACCCCCAAAUUAAGCACAUUCCAAUCAAGAACGGCUCUCUCUUUCAGUUAAAUCAUGAUUAGAAAUAUAAUCCAAAGUCCUUUAUUAACAUUACACUACUGCAAAUAACACACAAAUUUUAGUACAAAAUCCACGAAAAGAAAGCAGAAUUUGCGCUAACAAGGAAUUCACACUUUACCGUCACUGUGAUAUCAUUAAUGCUGUUCUUUGUGGCAGAUCUAGCACUGAUUGUGCUGAAAGAUGAAGACUUUAACAGAAUCCCUGAAAGAAUAGGAGAUAGAAGAGAAAAUCCAUAUCGGAAAAAUGCUGAUUUUGAUGAUCCAAAGUUGGUUCAGAGUUUGAAGUGCAUUUCAGCUUAUUAGCUUGAGAAAGAAAGUCUCUGUAAAAGGGCCGAAUAAAGCUCAAACUUUGCUGGAAAAAAACACUAACCAGGUAAGCUCUGAAAGCCGACUGAAUCCUAAUAGCCGCCACUUCUUGCCGCCAGUCUCUGCCACUGCUGCCCGGAGGAGUAAAGGAAACAGUUCCAGCCUGAUGACCUCUGCAGCUGCCUGAGCGGCAGCAAGAGCAGCCUCGACGACGGCGGCGGUGGCAGCCGCACGGCUAUGGCGUGUUCGUCGUAGGACCAUCUAAGGCUACCGCCACUAGCAUUUAAGGUCUUGUUGUCAUAGUUGGAGGAAAUGGAAGAUUUGAUGAGACACGGCGGCGGAGGAGGAAGUUCAAUUGGAGGAAGUGAGGAAGGAAAAUUAUGUAACCUAAUAGAAGAAGUGAGAAACAGAAUAAGUUGUAAAUUUUAAUUGAUUCAGGGGUAUUUUUAUAAUUUCACAUUUACUCGAGCCUAACGAGCAGCUCGUCGAGCUAUCGAGCCUAAGAAACGAAGGCUCGAGCUCGCCUCGUUUGUAUUAACAAACGGCUCGAGCUCGGCUCGAGCUCGUGUUGACCGAGCUCGAGCCGAGCUUUGACUCGAGCUGCUUGCGAGCAGCUCGAGUCGUCAGCAGGCCUACCCACAACCAUAUUUAAGCAAUAAAUUGUCAAUAAUUUUAUUACAAAAAUGUUUACCUUCAUCGCUUAUUAUUACCUUUGGGACUCCAAACCUACAAAAUAUGUUCCGUUUAAGGAACUUAAAUACAACUUUAGCGUCAUUAGUUUGUGAAGAAAUGGCCUCCGCCCAUUUAGAGACAUAAUCAACUGCUAAUAGGAUGUACUUAUUAUUAUAUAAGUUAGGAAAUAGUCCCAUAAAAUCAAUGUCCCAAACGUCAAAUAACUCAACUUUCAAAUAUGUAGUCAAAAGUAUUUCAUUCUUUCUUGAGAUAUUACUAGUUCUUUGGUAUUGAUCACAACUUUUAACCCAAUUUCUAAUGUCUCGAUACAUAGUAGGCCAAUAAAAUUCGUAUUGCCAUAUCUUUACUACGGUUUUAGUUGUACUAAAAUGACCUCCCGUUUCAAGAGUAUGACAAUGCAUUAGAAUACUAUGUACCUCUUCUUCCGGAACACAUUUUUUAAUUAUUUCAUCUGCACAGUGUUUGUAAAAGAACGGUUCUUUUAAAAAAUAAUGUUUAGCAUUAUUUAAGAAUUUUUUCCUUUGAUGAGAAUUCAAAUCACUUGGUAUCACUCUACUAACUACAAAGUUAACUAGAUCAACAUAAUAUGGUGACUUAUAAAUUGCCAUUAAAAACUCAUCUGGAAAUUCUUCUUUAAUGGAUGAAUGGUCUUCUUGAGGUAUGUUUUCCAGUCUAAAAAGAUGAUCAACGACUAAAUUCUCGGAUCCUUUUUUAUUUUUGAUCUCCAAAUCAAAUUCCUGCAAUAAUAAAAUCCAUCGAAUUAGUCAAGAUUUUGCAUCUUUCUUAUUUAACAAAUAUUUGAGUGCUGCAUGGUCGGUAUAACUAAAUACGAUCUAAACUUAUCCAGUGCAAAAAUCACUGCUAGCAACUCUUUCACUGUUAUUGCAUAGUUAACUUGGAUUUGAUUCAACAUUUUACUUGCAUAAUAAAUGACAUGAAAUUGCUUAUCAUGUUUUUGCCCAAGAACAGCCCCAACUAUAAAAUCACUUGCAUGACACAUUAAUUCGAAUGGCAAGCUCUAAUCCGAUGAUGCUAUUAUACGUGCGGAGACAAGUUCCUUUUUCAACCUAUUAAAAGCAAGUAAACACUCAUCAUUGAAGUGAAAAAGGAACAUCUUUUGUAAGUAAUUCACAUAAAGGUUUAGCAAUUUUGAAAAAAUUCUUAAUAAACCGCCGAUAAAAUUUCACGUGUCCAAGAAAGCUGCGAAUGCCUUUCACACUGAUUGGUGGAGGCAUUCUCUCAAUAUCCUCUAUCUUGGUUUGAUCUAGCUCAAUACCUUCUGAAGAAAUUUUGUGACCUAGCACAAUACCCUCACAAACCAUGAAGUGACAUUUUUUCCAAUUGAAUACAAGGUUUGUUUCUUCACAUCUCUGCAAAAUUAUAUCUAAAUUGUUAAAAUAAUCAUCAUAAAUAGAUCCAAAUACAGAAAAAUCAUCCAUGAAGAUUUUCAUAAUUUUCUCAUUAAAAUCAGAGAAAUUGCCAUCAUGCAUCGUUGGAAAGUGGCCGGUGCAUGCACAGUCCAAAAGGCAUCAUUCGAAAUGCAAAAGUGCCGUAAGGACAAGUGAAUGUGAUUUUCUCUUGAUCUUCCGGUGCAAUUACUAUUUGAUUGUAUCCUGAAAAACCAUCCAAAAAAUAAUUAAAUUCAUAUCCGGCCAAUCUUUCUACCAUUUGAUCAAGAAAAUGUAGAGGGAAUUAAUCCUUUCUAGUAGCUACAUUCAGUUUUUUAUAAUCAAUACAAACUCGCCACCCAACCACAACUCUAGAGGGAAUCAUUUCAUCAUUUUUAUCUUGUACUAUGGUUAUUCCCCCUUUCAUUGGCACUACAUGAAUAGGAGAAAUUCAAACACUAUCAGAAAUUGAAAAAAUUAUACCUGCAUCCAGCCAUUUAAGGAUUUAUACUCUUACCACUUCUUUCAUAUUUGGAUUUAACCUUCUUUGAGUCUCAAUCACCGGUUUAGAGUUUUCUUCCAACAAAAUCCUGUGCAUACAAAUAGUUGAACUAAUUCCUUUGAUAUCAGAAAUUGUCCAUCCUAUAGCUUUUAAAUGCUUUCUCAAAACACGUAAGAGUUUGCCUAGUUGUUCCUCAUCUAGUGCAGAAUUUACAAUCACCGGCAAUAUCUCUUUUUCUCCAAGAAAUGCAUAUUUGAGGUGUUUAGGUAGUGGCUUAAGCUCAAACUGUGGUGCUUGCUCACAUGAUGGUGGAGGUAGCCCUUUGCUCAGUCCUAACUCCUCAUAUGCAUUUCUCCUUUUGUAAGGAACCUAUGCCUGCAAAAAAUCAGUCAUUUUUUCAACUUGUUCCUCUUGUAAACCUAUACCAUUAAGACAAAAUUCAAGAGAAUUAUCAUCAAGAUUAACUUGACUCAUCUCCAAUGCCAAUUCAUCACAUAUGUCAACAGAAUAAAUAUGGUCAGUAAAAGAGGGAUAUUUCUCCACUUUACUCAAAUCAAAUUUCACUUCCUCUUCACCGAUUUGAAACUUGAACUUACCUCGUUUGACAUCUAUUAUUAUACCUGCAGUCGUUAGAAAUGGUCUACCAAAUAUAAUUGGUACAUUUACAUCUUCCUCCAUGUCUAAAACAACAAAAUCUACAGAAAUAAUGAAAUUUUGCACUUUAAUGAGCACAUUCUCCAAUAUGCCUAUUGGAUGUCUAAUAGACCUGUCAGCUAAUUGCAAGGAAAUGUUAGUACGUUUUAACUCUUUCAACCCCAAUUGCCUAGUCACAGUUAAAGGGAUCAAUGAAACACUUGCAUCAAGGUCACAAAGUGCUUUAGAGAAUUUUACAUUACCAAUAGUGCAAGGAACUGUGAAACUCCUUGGAUCUUUCAAUUUUGGUGGCAAUUUAUUUUGUAUGAUGGCACUACAUUCUUCCGUUAAUGCAAUUGUCUCUUUAUCUACUAACUUCCUUUUCCUAGUCAUUAUCUCCUUGAGAAAUUUUGCGUAUGAAGGAAUCUGCAAAAUGGCAUCAACAAAAGGUAUAUUAAUAUGUAAUUGUUUGAAAAUAUUAACAAACUUUUCAAAUUCUUUGUCAUUUCUUGAAGGCUUCAAUCUUUGAGGGAAUGGCACCGGUGGAGGAAUUGGUGUUGUAUCUUCCAUUUGUGGCUCAUUUUUUUCCACAUUUUCUUUCCCUUUAAUUUUCUUGCCAUUCUCUCCUAACUCACUCAACUGCUUGUUCUCUCUUCUUUCACAUUCUCUCUCAUUUUCAACUACUGGUGGCUCACCUACUUCCUUACUACUAUGGAGGGUUAUAACCUUGACAUGCUCCCUUGAAUUUACCUCAGUCUUGCUAGGUAAAUCCCCUUGGUUGCGAUUGUUAACCGCAUUUGCUAUUUGCUCUAAUGGACCUCAACAUUCCUGUACAUAUUGGUGAGUUGGUUUAUCUUUCCUUCAAUUCUUUCAAACAGUUGAGUAAUGACAUUGCCUAACUUUUCAAUUUUAUCAUUUGAUACAUUUGCCAGCUUUUCAAUUGCCAAUUCCCAAGCUGGUUUGGACUCCAGAAGUGGUUGCUUUGGUUGAAAAUUCGGUGGAUUAACUGGUCUUUGUUGGUUCCCUUGAUCAUUCCUUCCUAAAUUCGAGUGAUUGGGCCAUCCUGAAUUAUAGGUAUUGGAGUAUGGAUUGUUUUGGGGUGGACGGUUGUAAUUAUUGAGAUAUUGAACCUGUUCGUUGUUAGAACACAUAGAAUCAUCAUGAUCUCCGCCGCAAGUAGUACAACAUGCAACAACUACUCCUUGAUUAGAGUUAGAACCAACGUGCCUAUUAAGCAUCUUAACUACAUUAUCCAUUUUUGUACUUAACAUAUUCAAGAUAUCUAUUUCGAGCAUACCUGCGGUUCUUCUUGUAUUACGUCGUUCGUUUGCCCAUUGGUCAUUGUUAGCAGCCAUUUCUUCAAUCAGUUGUUGAGCUUCCUCAGCUGUCUUUCCCACCAAUGCUUCUCCCGCUGCCGCAUCUACAUGCGUCGUUGUUGGAUAGGUGAGACCAUUGUAAAAUGUUUGGACUACUAGCCAAUCUGGUAACCCAUGAUGAGGACAUUUUCGUUGCAAUUCCCGAUAGCGCUCCCAAGUUUCAUACAAUGUCUCUCCUUCCUGUUGAGAGAAACUAGUUAUAUCCAUUCUAAGUUUAGCAGUUUUUUCAGGUGGAAAAAAUUUAUUUAGAAAAGCUUUAGCUAAUUCAGCCCAAGUAGUGAAAGUGUUUGGAUGAUGAGAUUGUAACCAAACAUUGACCUUGUCCCUUAGUGAAAAUGGAAACAAUCGAAGUUUAAUUGCAUCCUCACUAACACCAUUAAAUUUAAUUGUAUCACAGAUUUCAAGAAAUGUUGACAAGUGAGAAUUUGGAUCUUCGGUAGCAUUACCUCCAUAUUGAGAUUGUUGUACCAUUUGAAUCAGUGAUGAUUUAAUUUCAAAAUUAUUAGCAUUUACCGUUGGCCUUGCAAUGCUAGUUUGAGAAUCGUGUGUUCUCGGUAAAGCAAAAUCUCGUAGAAUUCGCCUAUUGGGUUCAUUUUCCGCCAUUUCUUCCUCAAAUGGUAACUCUAUUAAGAUUUCCUCUAUCGGCUGCCAAACUUCUUGUUCCUCUUGAUGCGGUGUAUUCCUCCUUUGUCUCUGUAGUGUCCUCUCAAUUUCAGGAUCGAAAAGUGCAACUUCUCGAUUUGAUCGGUGCAUACACUACAAAUAAAAACAAGAGAAAUUUUGUAGUUUUAAUUGUUAAAAUCAACUAUAAACAACUUGAAUAAAAAUAUUGAAAAUAUCUAAAUUAAUAGAGAUGAUUAGGCCCUAAUAUUGCCGCUCCCCGGCAACAGCGCCAAAAACUUGAUGGAAUUUUUUAUCAAUGCAAAUUUAAAUCCAAUUUUAUACCCGUUGACUGCAAGUAUACAGGUCAAAAUCAUAAUAUAGGGUACAUAUCGGGUGGAUCCCACGAGGAGCAAAUUAAACAAGUACUAGACCCUUAUUUCUCUCUAUUAUUUAGACUUACAAUAAAUCUGAGUAAGAAAAUAAUAAUGCUAUUGUAUACAAAUCUGGUUUAAUCAAUAUUAAAUGCAAAUGGAGAAAUUUCACUAAAGAUUGAAUCUAGGGAUGUAGAUUCCACUUAUGGCUUAAACAACACAAAUAAAUGGAUUUACCUCUUGUUAUUAUUCUUGUUUAACCAGAGAUUCAUUUCCAAUAUUAUCAAAUCUCAUUCUCAUGAUGAAAUGGCCUAAAACAAAAUAGUUUUCCCUAUUUUCAUGGUGAAAUACUACUACUACUCUGUUUUCUUUCAUGAAAUGUUAAGUAAUCCACUUAAGUGUAUCUCUAUUUUCAUGAACAUACAACUUAAGCUCUACUCAUGUGUUUCCAUUGUUACUACCAAUUCUCAUUGAACAAUAACAACUAUAAAUUUGCUAUUGGUGAUCAAGCAAUAACAAGUAAUUACUACAUGCACAAAUAGACAAGUUAAUACAAGAUAUAACAAGUGUAAAUCACAUUCAAUUCAUAUCAUUUAGCCAUAAGUUUCAUCUACUCCCUAGAUAAAGAAAAUUAGCUACUCAUGAAUGAUUUAACAAUCAAACUCACAAGUUUAUUAAUGCAAAACAUCAUAAAGUACAAGUACAAUAAAGAUAAAAGAAAGCUUAGCUAAUUGAUGGUGAAGCCCUCCAAUUUCUGCUAUGUUCUUGUACAAGAUGAUUACAAGUUAAAACUCCAAAUGCUUCUCAAAGAACUCCUAACUAGAGAAAAACUAGUUACAAGAAGGAAAACUAGCUACGUAUGGUAUUCUCCAGCUCCUCCCUUGUGUCUCUGCAUAAAAAGUGGUAGAAAGGCAUUUUUUUCUCCUUCAUGAUUUCAACCACUUAGAUUUUGUAAAGGAAAUCAAAAGAUUUGUUGUUUUGACUUGUCAAUAACUCAUUUGUCUUCCCUUUUGUUGCAGAAGCAUGUGCCAUUGAAUUCACUCACUCCAAAUAGCUGAAAAGUUGUGUGAAAAGUGAGAAAAAAGGGCUGUGCCACUUGCAGAAGAGAGGAGUAGAUCCGAGCCACGGAUCCGAGGGGUGCACAACGAUCUGAGCUCGGAUCGAGGCUGAUUCGAGGCCUUUCACUAAUGAUCCGAGCUCGGAUCAUCUGACCUCGGAUGCAUUGCUCCAGAAGUACAGACGAGGGCUCGGAUCACCCUUGAUUCACAUGAAUCCGAGCUCGGAUCCGUGCUGGUCCUUUUUUCAGUUUUUUACUUCUUUUCCUUUUUCUUCACUUUUGCUCCUAAUUUCUUAUGUACUUUAUCCUCUGGAUGAUCCUUACAUUUCCUUCAUCUCGUGCAUGAAUUUCUUACAUCAAUAUCCUUCACAAUUUCACAAAAUUAACGCAUUAUUCACUAAUUUAUCAAGUUUUGAACACUUAAACAAUAUUUAAUCAAUUAUUACCAAAAGAGUUCAAAUAUGGUUUUAAUCUUCUCAAAACAUACCAAAAGUUCAUGCCAAACUUGUACAAAAUGUAUGUUAAAUAUUCUCUUAUCAGAUAGGAUGUGUCAUUCUAUAUAUAGCAUGCAAUCAAAUAUGGGAUGAUAUAGGAUAAUUAAUCCAAUCUUGUAUAAUCCCGCGAACCAAACAGACCCUUAAGGCAAACCUUGGAUUCUCACUCUACCCCUAACCUUUAAGAGACAAAAUGUCCCUCUAUUAUGUUUUAAUCUUUGAACUUUAACUUGGAAUUUGAUUUUGACCACUCUAAUUGAUAGUGGUAAACUUUCUCAUGAGAUGAGUACAUAUAUUAGGGAAUACACUAACAACUAAUUAUUUUUUUAAAAAUGGCAAAAAAAUCCUAAUAAACAAAAAUCAUUAUAGAAAAAACAAAGAAAAAUUUGAGUGUUGACAUAUGAAUGUGUAAUUGUAAAUAUGGGUAAUUGACCUUGAAUAGUGUAAUUAUAAGGAAAUAGAAUAAAAUUAUUUACUUAAUUUCUUAAAGUGGAAAAUAGAUUAAAUUGAUUUGUUAAAAAAAAAAUAGUUUUUAAUUUUGUAAAUUAGAGAAUGAGCAUCCUAAAGUUUUUAUUAUAGAAAUUUAUUAUUUUGUUAUAAAUAAAAAUUUGAUAAAAGAAAACUAAUUUGGAAUAAAAAAGAAGAAAGAAAAAAGGAAAAAAACUUACACAAUAGAGGGGUACUUUUGUCUCUAUAUUUUUUUAGGUCUAAGUGAUAUAGAAUAAAGAUUAGGGGGUAAAGUGAGAAUCAAGGUAUAUCUUUAGAGGAUAAAUUGCCAUUAAGCCUUAAUUUUAUGUAAAAUUUUAAAAAAUAAAGCAGUAGUAGUUGCAAUUUUGCAGAUAUUUGGUUAUUUAUUGUGUUUUUGGUGGUUAUGCUAACACCAUGUGAUUAGAUAGUUACAAUAGGAAAUAGCUUUUCUUAAUCACUUUUUUUCCCAAAGAUUUGGAGUAUCUCAAUAACAUGUUACCCCUCUCAACUUUAGAUAUAUGCAUUUUGGCUCCUACAAAAAUACCAAUUAACCACUAGAGAUGAUGCUUUCAUCCAAAAAGCUAAUGAAAUGACAUUGAUCCAAAGAGAACUGACUGUCAUACUUCAAAAAAAAAAAAAACUAUCUGGUUAGUAGGGUGCCACUCCCUCUGCAACAAUGUGCCAUGUGUUAGUAGGGUCCAUUUUAUGUAGUACAAACGAGUCCCACUAGCAAGCUGUAAGCUAGGUAAUUGACUUAAUCAUUAUGCUUUUUUUAAAAAAAAAUUGCAUGAGAGGUAUAUUAUUCCUUUUUAGCAAUUAAUGAAAUGUUACACUACAAAUUUUGAUCCGUAGGAUUACCUUAUCCAAAUUUUCCACAAAAAUGGAUAAUCAACUAGUUUGAGCACUGAAUCACAAUUGUAUUUCUCAUUUAUACCAUAAUUUAAAUUAGACAAUAUAGUAUGUCCAACUGUGUGCAAGACCAGAGAAAAAGAGUACACAAGCUUGUCUGAGAGAGAGAGAGAGAGAGAGUCAAAGAUAUGUAUAUUGUAUCAAGUAUGUGUUGGACAAAGGGGAAGCAGAGUAAGUUUGUGUACGGGGGAUGGUUUUUGUGCAUGAGAGGGAGAGACCAAAGGCUAUAUAUGUGUGUUCCUUUGAAUGUGUAUGGGCUAAGAGAAUAGUGUGUGCAAGUAUGUGUGACUACGGGAGAAAAGGAAACAUUAUUGUAUGUGCACUGAUAAGUGCGUAUUUUAUGUAUUUUAAGCGUAUUUUAUUAUUUCAUUUUGGUAUAUUUUAGUCAUUUUUAUAGCUAAUUAACUAAAUUUCUAGUGAAGGGCGCAUUUUGUGGUUUAAGUAAGAAAAAUUGUAUUUCUAUGUAUUCAAAUGGUGGAAACUUCAUGUUUUUCUAGGGUUUAAUAAUUCAAUCAUCAAAUGAAGUGAAUUGAGAAGAUAUUUGGAUGAUUGUUGAUGAUUUAAAGAGAAUAUGAGGUACAAAAUGUUCAAAAGAUGAAAUGUAAACAAGUAUAAAAGAACAAAUGUUUGACAGCUUUGACCCCUUUUGAUAUUUCGACUAUAUUUUGAGUUAAAAAUAUUAGAUUGACCUGAUUUCUGACCUAUUUUGAAACUAAGACAUAUUUCUACAUUUAUUAUGAGACAUAAAAAUUUAGUUCAUGAGUUUUCUUAGUCAAAAAGUCGAAAUACUGUUGGCCAUUUUUUUUUGUCAAAAGUUGAAAUAGGGGAUUGACCAGUGAAAGCUAGUUUGGCCAUUUCACAGUCUACAGAACUCUAAAUUUGAUGAUUCUUGAUGCAUUGAAAAACUAACUCAAAAAUAUGUAACUUUCAUGUUUUGUAAAAGAACUAGUUCAGCCUCCAUUAUCUAAAAAAUAUCAGUUGAAUUUGGUGCAAAAAUAGAGUAAAAUUGAAGAUUGAUAAAAAAAAGUGCAAACCUGCAGGAGAGGCAAUACGCAGGUGCAAUACGCAACCUUACACCUGCGUACUCUUAAGGAAGUUGUGUAACUUGUACAACCACUUGCUCUAAUUUUUUACAACUAUUUACAGUUUAAUUCCAACAAAAAUUUCGGCUGCAGCUAUAAAGAAGAGUAUGGAGACUUGUAAAAGAAUAUUUUGCGAAUCUCAAAAAACAUCUUACAUUAAUUUUAGCAACUCAUUUGGAGCUUGAAUUCUCUAUAAAUAGAGGUCUUGGAGAACAAUUUUCAUAACUUUGGAAGGCUAGAAACACUAUCAAAAAUAUAGUUUUCACUAGUUUUUCUUAGUUCAUUAGUAUAGUAUAGUAUAGUAAGUGUAUUUAUUCAUCUUCUACUUGUAGAUAUGGAUGAAGAAUUGUGGAGCAAAGAUGGAGAAUUGGAGUUCAUGUGACAAGGAUGACCUCUCUUCUAUCACUUUUUCUUUUGCAUUUGAUUUCAUGUUUAGUUAUAGUAUAAGUUUGGAUUUUUUCAUGUGUCGCUAAGGUUUAUGUCUAGAGUUAUAGAUGAACUUUCUAUAUCUUAUUAGUGAUAUUUAAUUAGUUAUUUGAUAAUAUUAUUUUGAACAAGUUAUUUAUCACUUUUUUCUUUCUAAUCAUGAUUAAGUGGCCAUUAAUUUUGAUAAUCUUAAGGUGUUAAGUUUGCAAUGAAAAUUGGUAUUUGACACUAAUUCAAAAAAGUGCUAAACCUAAGAAUAUACUCAUAAGAGUAGAGAUGCACCUUUAUGAUUUUAGUGGCUUGUUCCAUAUAAUUUUAUAGAAGAAAUGAGUUUGUAAUUAAUUUCAUAACCACAAGAGUAGAUAUAGCUUAAGUACAUGUAUAAUUAAUUCACUACAAGAGUAGGUUUUAUAUACAUUAGGAAAUUACGCCAUAACUAACCAAGAUAACAACAUUCAAUUAAUCGAUAAUUUCACUUGUAAGGGUAGUAAGAAAUUCCAUAAUUCUAGGAAUUUUAUAUUGUUAUUUUUGUUACUUUUAUUUCGUGUUUGUAGCGUUUGUGAUAAUCUAAAUAAUAAAGAAGUUCGAUCGGUAAUUGAUAAUCUUCCAUGUAAGAUCGACACCUGAUAUCCCUAUACUCGAUAAAUGAUCUGUAUACUUAUAAAAAAGGGGUAUUUAGGUUUUAUUAAAAUUUGGUACAUAGUAAAAUCUAGUCAUAAAUCUAUAAAAGGAGUGUGUGCUGUUAAAGUUGUCUAUUUAUGAACAACAGCAAUAAAGAAACAUAAUGCGAAAUUGCAUAAGGAUUAAUAUUUUGUAUACUUCCAAUUUAUCUUAGCUUGUCAAAAGCUUGCUGAAAAUUAGUAAAUCAAGUAAAUAAAUUUCACUUCUAAUUUCUAUAGACAAUUUAAGUGAUGCUUAAUGUACAUAUUGAUAAAAUAUUUUUAUUACCAAACACGUACGACUUUAGAAAGCAAAUACUAAAUGAAUUUCGACAAUUAAUGGAGUUAUCAAAGACCCCAUCAUCUCAGUAUUAAUCUAGAUCGUCAUGAAGAACAAGAGAGCAGGCCUUUUCAAUUACGCCUUUCGUCUUUCGCCCGCUACUUCAUCGCCUGAUCAGAAGAUGGGCUUCAAAAGCAGCCUGGUCUAAUUCAACUGUACAACUUUUUAAUUUUAAUUACUUCUAUGGUGGUGCCUUGUGGCAAUCCUACUUCACUAAUUAUUAUUGUAAUAGCUUUACGAAAUACUUCUGUGGAAAAGAGUAGAAAAUGAAAAGACAAUAUUAUCGUUAAUAAACAAGUAAGAGUAGUCUCUUUGCCUCUUUCGAAAUGUUUAACAUCCUUAUAUGAGAACUGGAAAGGGUUAUGUGAAUAUCAUUAGCCACUAAGAAUUAAUCAAAAUCAUCAAGUUAGAAACUAAGGAUUCAUUAACAAUCCAAUCUUAAGUGAGAAGUUCGUUGACAUUUUUCGGUUAUUUGACAAAUGAAAACAAUAGAAAGGAAAGGGUAUAAAUGAGUAAAACAGGAGGGGUGAGUUACAAAAUCCUCAAAUUUUGAAAUGGCCAAUAUACAAGAAUCGAGCUACUAACGAUGAGUUGCCACAUUGAGAAAGUUUUUUACAUGAUAUUCCAUUGGGUAUCUCCUAUAACCCAUUCUGUGGAGUCUCGGGUCUCUAUAGUUCCAGAUGCAACUGCAGAAGGCAGUCAUGGACUAGAUUGAAAAUAUAAAAUAAAUGGUUUAGGUCAGAUUGAGCUGAAUUGGCCCGAUCGAGACCACUCAGUGAAUGAUGCUUUGAGUAUAUCAUAUGCAAAAACUUGAAAAGUCAAGAGCCAUUCAAAACUCAAUUAAUCGGGUAGAACUGGAUAUCAAGAAAAAUGUAAAAAAUAGAUUUUUUUUUACUUUUCAUUUUUUUUUUCUAUUUUUCUCCUCCUAAUUUCUUAAGAGAAUGAAAAAUAUGUUAAGUUCUUUGCAGGUUCAAUUAAACUAUUUCUGUUUGUGCAUUUCGCCAGGAGGUGAAGAAGCCAACUGUAGCUGCUGGUCAACUAUUCAAAAUGGAGAAAUGGAAAAACUGUAAGAAAGAAAGAGAAUAUAAGAGAUGAAGAAUAGGGAAAAGAACAAAAGAAGGUUCCGGCUUGGUGUUUAAUUGGGUGAAAUAUAGAAACAAAAGAAAAACAAUUACUCACAAACAUAUAAAAAUAAGAAAAACAAAGAAGAAAAUAUAUGGUGGCAAAAAAUUGAAGUUGAUAAAUUGCCAUUUGUAAAUAACAAAACACAGGAAGAUUACACUGCCAAGACCAAAAUUAUUUUCAUACAAUCUUGGACCCAUUGAUGCUUUGAAUAGUUCUGUGAGCCUUGAUCUAGUUCUACACAUCUUCACUAAGGGAAAAAAAAGUGUUCGGAUCAUCAAUAUUUUUUUUUUUUUAAUUUGUAGUCUUUUAUUGAUGAGAAUAAUUGUUACACACAGAGAAACAUCAUUUUGAAGUACAUGAUUGAACUAUAAAGACAACAAAUGAACCAGAGAUGUUUGGUGCUUUGUUGAAAAGCAAAGUAGCUCCAAUUCUCCUUAAUCCUCAGCCCUUCAUACGCUUAAUUUUCCGAAUUGAAGGCAUCCCUAAUCUGUCGAGGCGAAUUGCUCCACGAGCCAUAGUUGGGAACAUAUGGAAGGAGUCGUAUAACUUGAGUUGAUGCUCUGGAUGAGAGACACCCACAUUGGACAAUGCAUCAGCGACUGUGUUAGCUUCCCUAUAACAAUGUGAAAAACGAUCAGGAUCUUCCACGAACUGCCAAAUCUGCCUAAUCUCUCGUCGAAUCUUCCAAGGGCAGUGUAUACGUUUCUGAAGAAUUCCAAUUAAUACCAAAGAAUCCGAUUGAAUAUAGAGAUUUUCAAAACCCCUAUGUAUGGAUGUUUGAAUGCCAAUAAGAAGAGCCCGGGCCUCUGCACUUAGACAUGUAGUUUCUCCAAGAUAUGCCGAAAAACCAAUCAAAGGAAUACCAUGUGAAUCCCGAAGAACCCCACCUCCUCCACCCAAACCUGGAUUACCCUUAGAACAGCCAUCUGUAUUGAGUGUAAAACGACCAGUUUCCUUUGGUUCCCAAUAAACAAGUUUGUACGUGAGAUAAAUGUGAGAUGAAUCUGGCCAAUCGUACAAAUGAUAGAAUGAAUGAGCCUUGAAAACCUGUUUGAAAUAAAUUUCCACAAUGAUCUGGAUUUCCAAGGAAAUGGCAAGACAAAUGGCGCGCGAUCUCAUAUGGACAUCCUCAAAUAAUGCUUUAUUUCUUGCUUUCCAAAUUUGCCAACAUACUAUAUUCGGAAGAAUUCGUCCAAUGAAUCGCUGUAUCUCUGAAUCAUAUGAGUGCAACCACCAACCCACUAUACGGGAGCGUAAAGAAGAACCAGGAAAAGUCAAUCCACAUAAAGCUCCAAAAUAAUUCCAAACUGUUGAAGCUAUAUGGCCUUUGGAGAAUAAAUGUUCAAUUGACUCCUCCGAAGCGGAAUCGCAGCAGAAACACUUUGAUGGUAAAUGUAAACCAAGUUUACAUAACCUAUCCGGUAAAGGUAGCCUCUCCAGCAACAAUCUUAACAUGAAGAAUGAAAUUUUGAGUGGGAUCUGAGGAUGCCAAAUGCUAUCAAAAACCAUAGACUUGUUUCGUGCUUGCCUAAUAUCCUGAAAUGCCGAAGCUAGAGAGAAGUUUCCAGAUGUUGUGGACAUCCAAAUGACUUCAGCUUCACCCCAGUCUUCCGGGACUGGAUGCUCUAAAAUAGAGGGAACCAAAUCUGUAGGCAAUGUUUGAUAUAAUCUAAUCACAUCCCAGUGUCCAUUGAUGAUAAAAUCACCAAACGACAAAUUAGAGACCACCGUCAUACGGAGAAACAAGGCACCCCCUCCCAACCAAUUGUCGUACCAAAAAUGACAAGCUCCGUUUUUGAUAUCCCAUAGUAUAGAUAGUUCCACUUGUCGACUCACAUUGACCAUCCUUCUCCAGAUUGCGGAAUCCAUUGACCUGAUUUCUACCUGACAAGGAUGUAGUAGUCUACAAUACUUAGCUUUCAUGAACGAAGCCCACAACGAGCAUCCCUUUCUGAAGUUCCACCAAAGCUUGAAUGAGAAUGCUGUGUAGAUGUCCUGUAACCUGCGAAAACCAACUCCUCCCUCAUCUACCGGAUAGCACAUUUGAGACCACCGUAUCCAGUGAAAUUUAGACUCCUCGGAGGAUGACCCCCAUAGGAAGGUCGAGAAGGCUUUUUCUAUAGUUCUAAAUACCUUACCUGGGAUAACCGCUGCUGACAACAGAUGUACUGGCAUCGUUGCUAACACAUGUUUGAUUAGAACUAUUUUGCCUCCAAGAGAAAGCAUCCUUGAUUUCCAUGACCUUAUUCUCCCUAGGAUAGAUUGGCAAACUUCCCCAAAAUAUGAUGAUUUACAUCUGCCAAAGUAGAGGGGGAAUCCCAAAUAACGUAUUGGAAAUGGGUGAUAAUUGAAUUUGGUGAGACGUUCAAUCACCCUUCUUCGUGCCAGUGAUAUCGAAGGAUGUACUAAGUAACAACUUUUCAGCACAUUUAUCAAUUGUCCAGAACACCUUUGAUACGCAUCUAGCACCCGCAUGAUAAGCUUUAGAGAAUAAGAGGAUCCAUUUGAAAAAAUUAGAAUAUCAUCCGCAAAAGCCAAAUAAGUUAUAGUAGGACAUGCAAAGGGGACUUUGAAACCCACAAACCCCGGUUGCAUAGCAAGAUUAUUCAAUCCUCUAGAUAACACCUCAGCUCCUAUGAUGAAUAAGGCAGGCGAUAAUGGAUCACCCUGACGUAGGCCUCGUGUAGAUUUGAAGAAACCAUGUGAUGCCCCAUUUAUAAUGAUGGAAAACCAAACAUUGGAGAUCAAUCGCCAAACCAAAUCAAUGAAUCUUUCUCCAAAGCCAAAUCUCCUGAGAACACCAAUGAUAUGAUCCCAUGCCACUCGGUCAUAUGCCUUAGACAUGUCCAACUUCAUUACCACAUUACCACCUCUAGUCUUUUUCCCAAUACCCGACACUACCUCCUGUGCUAGCAAAAAAUUUCUGUUAUAUUACGGCCCUUUACAAAGCCUGUCUGCUGGGGCGAAAUAAUUUUGGGCAAAAGAGAAGCCACUCUAUCAGCUAAGAUCCUGGAUAACAACUUGUUGAAGAAGUUACACAGACUGAUUGGCCUGUAAUGAGAAAAUUCCUGAGGAUUUGGGUUUUUUGGAAUUAAUACAAUUGAGGUAGAAGUGAUAAAUCGAGGCAACUCUGCCCCACAGAAAAAGCUGAGAAUUGCCUUGUAGACAUCUUGGGCAAUAAUGUCCCAGGCGAAUGUAAAAAAUUUGCCUGUGAAGCCAUCGGGGCCAGCAGCACUAUCCCCAUCCAUUGACUUUAGAACUCGAUGAAUCUCUUCAAUCGAAGGCACUUCUUCCAAUUUUCUAUUUUCCUCUUCCGAUAUCAUGUGCGGGAUCAUAUGUCGCAUAGCAGAAGAUGACUCAAGAUAGCCAGUGAAGAGAUCAGAGAAAUAUGAUAUGGCCUCAGUUGCUAUAUCAGCAUUGGUGUCCACCCAAACUCCGUUUGACUUUUUUAUACGGUGUAUCAUUCCUUUAAUCCGUCUCUGUCUUACGACCGCAUGGAAAUAUUUUGAAUUGCGAUCUCCCUGUUUAAGCCAUUUUGCCCUGGCUUUUUGGCUCCAAAAUUGCUCUUCUAUUGACAAUGCAUUCCGCAACUCUGCCUGAGCCUUACUGAGCUCAACCUGAAAUUCCUCCGAUGCAUAUUGAUCCAUCGAUUCUUCUGCUUGUUUGACCACCUCUUCCGCCGAACGUACAGCAUCAAAUAUAUUCCCAAAAUGUUGCUUGUUCCAUGUAUGAAUAGCCCUCCUCGUUGCCAAUAAUUUAGAGCACAAAACACGUAGCGGAGAUCCACUCACAUCUUGAUUCCAAGCCUGUCGAAUCACAUCCAAUAGUUGUGGUUUGGUCGUCCAGACAUUCAAAAAUCUGAAAGGUCGUGGACUAUUGUCUGAUCGAUCAGAAAAAGUAAUUUUCAAUAGUGCAUGAUCCGAGGGAUGUCUUGGGAGAUGGAGUACAGAAAUCACGUCUGAGAAAUCCAAACAAGACCCAUUAAUUAAGAAUCUAUCCAAUCUCUUUGAAACCCGAGCUCUACCUCUCCGAUUAUUAGACCAUGUGAAACUAGCUCCUGAAAAGCCGACAUCCAAAACCCCUGCCUCUUCCAUAAAAGACAUGAAAUCCGCUCCUUCCGCUAUAGCAAACGGACGUCCACCUCGUUUUUCGUGAGGGGCUAAAAUAACAUUAAAGUCCCCCCCAAUACACCAAGGUAGUGAAACAGGCUUAUCAUUUAAUAAUGAACACCAUAAGCCACACCGCUCCUCUAAUGAACAUUUAGCAUGGACAAAAGACAUGAUGAUUGGAGAAGAAAACAAUUGACUUUGAACCUGUAUGGAAAUAUGCUGAUCCGAACUACCAGUAAUGGAACACACAAAAGGGCUACUAUAGAAUAUCCAAAUAUCACCCGAUAAGUUAACAAAUGAAUAAUCAAAUAAUAAUCGUAGUCGAAUGGACUCAAUUUUGGACACGUCUGACUUUGGUUCACAAAUGACAACAAACUUCAAAUGGUGAGCACGAACUAAAUUUAUCAAUCUUCUUAGAUUAGGGGCUUUAGCCACCCCUCUGAUAUUCCAAAAUAAACCACUAAUCAUGAGAAAAAACCUGGAAAGAGUUUUGAGACGAUGUUGCUGAACGUAGCUGUCUGUCGGAUGGGAAGCCAGCUCGCACACCCUUAGCACGAUCUUGUCGGCAAUCCAUUUGAACACCUACAGAUUGGUCAAUGUUUAGAGUGUGUAUUGAUGGCUCAGCCGACUUCUCACGUGGUAUAACCAAUCUCGGAGAUAGAUUUCCUACAUUAGUUGGCAAAGCUACUUCAUCAGCCGCAUUGGAUUUGGAAUCUUCAUCAUCAGCUCCACGCAAUUCGACAUAGAGAUUAUCUAUCUCAGUGGUGUCGGACCUUUCAUGAUAAACUAAUCCCAAGUUAUGCUCCUCAAUAAGCUGGGGCCCCGAUGAAUUAUUCCCAUUGGAAUUGUCGGGCUGUUGGUUAAUUUUGCUUGUGGUGCUGAUCAUUUGAUGCUGAACCAUUCCCACGUUAUGUUUCCUGAGAAUUUGUGGCCCCUCACAAUCAUUUCCAUAGCAAACUGUCAAUUGGUCUUCCAUGACCGAAUGCUCCUUAUGGACAUGCAUGACGACAUCAGCAACCGACUGUGGAUGUGCAUCAGUAUUUGAAGCUGCUGUUUUUUUUCCCUCCUUGACCGCAUAAGCGUCGGCAACUGCAUCGUUUUGCUCAGGUGUUCCAGACUGCUCCAUUGCACCUAUUGACGUUCCUUCAAUUUCAAUUACUCCCGGAAGUCGCACCUCUUCAGUAGCUGACUUGAAUUCCGUUGAUGCUUUCCCUUUGGCUUCAGUGUUGCAUUUGUCAGCAGUUCCCUCAGAUUCUUUUGUUACAGCUGUUGUAAUUCCUUCGUCUUUUGUCUCACCAGAAAUUUGCAUUUGUUCAGGAGCUGUUGUACCCUCUUUUGAUAUUUUUUCUUUAGCUUCUGAGUCAUUGCAUUCAUUUGUAAUGACUAAUUUAUGUUGAGUAUUUCCAGAUAGCUUUGAACCAUGCUUAGGCCUUUUGGUUUGAUUGUUUUGGUGUUGAUGUCCACCAUCGAUGAAGUUCUUCUUGCAAUUUUCAGAUGAAUGACCCAAUCUCCAGCAAGAUGAACAAUAGCUUGGCAUAUCAUUUGGUACAAUCGUUUGCCAAAAGCCGGUUUCUCCUUCAACCGCCACCCAGAUUCUCGAUAAAACAGGCUUUGCUACAUCAAUCUCCACGCAUACCCUUGCCACACUAGGACGCGUCCCAGCAGCCGUUGCCGAAUCCAAAAACAAUGGUCUUCCUACUGGAGAUAAUAUGGAAAACAACGAAUGUUUAUCAAAAAAAUGGAUAGGUAAAUUUGGAAGUUCAACCCAAACUGGUACCAGAGAGGAUUCUCUGAGCACAUGAAAUUCCCGGGACCAUCGAAAUACACGCAUUGGAAAUUUGCCUAAUUGCCAAAUCCCUCUCGUCCAAAUCCUGUUAAAAUCUGCUUCAGCGGAGCACUUGAUCAGAACAUGCCAGUAAUCCAUCAAGCCAAUGAAAAUGUGGUCUUUUAGGUUUAAUGAAGCAAAGAACUUGCGAAUAUCUUCUAAAGAAGGUCUCCCAUGAGAGAAUUUUCCAACUAAAGACCAUCGAAACGGCUCCGAAAGUUUUUCUACAUCUGCUCUGGAGAAAAUGACUGCAGCUUCACCUUUGUAGACAGUCGCUGGCCGAAUUGGGAUAAAUGAUGUUGAAGGUUGUGAAAAAAGUUGGGAGAAAGAUUUUUUUUUUUGUAGGAGAUCCUUGCCCCUAUGGCGAGUAAUGAAGCUAUCAAAUUUGUUGAAUUCAUCUUGAUGUAUUAGCUUUAGCAAGGUUUCAGAAUGCGGCUCUUAACUGAUUUAGGAAAAUAAUUAGGUCGAAUGUCAUUUGUUCAACUGGUAUGCCGACCAUUAUUGACAUGUAUGUAUACGUGGUAGCUAUUAGUCUAUUUGUUAAAUAUAUGAAAUAUGGAAAUACUUCUUUGGAAUUUCCCUUUCAUGAUAGAAGAAAUCAAUGCAAUCCGCAUUUUACCCACAUAAAUAAAAUUAAACACGUAAUUGAGAGUUUUAUUCCUUAAAGGACAGAGAAAACAAAAAAGGACCAAAAAUUUAAUAUGUAUUUGAAAUUUAAACAAGUUUAAUUACAAGGAGAAAUAAAUGCCUGCGUAACUUGCAAGGGGGUAAGCAAACUGGAAAAAGAGUUUGUAUUUAAGGUUAAUUGCAAAAUAUCCAAGGUUCGCAUUGUAAAGUGUCCCCUGACAAGUAUAUAUUUUGCCUAAUAUUUUGUACAUAUUUUGGAUGGAUUGUGGUGGAAUUGGGAUUAAAAUGAUGAUGAGAAUGGCUAUUUUGAUUAUUAGAUGAUUAGCUAAUGAGUUAGUAAGCAAAGGAUGAAAAACUGUGUGAAAAUGGAAAGAUUUAUUUGUUAAAUUGGUUGUGGUAGGAAGGCAAAAUUUACGGCGUCGGAUACCUGGUUUCGAAGAAAAUAUAUGGCGUCAGAUAGAAGGAGUCAAACCAGAUAAUGCGCUAGAUAUUAGUAAGAAAAUUUUAGAAGAAGGGAUGUUCAGCAGUAUAUGGCAUUAGAUAGUGAAAUUGGCUUCAGAUACUUGUAUGCCUAAGCGGGAAAAUCUUCUCUAAUUGCGCAACUUGUGCAACUUCCUGCAAACUUUGCAGCUCUUUUUCUGGUGACAACUAGGAUGUCUUGACAGCUACUAAUUGGAUCCAAAACAUCAACUUUUCUCACCUUUUUGCAACUUUGUGUCAUUUUUAAUAUUCAAUUAUGUCAAGAAAAGGGUGGAUGAAGACUUUUGGGCAGAGAAGCUUCUUGAAAAAGGCACUCUUGUUGGGAUAUCAAGAAGAUAGAAUAGAAGAUAGAGUUAGUUUUUUCUUAGACUAGAACUUGCACUCUCUCUCUAGAAUAGAAUAGGACUUUUAGCAAAACUCUUGAUGUAAUCUUGUUAUUUUGAAGACAAAGGAGAAUUUGGAGUUUGGAGAUCUUUGUUCCUUUAAUCGAAUAAGUAUUUUCUUCUCCCUUUCUUUUUAUUUCGUUGGAUAUAUGUUGGGAUUCAUAAAAAAUUUAUGCUUUAUGUGUUUAUUCUUCAUAUCUAGCUAAUAUAUUUGUUCUAAGAGUGGAUAAUGCCUUGUGUUUCUUGAUCUUGGUUUGAAUGAAUAGAUGAAUGUUACCUUUUGUUCUUGCUAGUUCAUUUAAGAUUGCUUGAACAUUUGUGAAUGCUUGAUCACCAUUUACAAAUUAUUUUAGUUGUUGUUUAUCAAUGAAAAUUGGUAGAUGAUGAUGAAACCGACUUAAUGGAGCUUAGGAUCUUAGCACACGAAAGUAGUGUUGAGACUAGGUAGGGUUUAGUACAUUCUCGAGUUUAAUGGCACCAUACUUGUUGUUUCACCAUGAAAGUAGGGAACUGCAUGUAUAGGUGACACUCAAUUAAUCGUGAAAGCGAGCUUUGGAUACCAUAAGUGAAUGAGCCUUUAGCAAAACAAGUAAUGUAACAUUUAUCACUCAUUUGAACUAUAAACAAAGACAUUUGAUUAAUUCCAUAUCCUAGAUUUUGUGUUUUAGUUGAAUUUAUCCAUUAACUUAUAGCUGUUAUAAAUUAGUAUGUAGAGUAGAUUUUAUUUCUCAUUGUUGUGGUUUAUCUAGAUAAUAAAGUAAGAUUAAAUUCUAAUAAUUGUGAGUGCUCCUCGAGAGAUUGAGCUUAACUUUCUUGUAUUACAAAACGACCUGUAUACUUGCAACUAAUUAGGGAGUUAUUGAAUAAAAGUAGAGUGCUAGGGAACCCUCACCCCCCAAACUAUAAAUUUCAGCACUAUACUCGUUGAAUAAUCAGCUCUUCGGCAAUGUAUUCCAAUAGAAUUGGUAACUGCAUAAUGUAAUGGAAAAAAGUUAUUAAUGUCUCUAAAUUUAGUUAAGUAGUUAAAAUGACCCGUUCCUCUAGAAGUCUAGAACUAAUAUAUGUAUAUCUGUGAUUUUCUUUCUUUCUUUCUUUCACAUAAAUUGAAGAUCUAUCUUUCUCUUUCAAAUAAAGAAAGAAACCUUCUAUAUACUUAAAUAAAUCUAGCCACUUAACUAAAUACAAGGACAUUAACAAUUUUUUGCUCAUUAAAUUUUCUCAGUGGUGAGUUGAUUGGAGUACUUCAAGAAAGUUCAAUAGUUUGAGGAUGGUACUGUUGAAAUUGAUAGUUUGGAGGACUCGUUGUAGCCCGAAGACAGUUUAGCGAUAUUUUGUAAUUAACACCAGAGCAACUAACAUAAAUGUGUGAUAUAUUUUAUUGUAAAAUGAGUCUCAGACAAAUUUUGUUGGUAAAUAAAAUUUGCAACGUAUUCUAAACAACUCUUUAUGAUUUCUAAGGAAUUGCUGAUCUAGGCUUGUUGAUCAUGUGUAUCAAUACUAAUAUAUGAGUUGACAAGGUAGAAGCAAUUGGAGAGUUGCUGUAGGUCCCAAAUGCGAUAACUAGUUAUCGCAUACCCAUUAGAGGAGUAGUAUAAAAUACACUUUCAAUAAAAUUUACUAUGGCUAGUUGUGGGUAAAUAGAUGAAGAGCUAUAUUUUAGUUCAAACUAAUUUUUUUUUUUCAGCUUUUAGCAUUUUUGUAAGAUUAAAUGUUAAACACAUUGCAGACUUGAAUUUUUAAUCCCUAAUAAUCUAUAGGAUUCAAAUUAAAUGAUCCAAUGGUUAAUUCAUAAAGAACUUAAUGAAACCUCAACCAAGGAGCAUUUAUAUAGAAGAGGGGGAAAAAAAAGAAAAGAAAAGAGACACAUGCACACAAGAGAAGAUUAAACAUGAUAGACAAAGACCAAAGAUUGUUUAUACUUUUGCUCACAGAAUAGAAAAACCCUAGUUUACUAAGCAGAUACUAAUGUCUAAAGGGCAAGUUUUUAUACUUUUCCCAAGACGAAUAAAUUCACACAUUGCUUAACUCCAUUGGAUCCUGAUCAGGGACAGAACUUUCUCCUUGACCAGCGAUACUUGGAGCAUUACUUGUUGAAGCAUUUCUGCUUCCAUUGCGAUCUUUCUCGGUAUGCAAGCUCUUUAUGUAGUUUUGCAGAAGAAUGCUAGGUGUUGGCCAUUUUUUGCUGCAUUUUCGCCCCGAGAAUAGCCUUCUUGUGGCUGCAUGCCAAUGGUUCUUGAUGGAGUUUUCAGUCCUUCCAGGCAGUCUCUUUGCAAUUUCUACCCAUUUGCUUCCUAUUUCAGCAUGAACCUCGACCAAGAUUUUAUCUUCCUCCUCCGUCCAUGUAUCCUUCUGUAAAGGACAACAAAUAAGUAAGGGAAGAAGUUUAUUAAAGAAUCUUAUCAUAGACAGGAAACUUUCUUGGCUGAAUGUUACGCCCGGACACAACCUAAAGUUUACUUCAAUCUCAUAGACAGGAAAAAGAAUAUAAGAAAACAAGAACAAUAUAUUGUGUAAGCAGAAAAAAUUAAAAUAAUGAAAUGCAACACAAGAAUAGCUAUAGGGUACCGUCGAGAUAUUGAUGCAAUGUUAAUUAAUCCAAAAAAAAAAUCAAUGUAAUGCAGUACAUAAACUUUAAAUCACAUUAUCUAAAUUCAACUCAUUUCUUCAAAAUCGCAUGGUAUCUAAAUUCAAUCCCUUUCUUCAAAUUCACGUGCUAAAAUUCAUCUCUAAAACAUUUUUGUAGAAUUGGAGAACAAAUGGUAAUUCUCCGAUAAUGUAAAAUUUGAAAUAUUUUUUUAAAUGAGUAAAAAGAAAUUAUAUGUUUAACUGGAAAGGUGGUUACCAAAAUCUUUACUUUAGCCAUGCUUCUCUAGAAUAGAUAACAAAGAUAUUCAAAAACAAUAAUAUCACGAUUACCAAAAAGAGACUCUUAAUGACGUGGUGUUAGAUGCAAAUAUAUCAAACAUUCUCGUGCAGUUAUGAUCUUCACCAAAUAUAUUGUUGAAAAACCUAUAUUUUAUCGUUUUACAAGCCCACAUUGAUUAUAUGAUACAAUUACAAUUAAGUUGAACAAAUCAAUGGCAAUCCCCAAAGUAGAAACUUUUAAAACAUGGCACCGGAUGUUAAGAUGUUGUUCUAACAUAGAUUUCGUAUCUGCAAAGCAUUUGAAUGGUUGAAGUUUUUUAAUUUUUUUAUACAAACUAAGAUUAAGUUAUGCCAUGUUAUCAACAACAAAUAUUUUUGUUUGUGUCGCGCGUAAUACAGCCAAUGGGCACAUAAUCAUUAAAAAAAAUUACGUACAAGGAUUUUAAUUUGAUGUAAAUUGCAUGAAGAUAUAAGAUAUGUAGACUACAAAUCUAAUAUUUGUGCACUUUUGAAGUGGCUAUUUCUCACAUCUGAAAUGUAUUGUAUAAAAUUAAUCUUCUCAACAGCUUUAUUUUAUGAGCAAAUUUUUCCCUCCUUUUCCAGUGGAUACCAAACAAAAAUGUAGGUCAAAAAUGAAAAUUCGAUUGAAAGUCCUAAUCAAUUUAUGAGAGUGGAAAUUUAGUAAAAAGGGAAUCAUAGAGUGCUGAUUUAUAUAUGUUUUAAUUCUAAAUCAUCAAAAGAUAAGAAAAACAUUAUGCAUAGAUCUACAUAUCUAGUCGAUCACUUAAUCAAGAAAAAACUUUAGAAGCAAACCUUGAUAUCUGACAUCAAAUGAUUGUGCCAUCUAUCUCUACACUGCUUCCCUUUCCUCCCUUGCAGUAUCUUAGAAAUUUGAGACCAUUUUCCAACCCCAAAAUUUUCUACAUGUUGGAUUAGUGCCCUGAUUACACAUAAGUAGAACCCAAUCAAUUUUAGUGCAUAUGUAUUUGCAAAAAGGAGGCACAAAGUUUUAUGUAAACAUAAUUAAUAACACAAAAACUAUCAAGAUAUUAUCUUUGUAUACAAAUUCAUGUACCUAUCUUCUUCCGGGGUCCAUUGCUCCUUUGCUGAUUUAGUUAUGUUUUGAACUCGCUCAGGAUUUCUCGGCAAAGAAGGCGGGGCAUUAUUGGAAAAUUUGCCGCUAUCAGCAGCUAUGCGCGAGCUCUCACCUUGGAUCGAGAUAUCCAUAGGAUUAACUUGUUGAUGACUCGAGGGGAUGAGGUUAUGGUCCGGUAAAUUUGCAUCCACUACCGGAGCUUCCAUGCCAUUAUAGAUUGACAAGCCACCAAUGUUAUUAUCACUUUCUUCAAAUGGCUCGUACUCUAAAAACUCGAAACCUAUUGUUGAAGAUCUAUUGAACAAGGGAUCAAAGAAAUCAUCAGCAGUUGAUGAUGAUCCUGCAAUAGGCAAGUCGUCAAGGUGUGGAAAAUCUUCCAGAAAAUCCUUUGCCUGGUUGCUAUCCAUCCCAGAUUCUUUAUGGAUUUCAGGUUCUAAAGAACUGGUAGGUAAAGAAAGCUUUUGAUUGCUGUCUUGGUCCCUACAUUUCUUGUUAAGUUCCAUGGAGCAGUGUUUAGCUUCUUUCUCCGCUGCUUAGCCAAAUAGGAAAAAAUCAGGUGUUAUUUAAUGAGUUUUUGAGUCUGUCAAGGCAGUUACCCAAAUAGAAAAUCUACACACCAGAAAAGAACAAAAAAAUGUUAAUUAUGAUUUAAUGCUUAUUUAUGUUGUGAUAGUAAUAUGAGAAUAUAAUGGAUUACUGUCAUCCCAGCAAGCAUGAAACACUUCAGACAUGUAGGAAAUUAAUGGAUACCAGUUCUAGUUAAAUUUCUUUUGUUUUUUCCUCUUUAACUUUCUGUUUAAUUUAUCUCAUUUUACAUUUCAUUUCACACUGUUGUUAUCUUGGCAAAUUAAUUGUGGAACUCUAUUUUGAUGGAUUUUUAUGUUGUGAGCUUUAAAGGUAAUGGGGGAAAUUAGAAUAGAAAGAAUCGGAAUAAGAAAGUCAGUGUUUCAGAACGUAAGUGACAUUUGACUGAUAUCUGUGAUAGAAGCAUAAGGAAUAAUUAGAUUAACAGCAGAGGAUUUGCCCAUCUGUUUAACAACUGUUACUAAUUAAACUUAUCUGAUUUGCACUAAAGUUAUCCACUUAGGCCUCCCAAAAAAUUUUUUGCACUAAAUCUGUACAAAAGACAGGAAAAAAUGAAAGCAAUGUAAUUUCCAUUUGGGAAAGUCAUUCCAGGAAAUCAGUCUAGAAUAUGGCCCUCAAUUGGAUGGCAUAAAUCUAAGAGAUGGGAUUAAUAUUCUAAGAGAGAGUUUAGGAAAAUGCAACUGGAGAAAAGGAAGACUUUGUGAGUAUGGUGUUGGGAAUUGGACUAAUUGGAUGAACUGUUGCUGAUAGAAAAGCCCUCCUUUAGGCAGCUUGUUUUCCUUUUUUGUUUUUUUUUGUUUUUGAUUUUUUCAAAUAAGGUGGCCAUUUUUUACUUUUAUUGAUAUAUCAAAAUUGCUCACCAAUUUAUCCACCAAAGACCUAUCUACUAUACAAUGCUAUUGAAAAAUGGCUUGAUCUUGAAUCUUGAAUACUUUCUUCUGAUUGUAUAAAUCCAUUCGUGCUCUUUAACCUUUGGUUGUGGAAGCAUGAAGUAGAAAAGUUUUAGAUUUAUAUAGAAACUCAAGCAACUAAUUGGGAACUAAAUAAUUGUUAAGAUAGCUUCAGAUCAAGUUAGGAUUUUUUUCCAAAAAAGAAGUUAGAGUAUUGUAAGCUUAUAUACUUUCGUAAGAAAAAUUGAUUUCUUUUUCUUUCGAAUUAAUCUUGAAACAAGUAUCUUUAUAAAUCCAAAAUCUUGUUCAUAUUGGAGAAUGUUAUUCCAAAACAUUUAAGAAAUCUUUAUCAAUCCUACUUAAGAAAUAUUUAUUCCUUCUUCUUUUUUUCUUUAAAAUGUUUCUCAGCAAUUGCUUUUGGAAAAACAAUAAUCCCAAUUAAGAAGCAUAGUUGAACGGGCUCUUGUAAUUCAUACCUUUAAUUCCUAUAGAUCUUUAAAUGCUUUCAGUUCAAAGAACCCAACUAAAGCCAAAAGUAGCAUUCAACUACAAGUGUUAAUAUAAUCUCCAAGUCCUUUGCCUACUUGUACUCAAUUAAUGCGCAAUCAAAACUACAACUGAGUAAUAAAUUCCACCGAUAGGCUUUCUAGAUAUCUAAAAAGCGUUUAGUCAUCGGAUCGAUCGAACUUUUCUUACUCUAGCAGACUAGCACUUGUGUAUGAAUAAAAAUACAAUUUUUAACCUGAAAUAGAGGCUAUCUGUCAUGAACCCUCCUCCGUUAGUGUACGCUAAUAGGAAAAAUCAUUUCAUGAUAAAAUGGGGAAAAUUGAAGAUGAGAAGACUAGAAGAGGACUAUAUAGAAAAAAAAAAAAAACCAAAUAAAUGUCUUUAAGGUACUCUCUAAUUCACUAGUAAGCACCAAAAUGGCUCUUACCUAAAAACCACCGUCCCACCACCAUAACCAGGAUCUCAAAAAUGUUUCACCAAUAGUUAUGCUUUACAUUCAAAGUCCAUUGAACAAACUCACCCCAAAUUUACAGUAUAUUAGCACAAAAUUAAUAACUUCAUUUCAUUUUCAUACAUCAAACUUUCUCUAGCAUCCUUCACGAUCUCCCUUUUACACAUUUUCGGUAGGUAAAAAUUUUCCCAAUUAGAAACCCAACCAAACAAUAGAAAAUCAGAAAAUCAUUUUCUGGAAAAUAUUUUCCUUCCAAACAAGGAGAGCCUAAAUGCAACAUGUUUUCUGCUGGUAUAUAUGACAGGUGAAAAUGGAAUGAGAUUUGCAAUGUGAUGGGCAUGGUCAAAGGGACAUUACCAGCUAUAUAACUGGGAGUGCUCCUUAUAUCUUCCAAGCUAAAUUCUUCUGACUGCAACGUGGUUGUUGAUAAAAUUCUUGCACGAGUAAGAAGGCCUGAACACAUAGAGUUUGAGCUAUGGUAGCAGACUCCAACUCGUUAAAUCAGUGCUAUUUAGUAAGGACAGUUACUGGUGUAAUAUUUUCAUCCUUCCUAAUGGAGUUACUACUUACUAGAAAGGUUGACGCUGCUUGGCUCCUUCCUCCGGUCUGGAGUAGAUUUAUACUCUCACAAAACUAAGGUGGCUUGGCUAGAAGUUUGUUAACCAUUCAAUGAAGGUGGUUUGGAUUUUCAAAACCUAGCAUUAUGGAAUAACUGUCUCAUUAAUUAGUAGACAUAUUUAUAGCAUCAUCAGCAAGAAAAAAAUCUUGUGGAUUCUUAUAAAAAGGUAGAUCCACAUGUGCUAUUUCGAUUCCUUCAUACUGUUCUUGGUGUUGGACAAAACUUCUACGGCUUAGACAAGUGGCUAGGCCCCUCAUUAAGUUCAAACUAUGAUCGGGAAUAUGGUCAAACUAGUUCAUUACGGUAUGAUGUAUGGCAUCCCUCUGGGUUACUAUUGGACCGUUACCCUUCUUCAAUUGUCUUUGACUUUGGCUAAAGUCAGCCCUUCAUAUGCUAUUGUUGACAUUAUUAUUCCUGAAGUGAGUUGGAAUUAGCCGGAAGGUAGACGUAGAACCCCUACUCUGGUUGAUCUUACCAGGAACAAAGUUUUAAAAGGCGAGGGCAUUAGUCAGACAUUUUGUACUCUUCCUAAGUAGGACGAGAGCCCAACGCAUGGGAUGUAAGCUCCACAAAUUUUUAUUUUUUUAAAUAAAAAAAUUAAAACAUACAAUAAUAUUACAAAAUUACAGUAUUCAUACAUAUUUGUGUAUGUACAUAUAUAAUUUACUAAUAAAUAUAAUAAAAUUGAUAAAAUAAAGAAAAAUUACAAAAAAUAUUAUUGUUGUCUAACAAGUAAAACUAUUACAUUUGCCAUCUAGAAUCAUAAAGCAAAAAAAAAAAAAACUUAUGUCUUGGGACAAUGAAAAGGAAAAAAAAAUAUAAGAAACAAAGUCAUGGAUGUUUUUACGUGCUUUGUAUUUUUCCCAAAUUAUUUCCGAAGGGAAUAAAUGGAAUCGUUCUUCAAAAUUACUAGACAAUAAUAAGGAUAGGAAAAAAAGAUAAGGAAGAAAAAUACUCAAAUCAAAGUUGAAAAUUAAAAAAUAAAGGAAGAAGAAGGCCUCAAACGCUCCAAAUGCCUAGCGCCUAAACGCCUGGACGUUUCGUCCUAUAGCGUAGGGCUAAUGUCUAACAAUACUUGCACCUCAUUCAAAUGCUGCAGGUUAUUUGGGACUCACCUUGUCCCAGGGCUCGCCACACCUUUUGUAACAGUGGUCAGGAGCACCCUUAGCAAUUUACUUCCAAGUGUUGCCGAGACUGAUAUGGUUACUUGAAUAGCUACAACGUCAGGAGUUUUCAUUGUACCACCUGCUUAUUCUCAGCUGCGUCCACCAUCCCCUGAGGUGUGUUGGGCUAAGCUACUGUGGUUUACAGGUUGUGUUCGCAGGUUCUCUUUCAUUGCUUGGUCUGUAGAGAAAGGAUCGCUACCAAAUCAAGAUUCGGAUCUUGGGGAGUGCUGGAUGAUGUUCAACUUUUGAUGAAAAAGAAAUAAGAAAACUACUACUCUAUUCAAACUUAAAGAUUGCUAAAUUUAAUACAUUUCUGCAAAAUUGCAAUGGAGAUUUCUCAGCUAAUGGAUAAUAAAGAAUGCAUAAUUAUGGGUACAUGAAGGAUUCUGGUUUUAAACCUAAAUUAAGAAUAGAGAAACUAUAAAUUCCGGAGAUUUUUUUCCCCAAAACUAGAUUCCAAUUUUUAGGUAUUAAAAAAAAGAAUGUGGCAAUUACCAAAACAGUAACUCAGUGAUAUAACUUUUUCUAUUUAAUUAAUUCCAUGGACGUGUCUUGUGGCAAUCCUACUUCACUAAUUAUUAUUGUAAUAUCUUCACAAAAAUACAUCUACGGGAAAGAAUUGUUAAAAAAAGGCAAUGUUAUAGUUAAUAAAUAAGUAAGAGUCCAUUUGCCAUUUUUCAAAUGUUUUACAUCCUUAUCUAAAACCUAAGAAAGGGUUAUGUGAAGAUCAUUAGCUAUUGAUGAAUUUCUCAAAAUCAUCAAGUUACAAACUUGCAAGUCAUUAACAAUUCAAAUUUGAGCGAGAAGUUCAUUGACAUUUUUCCAUUGUUUGCCAAAGGAAAACAACGCAAGCGAAAAGGUAGUAAACAAGUAAAAUAGGAGGGGAGAGUUACAAGAUACUAAAAAUUCAAAAUGGCCAAUAUACAAAAGUCGAGCUAGAAUGAACUCUGGUGUAGGUUUCUUACAUGAUACUGUUGUUGGUAUCUCUUGUAACCCAUUCCAUGGGAUCUGGGGCCUCUGCAGUUAUGGCUGUAACCACAGAGGGCGACUGAUGGUGUAGGGCAUUAAAAAAACGGUUUAGGUCAGGUUGAAUUGGGUUGGCCCAACCUAGGCCAUUUAGUGGUCGGACCAAGUCAGUGUAUGGUGCUUUGAGUAUUUCAUAUGCCGAAGCUUGAAAGGUCUAGAACCAUUCAAAACUCGAUUAAUCCAGUGUAAGUGUGUAACUGAUAAUCAAGAAAAAUGUGAAAAUUUGUUUUUGUAUUUCACUUUUCAUUUUCCAUUUUUUCCUCCUAAUUGAAUUUUUUUUUCAAUUCUUUGCAGGUUCAAUUAAACUAUUCUGUUUGUGCGUUUCACUAGGAGGUGAAAAAGCCAUUGGAUAGGCUGCCCCUAUCCAAUGGAAUGGUGCUAAAGAUCAACAAGGAGAUUUCAAAAGAUGGUGGAUCAGAAUUUCAGAGGCAAGGAAAAGACUAGAAGGAAUGAAACAUAUUGGUUUGAAUGCUAACAUUUUGUGGCAAGUGUGGAAAGAAGAAACAAGAAAGAAUUUGAGAACCUAACCAGCUCUUCACCAGGUAGGACAAUUGAGAAGGCCCACAAAGAAUGAUUGGAAGAAGAGGAAAUCGAGAAUACUAAAACUAGACUGAGCACAAAAGAAACAACAUCCAAUCAUGAAGAGCAAUACCUGCAGGGUCAGGAAUAUGAGGGAACCAUAGUCCUGGAUGUGGCAACAAGAAGUCAGCAAAGACAGGCCUUCCUUGGAAUUGGAGUCAUGGCUAGGAUACCUCCAAACACUAGGAUUGCAAAAUGGGCACUUAAAGAGAGAAGCUUGGGAAAUAAAGUUCUAGAGGAUGCGGUGGCAAUCAAACUUGUCCUAUGCAAAGCUCUAGGACAGCACUGGAGUAGGGUUAAACUCCGCCCCCAGAACAAGGAACUAAUGAGACAACUACAGCAUUAGAGACCCUCGGACAGUAGAAUAGCUACUUUGAUUGAUGACAUUUCUAACAUGCAGAAGUUGUUUCGUAUGUGCUCCUUUUAUUUAUGUUAUAACAGAUGCAGCGGAACAGAAGAACAAACAAGAACAGACAAGAACAACUUUGGGGGAAAUCAGAUUUUAUUAGGGUUGUAAUUGGAAUAGUUUACAGACUAAAGUAAGGUGUAUAUAUCAAUUCAGCGAAGGUCGAAAAUCUAAUUCAAGACAUCUCAACAAUUUAGUUAGGGAAGAAAGUAUAGAAAGUAGUAAAAGACUUAACUCCUAUGCCGUAAGCAUUCUUUUGGAUGAAGAAUGAAACUUUCCUCAGUGUCAUUGAGCACUAAAUGUAUAGUUUUUCGAGUCUUUGCUUACACAUGUAAGUUUCUUUUACACUGAAUGAAAUUAUCCUAACGUUUAAGAAAAAAAAGAAAAGAAAAAGCCAACUAUAGCUGAUGGUCGACUGCCUAUAUAUUUGAAUCCAAAAUGGAGAAAUGAAAUAAUUGCGAGAAAGAAAGAGGAGAGAAGACAUGAAGGGAAAAAAAUAAAAGAAGUUUCCAUCUUGGUGUUUAAUUAGGUGAAAGAUAGAAAUUAAACAAAACAAAAUUUGUUCAAAAAAAAAGAAGUAAAGAUUGUUGCAAAAAAUUGAAGUAGAUGAAUUGCCAUUUGUUAAAAAACGAAACAAAUUAAGGAUCUUGGACCCUUAGAUGCGUUGAACAGUUCCGUGAGCCUUGAUUUAGUUCUACACAUCCCCGUGAAGGGAAAAAAAGGAAAAAGUGUUAGAAUCAUCAAUAUGGUGAGUAAUGACCUGCCCAAAAGAAAAAUAUGGUGAGUGAUGAAGAUGUCAAAAUUUUCAAAUCCAUAUUGAUGUAUUAGCUUUUAGCAAGGUUUCAAAACGUAGCCCCUUAAUUGAUCAUGGAAAAUAAUUAGGUCGAUGAUCAUUUGUUCGGGGAGUAUGCCGAUCAUAAUUGAGAAGUACGUGUACGUGAUAAAUAUUAGUCUAAUUCUUAACUACGUAAAAUAUGGGAAUACUUCUUCAAAAUUACCCUGUCAUGAUAGAAAAAUCACUGCAAUCCGCAUUUCAAUCACAUAAGUAAUAUUAAACACAUAAAUGAGAGUUUUAUUGGUUAAUGGACAAAAAGAAAAUAAAAAAUGGCCAAAAGUUAUAAGGAGAAAUAAAUGCAUGUGCAACUUGUAAGGAGGUAAACAAAAUGGAAAGAGAGUUUAUUUUAAAGGUUUGUUACAAAAUAUCCCCUUGAACUUUCUUCGGGUUGUGGAGUGUUCCCCAAACUAUGCAUUUCAGCUCUAUAAUCCUCAAAUAAUCAACUUUUCACAAUAUAUUCCGAUAAAAUUAAUACCACUACUGUAAUUUACUGGCUAAAAAGUCAUUAAUAUCCCUAAAUUUAGUUAAAUAGUUAAAAUGCCCUUAUUCCUCUUCAACUAACUUGUAUACAUAUAUCUGUUUCUUUUCUUUUUUUUUUUUUGGUUUCUUUCACAGAAAUGUAGAUCUCUCUCUCUCUCUCUGUCUCUCCACCCAUAAAGAGAGAAAUCCUUGAUAUACGCAUAUAAGUCAGUUAUAGAGGAAGAACAACAUUUUGGCAACUUAAUUAAAUACAAGUAUAUUGACAAUUUUUUUGCGCAUUUAAUUUUCUUGGUGGCAAGUUGAUUGGAAUACGUCAAGAAAAUUCAGUAGUUUGAGGAUGGUAGUGCUGAAAUUGAUAGUUCAGAGUACACUGGCAACCAAAUAAAGUUUUGGCAGUAUUUUGUAAUUAACACUAUAUAUACUAACAUAAAUGUGUGAUGAAUUUAUUGUAAAAUGAGUUUGAAGACAAACUUUACUGUUUUUGUUUACAUUGCCAUUAAUGUGGAUAUUUGACCAAAUUUGAAAAUUUGUUCUUAAUUGCAUUGGAUGUAUUAACUUAGACUACGUUUGAUAAAACUGAAAUUUGAAAUCUGAAUUCCUUAAUCUAUUAAAUUGUUAAACAAUAAAUCUGAUACAUUUGAAUAUAUAUCACAUUAAGUGAUAAGUGAAUAAUAUCACUUAUUUUUUAGGGUAGGUUUUACCUUUGAAAUUUAGUACCAUUUAAUUAAUUCAGAUAUUCUAUUUUUUAUUAUUAAAUAUAUCUGAAUAUGUAAAGAUUUGAAUCCAUUAAAUUUAAAUGCCGAAUUGGGUUAUCAAAUAAAGCUUUAGUUAGUUCACCCAAAAAUUUCCCAUUUCAGCUAUUUAACGGUUCAACUGGCUAGUUAAUCAAGUCACGAAAAUUUGAGUGUUUUUUGUUAACUCUUACAGUUUUAGGGGCUUGAUUGGACCGAAGAACAAAUUGAUUGGCAAUUGAACCGUUUAGACCAACCUAUCAUGACUGGGUUUUAAAAACUAUCUUUAAUUAAGAGUCCGAUUCACAGAAAAUGUAGGGAAACAAUAACUAGAAAAAACAACCUGAUACUUUUGUUGAUAUUAUAUGUUUGUGGAGUAUUUUACAGUAUUAUUAUUUUUUUGAACUUAUAGUUAGUUAUUUUGGAUCUUUAUUUAAGGGUUGGUUGAUCGUGUGUAUUAAUACCAAUACAUGGAUAGACUAGGAAGAUGCAAUUGGCCGGAGAGCUAUUGUAGUGUCCCUUCGGGGACAUCCGCAUAAAAUUAGAACGAUACGGAGAGCUGUUGUAGUUCCCAAAUGGAAUAAUUAGUUAUUGCAUAUCCAUUAGAGUUGUAGUAUAAACUGUACCUUCAAUAAAUUUAAAGAUAGCUAGAUGUGGGUAAAUAGAAGAAGAAGUGUAUUGCAGUCCAAAUUUUUUUUAAAUUUUUUAGCAUUUUUAUGAGAUUAAAUGUUAUGCACAUUGUAGAUUUGAAUUUUCACACCCCAACAAUGUUUUGAAUUCCAUAUUAGCAUAGUUUAAUUAAAGUUUUGUAUGCAAAUACACUUAUUGGAAGCUCCCUUUCUCAACUUUCUCUUUGCCCUCUCUCAACCUUCUUUUUACCUUCAACUAAACUUGGCAAUUGAACGGCUUGAUAUUGAGUUUUUACUUAAAUGGGUUAUACUCAAUUCAUCUAACUUUAGAUUGGAUUAAAUUUGAGUCGGAUCAUAUGGAGUCAUCUCAAACCCAUGACCCAAGAUAUUAAUUAAUACAGUGUGAUACAUAAAUUUUCUAUUAUGCAUUUACACACACAAAAAGAUUUUUUUCAUAUAUAUAAACACAUUUUCAUAUACAUAAAUAUAUUUUCACACAAUAACACACUUUCAUGCACCUAAACACUCAUUCACAAGCUCCUUGGAAACACAUCAUAAAUAGAAUAAUAUUUUAUAUUGCUUAUAUUGCGAAUUUUAGAUAAUAAAUUGUACAUUUAAAUAGAUUAGUUAAAAAAAUUUGUUUACUUUAUACUUUUAAAUACUACUAAUUGUUUGAAUAUUACUUUUACUAUUCAUAUUUGCUUUAUUGUAACUUGUAAUGUCCUACUUAUUGAAAUUAUUGAUGCUAGAUUAUAUUAUGCUUGAAAAUGUAAUUAAGAGACAUAUAAUUUGUUGCAUUAUAAUAUUGAUGAGGAAUUAUUAACAAUGAAAUGAAACAAGUUAGAGAAAAGUAAAAGAAUGCAAUUAAAACAAAUUUAAAAAUCUAUUCUAGGUACACAAAAUAUUAACAAACAGAAACAAGUAGCAAUCGGAGAACAACAACCAAAAAAUUGGAGGAAAACAACAUACUCCUAAAAAGCAUAAUAAAUUAUUAUAGAUGUUAAACAAGUUUAACUAUUGUUAUAAAAGUAAAAUAAGCAUGAGUUUUUAUUUUAAGUUUCUUUUUUCUUUUAAAUAAAAGUUAAAAAAAUUGAUUGAAAAGAUAUAUAUGAGAAUUUUGAAUACAAAUUAAUCAAUGAAUUAUUAACACGUCUAAAUGCAAGUGGUUGGGCAUAUGUUUAUUGAAUCUUGUAUUUAUUAUUUUCAAUUAUUUUUAAACAGGUUAGGUAUUGAGUGUCCAAAUAAAAAACUCAACCUGCCUAAUGAAUAACUUGGGUUGUUUUUACCCAACCAAAUAAAAUCCAUAACCCAACUGAUCCGACCCAUCCUUUAAAAUUAAUGGGCUGGUUGGGUGAAUUGUUGGGUAUUAGGCUUUUUUGCCAACUCUACCUUCAACCUUCUCUCUAUGUUAUUCCUCUAGAGGGAGAUUUUGGCCCUAAAUCAAGGUCUCCCUUCAUUUUUCUUUGGUUUUUUUUUUAUUUAAUAAGGUCUCUCCUCGGAUAUCCUGGUGAGAGUUUCUCUCUUAGACUAUCCUAAUGAGAGUUUUAUUUAGUUUUUGUCAUUUUUUUCUCAGAUAUAAGAUUUUUUCAUAUCUAUGUAUUAGACAAAUCUAUGUGUUAGAUUUAAAAUUUUUUGAAUUUUCUCAUCAAAUCUCAACAUCAGUUGUGAACUUGAAUCAAUUGGAUAGCAAUUGUAAGGAAAUAGAAUGCACAAAUAUCUAUGGAGUAGUUCAUUCAAUUGGUCAGAUUUGAUGGUUUGUUAUUCACAAUGUAAUUUUUUAUAGUUUGUAAUUCUGUUAAAUCUAAUGAUUUUUCAGAUCAAAUAUAUUUGUGACAUGUUCAAUGUAUUUUUUGCCAUUAAUGUAAAUUACUUUGUCAAGCAAAUUGUGCUGGAUGAUUUCCAUUUAGUUUAUUGAUAAUAUUAAUUUCUAUUUUAGCCAAAAAAAUUAAAGUGUUGUACAAAUUUUUAAAUGCGCUAUACAAAUUUCUAAUACAUAUGAACAGGUAGCGACUCAUCUCACAAAAACUAUAAGAUUUAAAUGGAAUAUGAGCUAUCAUUAUACACAGAAAACAUCAAAGGUGAAGAAAAAGGUCUCAUAAUAAACGAGAAUUGCUAUUUUUUCCCCCUUUUAAGUAUAUCGCAGCAACAGGAAAGAAACGAGUAAAAGAAACUGAAACAUCCAUAUCAAUAAUCAUUCUCAAAGAUAAUCUUUGAAACUUUUUCCCCUCCACUUACUAGCACAAAUUGUUACAUUGGUUCUAAAGAAAGGUGAUGGUAUAUGUCUGUAGAGUUCAAAACAGAUUAUCCGAUAGAUAAACAAGAUAUGGUCUUGCACACUGAAUAGAACCAAAGUUUUCUAAACAGAUACUAAUGUUCAAAGAGCAAGUUUUUUUCAUCUUUCCCAAGACGAAUAAAUUCACACAUUGCUUUUCUCCAUUGCAUGCUGAUCAGGGACCGAACUCUCUCCAUGAUCAGUGAUAAUUAGAGCAUUACUUGUUGAAGCAUUUUUGCUUCCACUGCUGCCUUGCUUAGUGUUUAAGCUCUUUUAUGUAGUUUUCCGGAAGAGGGCUAGGUGUUUGCCAUUUCUUGUGACAUUUUCGCCCCGAGAAUAGCCUUCUCAUGGUUGCAUUCCAAUGGUUCUUGAUGGAGUUUUCAGUCCUUCCAAGCAGUCUCUUUGCAAUUUGUACCCAUUUGCGUCCUAUUUCAGCAUGAGCCUCGACCAAGAUCUUAUCUUCCUCCGCAGUCCAUGUAUCCUUCUCUGAAGGAAAACGAACAAGUAAGGGAAUAAGUUUAUUAAGGAAUGUUAUCAUAAUUUUUCCAGUCUUUUGGUCAUUUUAUUACAACAGGGUGCUAUGGUCUCGAACUUUAACCUGUCACCUCGCAAGGCCAACGAUGUUACGGAGUCUGUCUUGGGUGCUUCACAGACGGGGUUGGAUGGUUUCAGGGACCCGGAAGAUUGGCAUACGGUUGUCGGUUGUCGCUCCAGGAAGAAAGCUGUUUCACCCCCCUCUUACUUUUUACGACCACGAUCAUGAUUAAGGCUCUCUUCUGGAAUGCUAGAGGAGUGGAUAAUGCUCUUAUCAUAGCUCGGUUAAGGAAGCUGAAACGGAUGCAUAAGCUCUCUUUGUUAGCACUGUGCGAGCCAAAGACGGGUUGCUAGCGGCUUGCUUUUAUUUGGCAACGGCUAGGUUUUCCACAGGCAGUCUCCAAUGAGGAGAGCAGGAUUUGGGUGCUGUUUGGUCAUGACAUUAGAUGUGAAUUCUUGGCUGCUUCACAUCAAUUCUUGGCAUUGGAAGUGACACACUCUUCCUUUCGGUGGUCCUUUGUUGCGGUCUUUGUUCAUGCGUCGUGUGUUACCCACGACCGUGAAUUGCUCUGGCAACAAUUGGUAGGGGUGUGUCCACAAGGGAGGCCGGCUAUUGUUUUAGCAGAUUUUAAUGUUAUUACUGGCGCGAAUGAAAAGAAAGGGGGUCGCCCGUUUCGCUCUAGGGAGUCGGAGUCGUUCCUGGAUUUUAUUGAGGAUGCUGAGUUGACAGAUUUGGGGUUCAUUGGGUCUCAGUUUACCUGGUGUAACAAUCAUUGGGACAGAGCCAGAGUUUGGAAAUGUCUGGAUAGGGUACUCGUAAACCAGCAGUGGUUGAGUUUAGAGGUGAACACGUCGGUGGUUCACUUGAAUAGGGUUGCUUCGGAUCACUCCCCUCUAUUAGUUUCUUGCUCCAUGGCAACGGGAGGGGCACCUACAAGCUUUAGAUUCCUGGAUGUUUGGAGGUCGCAUGCUGAGUUUCAAAGUGUGGUUAGACAAGCGUGGGAGGUGGAGUGUGAGGGACAACCCAUUAAGGUCCUACUCACGAAGUUAAAGGCGGUGAAGCAGGCAUUGCGCAGAUGAAAUAAGGAGCUUUUGGAAAUAUAUUUGACCAUGUCAGGGAACAUGAGGAAAAGGUCUUGGCACUGGAAUGUUCCUUGGAGGAGGGGUCAUCUGAGGAGGGGCAACUUCAGCUUGCCCAGGCCCAAGGUGAGCUUAAGGAGUCUCUGCUGCGGGAGACGGCCUACUGGCGUCAAAAGGCGUGCCUUCGAUGGCUUCAGGAGGGGGAUGCCAACUCUAAGUUUUUCACGCACAGGUAAAGCAGCGGAGGGCUCGUACAUUUAUACAUCGAAUGAAGGACGGCAAUAGGGUUUGGACGGAAGAGGCUGGAAGGAUUCAGGAUAUGGCAACUGCUUUCUUUGAGGACAUGUUGUCACAGCCUGGCCAGGUGCAAGUGGAUCCCUCGCUGUUAAGUGUGAUCCCUUCGAUUGUUUCUGAGCAGGAUAACCUGGCACUUCAACAGUUCCCUACGGAGGAGGAAAUAAAGACAGUUAUUUUCCAGAUGGAUGGUGACAGUAGUUCGGGUCCAGAUGGCUUUAAGGGGUCGUUUUUCACGUCAUGUUGGGAGAUAGUGAAGGUGGGUGUCUUCCGAGCGAUCUGUGAUUUUUUUGUAGGAGUAGAGCUGCCUUGGGGGUAUAUAUCUACGUGGUUGGUCCUGAACCCCAAGAUUCCUGGGGUGUCCUCUUUCUCAGAUUUUCGCCCAAUCAGCCUGUGUAACUUUGUCAACAAGAUCAUAUCCAAGCUGUUGGCGAGAGGAUUGGAAAGUGUGUUGUCGAAGAUAAUAUCUCCGCAGCAGAGUGGCUUUGUAAAGGGUCGACAGAUCUCGGAUAAUAUUUUGCUAGCAUUAGAGAUGUGUUCAACUCUAGGGAAGAAGGUGCGGGGCUCCAAUGUUACUCUCAAAUUGGACAUGGCCAAAGCGUAUGAUCGGGUAUCCUGGAAUUUUUUUAUCCAGGUCAUGAGACGGUUUGGUUUUGGGGAGCAAUGGCUUGACAUGGUUUGGAAGCUGAUUUCGUCGUGUCAUUUUUUGGUUUUGGUUAAUAGGAAGCCAUGUGGAUUUUUUCGGUCUUCUAGGGGUUUACGUCAAGGGGACCCGUUAUCACCGGCUUUAUUUAUCAUUGCGGCAGAGGUGUUGUCUAGGCGCUUGAAUGACUUACCGGGUGAUUCGAGAUUUGUCCCGUUCUUUGUGAUGCGGGACUCUCCGGCGCUGACACAUCUUGCCUAUGCUGAUGACAUUAUCAUCUUCUGUAAUGGUGGUAAACGUUCCCUGGGAUGUGUCAUGCAGGUGUUAGAGGGUUACCAGGAGAUAUCAGGGUAGCUGGUGAACGCAGUGAAGAGUUGUUUCUUGGUUGACAAGAAAACUUCGAUGCCUCGUAGGAGGGUGAUUGCGCAAGUCACUGGGUUUUCCCCUAAAAUUUUGCCAGUGACUUACUUGGGAUGCCCAUUAUUUGGAGGGAGACGAGUAAAAGCCUUAUUCGCUGAUUUACUGAAUAAAGUCUCUCAACGGAUUGCUUCCUAUCAUGGUCGGUGGUUAUCAAUGAGUGCUCGAGCUUUACUUAUCAAGCAUGUACUGUCGUCCAUACCAAUUCAUAUUGUGGCAGUCUUGGAGCCCCCAAGAGGGGUUGUCUCCGACCUAUAGCAGAUGUUUGCGAGGUUCUUUUGGGGAGAGUCGGAGUUUGGAGCUAAGCGGCACUGGGCGAAAUGGGAUAAAUUAUGCUUUCCGGUGGAGGAAGGCGGGGUCAAUUUUCGGUCCCUUCAGGCGAUCGUUGAAACAUUCUCCUGUAAACUAUGGUGGAUGUUUAGACGUGGCCAAUCUCUCUGGGCACAAUUCAUAAGGGCAGGUAUUUUGGAUCUCUGCAUCCGAAUCAAGGCCCUAUCUCUGCUCAGUUGUCUGCUAGUUGCAAACGUAUGAUUCGGGUCCGCUCAACCAUGGAGCAUUGGUUGAAGUGGGAUCUCUCGAGAGGGGAGGUGGCUUUUUGGUGAGAUAACUGGAGUGGGCUGGGCCCUUUGGCAUGGAGGUAUCCAGAGUUGGCGUCGGAUGUGAAGGUUUCGAAGUUUUUAUGUGAAGGGCGAUGGGACUAUCCGGCUUUGGCAUCGCUACCCUUUGUAAUAGGGGAGGCGGCUCAGGGAUCCUUUUUCAGUUUUGGUUUGGACCCAGACAACCUAGUUUGGUUAUUGGAUCCCUCAGGAGUUUUCUCCGCGAGGUCUGCAUAUCAGCUUGCUCGCCUAGCUAGGGCUCGUUCAUGGGCAUUUUCCUAUAUUUGGCAUUCCUCCACCCACGGAAAUUGUCUUUCUUCAUGUGGCGCUUACUGAAUAUCCGACUAUCGAUGGACGACGUACUCGAAAAAUUUCAGAUUCAUGGUCCUUCUACAUGUCACUGCUGUGUGUCAGCUCACUUAGAGUCGCUGGAACAUGUGUUCUCUACUAGCCAAUUGGCCAAUGAGACAUGGCUGUCCUUUGAGCGAUCUCUUGGAUUUUCUACACCAUCUCUCACGGUUAGAUCUAGGUGCUAUAAAUGGUGGUUACUCCCCGUGAAAGGGAAGGUGCUACGCUAGUUAACUCGAAUUCUUCGACUUCUGAUUCUAUGGUUUCUAUGGAGGGCUAGGAAUAUGUCCAGGUUCGAGGGUCACAAGCUAUCCGGCUCUCAGGUUCGGACCCUCAUCGUUAAUGAAUUGCGAAUAUUAAUCCGAGUUCAUUUUCCGGGUAUUGUGGUUUUGCCUUGCAAAUGGAAGGGACUUCUGGAGGUUUUGACUGCGGCCCGGAGGGUCUUAACAUCUAAGGUGGUUAGGUGGACCUUCCCUGCGGGAGGUUAUUUAAAGUUAAACACUGAUGGCUGUGCUACGGUUCGUGGUAGCGGAGGUGGUGGGGUGAUUAGGGACUCGUGUGGGAAGCUUAUUGUAGCAUUUGCGGACUUCUUUGGCUAUCUGGACUCUUUGUAGGCGGAGGCGCGUGCCCUCCUAUUAGGGCUCCACUUAGGGCGCUAGGUAGGGAUUUCCCGUCUAAUCGUUGAAUCUGAUUGCCUGGUUUUGAUUAACUGUUUAAGGGGGGGAUGGGGGUUCCCAGCUGCUAUUCGACCAGUUGUUCGCGCUAUUCGGCUGGUUACGUCAGGUUGUCACCAGAUCAAUCAUUGCUUUCGGGAAGGAAACGCAGUUGCAGAUUCGCUAGCAGCAUACGGUGCUGCGUCUGGCUCUCGCUCAAUGUUCACUGCGGCCUCGCAGUUGCCUCCUCGUACUAGGGGGCUUUUGUCUUUGGAUAUGCAAAAUUUUUGUAACUUCCGGUUUUCUUUUAGGAGGUAAGGCUUGAGCCUUCCUCUUGGCUUUGUAUUCUGGCUUCGAUUAAUUAAUAAAAACAAGACAGUAUUUUAAUAAAAAAAAGAAAUUUCAGUGUAAAAAAAAAAAAGUUUAACUCUAAAGGUGGUUAGAAAAAUCAUUACCCUAGGCAUGUUUCUCUAGAAUAGACAAUGUGGAUAUUCAAAAGCAGCAAUAUCAUGAUUACCAAAAUGUGAAACUCCUAAUGACAGGGUGUUAAAUGUAAAUAUCCCAAACAUUCUCGCACAGCUAUGAUCGUCAGCUAAUAUAUUAUUGAAAAACCUAUAUUUUGUCAUUUUACAAGCCCACAUUGAUUAUACAAUACAAUUACAAUUAAGUCAAGCAAAGUAUGACAAUUCCCAAAGUAGAAAUCUUUAAAACAUGGCACUGGGUGUAAAAAUGUCAUUCUUACGCAUAUUUGGUAUUUGUAAAGCAUUUUAAUGGUUGAUUUUUGACGGAUUUUUGAUAUACGUACAAGUUAAAAUCCGAUAUACACCCGUUUGACUGCAAGUAUACAGGUCAACUAGUAGUUUAGGGCGUGUAUCGGGUCGAUCCCACGAGAAAGAUUGAACAAUUACCGGUGUUACUAAACCUUCUCUAUUAUUUAGACUAUCAAUGAAUUAUAACAAGCAAACCCUACAAAACUUGUGGAAGAAAAUAACAAAUGAAAGUUCCUUAGGUUAUGGUAUCUCUAACUACUCAUGCAAGUGCUAUAUUUGGAUCAUUGAGAACUACUAUCUUGGCUAACUAUGGUGUAAUUUUCUUAUGCAUAUGAAUCCUACUUUCGUAGUGAAUCAAUUAUACUCAUCACUAAUCCAUACCUAUUCUCAUGGUUAUGAAAUUAGCUACAAGUUCAUUUUUUCAAUGAAAUUACAUGAAAUUAAUCACUAAAACCACAUAGGUGCACCUCUACUCUCGUGAGUGUACUCCCUAUGUUUAGCACUUCUUGAACCAGUGCUAAAUCUCAAUUUUCAUUACAAAAACAACACCUUAGAUAAUCAUAAUUAAUGGUACCGGAUUAAUUACGAUUUUAAAGAGCUAAAGUGCUAAAUAAUUUGCUCAAAUCAUAGCUUCAAAUAACCAAAUAAUAAACACUAACAAUCAUAGAAAGUUCAACCAAAAUUAAGGCAUAAACUUUAUAAACACAUAAUAACAUAUAAAUCCAUAACUUGUAUAUUAACUAAACUUGGAAUCAAGUACAAAAGAUAAAGAGUUGGAAAGGAAAAGUAACCCUUGUCUCAUGAGCUCUUUCCUUGUCUUCUUCAUUUCCUUCUUCAUCUUUGCCUAGCUAAUAAACAAGAAGGAUGAACUACUACUCUAUACUAAAUUAAUCUAACACUAAGAGAAUGGAAGAACUACAUUUCUGCAGACUCCAAACUUCCUCCGCUUAUGAUCAUCUUCUCUGGUUGCUUUGUAUAUAGACUCAUGAAAAGUUCCUCCUCUCCACCGUUUUUUCUUCCACCUUGAUUCUCAAAUCUUCAAUUUGUUAGGAAAGUAAAAAAACAAUGACUUUUUGACUUGGAACUUUGGCUAUACAUUUUCCUUAUGUCUUUUGAAGCAUGUGCAGCCGAAUUCCCUUACCAAGAAUAGCUGGAAAGUGAUGUGAACAUAAGAGAAAUGGCUGAGCAAAUUACAGAAUUUUGGCUACAAAACGCGACUUCAAGCCACGUUUUGAUGACUUGCGUUUUCAACUCUGUACUUUUGGCCUCUCUUCAACUACGAUUUUCUCUAUGAUGGAGGCCGAACUAACUUUUGUGCAAAACACAAAGUUGUAGCCAUUUGAAUUAGCUUUACAAUGCUUCAAUAAUCAUCCAAAUAGGAGUUUUGUAGACUGAGAUAUGAUCACAAUACUAUCACCUGGUCAAACCCCUGUUUCAAUUUUCGUCCAUAGAGUGCAGCUUCUAUAUUUCAACUUUUUGUCCAUGAAAAAAGUAGAAUUGGAUUUUGAUGUCUUCAUACCAAAUAUAGAUCUAUCUCUUAGCUUCAAAAUGGUAUAAAGAUCAUCUCAAUCCGAUAUGUGUAGCUCCAGAUAUAGUCGAAAUACGAAAAUAUGUCAAAGAUGUUUUCACUUGCAUUUCUUCAAUUCACUUCAUUUCUUCUUUAUCACUUAAAUUCAUCACCAAUUAUCCACUUUUCAUCUCAGUUGAUAUUCUUUGGUGAUUGAAUCAUUAAUCCUGCAUGAAAAUGAAGUUUUUACCAUUAAAAUCAAUAGAAAUGCAAUGUUAGCCACUUUAACUUAAAAUGUAGAUUUUUACCAAAACCUUAGUUAUUUUAGUUAUAAAACUAAAUAAUCAAACCAAAAUUAACUAAUAAAAUGAACUUAAAAAUACGUAAAAUAAACUCUUAUCAAAUUUUUUUUUGUUCUUUACACAAACUAAGAUUUAAGUUAUGCCAGGUUAUCACCAACAAAUAUUUUUGUUCAUGUAGUGUGUCACAUAACCGAUGGGUACAUAAUAAUUUUUUUUUAAAAAAAAUUUACCUAGAAAGUUUUCAAUUUCAUGUAAAUUGGAUGAAGAUAUGAGAUAUAUAAGCUGCGGGCAAGGAGGCCUUGGUAUAAUAGUUAAGGUUGAGAUCCCAAAAGGUAGAGGUUCGGGGUUUUAAUACCUUUGCAUUCUCCCCACUUCUUAAAUUUCAUCCUUCUUCUAUUAGGAAAAAAAUUUAAAAAAAAACUACUAAUCUAAUGUUUGUGCACGCUUGAAGUGGCUAUUUCUAACACGUGAAAUGUAUUGGAUAAAAUUAAUCUCCUCAGCAUAACUUUAUUUAUGUGCAAUUUUUUCCCUCCUUUUCUGGUCAAAGCCAAACAAAACAUAGGUCAAAAUGAAAAUUCGAUUAGAAGUCCCGAUCAAUUUAUGAGAGUGGAACUCUAGUAACAAGGGAAUCAUAGAGUGCUAUUCUAUAUAUGUUUAAUGCUAAAUCAUCAAAAACAAGAAAAACAGUAUGUACAUUUGUACAUAUCUAGAUGAUCACUUAAUUAAGAAACAACUUUAGAAGCAAAGCUUGAUAUUAGGCCUCAAAUGAUUAUGCCAUCUUUCUCUACGCUGUUUCCCAAUCCUCCCAUGCAACAUCUUAGAAAUUUGAGACCAUUUUCCAACUCCAAAUUUUUUCGCAUUUUUGAUUAAUGCCCUGAUUACACAACCACUCAAAUUUAGUGCAUAUGUAUUUGCAAAAUAGACACAAAAAUUUGUGUAAACAUAAUAAAUAAAAAUAAAUUUUAUAUACACUAUCAGUAUAUACACUAUUACGAUUGGAUGGAUGACACAUAAGUAAAUUUUGGAUUUCAAACUCAAAUUUUGCACAAUCAACAUAUAUUUAAUAGUGAUAUUGUAUAUAGUGAUAGUGUAUAUAAGAUUAAUCCAAUAAAUAAUACCAAAAACUAUCAAAAUUUUAUCAAAUAUUUGUAUAAAAAUUUAUGUGCCUAUCAUCUUUAGGGGUCCAUUGAUCCUUUGCUGAUUUAGUUGUCUUUUGAACUUGCACAGGAUUUUUCGUUGAAGAAGAUGAGGCAUUAUUGAAAAUUUUGCUGCUAUUAGCAACUAUGCAAGAGCUCUCACCUUGGAUUGAGAAUUCAGAGGUCUAACUUGUUGAUGACUCGAGGGGAUACGGUUAUGGUUGGGUAAAUUUGCAUUCAGUAGCGGAGUUUCCAUGCCAUUAUAGUUUGACCAGCCACCAAUGUUAUUAUCACUUUCUUCAAAUGGCUUAUACUCUAAAAACUCGAAACCUAUUGUUGAAGAUCUAUUGAACAAGGGAUCAAAGAAAUCAUCAGUAAUUGAUGAUGAUUCUGCAAUAGGCAAGUCGUUAAGGUAAGGAAAAUCUUUCAGAAAAUCCUUUUGCCUGGUUGCUGUCCAUGCAAGAUUCUUUAUGGAUUUCAGGUUCUAAAGAACUGGUUGGUAAAGAAAGCUUUUGAUUGCUGUCUUGGUCCCUACAUUUCUAGUUAAGUUCCACGGAGCAGUGUUUAUCUUCUUUCUCCGCUUCUUAGCCAAAAUAGGAAAAAUUAGGUCUUAUUUAAUGAGUUUUUGAGUCUGGCAAGACAGUUACCCAAAUAGAAAAUCUACACACCAGAAAGAACAAAAGAAAAUGUUAAUUAUGAUUUAAUGCUUAUUUAUGUUGUGAUAGUAAUAUAAGAAUACAAUGGAUUACCGUCAUCCCAGCAAGCAUGAAACACUCCAGGCAUGUAGGAAAUUAAUGGAUACCAGUUCUAGUUAAAUUUCUUUUGUUUUUUCCUCUUUGACUUUCUGUUUAAUUAUCUCAUUUUACAUCUCAUUUUACACUAUUGUUAUCUUGGCAAAGUGAUUGUGGAACUCUAUUUUGAUGGAUUUUUAUGUUGUGAGCUUUAAAGGUAAUGGGGAAAAUUAGAAUAGAAAGAAUCGGAAUAAGAAAAGAAAAUGUGUUUCAGAACAUAAGUGACAUUUGACUGAUAUCUGUGAUAGAAGCAUAAAGAAUAAUUAAAUUAAUAGCAGAGGAUUUGCCUAUCUGUUUAACAAUUGCGAUUAAUUAAACUUGUCUACGUUGCACUAAAAUUAUCCACUUAGGCUUCCCAAAAAAAAUUUUGCACUAAAGCUGCACAAAAUGCAGGAAAAAAAUGAAAGCAAUGUAAUUUCCAUUUGAAAAAGUCAUUAUAGGAAAUCAGUCAAGAAUAUGGCCCUCAAUUGGAUGGGAUUAAUCUAAGAGAUGGGAUUAAUGUUCUAAGAGAGUUUAGGAAAAUGCAACUGGAGGCUGCGCCUAUUAAGAUGUAGUUGCAGAAAAGGAAGACUUUGAGAGUAUGGUGAGUAAUUGGACUCAUUGGAUGAACUGUUGCUGAUUGAAAAGCCCAGUUGUCUAUAUUUUUCUACAAAUUGGUUAAGGAGUGAUGAGUUUUAUGAAAUUGUGGGAAGUGGGAUAUUGGAAAUUAGACAAAUGAUUAUGUUGGACUCAUUGAAAAUGAAGUUUGUUCUGAAGAGUAUCAAAAAAAAAAAAAUUAGCCUGAAAUAGAGGCUAUCUAUCUUGAAGCCAACCUUCUUAGUGUACACUAACAAGAAAAAUCAGUUCAUCAUACAAUGGAAAAACUUGAAGAUAAGAAGACUAGACGAGGACUAUAUAAAUAAAUAAAUGUCUUUAAAGUCAACAUAGAUGACUGUCUGGUAGAGUAUUUUUAGAAUCAACGAGCCUUAAGACAAGGUGAUCCAGUGUCCCCCUACUUGUUCUUGAUAGCUAUGGAAGUAUUUUUUUUUCUUUUGUUUGAGAGAAGCAUCAUUAUGCAAAGUUUUGAUUACCAUCCUAAAUGCUGUCAAUUGGGGAUUUCUCAUAUAAUAUUUGCAAACGACCUAUUCUUAUUAUCUGCUAGAACAAUUCCAUCUAUGAAUAUAUUUAAAUAGGCGCUGCAACAGUUUGAAUGGUUGUCUUGAGUUAAACCUAAUCUCUCUAAAUGCAACACAUUUGCUGCUGGUAUAUAUGACAAUUGAAAACACGAUGAGAAUUGCAAUCUGAUGGCAUGGUCAAAGGGACAUUACCAGGUAUUUGACUGGUAGUACCCCUUAUUUCUUCCAAGCUAUCUGCUAGUGACUAAAAGGUGAUUGUUGAUAAAAUUCUUGCACGAGUAGAAGGCCUGAACACAUAGGAGUUUGAGCUAUGGUAGCAGACUCUAACUUGUUAAAUUAGUGCUAUUUAGUAUGGAAUGUUACUGCUGUCCUAUAUUCAUCCUUCCUAAAGGAAUUACUAAAAAGUUAAAAGUUGAACGCUGCUUGGCUCCUUCCUCUGGUCUGGAGUCGAUUUAUACGCUCACAAAACUAAGGUGGCUUGGCAUGAAGUUUGUAAACUAUUUAAUGAAGGUGGUUUUGGUAGUCAGAACCUAGCAUUAGGGAAUAAAUGUGUCAUUAAUUAGUUGGCAUAUUUAGAACAUUAUCAACAAGAAAGAAACCUUAUGGAUUAUGUGGGCUCAUUCAUUCUUAUAAAAAGAUAGAUCCAUAUGGGCUAUUAUCUUCCUUUCUCUGUGAUUAUUUGGUUAUCUUCAUUUCUCUCCCAUGAAAUUUGACAGAAAAUGUAGCAAUGAACCAACUGGCUAUCAACAACUUUCCUUGCCAACCAAUAACCUCAAAUGGACAGAGAACGUUGCACGAACUAUCAAUGAAAGGAUGUUGUUCAAGAUUUUUAGCACCUUGAUGACUUAUCCUUUACAGGAUCAUCAUUCAAUCCUCAGUUAAUUAGGAAUCCAAACAAUUUCUUAUGAUUCUUUUGAUCUUUUCCUUAAUGGAUCUUCAAUAAUAGGUGACGAGUUUUAGAGUUCAAGCCACUUGAAGAACAGGAUAAUAACAAUGGUGGUUUGUCAAACUACAGUGGUAAGGAAACCCGAUACUCUAUGCAAAUUCAUAUGACCAUAAUCUUAAACCUUGAAUCAUCAAGCAGUUUAUCCCCAAAUUUCUCGAUCCAAGGUAAGAGCUCUUGCAUAGCUGCUGAUAGUGUUUUUCACAGAGAGACUAGCAUAAAAAGAAAUAAUGGCAGAUUUUUCAAUAGUGUAUCAUCGUCUUUGAUGAAUAAUCUAGGGCAUGAUAAAAGAAAAUCUCUAAAUCAGCAAAGAAGCAAUGCACCCUUGAAGAAGCUAGGUAAAGUAUUUUUUUUCCAAAUAUGUGAUGAGAUUUUGAAAGUUUUUAUACUAUUAAUUAAUUAGGUUAACCUAAAAUUUUGUAUGCAUUAAUGUUGAUUUGGUCCUAGUUAUGUAUAAGUAGGCAACUAAGAGGGGAUAAUGUUCUCAAAUUGCUAAGAUGCAAAGAAUUGGGAAGUAGUAUAGAAAAAGAUGGUAAAAUCAUUUGAGGCUAUUGGUAUGCAAAGAGGAAAAAGAAUGACUUUCAAUAUGGAAAAUCUCAGUUUCUUUCACUCUUUUAUUUCUUCAUUCUACAAUCUAUCUAAAAAGGGAAAAAGUAGCAAUUCUUGUCUAAAGGCCAUAUGUUAGAAUUAAAUCCACUACAAUUGAAAUAUGAUAUGGGAAGUGGAGAUAAUGGAAUUUUAGAAAAUCACUUUUUGGUUUCAAAUUAAAUUGCUCUCACUUUUUCCUUUCUUGGUGCUUUCUUUGUGCAGGUUUAGUGCAUAACUAUGGUAAAAAUUAUAUAAGUUUAAUUAGUCAUGUCAAGUCACCUUAAAUAAGUCUCGAACUAAGAGAUUGACAAAUUUUGGCAAAUUUACUUUUAUAAUUAAUUUAGCUACUGACAGAUUUACUUUGAGAAGAUAAAUUUCAAGUCAGUAUCACAUAUGGAGUAGCAGUAGCCUUCUUAAGUUCUUAUUUCAGUUCUCUCUAACAAACAAAGAAUUUUGCAUGGAUAGCCAUAAAACCGAGGAUUUUCUCCAAGAUUCGUAGCACCUUGGUGACUUAUCUAUUUCAAAAUCAUCAUUCAGUCUUGACUUAGGAAUUGAAAUGACUGGUUAUGUUCCUUUUGAUCCCCUCGAUAACGGAUGUUCAAUGGUACACUUCAAUUUUUUAGAGUUUAAGCCAUCUGAAGAACAUGAUUAUAACAAUUGUGGCCCGUUAAACUGUACAGGUAAGGAUAUUCAUCUGAGCAUAAUCGUAUCCCUUUGAGUGGGUUAUUCUCAGGGACACGUUGAUAACCCGAAUUACAAGUUGGUUUGUACCAGAUCCACUAACCAUGCUGAAGUGGUUCGGGUUCAGUUUGACCCUACUGUUUGCCCGUACACUAAUUUGCUCUCUCUUUUCUGGGCCCGCCAUAAUCCCACCACUCUUAAUCGUCAGGUGAUGAUGUUGGCACACAAUACCGGUCAGGAAUAUACUACUAUAAUGAGACCCAGGCUCAACUAGCAAAAGAAUCACUAGAAGAGAAGCAGAAUGAAUACAAGGACAAGAGGAUUGUGACUGAAAUUCUUCCUGCAAAGAUAUUUUACAGAGCCGAGGAGUACCACCAGCAAUAUCUUGAGAAGGGUGGAGGGAGAGGUAACAAACAGUCUGCUGCAAAAGGUUGUAAUGACCCAAUCUGAUGCUAUGGUUGAUGCAGGAGACAUUGCAGCCAUCAUACUCGAAUAAGGCUGUGAAGUAACACAUUUCGUGAUAUGUUGCAUUUAUGCGAUUAGACUUUUAACUCUACUUCACAUUGCAUAGUUCUAUUAUAAUGUAAAUGCUUUCAGCUUCUAAGUUUAAACCUUUGGGCCAACCUGUGAUGUUUAUCAUAAUCACCUAAUGUAGCAAAGCCUGAACUAUCAUAUUUUGGCUACUUGUAUUAUAUAUAAUAUGGAGAUAUCUCUUGCAGAACAAAAAAAAAAUCCCUUUGAGUCAUCAAGAAGUUAAAUUUCCCCUAAAUUUCAAGGUCCAAGAGGAGAGCUCCUGCAUGGCUGGCACUGUUUAGUACAAAGAGACUGUGAAAAAUAAAUAUUAACAGAUUUUCCAAUAAUACCUCAUCUUCUUUGUCAAAAAAAAAACCAGGUGGGGAUCAAAUAAUAUCUAAAAUCAGUAAAAGAGCAAUUUAUGGACCAUCAAAUAAGAUGGGGCAAUUAAUUUUUUCAAAAAAUUUGAUGAGAUUUUGGUAGUUUUUUGUUUUAUUAUGGGUUUGCCAAAAAUUUCUAUUUUCUUUCUGUAAUUAUUUAUGCAUUACUUUUGAUCUCGUCCUUCUGAUUAUGCAUAAGCAAGCUACUAAUCCAUCCUGUAAAUAAAUUUGGGAUGGAAAAAUGGUCUUGAAUUGCUAAGAUGCUGAAAUUUCUUAUUCUUUAUGUGAUUUUUCCUUGAAAUAUAUUCAUAUAAAAGUAAGAAUAUGAUAAAAUAAUCUUAAUAUUCCAAUCUACAAAUUUUCUCCUUUCUGCUCUAUCAUUUCCUACUGUAGAAAUCAAAGGCCAAAACAUUGGAAACAAUUUUGAUAACUAGGUUCUUUAAUACACUUGUUCAAUUCCUUAUUCAUUGUCCUGUAUAGAAGGAUACAUGGACAAAGGAGGAAGGCAUGAUCUUAAUCAAGGUUCAUGCUGAAAUAGGGACAAACAUUGGCAUAAAUUGCAAAAAAGAUUGAAAUGUUGAGAAAAUGAGACUUGCUAGUACCAGAAUUUUAGUUGCUUUCACUUUUUCUUUCUUGGUGCUUUGUUUGUGCAUCUUUAGUGCGUAAUUACGUUGAAAAAUAUAUAAGUUUAAUUUGUUAAUCAAGAGACUCAAAACAUUUGAAAUAAGUCUAUAAUUAACAUUAAACAAGAUCUUGGUACCAACAUGAAAUCAUAAUUAACAUUCUUUUCUUCUUUUUUGGAGCGUAUAUUGUUUAUUUAGGCAACCGCUCGAACAGAAUCAAGAUUGCAAUAAAUAACAUAUGUACCACUUGGUUUUUGCCCACUUAGGCAAGGCAGUCAAGAAAGAAGUAAACACUACAGCAUUUGGUUAUCUUUUGUGGCCUUUUGGUUAUCCUCCUAUCUCUGCCAUGGAGUUUAACAGAAAAUGUAAUAACCAACCAGAUGCAAUCAACAAGUUUUCUUGCCAACCAAUUCGUCGAAACAUCAAAUUGAUAAAGGAUUUUGCUUCUCCAGGAUUUUGAGCACCUCGAUGAUUUAUAUUUACCAGGAUCAUCAUUCAAUCUUGACUUAUCAAUCCAAGCUACUGGUUAUGAUACACUUGAUUCAUUCUUUAAUGGAUCUUCAAGAAUGGAGUGUUAAGAGUGUUAGGACUGGCCCCAGGAAAUUGACGAAAGGAUUUUUGGCAAUUUUAAAAGACAAAUAACAAAGCAGAAAUAAAUAAAACAGGAACACAAAAUUUAACGUGAUUCGGUCAAAUUGACCUACGUCCACGGGUGGAGGAGAAGCAAUAUUUUACUAUGAAAAAGAGAAUACAAAAGUGCCUUAGGAAAGUGUUCCUAGGCCCCAAAACACCGAAUAUUAAAAAUACAAGAGAGUCCAAAAUAUUUAAUAAAAGAUUUAAUGACCCAAAGGCCCAAAUAACCCACUAAUGUUUUCUUGGUUUGGUGCACUUAACUCCAACACAAGCCUCCUAUAUUUAUAGUUGAAUAAGGGGAGGUUUCUUUAUUGAUUUUCUGAUGUGGGAUAACCACACUAACAAAUCUCCACCUUGACAUAUCCCCAACAUCGACAAUAGCAAAAUUGUUCUACCUUCUCUACAUAAGUCCCAAUGGGUCUAAAUCACCAACAACGAAUAUCAAUCCAAAUCAAGCAUUGCUUGAACUUAUAAAUUGGAAGAGGUUUUGCGAACAUGUCAGCAAUAUUCUUCUUGGUGCUGAUUUUCUGAACAAGGACUUUUCCCUCAGCAAUAGUAGCUCGAAUGAAAAGAAAUUUCACAUCAAUGUGUUUCGUCCUCUCAUGAUACAUCUGGUCUUUAGUCAAAUGAAUGGCACUUUAGCUAUCACAGUAAAUAGUAGUAACACCUUGAUGUAGAUUAAAUUCACCAAAUAGACUCUUCAACCAUAAGAUUUCUUUGAUUACCUCGGUCAUGACCAUAUAUUCUGCCUCCGUAGUAGAUAAAGUUACAAUAGGUUGUAAAGUAACUUUCUAACUAACUGCACAACCACCAAUGCAAAAUACAUAACCUGAAAGUAAUCUACUCCUGUCAAGAUCCUCGGCAUAGUCAGAAUCUACAAAACCAACCAAAGUGUCAUUAUUUCGCUCAAACUCCAAACAGCAGUUUGAAGUCCCUCGCAAGUAUCUGAAAAUUCACUUCACAACCUGUCAAUGUGUUUUUUCAGGACAAGACAUAUAUCUGCUAACCACACUGACUACUUCUGCAAUAUAUGGACGAGUACAAACCAUUGCAUACAUAAUGCUGCCGAUUGCAUUUGAAUAAGGAACCCGUGUUAUAUACUCUUCCUCUUCAACUGACUGUGGUGACUGAGUAGCAGAUAGUCGAAAAUGACUAGCAAGAAGAGUAGUCACAAGUUUAGCAUCUUUCAUGCCAAAUUUCUCCAAAACCUUCUCAAGAUAAUUUUCUUGAGUCAAGAAUAAUUUUCUAACUCCUCGGUCUCUUUUGAUCUCCAUGCCAAAAAUUUUCUUAGCUGUUCCCAAAUGUUUCAUUUCAAAUUCACUACUUAACUCCAAUUUCAAAGUGUGAAUUUCUGACAAAUUCUUAGCAACAAUGUGCAUGUCAUCAACAUAAAGUAACAAAUAAAUGAAAGAUCUAUUAUCUAACUUCUGGAAAUAAACACAACUAUCAUACAUGCUCCUUGAAUAACCAUGACUCAACAUAAAAGUGUCAAAUCUCUUAUACCACUGUCUUGGAGACUGUUUCAAUCCAUAUAAGGAUUUGUUUAGCAAACAAACAUGGUCUUCCUUUCCUUCAACUUCAAAUUCUUGAAAUUGCUUCAUAUAAAUUUUCUCUUCAACUUCACUAUGCAAAAAAGCUGUCUUAACAUCAAGCUGCUCCAACUCCAAAUCAUUCAUGGCAACUAAAACAAGCAAAACACGAAUAGAACUAUGUUUAACAAUAGGUGAAAAUAUUUCAUUAAAAUCAAUACCUUGUACCUGACUAUAGCUCUUUGCAACCAAUCGUGCUUUAUACCUUGCAUUUUCAACCCCUGGAAUACCUUCUUUUUUCUUGAAAAUCCAUUUGCAUCCAACAAUUUUCUUAUUUGGAGGCGGCUUCACAAGAACCCAGGUAGCAUUUCGAUAAAGAGGCUCAAUUUCUUUAUUCAUCGCAACCAACCACUUAGCAGAAUCAUCACAAGAAAUCGCAUCUGAAUAGGUAAUAGGCUCAUCAACUACAUCAAUUUCUUCUGCAACAGAUAAAGUAUAUGCAACCAAAUUUGCAUAUAUUUGUGGUGGUCGAAUAUCCCUCCUUAGUCUAUCUCUGGUAAUGAAAUAUUUUCCUCUUCUGAAUUAUUUUCAUCAGUAGAUUCAGAUGUAUCUACUGGCACUUGUUGAAUAUAAGGACCAGAACUACCAAUUUCAAGCUCCACCUGCUUCUGCAUACUAUCAUCUAUUUGACAAGAAAUAGACGACUACUUCUUGGAAGAUAAUAUAGAAAAUUCAUCAAAAGUAACAUCUCUACUGAUUAUAAAUUUUGGAGAUUUGGGAUCAGAACACCAUAAUCUGUAUCCUUUCACCCCAGAAGCAUAUCCAAGAAAAAUACACUUUUUAACUCGAAAUUUUAAUUUUUCAUCAUUUACAUGCAUGUAUGCUGGACACCCAAAAAUUUUAGAAUCAGAAUAAUCAGCAAGAGUACCUGACCAAAUUUCCUCAGGAGUUUUGAAAUUAAGAGCAGCAGAAGGACCACGGUUGACAAUAUAAGAGGCCAUAGAAAUUGCCUUUACCCAAAAGUCCUUUGUCAACCCUGCAUUAGAGAUCAUGCAUCUCGCUCUCUCCAAAAGUGUUCUGUUCAUACGCUCAGCCACACCAUUUUACGAAGCCGUCAUCCUGACGGUGUGAUGCCGAACAAUUCUUUCAUUUUUACAAAAUUCAUCAAAUUUUCUUUCAUAAAAUUUCAUGUCAUUAUCUGUUCUCAGCCGCUUGAUUUAUUUACCUGUUUAUUUUUCAAUCAAAACUUUCCAUUGCUUGAAAGUGAGGUAAACAUCAUUCUUAUGUUUAAGAAAAUUAACCCAAAUUUUCAUUGAAUAAUCAUCAAUGAAAGUCAACAUAUACUUGACACCACCCUUAAACGGAAUACGAGAUGGACCCCAUAAAUCUAAAUGAAUAUAAUCAAGAGUACCUUUCGUCUUAAGGAUUGCUGGAGAACGGAAGCUAACUCUUUUUUGCUUCCCAAAAAUACAGUGUUCACAGAAUUCCAAUGACCCAGUACUUUGACCACAAAGAAGUCCUCUUUUGCUUAGAAUGUCGAAACCUUUCUCGCUCAUAUAUCCCAAACGCAUAUGCCACAAUUUGGUGAUGUCAGAAUCAGACAAUGAUGGCGAUGACGAAACUGCAACCGAGCCUGUGACAGUAGAUCCCUGCAAAACAUAUAAGCUACCAACCCUGCAAACUUUCAUUAUAACGAGAGCACCUUUAGAAACCUUCAUAACGCCAUUUUCAGCUGUGUAUUUGCACCCAAGAACCUCUAGGGUGCCCAAAGAGAUGAGAUUCUUUUUCAAAUUAAAAACAUGUCUAACAUUAGUGAGCGUCCUCAUAAUACCAUCAUGCAUUUUAAUUCGGAUUGUACCCUUACCAACAACAUUGCAAACGGCAUUAUUGCCCAUUAAAACAAUUCCACCAUUAUAAGAUUCAUAAGUGGAAAAUAAAUCCCUAUUGGGACACAUGUGAUAAGAGCACCCCGAAUCUAAAAUUCAUUCAUUUUUAGAUCUUGUCCUGUCAUCAGUCACAAAAAAAAAUAUUUCCUUCAUUCACAUCAACUGCAAUACCAGUUUCGGUAGUCUCAAUAUUUUUCUCACCAGAUUUUCCCUUUUGUUUCAAUUUAUUUUUUAAUUUGAAACAAUCUGCCUUAAUGUGCCCAUUUUAUGACAAUAAUUGAAAUUCACAUUUCUAUUUCUGGAUUUAGAUCUAGAUUCAGAUCUAUUUUUGUCAAAUUCUCUUCUCUCAUUUCUACCCCUAACAACCAGACUUUCUGCCUGACCUCCACUAAAUUUUUCAAUAAUAUCCCUAUCUAUAUGCUCCUUAGAUUUUAAUGCAGAUUUAAUUUUUCGAUACGAAAUUGUUUAUUUUCCAUAAAUCAUAGUAUCGGAAAAAUAUUUAAAAGAUUGGGGAAGAGAACACAAAAGUAACAGGGCCUGAUCCUCAUUAUCAAUUUUCGAAUCUAUAUUCUCCAAAUUCAUAAUAAUGGAAUCAAAUUUAUCAAGAUGUGAGAGUAUAAAUGUACCUUCAGUCAUGUGAAGCAUAUAUAGAUUUUGAUUUAAAUAAAACCCAUUCUCAACUGUCUUCUUCAUAUACAAGGCCUUAAACUUGUCCCACAUGGCCUUUGUCGAAGUCUCAGUGGCUACCUCCCGCAAAAUCUCAUCAGAGAAAUUUAAGAUAAUACUGGAUCUUGUCUUCUUAUCCAUCUCAACAAAAUUUGCAUUUGUUACAUCCUCUGACUUUUUCUCGAUUCCGUGUACGCUAGAUCAACUCCGUCUUGAACCAAAAUGGCCUCCAUCUUGAUCUGCCGCAUCCCAAAGUUGACAUUUCUGUCGAAUUUCUCGACAACAGUCUUUGUUAUUGUCAUUGUUGCCACAAAAUUCAAAACCUCCGAAUAACAAUGAAUAGGUCCCACAAGAUGAGCGGACCCUACAGGCUGACCUCACAGACAAGUCCUAUUGGCCCUAUAGGAGGACCCCACUGCCACAAGUGGAGCCCACGGGCCCCACAAGCAGGUCCUACUGGUCCCACAGGCGGACCCCACAAACAGGUCCUAUUGGCCACAAAUGGACCAGUGUCCAAGGAUAUCUUUUCUGAUGUAGAAGAUCAGAUUUAACCGCGACCACGGAGCAUAUUCAGAAUGACCUCAAGCUCUGAUACCAGUUUGUUAGGACUGGCCCCAGGAAAUUGACGAAAGGAUUUUUGGCAACCUCAAAAGACAAAUAACAAAGUAGAAAUAAAUAAAACAGGAACACAAAAAUUUACGUGGUUCGAUCAAAUUGACCUGCGUCCACGGGCGGAGGAGGAGCAAUAUUUUACUAUGAAUAAGAGAAUACAAAAGUGCCUUAACAAAGUGUUCCUAAGCUCAAAACACCUAAUACUAAAAACACAAGAGAGCCCAAAAUAUUUAACAAAAGGUUUAAUGAUCCAAUGGCCUAAAUAGCCCACUAAUACUCUCUUGGUUUGGUGCACUUAACUCCAACCCAAGCCCCCUAUAUUUAUAGUUGAAUAAGGGGAGGUUUCUUUCUUGAUUUUCUAAUGUGGGAUAGCCAUACUAACAAAGAGUACAACCCAUUUGAAGAAAAUGAUAACAACAGUGAUAGCUUCUUGAACUAUAUUGGUAAGGAAACUAUAGUCUGGAUGCAAAUUCAUCGGGUUGGAAAUUCGAAUCACCUUGAAUCAUCAAGAAGUUAAUCUCCUAAAUUUCUGUCUCCUAAAUGAGAGCCCUUGCAUAAUUUCCAAUAAUGUCCUGUCUUCUUCGAUAAAAAAGCCAAGGAGAGGUCAAAAAUUAUCUAAAUAUGCAAAGGAGCAACGGACCCUCGAAGAAGAUAGAUAAAUGAAUCUUAUUUCCAAACAUCUGAUGAUUUAGGGAUUUAAACAACUGUUGAUGAUUCUGUUGAUCCCUUCUUUGCUAGAUCUUCAACUAUAGGUUUCAAUUUUUUAGGGUUUAGGCCAUUUGAAGAAAGUAAUAAUAACAAUGGUGGCUUGUCAUGGAAACCAGUUGUACUAUGCCAAUAUGUUACCUAAAUUACCCCUAAAAAAGUCGGAUGAAAAACAACGAACAGUCAAAUACCAACUCCUUUUUAUAUAUAUAUAGGAUUUGUGAAACACUAGGAUUAAUCAAAUAACUUAUGAGAUCUGAUUGCAGUUUGCUUUGUGAUCUGUACUUCUGUAUUUAAAUAACUGAACAGUAAAAGCAAAAUUCGUGAACUUGAAGUUUUAUAACCUGAGAAAUUUAAUUAAAAAUAUAUGAUAGGGUUUAGGUUUUUUUUUUUUUUUUAGUGAAGUGGAAGGACUUGAAUCCGAAACUUUUCACUUACAUUCCUUCCUUCGGAACUAUCCAACCCAUCCCUCAACCCAAGGUUUAGGUUAACAAAGAGGAAGAAGUAAUUAUAAAAGAUUGUAUAUCGUGUUAAAUUAGUUACAAUAUUCUUUCUAAUAGUUGUCCCUACAUAUAUAACGUAUAUACUCAUUAUAAUAAUUUUUUUGUAAAAUUAAUAAAAAAUUUCCUAUUUGAAGAUUAAUUCAUGUUUUGUCUUGUAUUAAGUAAAUGUUGUAGAAUUAAUUUUAAUUCAAAUUUUCAUAUAAUGACCACUGCUUUUGAAGGAACAUAGUAGCCUGUUCAUUGCAUAGGAUUAUAGCAAGUGCCAAAUAGUGGCGGAUCUUCAAUGGGGGCACUAGUCCCCACUGGCCCCUAAAUUUUACUAGCAGCCUCACAAUUUUCUUAAAAUUGCACUAUUACCCUCACUAAAUUGUUUAGAAGUAAACAUAAAAAUGAAUAGUUUUGUAACUUGAUGGAGAGGGACUAUUAAAGAAUUUAAAACAAAAGGCCUUUUUCUUCAAUCAUUUAAUUUUCUUGGAACUCGUAAUAAUUUGUUAAUUAUUAGUUAAUUAAUCGAUUGGAUUUUUUCUUUCAAGAAAACAAGAAAAUACAAAAUAUCUACUAAUGCGUAAAUCAAGAGUAGUUUUUUGGAUGAGUUAAAAUCAAUCAGAUGUGACUUUUUUCCAUAAAGCAGAUGAGACUGUUAUUAAUUAAAAAAAAAAGAUCUGCAGGUCCAUUAGGAACUAUUAAAGAUUUCUUAUGAUUUUAAAAGAAAAUUACUGGUCCAUUAUUUAAUUUGAGUAUGUUGCUUUAGUUAUAUUAUUGAUGAAACAAUGCAAUACUCCCUCCCCUUUUUUAUAACUGACGUUUAAGGUUUUGCACACCAAUUAAGAAAAGUUUUUCAUUGUUUAAAUCUAUACACUACUUUCCUUUUGUACCCUCAUUAAUUGUCCAAUUCACCCAUGUUUUCUCUCACUAGAGUAUUAAAUGGUGCUGUUUUACUAGGCCAAAAGCAAUGCAAACUAACUCCCACCAAUUAUGAAAAGAGAGAUAAAAGGGUAAAAUUGUGAAAAAAUAAUUAAUGCUGCAUGGGGAUAAUAAAACGACAGAUAAAAGUACUUAAGAGCAAAUUUCUUAAACGUCAAUUAUAAAAAAAGGGAGGGAGUACUUUUUAUGUGAAUAUUGUUGUUAUGUCCUAUUUUUAGCAAAGACAAAAAAAGAAAUUUCCAUCUUGUAUUUGCUCCCAGUAAAUGUACUCUUGACUCUGCAACUGGUUUGUAAAGAUUAAAAGCUAUUGAUGAUAAGCUAGGAUAUUAAAGACGAUGAGAAAGAGAAAGAAGGAAAGUGACAAAUAGAAUGUGGGAUGAUUAAAGCUUGUGAUUGAUGUCCCUUAUGCACGAAACAUCUAUUUAGAGAAGCCGAUUUGUUUGAAAUUAGUGUCGUAUAAUGGAAAUAAACGGAUAGUUUAGUGAAAUAAUGCAUCAGUUGACAGCGGAAAGCAAGAUUACAGAUCUUAUCAGUUACCUUGACCAAUUUAUAUAAACAUGCAUCACGAGAUAUUCAAGAAUAUCCAAAGAGAGAUGAUGCAGAUUUCAGUUAAUCAAUUAAAAGUUGGCAUCAUUUAAUGCAAUAAUUGGUGAAAUAUAUAUAUAUAUAUAUAUAUAUAUAUAUAUAUAUAUAUAUAUAAAAUGAAAGAAGAAAUUUGGUAUCUAAUAGCUAAGGUUUCAAAUCAGUCAAACUCAAUGGAAUCACUCGUUGACUUGCUCAUUUAAAGUUUGAAUCAAAACUCGCAUUAAUCAAAUUUAAGUCAAAAAAUAUGUAUAAAGAAAGAAGAAAUUUGGUAUCUAAUAGCUAAGGUUUCAAAUCAGUCAAAACUCAAUCAAAUCACUCAUUGAGUUGCUCAUUUAAAGUAGUUUGAUUAAAACUCGCGUUAAUUAAGUUUAAGUCAAAUUCUAGCUGUUCAAUUAGUUUGACAAGCUCACUAACUUGUUGGAAGUCAUCACUUCAAACUUAUCUCACACUUCAAAAAUGCUACUAAAACUAUUUCCUCUGUCUCAUUUUAUUGUCUUGAUUUUUUUUUGGCAUUUUAAAUUCUAUUUAGUUUGUCUCAAAUUAAUUAUUUGUCAAAAUCUUAAAAAAGAAAAAAAGGAACUAACCUCCCCAUUUUAUUCUUCAUGCAAUUUUCAAAUAGGGCAUUAAUAUCAUGUUUCAACAUUUAAUAUAUACUUUAAUAAAACAUUGUAAUAUUUGAAAAUUCAGAUAAAUUAACCAAAUUCAAAUCUAAAUUAAGAAGUAAUCACCCAGAAAGUUACUUGUUUCAAGGCACGUCGAUACUAUGCUGUAACUACAACACACUAAAUUUAUCCAAAAACAAGAUAACAACACAUAUUAAACCAUGAUAUUCCUGUUUCACAGCUCUACGAACGAGGUCUAAUUAAAGCAAAAGUUUCGACAUUAGCAGGGAUACUCCCAACUUCUCCCCCCUCCUCAAGUACAGAGAACACCUCUGCAAUCAUGCUAUGGGUGGCCAUGUCUCUCAGGUUCUGAAAUUUGCAUGCAAGAAUUCAUUAAUUCCCCAAAUUGUCUUGUGAUUUUAUGGAGGACUACAAGAGAGAAAGAAACACAAUGAAGUAGUUUAGUCACUAGAAUUGUUCAAAUGUAUGUAUUAUAGUUUUACAGCAGUACAAACUGGACAGAGUCCAUAUGGAAUACAUAUAGUCUAUAUAGAUAAGGUCUAAGAACAUUAUAUUUGCUAUACUGAACAUGGAUGAGUCUCUCAUCCAUCACACACUGCAUCUACAUUGCAGCAUUAUUCAUAAGCCAAUGACACAAACAAUAAACCAUUGGUAUUACUAGUGCAACUGUCACCGCUUGAGGUCUUCUAUUACAUGUUUCCACAUUUCUUUGUCACACAGCUUCUUAAAAUGACAAAUGUCCCGUACAGAGAGAGAUUUCAAAACUUGGACUCUUAUUUAUCAUUGCAUAGUACAGGUGUUAAUCAGAUAGAUAGUGUAACAAAAGUAUAACGGGAAAAGUUGUAAUAGGGGAUCCUUUGCCUUUGUUCUUCAAUAGAGCAUUGCGGAGAUCAUGAUAUUUGUUGGCGCACAAUUGUGGAGCAUUGCAGUCACUGCUGCAUGCAAAUACACAAAAUGCAUAACAACCAAAUUUUUUCCACCAGACUUGCUUUUCACAGCAUUUGAAAGCGUUUUCACAAUCGUUUUCGCAAAAUUUUUGGAGAUUUUCCAGCUCAUCACUUGAUGAAGAUCCAGGAAAACGAAGAUGUACCACCUCUCCGACCCUGUUGGGAACCGCCCCAACAAAGGCUGUGGUGAACAGCAUUAGCACGAUGAGUUGGGCUGUGAAAAUCUUCCCAGUCGUGUUAUCGGCCAUGAUCCCUUUAUUGUGAGGAUUAGAUUGGAGAGACUAAGUUCUUUGCAGUUGAUUAUGAGCUAUAGUUUGGUAACUUGUAGCUAGUUGUAUGAAUAAAGCUCCACGGAUUAUGCAGCUAUUUAGAGUUUGCUACAUCUCGAAGUGACAAAAAAAAUGAUGGUGAUUCUUUUUAAACUCAAAUCUUGGUAUAGUAGUUUUGCACAUGUCAUUUGUUUACAAAAGAAUAAAAUACCAUGAUAAGACACAAAAGGGGCACGAGGAAAUCAUUUACCAUAUGAAAGUUUCUGCAUUCAUGUCAACUUGUGCAUGCUUGGACUGCAUUGGUCUCCUGGCACAUAAAGUAGCUACAUACGUACGAAAAAUACUUGUGAAAGCUUAAUCGACAAGUGUAUAUAGCAGAUAAAUUUUUUUGCAUCAUCAUGCACAUGUAUUUGCCUUAUUAUAUUAUUUUCUGUUAAUGUCAAAGGAAUAGUAGGUUUCAGAUUAAUGUAUGUAAAUAAGUGAAAUUGUAAUCCUUAAGAAUCAGCUUAGCUGGAACAUUAACCAAGUGACAGUGAGAUUUUUUAUCCUCUCGAAAAAUAAAAGGGUAAAUUACACUUUACCCCCUAUAAUUUAACGUUUUUUCACGUAACUUCCUAUGAUUUUAAAAACUAUAUAUAGUUUCCUUAUGAUUUGGAUUAAAAGUGCCAAAGUGAUGGAAUUUGUAUUUCAUAAUGGAGUCAACUAAAAUGCCAAAAAUAUCCAUACAUGAAGUUGUAAAUUAUUUAUUAAUCACAGUGAAAUUAUGUAUAUAUUUUGAAAGUUAUAAAGAGAUUAUAUGAUAAAACAUUAAAUCAUAAUGAAGUUAUGUGGUAAAAUACAAAACUAUAAAGAAUUAAAGUGUCAUGCAUAAAUCCCCUGAUUCACGAGGAAGCCAAGAAAAGAUAAAACAAACUCCUGAUUCAUGUGGAAAACAUUAACACCAAAAAGAAACUAAAUUCUUGAUCUACUAGGUAAUUACAUUAAGUAUUCAAAAGGCCCUGGUCAAGGAUAGGACAGCAAUACAUCAUUAUACUAUGGUCUUAGUUCAACCUUCCUGGGCAAGUAGUAUCAUAUUUAGGUGAGCAUGCUUUGAUACAUUUUCUUGCUACCUUGAGAUGUUGACUAACCACCAACUCCUUUCCCUGGAAAUCUUUAGCAUUGAAGACAUGGUCAUAGUAAUUAAAAUGAGUUGAAGAAGCUUGAACUUUAAGCAAGAUCAGUAAUUAGUGGUGCCGAUUUUGAGUUAUUUAUUAUCCCAUAUGGCUCAUUGUCUACUUGAACAAAUAUUAAAAGACAACUGAUGUUCUGCUAGGUUACAUUGAUAUGAGCAUCAGUGGAGGAUGAGCGGAAGCAGAAUUUUUGAGCCCCAAUCUCCACUUCUAUAGACUGACAAUGAAGCAGUCCAGGUUCAUGUAUAUUACAAGCGCAGUCCAGGUGGAUGGAGAUCAGCAUCUUUCAUGCUGGGUUAGUAAACAUAUAAAAGUACAUACAUAGUCCUACUAAGGUAUUUCCCAAUAAUUGCUAAAGUUCUUUAAGCAUUACCUUCUUUUUGUCCAAUUUUCUAAGAACUAGUAAUGAUUUAGAAGCAAAACAAAGUUUAUGCGGAAUGCAACCUGAUCAUUAUGAUUUGACUGGGUUGACUAUAAUCUAUAGCUGGAGGAUCUCUGAAGAGGUUUGCCUAUUAUGGAGUAGAAUCUAAUCUGAUUAGCUGUCUUACCGGACCACUUGGAGAAUCCGUGGCAACAGCAGCUGCAAAUGUCAAUACAUGGAUUGGUGUAGUUUCACUUGUACCAGUUUUAGGAGCAUAUUUGGCUGAUUCUUUCCUUGGUCGAUGUCGAUCAAUUAUCAUUGCUUCCAUUCUCUAUAUCUUGGUCAGCUCACAAUUUUAUUUUUAUAAAUUGUUAUUGGCAUUUCCUUGUUUGUUAAUGUAACUUUUGUGCACUUUUCUAGUCAUACAAAAAGAUAAAGAUAUCUACAUUUUUGUCACUUGAAGUAAAAUUUGACUAGAUGGGAGUGAUUGUGAAUGCAAUGAAGUAUAUGGGUACUUUAAUUCAAGUCAGAGGAUCAGAACCUCAAACGGCGAGCCAAAUACAAAUAAGGGGGUGAAAUUGUGAAAAUAACAAGUCUCCAUCUCUUUGGAAUUGUACAUACUUCAAGCUCUUAUUACUCUCUAUGGUGAUAGUGCUGAAAAUGUAGCAGGGACUUGGUUUUUUGAGACUCUCUGCAUCAAUUAGUCCAACUUUUCUCAGCAGCUCAAGCUAUCAAGCCAUAACCAAGAAAUCAGGCUUGGAUACGGGAAACCAAGUUUGUUUUUUGUCUCACUUUACGCGACUGCAUUGGCUAAAGGAUGUAAACCUUGUGUUCAAGCUUUCGGAGCUGAUCAAUUCAACGGAAAACAUCAGGAAAAGAGCAAAGCCAAGAGCUCAUUUUUCAAUUGGUGGCUCUGUGGCCUAUGCAUUGGUUCUAUAGCAGCACAUUUGAUCUUGCACUAUAUUCAAGACAACAUUAGUUGGACAAUUGGUUUUGGAAUUCCAUGUCAUGUUAUGAUUCUUGGGCUAAUUCUCUUUUUACUUGGACACGGACAUAGAACUUACUUUUUGAUGUUAAAAGAGGUGGUGAAGAGAGCCCUUAUAGGAGGAUCUACUGGGGCAUAGCUAAAGAGAGGGUGAUGCUUUGAUCAAUAGAGCACAGGCAUCAAGCAGUCAAGAAGAGUGUCAAGAAUAUUUGUUGUCGAAAACUCAACAAAGAUCUCAAGAUUAUAGGCAAGGAAAUAAUACCAGACCAGUAAGAAAUUUUUUGAUCAUACAAUAAAUUAUGGAGUUCUCAAUUAAAUCUUCCUGAACAAUUUAUCCAGUUACCAGAGAUUCAGAGAAGGUAACUCACCGUUUUACCCUUUAAGAAAGGAAAAUGAAAUCGGUCCAAUUUCUUUUGUGAACAGAAAUUUUGCAUUUUGUAGCCAACCUUUUCAAGAAUCUUCUGUUCUUUCCCUUUAUUAUUUUACAUUCAAUUAUGUCAAGUAGGCAAAGGUCUAAAAAGCUAAUCAAAGUUACUUUUACUUUAAUGUUUUGCUCAUCUCCGUAUUUACUACUUAUUUUCUUCUUUAAUGCAGAAAAAGGCUGUUCAUUCAACCUUUUUGGAAGAUUGGUGAAUAAUAUCGAAAUUUCCAGCACGAGUCUUUGCCUUUGACUGACCGACAUUGGAGAUGAAGAUGUCUUUUUUUCAUGCAGCUCACUUACAAGUUUUCUACUUCUUUAUUUCAAUAGCCUUUUGUAAAACUACCUUAUUUUGAUGUAAAAUUUGGGACGGAUAGACCACUUAUCGAAACAUUUGUUUUGUGAUGUAGAACUUAUAUGACAUUUGAAGAUAAUUUGUGGUAUAUUGGCAUCCAGCUUCUCAUGCAGUUAUUGCUUUUAUUUGUUAACAUGUCAAGAUAUAUUUUUUCUUUUUAUUUUAUCAUGAGUACUGUUGGCAAAAAAAAAUUAAUUGAAAAUUUUCAUUGACAAAUUAAGUUGUCACAGAAAAAACACCUAUCUAACAAAAAGAACUUCCUCUAUCACAACAUAAUGUCCUCACUAGCACCAAAUCAUAUUAUCGACAAAAACUGUUGUCGGUAACGUGACAAUAUAAGUGACAUCACCAAUUUUUAGUGAUGAUCUGCAUCCAGAUAUUUUUGACAACAGGUUCAAGUCAUCGAUAAAACUGGAUCCAUAAUGUCGUCACUAAAAAUGAUACAGUAUUUCAUUGACGACUUUUAAGGUCGUCAUUGGUUAUUUUUACCGAUAGAGGUGUAGUGACGACCUUUUGACGAUUUGAAAGUCACCAAUAAUUAUCGUUUGUGACGACUUUUUACUAUUCUGUGACAAUUCUAUGCUGUCACUGAUGACCUAUUUUCUUGUAGUGAUAUUAUGUUUAUAUAUUUUGAUUAUUUCAUUCAUUUCAGUUUUUAAACAAGAGUAAUCUUGACAUUUCUAUGGAUUCCAUUACAGUGGAUCAUUUCUGUCAAUUUGACAUUUUAAUCCAUAUCAUCAGAGAGUUUUAUAUAACUUUUGAAACUAUAGCCUUAUUUUAGUUCAAAAUUCGCUCUUGUUUUGCUAGAAUAACUAAAAAGAAUAAACAAAAUUCAUGAACUUAAAGUUUUAUAACCUAAGAAAUUUAAUCAACACUAUAUGAUAGGCGUUAGGUUAAUAAAGAGGAAGAAGUAACUAUAAGAGAUUGUAUAUCGUGUUAAAUUAGUUACAAUUUUCUUUCUAAUAGUUGACCCUACAUAUAUAUAAUGUACUAAACUCAAUACAAUGAAAUUUAUUUUGUAAAACUUAAUAAAGGUUUCUUAUUGGAAGAUUGAUUCAUGUUUCCUCUUGUAUUAAGUAAUGUAGUGGAAUUAAUUUUCAUUCAAAUUUUUAUAUAAUGACCACUGCUUUUUGAAGGAACAUGGUAACCUGUGUAUUGCAUAGGAUUAUAGCCAAUUUGGAACAGUAGAGGAUCCUCAAUGGGGCAAUAGGGACCCUCACUGCCCCACAAAAUUUAACUAGUAGCCUUACAAUUUUAAAAAAUUUUUAUUGUUGCUCCAAUAAAUUGACUAGAAGUUAACAUACAAAUGACUACUUUUUAAGGGACUAUUACUGAAUUUAAAACAAAAGGGCCUUUUACUUCAAAGAUAUAUUCAAUUCUCUUGGAACUUGUAAUAGUUUGUUAGUCGUUUUCUAAAUAAAUUGAUUGGGCAUUUUUUUUUCCAAAAAAGCAAAGAAAAUACAAUGUUCACUAGUAUGUAACUCAAUAUUGGUUUUGCUGCUUACUUAAAAGUAAUCCAUAAGUGACUUUUUUCAAUAAAGCAGAUGUGACUGUUACCAAUAGGGGAAAAAAAAUGGUCUACCAGGAACUGUUAAAGGUUUUUAUGAAAAAAAUGCAAUAGUUUUGAUGUGUAUAUUAUUGUUAUGUCCUACUUUUAGCUAAGACAAAAAAGAAAUUAUCAUUUUGUGUUUUCCCUCAAUAAAAUGUGUUCCUGAUUUUGCCACUGGUUUGAAAAUAAUAAAAGCUAUUGAUUAGAAGCUAAGAAAUCAAAGAAGGUGAGAACCAGAAGCAGAAAAGUGACACAUAGAAUAUCCAAUGAUUAAAGGCUGUGAUUUUUUUUUCUUUUGGAUCAAGACUAAAUGUUAUGAUUGAUGUCUCUUAAGCAUGAAGUGCCUAUCGUUAUUUUUCUGACAUAACUAUUAGAUUAAGGAUCGUGGCAAUGGCUCACUUUGAAACAAAUGUACUUUAGGGAAGUUGAUUGUGUGAAAUUAAUAUCGUAUAAUGGAUAUAAAUGGAUAGUUUAGUGAAAUAAUUCAUCAGUUAAAAGCGGAAAAGAAGAUUUGCCAAACUAAAGCAAGAUUAGAAAUCUUAUGGUAAGAUUCUUAUCAGUUACCUUGACUGAAUACAUAUAAUGAAAGGAGAAAUUUGAUACCUAAUAGCUAAGGUUUCAAAUGAGUCAAGUUAAAUCCAACUACUCACUAGUUUGUUCAAUUAAAAACUGAAUUAAAACUUGUAUCAACCGAGUUUAAAUCAAGCUCUAAAAGUUCAAAUAAUUUGACGUGCUCAAAUUCAAUAUGAUACUCGAAUAUUGAUUGAGUUUAUAAAGCAAGGUCAAAUGUCUAUUGUACCUCUUAGUUAAAAAUAUAUUAAAACAAUGAAUUUACUUUACUUAAACUCAAGUAGACUCGAUCACAUGCAAACUAUUACUUAAUUAAGGUUUUGUAUUGUGUUGAAGUUACUCGAGUCAAGUUCAGGUAAGCUAAAAUAUUAUCGAAACUUUAGUUCAAACUCAACUUUUGCUAGUAGUAGCUCUAAGUCAAACUCGAGUAUUGCACUGUCCGAUCUCAACUCAACUUGAUUGUUUCCCUAGUAAUAGCAAUUAGAUAUGUCACUUAAUAUGAUAUUCAUUUGCAUUUCUUGAUUUAGUGGCACGUUCCACUUCAUUGGAUUAAUGCAUUUAAAAAAGAUAAUAUUUUUUCUACAAUACAUUAGAUCAAACACAAAAACAAGAUAAUAACACACAUUAAACCAACAUAUUCCUGUUUCACAGCUUUACGAACGAGUUCUAGCUAAAGCAGAAGUUUCAGAAAUACUCCAACUUCUCCAGCCUUCUCAAGUACAGAAAGAAACAUAAUGAAAUAGUUUAGCCACUAGAAUAUUAACUUAAAAUUUACAGCAGUACAAACUUAUGGAGAGAGUCCAUAUGAACUAUUGACAAGUUCUAAGAACCUUAUAUUUACAAUACUAAAGAUAUAUAUGUGAUUCUCACACCCAAUCACACAUUGCAUCUACAUUGCAGCAUUAUUCACAAGCCAAUGACACAGACAACAAACCAGUAGUAGUAGUAGUAGUACAAUUGUCACAAGGACAGUUGAAACCACGCAUAUGUAAAUUGAAAAGAAAGAGAGCCUGAAUCAGUUCUCCAAAUAGAGCGUUGUGGAGAUCAUGAUAUUUGUUGGUGCACAGCAUUGGAGUAUAUUUGCAUUUAGCCCUGCAUACUUACUAAUGCACAGUAUGCAUCACAGCCAAGUUUUUUCCACCAGACUUGCAGUUCAGAGCAUUUGAGAGCGGCAUCACAAUUGUUUUUGCAACGUUAUUGGAGAUAUCCGGACUCAUCACUUGAUGAAGCUCCAGGAAAACCAAGAUGUACCAGCACCACCUCUCCGACCCUGUUGGGAACCGCCCCAACUAAGGCUGCAGUGAACAGUUUAGCAUGAUGAAUGAUGCUGUGAAAAUCUUCCCAGUCGUGUUAUCAGCCAUAAUCCCUUGAUUGUGAGGAUUAAAUUGGAGAGACUAAAUUCUUUUCAGUUGAUUAUGAGCUUUAGUUUGGUACCUCGUAGCUAGUUGUAUGAAUAAAGCCCCAGGGAUUAUGCAGCUAUUUAUAGUUGCUGCAUCUAGAAAUGACAAAAAAUUUUGAUGGUGGCUCUUUUUAAAUCAAAAGAAUAAAGUACUAUGAUAACGCACAAAGGGGCACGAGGAAACCUCGUUUGGAAGUUUCUCCAUUCGUGUUGUUGUUGUAGUUGGAUUAUACUUGUGUAUGUUUGGACUACACUCAUCUCCUGGUACAUAAAAUAGCUACGAAUGUACCAAAAAUACUUGUCAAAGUUUUUAAUCUACAAGUAUAUAGAAUAGCUAUAUACUAAAAUUUUUGCAUCAUCAUACACGAGUAUUUGCCUUUAUAUAUUAUAUUCUAUUGAUGUUAAAGAAUAGUACCUUUCAAAAUACAAGUAUUGGUGUACGCAAAUAAGUGAAACAGUAGAUCUUAAAAUCCAGUUUAACUGAUAGGGAUAUUAGUCAAGUGACCGUGAGAUUUUUAGUUUAACUCUCGAAUCUUCUCAUUUCCAAGUGAUUGCGAGGCACAUUUGCCUAAUUUUGUUCUUAUACCCCAUAAUUGAUUGAAAGUUGUAUGUUAUAUGUGGGCCUAUAAGUAAUAUAUGAUAAUUUUUAAUAGAAGAACAAGUUAUAGACACAAUUUUUAGACAUUUAAAGUAAAUGGAUGACAAAGGACUAAAAAUGAUCAAGACCAAAUUGAAUUGGAAAAUGCCCGAAACAAUUAUACUAACUAACAAAAACUCAGAUUAGAAAGGCUAUGCACAUGAACAAAGUUAAAAAAAAUUUUGUUGAAGUGAAAUAAAAAAAUCAUAUUAAUUAUCGAAAUAGUUGAUUGCUUUUAUGUGGAUUAUUAUUGAUAUAAAAAAGCUAAUCCUUUAUGUUAAUACACCGGGAUACAAACUAGUUAAUAUAUAUCAAGGGCAAUGUAAAAUUUUACUAAAUCAACCAUCAAGGAUUCCUCUAUUGUUUCAAGAACAAUUUCCAAAUCAACUAAAAAUUCUGAGGAUGAUCCAGUUUUUCCUAAAUUACACGUUACAUAAAAAUUGAUUAAAAAGUUCUACAACUUUGCAUAUUGGCUUUUAUUAGAUUUGAGUUACUUUUUGCAGUAUCAGCCCUAAUAUAAUAGGUCCAAGACUUACAACCACAAUGGCAUGAUUCAUGUAAAUAUGGCCCAAUUACUCCCUAAAAGAAAUGGACAGAUGAGAUUACAUUUUCAAGUGUUGGACCUUUGAUUGAGCUUUGCUUAUUAAUUUCGAAGCACUUAGAAGUUAAUUAUUUUCCCCUUUUUAGAUUAACGCAGAAAUCUAAUGUGUAUUAUUUGAAAAUAUUUUAAAUAAAUUGUAUUAUUUUAUUAUAGGGCAUUAAUUGUGCACGAGUGCUGAAGCCAUGCAUGCUGUGACAUGCAAAUACAUGUAAAAGGGGAAUAGGUUUGUCCAACCAUAUAAAAAGGAAUUUUUCUUGAUAAGAUUUAACAACUUGAUAGUUAUGGUAGUGAAUAAGGAGAGACAUUUUCUUUUUCUUUUUUGGUUCCAAAGAUAAUAUUAAAUGCUUUUCUUUUUCUUCUAAUUUUAUAGGUAAGAGACACAAGAACUAAAUAGUUACAUAUAGCAGCUUAUUCAAUAAGUUACAAAGAUCAGUUAUAAUCCAGCAAUAUAUCAAGAAGUAUUUUUAAAAUCUACCAAAUAAUCUAUACGCACACCCCCUUAUUUGGCUAAAUUCAUAAAGGCAUUCCAAAGCAGGGCAAAUCAGUGUUAAAUCUUAUCAAGAAAAACUUCCUGCUCACCAUCUUUGGCCCAAAAGUUUGUACCACUAUAUAAAAAUUGGAAGUUCCAUCCUUGUGAGCAGCAAAAGGGCUCAUCAACAUCCCAAACUCCAACAGAAUCAAAAGAUCAAAAGAGACACGGAAGCUCCUUUAAGAUAUUAAAAAACUAGCAUUGUAAAAAGUUCUAGAUAACUAAACAAAUCCAGUGCUUUAGCCAUGAAAAUCUUAGAAGCAGCUCCCUUGCUUAAACAACAAAUCACUUGAGUCAUCAUCUAACAAAGAUGUAACUAUCCAAGAGAAACACCAGCAAGUGGAGCAUUACAAACUAUUCUCACACAGAGAUGUAUCAGAAACGAAAGGAGAAAGAAGAAGCUACACCUCUAUGUAAAAUAUGUUAUUGUCGCAUACCCUUAAAGGUAUCCUACCUCAACUAGACAAGGGAGAAAUCACAGUCUGAAGUAAGCUAAGAGGACGAAGAACCAACCAUGGAGCUGAUCUUCUGCAUAAAAGCUUUGAUCUCACUUUCUAACUUUGCUCUCAUCUCUGGUGAAAGAUUGUUACCUGCCUUCUCCAAUGUUGAUUUCAUCAUCUCAAGAUUCUUUUUGAUAAACAAAAGAUCAGGUGGAUCACGAUUCUGAGGAUUUGAACCAGAAGGUUUUGCAGGGCUCUUGAGUCCAUCCAUGGGCAGAAGGGGUGGCACCAAAGGAGUCAAUGAAGGGCCUGAAACACCAAGAGAAUUCUGCACCUUAUUGUGAUUGGCACUAAUAUCCAGAACUGCAGCGGUAGACUUGUUUCUUCUCCUCCUUUUCCGUGGCGGUUUAGUUUGUGCCAUAGCUGAGUUUGUAUCUGUUGCAUUAUUUCCAGGUAAGACAGAUUCAACAACAUUACCAUUCAAAUCUGGGAGGUUUGAAGCUUUGUCCUUUCUUUUCCUGCGCACAGGUUUAGCAGCUGGAGACAAUAAGGGUGUUGGCUGAAAGCUGUUUAAUAGUGAUCCAAAUUGAAUGCUGUUUCCACUGGCAUCUGAUUGCUGGGCAAUGACUUCUGAAGUAAAUGCAGUUUCACCCUGGAUAUUAUUCUGCUGAGGAACAGUGUUCAGGAAAUUCGGACUCAUUGCUUGCACAUCUUUCAACAACUGGACAAAUUUAAUGUUGUUUCGACUAGGAUCAAGCAAGCCUACAGUUCUGGUAUAAGCAUUUUUUCUAGCUAAAUCCUCCGUCUGUCUAAUGUUUGGUUCUAGUCCACAAUGAAAUGCAGUAGUUCCUGGAUCCUGGCAAUCUUCGGCUGAUGAGACUUGGAUAUUCCCAUUCAAGUCUGGUAAUCCAGUCGCCUCUUUAAUAUCAAGUACUCCUGGAACUGUUCCUGCCUCCGGCCGGCUGGGUACUUUUUCACUUUCUGGCAUAUCAGAACCCACUCCCUGGCAUUUAAUUACCACUGAACUACUUAAUGCAUUUAUAGCUGAGCCAGACAAGAAAGUGCCUACUGAGGUUCCAUCUUCCUUCUUUGUACGUCUCUUCUUAGGCUUGGCACUGGAUGAAUUGUGUUCAACUGAAUCCUUUCCAUUUGUUCCUUCUGAGUCAUAAUUUGAAGAUUUAGUCAUUCCAUCCACCUUAAUUUCAACUUCAUCACCAAUAUGCUUAUUAGCUAUCUCAAUGUCUAAAAAUGAAAAUCUCCUGAAAUUGCAUAAAAACCUGUUGACUGAACCAGAAAGUUGUCUUCUCUUGGGAUGCAAACAAUCAAGAGCAGUAACAAGGAGUUCAGAGAGUAUUUCAGCCGAAGACGCCUUAAUAUCCUUCGCUUUGCCAAGCAUAUCAGAGGAAUUAGUAGAUCUAUGUGGCCCAGCUUUCCGUGAUUUCUUAUCACCAUUUGAUUGUCCAGAGUUGCAGUUCAUUUCCACAUUUUCUCCAGAAGUUGGUGCAUCUGCAUUGCCCUUCUUGGGGUUUAUGUAAGGAUAGGAUAAGUACUUGCUCUUCCUUCUUUCUCUUGCUUCAUUGCCUUUUGCAGAUCUGCUAUCCAUCCUCCGAUCAUUUUCUCCAUCUAAAAGAUCAUCUUCGGUACCUUCUGCAGAAAUGAAGGGGCUCAACUGCUGAGAAAAGACCUCAGCUUCACCAGUGUCAUUCUCCUUUCCAUCAUUAUUUAGGUCUUUGUCCUUUUCUCCCAAAUUCAGACCAUUAUGACGACCAUCUUUGGCAUCAGCUGGCCUGAGUUGAUGCAUGGGCAAUUGACAAUGCCCCAAAGAAUGAUAAAACGCUGAAAGACAAUUUUGGGUGAUGGUUAAUUUAAUUUUACCAGGCACAGGUGCUCCCUGUGCAAUAUACUUUACCGAUUGUAGAAAACUAGCAGGUUGAAAAUGAGAUCCCCAAAAAGCACUGGUACCCAUUCGGUCCAUUGAUAAGUAUCUCUUCACAGUUUGAUCAGCAGACUGAGCAGAAUUUUUUUGGUUUUCUUUUAAAGAACAAGAACAGGUCAUCUCUGCCUUUACACGCCUACCAAUCUCAAUGACAGCCCUGUCUAGUGCCCCACGAAAGUUUCUAGAGUUGUUUUGAUGAGACAUCUCGUCAAAGUACUCAAGAAAAUGCUUCAACUGAGAUGAGGAGCACCAAAUAAAAUUAGCAUUUCCAUAAUACUUAACCAGGAAAGAUUCUUUUUUGUGGGAAUCUGCAGCACCCUUUGAUGAGUUUGAGGGAUCAGUAAUCAUUCCAGGCCACCAUAACUGUGUCUUGGUUUUAGCCCAUACCAAAUCACCAACAUUAAAGCUGUUAUUUCUAUUGCAUGAAUCCUUGCCUGCCGUUUCAUUCUUUACAGGUACUUCUUCACUUAUUGGCCUAUUCUUCAUCACAUCAAGUAAAGAAUCACCAGCCUCUGAAACCUGGGCAAUUGUCUCUUCGCCAGAUGACAAUGCUUCAUUUCUUUGGCAUGAAUCUUCAAGAUCAGGUCCGCCCUCUCUCAAUGCAUGCCAGUCACUGCAGUUCCCUUCAUCAGCUUGAUUAAUACCGUCCAUCGGACCGAAAACCUCCACAAACAAAGAAAAACCGUCACCAGAAACUUCAAUCUUCCUCGGAGAAUCUACUGCCUCAGACUGUUCCAUUGCAUCAUUGCCUUUCUCAACUCCCUCCUCAGUCUCCACCUUUUCAACUCCAAUCCCCUUAUUCCCCUCAAGAAUCAAAGCCUGGCCAUUGGCACCAUUCAUCCCAUUAUUUUGUGGUUUCCCUAUGUUUUCUUGUUGGACAUCCAACCCCAGAGAGCCUCUUGUGUUCUGAUUUUCUUCAGCAACAAGCUCACUCACUAAAGCUUCCCCUCUAUUCACCAGACCAUCUAAUGUACAACCAUUAUCACCACCGUCAAAGCUUUUAUUUAUUUCCGUAUCACUUACUUCAACGUCUCUACAAUUUACAUUAAUCCCACCACCGUCUUCUCCUGCAACCAAAACUGAAGCGCUAGAAUUCUCACCAAAACAAGGCAUCUCAUAACCUUCUCGAGGCAUUUGACCACAAGGUUUCAGACUUUGACUCUCUUUUAACUGCACAAAACCCCCCUCUACAGCUUUUGAGUCCUUUUGAGUUUCCAUUUCAAGAAUUUCCAUUAAAGGUCUCAACUUUUCCCUCAUCAAUUUAUUUCACUGUCAUCCAAAACAGAACAAAAUCACAAGGAUUACAAAACACAUUUUUCACAACUUGCUGCUAAAAGAAACUCUCCAAAAAUGCAAAAAAGUCAAUCUACAGCAAAAAUAAGAAAAACCCACAAAAAAUCUAUCCAUAACUAGUUAAAAUCACACGCACAUUUAUCAAGAAGUAACAGAAAUGGACAUUCAAAAACCUGCUUAAACAAGAAAAAAAAUGUGAGGUACCUGGAGGAAGAACUGAAAACGAUACUCAUUUCAGAAACUAAUUCUCAGGUAAAGAGGAGAGAUUCCACUGAGUAAAAGAUUGAUUCUUGAGGCAAAGGAAUAGCUCUUUCUUUUGCCGGGGGAUGUGGGAUUUUUCUGCAAAGAGCGCACCGGAGUUGAGGCAGAAAAGACAGGUCCAGUAAAGAAAGAGAGAGGGGCUCUUUUGCUGCUGUGCUUGUUCAUGUGGUUUGGUUAAAGAAACAUGUCCUUUGAGCAACGGCAUUGUCUUUGCUGUCACGUGUUUGUAUUUUACUAGGAUUAGCCCUCCACGUCUCCCUUCAACAAAAAUUAAAAAUAGAAAAAAGAAAAAGUGAAAUUUCUUUUUGAUAAGAAAAAAUGAAUUAUUACUUCAUUUUUUCCAAAAAUGAAUUACUACUUCAUUUGAAAGGCAAAAACUUAAAUAGACUUGGGUUACUAGAACCGGUGAUUUAAGUUUUAUCACAUCUUCAAUAUGUGUCUAAUGUUUAAAUGGGUAAGAUGAUUUGACAAAUUUUGAAUCACUUGAAUCUACGGAUGAGAUUAUAAAUCAGGUCUAUCCAAGUAUUUAUUCAUUUUGAAAAUUAUUUAAUAAAAAAUAGUCAAAACAUAUUUAAUAAUUAAAUGAACAGGGGCAUUUAAUUUUGGUGGUGACAGUCUGACACAUAAAGAUGAUACCGAGUUUCUGUCACUCAGCCGAGGAGCAUUCUAUCGGGAGACAGCAUCAAAGGGGAUUAAGUAAAUAAGGAGCCGCAAGAAAUGGAAAAAUAAGGCCAAGAACAACCAACUCUUUGAUGAAAAAAAAAAAAAAGAGGUCAAGUACAAGCAAAAUAAAAGAUUUUUUUUGUUGGUUUUCAAAGUAUUGUGAGGGUAACGUUUUUAAUUUUGAUACUGAGUAAGAAAGACGGGAGAGGCCUAGGAUAGUUUCUUGUGUGUUUUUCCAAUGUUGGUAUUUUUAAUAUGUUUUCUAAUAUUUCAUGACCCAUUGUCCACAUGGAUCACAUUAGAAUUUGGUUGAUAAUUAUACGAUUUUUAAAUUAAAAAAGACAAUUUAACCAGACAGAAACAAGAAAGGAGAGUGGAGGGAAAUGCAAGAUGUAGGGAGAAGAAAUAGUGUAUUAUACAAUUAUUAUAGACUUGUACGAUUGCUAAAAUUAAAAAGAUACGAAGCAAGGAAGGAGAGAAUAGUAAAGAAAAAUACAAAAUGUGGAACAGAAUUGCACCCUUCAACUAUACUUGAUUCUUAGUUUGAUAUUUAAUUUUAACAUGUGACAUUUUAAUCCUUAAAAAACAAAAUAUAUCCUACUAAAGUAUAAAAUUUUGUCACACAUUAGAGAUUAAAGUACAAUAAAUAUCAUACUUUAGGGAACAAAAGUGUAAUAAGUGGGACAGAUUUUAUAUUUUAGUGAAUAAAAUGUCCCACUUUAAAAUUUAAAAACUAAAAUUGGAAUUCGGACAGAGUUGUAUUGUACAAAGUAGAAUUAACCCAAAGGAGUAAAAUAUUCUACGCUACAAGCAAUGCAUGGACUGGUUUUAUUCCAAAAUCUUUCAUUACUCACGUAUUUGAAUGGGUUAGGGUUUACUAUUUCAAUUAAUUACCAUCCUAUCAAUAUCAUCCGUUUUUAAUCGUUAAUUAUGAUUUUGAUAACUUAUUUAAUCAUAUAUCGUCAUUCCUUCCAUCAUUUAAUUGCUCAUUCUUAGUUUGGUACCUUUUCAUUAGUAGCUCAACUCUUCUUUACAGGUCAUUUUGAACUUUGUGGGUUUUGUAAGAUGCUCCUCAUGCUUUAAUUCUUUUAUUACCUUUUCUAGUCAACUAAUGGAAAAGUUAAGUAAACAUCUUGCUUAAGUUUGAAUUGUUAAUACAUUUUAACUUCAUGGUUUUAAGUAAUUCAUCAAUAGUUAAUCUCCAUAUAACCCUUUCCUAGUUUUCAAAUAUGGAUGCUAAACUUUUGAAAAGUGGUAAAAAGGCUCUUAUUUAUUGAAUAUAAUGUUUUGUCUUUUUGUUUAUUACUAUUCAUUUCUACAUAUGCAUCUUAGAGAAACUAUUACAAUGACAAUUUCCAAAUUAGGAUUCCUUGUUUCUUGUAUUUUAUGACAAUCUAGAUUAAUUUUGAAACAGUGGGGUCAUUCAUAACUCCACUAAUUAUUGAAUUUCAUAAAGUAAUUACUUUUUUAAAACUCUAUGCGUUCAGUAAUGAAAGUUUUGUACUUCUAUACAUAGAAAAAGUUAAACAUUUUGCUUGGGGAGGGAUGAAUAAUGAAGAACAUAAAAAAUACAAAACAAUGAAGCAAAAGAAAGUAUCACAAAUUGUAACUCUAAAUUCAAAAUUUGAUAACUAAUAUUUUAAUGCUAUGACAAGUAUAAACUAAAACACUCAAAAUCAAAUUUUCUACCAUUUUAGUGUUUACCAAUGCAAGUGAUGAUGUGAUGAAAGAUAUUAUUUUAGUAUCACUCACUCUAUAGAAAAUUAUGGUUGAUUUUACUUUUUAUAAAAAAAAUUAUUUUAGAAUUCAAGAAAAUUAACUGUAAUUGGAUAUUAAGGUAAGAAAAUACAGGGAAAAAUUCACAUAUUAACAUAUUGCAUCAAGUUAGAGUGAAAAGAAUAAUCAUCGAUUAAGAAAAAUUCUUUAAGUAAAGAAUAAGUAAAGAUUGAAAAUAUAAUAUAGGAAUUUCCAAAGAAAAAAAUUUUAAAAUAGCACCUGCCUUGGAAUAUUUGAAGUUAGAGUUUGGAGAUGGAUAAGGUAAAGCUGACUAUAACAAGUUCGGACUUUUCGUGUUUAUCACAAUGACAUUUUGUGAGCUGUGUAUGUCACAAUUAGUUACAAUUAUGUUUUGACUUUUUAUGUUGAUUUUAUUUUCAUUUUAUAAUUUUGCUUUUGUUUUAAUUAAUAUCUUAGUUUAGUUUAAUUAGGAUUUGAUUAACAUUUUACCCAAUUUAGGAGAUUACAAGUUGGUAUAUCAUGUGAAAGUUAUGUAAAGAACGGGUGUAAAAGAUUAUAGUUAAUUAUAUUUGGGAGACAAGAAGGAGGAAUUUUAUUAAUUUGUCAUGAGAGGUAUACAAAAGUAGGAUUUUGAAAAAUUUUGGGGCGGUGAGAGGGGGGGAGGGGUUGUCCCUCCAUGCCUCUCCUAUCUUCAUCCUUGCCACUAAAUAUAUUAAGCAUCAAUUAAUUUGUCUACAUAUAUUUUAAGUAAAACUUUUUGUUUAAUUUACUAAAUUUUGGAUAAAUUUAAGAGUAAAUCUUAUAUACAAUAACGGUGUAUACACUAUCACGGUUGGAUAUACCAAACAUAUGCAAAUUUUGAGUUUCAAAUUCAAAUUCGGAUUAUGUGUCAUGCAUCUAAUGGUGAAAGUGUAUAUACUAUCAGUGUAUAGAAGAUUAAUCUUAAAUUUAAUAAGACAAAUUAGUGGUGUAUGAAAUAUUAACCUUUAUAUAAUUUCUCUUUAUGUUUCUUUAUCACUAUUGUUCAUAAAUAGACGACGGGAAAUUCACAAAUGCAUAUUCUUCUCUUAUUUAUGCAUAUACAGACACUUUUCCUUCUCUCACACAUACUUGCACAUAUUAUUCUCUUAACUCGUAUAUUUUUUCUGACACAUUUGCACAUAGAUAGUCUUUCAUCUCUCUCUCAUGUCCAAAAACCAUCUCCCAAAAGCAAACAUAUUUAGUUUUAUCUUUCUCCUAUACAUACUUUCUUACAGUGUAUUAUCUUUAGUUCUCUUUCAUACAUGUAGACUCAUGCACACUUUUUUUCUCUGACAUCACACACAUUUGAACAUAUUAUAUUUUCUAAAUUAAAUUAUGAUAUAAAAGAGAAAAUAUAUAUUUAGAUAGUCUUUCAUCUCUCUCUCAUGUCCAAAAACCAUCUCCCAAAAGCAAACAUAUUUAGUUUUAUCUUUCUCCUAUACAUACUUUCUUACAGUGUAUUAUCUUUAGUUCUCUUUCAUACAUGUAGACUCAUGCACACUUUUUUUCUCUGACAUCACACACAUUUGAACAUAUUAUAUUUUCUAAAUUAAAUUAUGAUAUAAAAGAGAAAAUAUAUAUUUAGAUAGUCUUUCAUCUCUCUCUCAUGUCCAAAAACCAUCUCCCAAAAGCAAACAUAUUUAGUUUUAUCUUUCUCCUAUACAUACUUUCUUACAGUGUAUUAUCUUUAGUUCUCUUUCAUACAUGUAGACUCAUGCACACUUUUUUUCUCUGACGUUACACACAUUUGAACAUAUUAUAUUUUCUAAAUUAAAUUAUGAUAUAAAAGAGAAAAUAUAUAUUGAUUCAACAUGUAAAUUAGUUAGUUAUACAUGUUUUUGGAAAAUUUUAGAAAAGGUGACAAAAAAAAAUUUGCAUGAAAUAUGUAAAUUUUCACUAACUGCUAAGAAGAGAUGAGGUACGUUAUUUAAUAAAAAAUAAAAAUUAAAUUAAUUGACAACAAUCAUCAUGCAUAGGCAUCAAUGUUAUUUCAUUAAAUUUUUAGAUAAAAGCAUUAUCUCUAAUGUUUGUAUGGUCAUCCUCUAGGGUUAUAUAUAUUUAUAUAUAUAUAUAUAUAUAAAUGUUACUAGGAUGCUCCAACUCUAAAAAGGCCAAAUAUAAUAUACAAAAGAAAAUUCCUAUGCUAAUUACCUAGUCACAUGCUGCUAACAUAACUACCAAAUAUAAUGUAAUUAACAAACAAAAUGUAGUAUUAUAACUAUCACUUGGUUUAGUUUUAAAAAGUUUCAAUGAAUUCAUACAAAAAAAAUAUUUAUUUUUAUAUUUGAUGUAGUGCCUUUAGCACUUGUAGCUAUUAAAGUUCCAAAUAACAUUUUAGAUAAUUUUAGAACAUGUGAAAAUCGAAAGUUUUUCUUAGAAUUUCAUAUCUAUUCAUCUCAUAUAACCCCACACUAGGAAUUAAAUAUUUUGUAGUACUGCUAUAAUAUAUCUUAGUUAUUUGUUCUUAGAGUUUAUGAACAUACCAAAUUUAUUUCAUUUGAUUUCAUUUACUAAACUUUCUAAAAUGCAUGUAACUUAGAUUCUCACCAUUUUUCUCAGAUUACAUGUACAUGUCAAAUGUAGACAUGUAUUAUAUUAAUUUUAUGAUAAGAAAGCAUUUAAAAUAAGGAGUUUAUUGCCAUUAUGAUCUUCCUCUUAAAAAAUAUUUCCAAAUUAAUGCAAUUUCAAAUUUAUUCCCUUAUUAAUAUAUUUGCUGUCAUGUGGACUUUAAAUAUAGAAAAUUAAUCACGCUUAAACUUUGGCUCUGAUAAUGAUCAUAGUUUGGUGUGAACUAUAAAAGUUCCAUUUUAAAGGAAAAGAGAAAUGAAAAAAAAAAUCUCUGCAUUUUUUUGGCUCAUCACAGAGAAUCUAAGUCAUAAUUAACAUUAAAAUUAACACCAAGGAUAGUUAAUAGUUGAUAUCUGGAAAAGUUAUCAUUAUGCAUUCUAACAAUAAAAAAUCAUGAAUUAACACAAUAGAUCUCUAAAGAUUUCUGUUUAUUUGUACGGCAAUUCAUCAUACACAUGGCAAGAAAAUUUUUCAGUUGCUAUGACGAUUUAAGAAAUUUCCAAAUAUAUUAAGAAUUUCCUCAAGGUAGGCAAUAAACAAUAUAUAGAGAAGAAGUAGCAAAAUUUGAGCUAUUGAAAAAUAAUGAAAAAUUCUUCUAAUGUGAAUUUUAAUUAAGCUCUUAAGAGUAGUUAUUAACAUUUUAAUGGGAUUUACCUCUCAAGUUCAAAGAAGAUAAGAGCGAAAGUUUAAAAGUGAUUAGUUUUUCAAAUUUAAAGUCCACAUGGCAACAAACAUAUUAACAAGGGAAUAAAAUUUGAAACUGCAUUAGUUUGGAAAUAUUUUUUAAGAGGAAGAUUAUUGUGGCAAUAAACUCUUAAAAUAAGAAAGCAAACUAAAAAUAAUAUAAAAACAUACAUGUUAUAUAAGGCACAUUAUAGUACAUAAAUAAAUAAUACUAAAUACAACUUUCUAUCAUAUUUCAUUAAGAUUAGAGUUUUGCUUUUCAUUCAUGCAAGUAAUACAACUUUGAUUGUUGGAAAUAUUUGAUGACGGGAAAUGUCAAUAACUUAUUAUUUGUUUUUAUUUAGUAGUUUCGCAGAUUCCACAAAUUAUACGUUCAGCAUGCUAGAUUCUUUUUUUUUAAGCAAUUUUUUUUAGAGGCUAGUAAUAUUUUGUUAUUUGCACACAAUGUUCCUAUUUCUUCCACUUGCUUAUUAGUUUAACUUAAUGAGAUUAUGAGCCUGUAGAUUGAUGUUGAAAAGUUUUUGAAGUUAUCAAGUAUUAAUGAGCAUAAGGGUAAAUUACUCCAUGCAUAUGAGGGAUGGUUAUACUAUCUUAAUUAUCCUCCACCUUAUAUGUUGUAUGUGCCACUGCUAUUAUGAAUCCUAAUAUAAUUAUUGUCAGUAUCAAUGUCAACAAGAGUUUCAUGAUGAAUUUGUAGAGUUGGCACAAUAUAUGUGAAAGUCUCUUAGUCAAAAUUAUGGUUUUAAACAAGCGCAUGGUGAUUUGAUGGAAGGAUGGAUUCCAUUUGUCCAUAAUCAAAUACAUAAUAUAUAGGAAAUACUUCAAAAGAAUCGAAAAUUUUUACGAUGUAUAUACCAAUUUGUAGGAGGAAAUGUUGCGAUUCCUAAGUUAUUUUUUUCAAUUGCUAGGAAAGUCUUACUUGUCUAUUACAAAUUUACAACACCCCGCAUGAGAUCAAAGGACAUCUUAUUGUGUAGCAACUGUGGUGGCUCAACUAGCAAAUGCAACCCUAGUUGUAGAUUCUGACUCUGUUUCGCCAAUGCAUCAGCGCACUGAUUUCCCUCUCUCUAGUUUUGAAGUCUAUUUCUAACACCACCUUUCUUAGUCCCAUCUCCCAGGCUAGUUUUAAACCUUGAGCAAUCGCCCGCUGCUCAGCCGAUAUGUUGCUAGCCAAACCCAAAUUGAUGCAGAACCCUUGUACCAUACACCUUUAUCAUCUCUAACUAACCCUCCUCCUCUUGCUCUUCCUGGGUUAUUUGUAGAAGCACCAUCCACAUUAAUUUUAACCGAACCCAAUGGUGGGGUUUCCCAAGUUGCGAAUACAUUUAAGAUGUGAUUGGAUAUAACUGGUCAUUAUUCUCUUAUUGUCUUGCUCCUAAUCCUGAGACUAGUAUUAAUCCAAUCUCAUCAGACAUUAAAAGUGAUAGAAUUUUCAUGAUGGAUGUGUACGUCACAUGUGUAAAACUUGAAUUUUAAAUUCAAAUUAAUAUUAUCUAUUAAGUAUUUAGACUGAUAGUGUAUACACUAUAAGUAUAUCGAUGAUUAAUUAAAACAAAGAAUUAUAGAUGCCCCAAUAAUGAACAUGUGUUCCUUAGGUAGAAGUUCUAAGUGGAAUAAAUCUAAGACUAUAAACAUUCCUGUCUUUGCUCGUAGCUAGCUCUAAUACCACUAUAAAAGUAAGUAGCGGAUAUUUUCACAAAGGCAUGAAGACAGAGACAUUUGUGAAAUUGAAAAAAUGUUGGAUAUGCCCAAAUUAGAGUAGUUCGGCUUAAGGAAGACAUGGUAGGAAUUAGUCAUGUGUUGUAUCUAUCAAAAUUAGAUAGGUCAAAAUUAUUUGGAUAUGGCAGUGGUGGUUAAAUAGGUGCUGAAAUAUAUCUAUCAAAAUUAUUUGGACAUGGAGAUGGUUAAAUGGGAGGAUAGAUUACAUAGUUUCUAUGAAUCCAACAGUCAAUCAAAUAUGUAUACAUAGAUUCUAUCAAUCCAACACUUAGUGAAGUAUGUAUCUAUGAAUAUAAAAAUUUUCAAAUAAUCAUAAAUUGAUUUUUUUUUCCUGAACUGUGUAUGCUUCUAGUUUUCCUUUAUCUUUUUGUCUAUGCUUCAUGAGAAAGAUGUGUUUUUGAAUAAGUAUUAGUGAGGUAAGCACUUAAAUUUGGCUUGAUUUUAGUGUUUUUGCACAGCUUUGAUUUUGGUGAGAAAGUAGAGUGUUGGCCGAUUAGGUUCCUUAUGUUUCAUUGCUACCAAUUCAAUCUCUCAUUUUUACAAAAUAUUAAUGGAAUUAAUCACAUGCAUGGCAUGUUUACCUUUGAAAGUUACUAUUUUGGUCCCUUAUAUUUAAGGUUCCAUCAACCAAUUUAAACCCUAAUCCAUAAAAGAAAUUCAAUGUAAAACUUUUUUAAUGAGAAACUUGAAAGUUCUAAUGAAACUGGUACAUGCACCACAUUUGUACCAUUAAAAUAAGGAGUAGGGGAAAAAUUCUACAAAUCCAAUUACAAUUUUAGUAACUUUUCUCUCCUAAUUUUCCAAAAUCCCUAAUUAUUAAUGCAUUAAUUCAUAAAUUUUGUCUACCCUCUAUUUAUCUAAUUACAAUAUCCAUAAUUUUAAUAUUAACAACACUGAGUGAAAAUUCAUGAAUUUAAAGCCUCUAUUACAAAUAUUAAAAGGCUAGAAAAAGAAAAUCGAUAGAGUUGUGCUUAAGGCUUGUAGGUUCUUUUUUCUAGUAGUACACAUGACCAACUACAAUAAGGUUCUAUUUUCUCAGCAAGUUAUACAUUAGAUUUAUUUUAUGGAGACAAAGAAUUAACUUAAUAUGCGAUGAUAUAUAAGAGAUCCAAAUGGUCAUAUUAACAGUGUUCUUGUGGUACAUAUGACCAAUUCCAUUAGAGUUUUUCUAAUUUUCUAUUAACUUUCUUUCUUUUGUAAAAAUGAUGGACUAAAUUAAUAAAAUAAUAAAUAAGAAACCAAAUUGGUGAAGAUCUCAAACAUAAGAGACCACAUUCAUAAUUUUCCUUUUGGUGAAAAAGUAAUAAAGAGAUUACAAAUUCAAAAAAUAUAGUUGCUGCAGUCUUCUUGACUCUAAUCUUUGUUAAUCUCUGAAUUCACAUUUAACUAAUAUGAUUUUGCCUAAACAAAGGCCCAUUAGAAUUGUUUGCUUUGUUGAAAUUUGAGUCUAAAUGACUUAAUUCCUUAAAACAUUCCUUGAAUAGGAAAAAUAAAUAAUUGUUAAUAGAUGAAGUAGACUGGAUUCAUCUUUCUCUAUAUAAUGAAUUCAUCUCUUAUUCUUGAAUAAUAGUAAUGAAAGAUGCAACAAAAUAUACAGAAGUUUCACUAAGCGAGCUUUUUCUCAGUUUUAAUGAAAGUAUGUUGCAAUGUUGAAUAAAACUUUUCAAAAUUGUCAUACAAAGUCAAAAUGACCACAUGGUUAAAGUGUUAGAAUUUCAACUCAUGAAUUUGCAUCAACUUAUACCAUGAUGAACUAUACCUUAAAUUGGUGAUUGCUGGGAUGCACAUUGGAGUUUACAAGUAUCUUGCUUGGUAAUAACCACACCUCGUCAUUUUUUUUAAAAAUUUUGUCGUAAUAGAGACUUCAAAUCUUACAAGGAAGAAAUGGAAAAAAAAAAAGUGAUUAAAAAUCACACUAGGGAUCCCAUGGUCACUUGACCGAUAUCCCUAUCACUUUGCAUUCAUCAAUUAAAACAACAGGCUUUUGCUUAUUUAUCUAUUUUUAUGUGGAGAAUUAGUGCGAUGGGAGUGAUGUAAUUUAAAUUGCAGCAUAGUGUCAAAAUAAAAGAAUAAUUGAUGGUAGAAGAAUCAUUAUAGUUGUUACAAACCAAAAAACAAUUGUGAGAUCUCCAAAUUAUUUUUAAAAAAUAGUUCAAGUCAAGUAUUGACUUCAUCAAGUGUUUCUCUUCGUACAGUUAACUUUAGAAUUCAAUGUUUUCUUUAUAUAUGACAUUCCUGUGAAAGUUAAAUUACAUAAAAUAUAUGUAUCAUGUCCUCUAAGAUAUAUUUUAACUUCACUAUUACUUUCCUUUCAAUUCGUGUAAGCAACAUGAGGGAGAUGCUACGAUAUAUGCAUUUACAUGUUUUAGAUAGUUUAUCAUGUCAAAUUUAGCUAAUUGUUAUUCUACUGUGUUGUACCUAAACAAUCACUAAUGGUACAAAUACAAUGCAUGCUAUCAAAACUCUUCAAACCCAUGAACAAGGUAUACAAAAUUUUUUUGCUGCUAAGUUAAUACAUGAAACAAAUGAACUCUAGGUUUUUAGUUCACCAUUCAAACAAAACAAGCACAUCUUUUUCAUUUCCCUAUCUUAGACUACUUUGGAAGUUGAUUUUAUGAUUAGGAAAGUCACCUUCGCUAACAUCUACUAUAAUUAUAUUAAUCCAAUGAUAGAUAUAAGGUUGGAUGGGUAGAGGUAGCCGACCCCCAAACUUUCCAAAAAAUUACAUUUAAAGUUUUAGUUUUAAACUAGAACUUUAUCAAUUUGCCCUCCCUCACCCCCACAAACAUAUUUAUCAUUAGUUAGGUUGUUAAUAUCCUUUAGUUUCUCCUUACAAAGAGUGUCCUAGAAUAAAAAGAGCUAUAGUUUCCUUAGAUUAAAAAGUGUUAAUUUCCUUUAAUUUCUCCUUAAAAAGAAUGUUCUAAAAUAAAAUAAUUCUAGUUUCCUUAGAUUAAAAAGUGUCUCACAAUAAACAAACUCUAGUUUCCUUAUAAUGUAAGGUAACAAAAUUUUAGUUUCUUUGUUAAGGUAGUUUCUUUAUAUCAAUUAAUGUUAGGAAAACUUUAUACAAAUAGGAUACAAAUGAAAAUAUUAGAGAAAAUUCAACAACGGCACCCCUGUUACUAACUCAACAACUACCCAGCUCUCGAAUCAUGCCCAACUGCCACUCUGCAAAUUAAUGUUGCACUGGCAAUAUAUUGAAUUUUAUUAGGGAUAAUUUCACAAACCUUCCCCAAGAUUUUCAACAAUUACAUAGAGCACCCCUUAGGUUUUAAAAUUACACAUACCUCACCUACUUUUACUGUUUAAUUAUAAUAUAGAUCCAAUGAGAUAGAUUUUCUCACAAAAUUUCUAAAUUACCCUUUUGUACAAAACUAAGAAAGUAAAAUGUAGUAUACUCAAUUAUUUUCAUCCACACUUUGCACAAAUCAACAAGCUUAAUCCCUAAGAACUAUCUAUGCGUAAGCUCUAAAACCAAGAAAUCGUUCAAUAGAUCCCAAAUAGCAUAUACAGUAUCAAUAUUUGUCAUACAAAAAAAAAAACACAGACAUAAACCCCAUUGACACCUAAUUUUAUAUCCCAAAAUUAGAUAUUAAUGCUAAAAUACUUUUUUUAAAACAAGCUAAUUCGACUUAAACCACCAUUACAAUCCUUCUGUGGCCCUAAAAAUAUUAAUAUCUCAAAAGUAGAGAAUAAAUUUUGCAUCCACAAUAAAAGCAUAAUAAAAAUUUCUAUUCUAUUGAAAUAAAUUCUUAUGUAAUUAUUGACAUUUUAUAAAAAAAUUUCUUGACCAUAAACAAAAUAUGACAAAUUCCACAUCUGUAGUUCUUCUUCCUAUUUCAAUCAUCAAUUUUAUUAUUUAUUUUUCUACCACUGCGAGCCUCUUCAUUUCCUUCUAGUUUGAUACAUAAUUUGUUUCCUCUGUUGAUUUUGUAAUUUCAAUUUGUUAAUAUCCACAAAACUGAAAAUAAUAAAAAGAUGUUAUAUUAACUAGAAAAGAGAGAAACGAAAAAGGCAAGAGACAAAAAAAUAGAUUUCUUUUUGGGUUUUGUAAAUUUAUUGCCUUAAAUUUAAAAUUAUUUACCAAGUGGAGGGCAUUAUAGGUAUUUUACCAUAUCAAGGGAGAUAAGUGUAAUUUUAUAAACCGAGGGGAGCCGAGUGAAAUUAUCAAAAAUCUCAAGGGAGGUUUCUAAAAGUAUCCCUUUUUAUUAAGCUGGCAAAUAGGUUACAGCCCAUCUUAGGAGUGGCUACGGUUCAGAUUUAAAUCGAAAUCAGAUCAGAACUAAUGAGACGAUUUGUAGAACUGAAAUCGAAAUCAGAUUUUGGAAACCGAAAUUAGAACGAUAAUUGUGGCCAAAGGUUGAGAUUUAGAUUCAUCAAAAUUUUGAAUCAGAACCAAAAUCAAAAUCGGCAAUUUAUGGCCUGUUAAAUCAUCUACAAAAAUAUUUGCUACCUAAACAUAUUUGACCAGUUUAUAGUUCAAUAUCAAUAGCCAACAUCUAAUACUAACAAUUCUAAUUUUAAUCCAAGAACCCAUUAUCCUAUUCCAUUAAUAAGUCUAUACACGAUAACUAAUCUAAAUCUAAGAUGAAUCUAAUUUAAUCAACAAUGAGAUUUUUUUCAUAAAAUCUGCAUAAUUUUUUCUUUUUUCUUGCACGUGAUAAUAUAAUAAGGUUUUUUGGUUCUUACAUUCAUUAUUGUAUUUUCUUACAAUCACUUUAAACAUAACAAAAAGAACUAGAAUCGUAACUAAAAUCGUAGAUUCAAAAAACGUAAUUGUAACUUUCCCUAUAAGGAUCAAUUUGUUUCACCUUUAAGAAGAAUCAAAACCGUCAAUUUUUAAACAAAAACUGAUGAUUCUAAAAUGGUGGCCAUGUCUACGUACCCAUGCGUCUCUUAUUUUAAACCAGUGGCAUUACAUUCUUUUAGAAACUAAUUUGUGGACCCCGUCUCACGUUACCUUGUUACUCGGUUGUUUUCUGUAGGAAUAAUUUUAGAAACCUUCAUGAGAUUUUGAUCAUUUCAUUGGUCUCCCUUCAUAUUUUAAAAAUUACACUAAUCUCUCUUGAGGUUAAUUAUCUUGUAACACUUAGACCCAAUCAAUAAUAAAAAAGUAAUAUUAAGAGAGAAAAUAAUAUUGAUUUUAUCAUUGCCGCUCAUCUUUUAAAUUAUUUAAAUAAUUUAAUACCAACUCAUACAUUAAAGAAAAACACUAAAAAUUUACUGUUUAUUAUUAGGAAUCAAAUCAUAUAUAGCAUCAAAAAAUAGUAUACCAUUCUAUGUUUUUCACUUAAUAUAAAAUCAAUUACUCUUUUUAGUUAUAUGCAUGAUUAACAACAAAUAAUCAAAAAAUUUGUAAUCAAAAUAUUACAGAGAACAAACUUUAACAUCAUAAAUAUUUCGUCAGCAUAAGGUUAGUUGUUAAGACUUUAUGGUAUUAAAUAUCACUCUUUGUAAUACUUUGGCUACAUGUUCUCUUGAUUAUUUCUUAUUGAUUAUGUUUGACAAUGAAUUUGUAAUUGAAAAGAGUAAUUUGAAUUUUACAUUAAGUGGAUAGAGUAUUAUUUGAAAUAAUUAUUGUAAUACUUUUUAUGAUGAUGUGAUAUAUGUGAAAUAAAAAGAUGAGUUAAAAAAUAUAUUUACGUAAGUGAAAUAUUAUUGAAAAAAAUUGAUAUCCAAACAUUUGAUAUCAUAUGUGAUUUAAGCUCGCCAAAUUUUGUGUUGAUUUUACUGCAAACGGAUUUUAUGAGAUCUAGGCAUUGUGACCAGCGACGCUGCAUGCCACAAAUUUCGUCAAUAAUGUGGGGUAUUAAUGAGGUCAGUUUUGCACUUUGCUCCAAAAAGAAAAAGCAGAGGCAAAUGAUGGAAAAUUGACUUGUUGAGAAUGGGGUCUUGCACCAUAGUUCUUUUUCCGCCUAUAUACGUGUCUUGGUUUUGUUCCGUGGAAAAUUGAUUGUUUCCUGCCCACACCAAGAAAGAGACUAUACUAUUAGCAGUAUCAUCACCACCCGCCAAUAAAUUUCUGCCAACACACAAACGCAGCAAUCAAGGUGGUAAUUGAUAAGAAUGCAACUCAAAACUAGGGAUAUAAUCGAAUCGAGUCGAGCUAUACUCGAGCUCGACUCGAUAUGCAGGAAGAAUUCUCGAGUUCGAGCGAGUAAUAUUAUCGGAGCUCGAUGCUUGCUCACAGAACUUGAGUUUGAUUCGCAUGAACUCGAGUUAAUGCAAGCCUUAUCGAGUUCGAGUUAGAAAUUUUUAUUUUCUUGACAAUUUUUUAGUAAAAAGACAUUAUUGUCCUUUAAAAAUUUUAUAUGACUUGAAAUAUUUCGUAAAUUCAACAACUCUUUUAGGUAUAAGAGUAAUUUAUAAUACUCCCUUCGUCCCACUUUGAUAGUUUUCUUUUCCUUUUUCAUCUGUCUCAAAUUGUAGUCCACUUUCCAAUUGAAUAAUGUAGUUGUCUUUUAAUUUUCCUAAAAUACCCUUAUUCAAUGUAAGUUGUUGUUACUAGAAACCUACCCCAUUUAAUGAGAGUUGAUUCUUUUUUUACCAUCAAUUCAAGUUUCCAUAAAGUUGUACUCUAAUUAAUGUGAGGGUAUUUUAGGAAAAUAGCUACCUAAAUUGAUUGUUCCAACAAAAUUAACUAUUUUUUAUUAAACUGUGUGAAAAAAGAAUCAUAACUAUCAAAGUGGGACGAAGGGAGUAAUAAUAUAUUAAAGAAUUAAAAUUAAAAAACACGAUAAGGUUCGAUGAACCUUCGAGCAUUGCUUCUCGAUGCUUGACUAACAACUCCUCCAAUUAAAAAGAAAAAAGAACAAAAAAGAAAACCAUUAUUUUGAAACAACAGAGUUGUUAUAGAAGUAAACUAACCAACUUUCAAUUAAAUUUUGUCAAGCUGAUUUAUACACAUAGAAAUAGCAAAAUAGACCUAAUUGAUGUCCGUCGCCUGAGGUGUUAUGCUCAGACAUUCACCUCGGCACACUUUGAAUCCACCGGGAGUCCAUUGAAAAAUAUCUUCCAAAAAAAUUGUUUUUUUCAAAUUAUUGUAGCUUUAAUUUGAAAAAUACUUAUAACUGUGUUUUAUAAGCCUCUAAUAUCAAGCUUGAAUUCAACACAAUGAAUUAGUACAUGCAAAAUUUUAUUAUUAGACCCUACCUACUUCAUUUUCAUUCUUCAUAUACUUCGUUCUGACUUCCUUGGUGUAAUUCUUCGUAUUCAAUGCGUCUUCUCAUUUUUUGAUACGUUUACUCAAACAUAAUAUUAGUCCACUUUUAUGUGUGCUAAUCAUCAAAAUUAAAGAAUUAAAAAUCACAGAGUUUUCGAUAACUUAUUAGCCUACUACACAACCUUCCGUGGAUUGAAUGCAGAUUCCGCUAGGUUAUUUAGUGAUUUGAGAGAGAGUCAAUUCCAUAUAUACUCCCAAGUUAAAUAUAAAUUUCACUAUAUUAUUUGGUGAUCAAUAACUAAAUUAAUCCCUUACUCCCUUUUAUUCAAUCUGCCACUCAAAUUUGCUAUGUUAUCUAGCAGUGAAAGGAUAAUCCCCCUACUCCCUCUGAUUUCUUAAAUAUAAAAUUUGAAUAAUAUUUAAUGAUCGAUAACUAAUUAACCUCCUAUAACCUUCUAUAAUGUAGAUACUGACUACUAUUUAGUAAUAGAAUAAGAAUCUACUCUAUACUCUUUCUUAUUCAUUAAAUAUAGAUUUCACUACACGAGAUAAAAUCAAAUUCCUUUCAUUUGGGGAAGCCUCCUAUAACUAAUUAAUCCUUUACUCCCCUUUACGUAUUAAAAACAAUGUUCAACUCAUCCUUUACAUAUAAAAUUAGCCAUAAUUUUUAUUGAUUAAACAUACAAUGUUUUUACUCAUUUUGGUGAUACAAACAUAAUUAACUCUCUUUUUCUUGGUUACUUCCUUUUUUUUGGUUUCUUAUAGAAUUCAUGUGCCAUCUAGUGAUAAAAAACUAAGCAAUUAUCUAAGUCUUUAAUUGAUUACAAACUUAAUUCAUUGCACACCAUAGUGACCAAGUAUCAAUCAAUUUCACGAUACCUUUUAAUGAAUAAUGCAUACAAUCGGCUAGACUUUUAAUGCGCCUUAUAUUAAUCAAUACUUAUAUACUAUUAUUUUUGCUCACACGUAAAGAACACUUGCAUAUUAAGGAAGAAAAUUUAAUGUCUUUAGUCGUCGAGUAGUCUAAAAGAAGAAAAAUUUAAAAGUUAUAACAUCAAAAACAAUUCACUCAAAAAAGUUUAAACAAUUUUUGAAUUAUAAAAUUUUGUAACUUAGGGGGUUUUUUUUCAUUAUUAUUUUUAAUUUUUUUUCCUUUUUAUGUUGACCAAUGUCAUUGUCUCAAAAAAUUUUAACUUUUUCUUGGUAUUAUGUUAUAAUUUUUAAUUUUUUCCUUUUUACAGUGACUUAAUGUCUUUUUAUAGUGAUGUUCCAAUUUUAUAUCUAAAAUCUAUAUUAAAUUGUCAAUCUGGGAUUAAUUUGCUUCGUUUUUAAAAUGUGAGGAACUAGUUUGCAGCAUUUUAAAAGUGAGAGAUAAAAAGUAUUUUUUGCCAAAAGGUAAGGGAUUAAUUAUCAGUGCUAAUAUAUAGUUAAUUGUGUAUGUUAAGGUGUCGUGGUUGUGUGGCAUAUUUUAUGCCAAUGUACUGCAAAGGGCUUUUGUGAGAUCUAGGCAUUGUCACUACAGACCAUAGUUGUCAAAAUCGCGAUCCGGAUCGUACGAUCCGGAUAACCAAAAUCGAUCCGGAUCGUAUUCAGAGUCGCAAAUCAUAUUAAUCUCUGUAGGAUCGCAUAAAAUCGUAGCAGGAUCGUGUAGGAUCGUAGGAUCGUAGGAUCGGUAGGAUCGUACGAUCCUACAAUUUUUUUGUAAAUUUGUGAAAUACGAAGCUCCAUUUUGCAAGUAAAUGAAAAUAUUUGUGGUAUAUUUGUAAUUUAUUAAAGAAUUGCAACCUUUAAUUGCAAUUAGGAGCUUUUAGUAGGAUCUUACGAUUCUCCGAUCCGAUCCUGUGAAAUUAAAAUCGAUCCUACGUAGAAUCCCGAUUUUACAAACCUUGCUACAGACACUACAAGCCAUAUAUUUCGUCUGUUUUAUCCUCAAAGAUAAAAAGGCAUAUAUUUCGCCAAUAGUGUGGGGUAUUAAUGAGGUCAGUUUUCCACUCUGCUCCAAAAAGAGGAAGCAGAGGUAAAUGAUGGAAAAUUGACUUGAUAAGAGAGGAAUCUUGUAGUACUCCUACUAUUUUGUUCUUUUUCCACCUAUAAGAGUGCCGUGGUUAUGGCCGACCAAGACUUUACUGUAGUAUGCAAAACGGUGGACCUAUAAAAGUGUCAUGGUCAUGACUUGCGUAGUUAAUUUCUUAAGGAACACUUGCAUAUUAAGGAAGAGAAGUUAACGUAUUUAGUCGCAGAGUAGUCUAUAGUUACUUAAGCAAUUAUUACAUGUUACAUGCAUCUGAGCUACAGCAUUAGUCAACAGUUAAUUUUAGAUUUUUAAGGCAUGGACACAUUUAUCUUUAUUAAAGUGUAAGGCGUAUAAUGAAUAAUUUUUGCAAGGCAAUUCAUGCGUUGUGGUUUGGGUUAUUUAUCGUAAUUUCGUAUUGGUUGCUUUUUUUUUUUUUUAAACUCUUAAUUAACGAAUUCUGUUACCUUUUAGACUAAAAGUGAUUCUAUUUUCCUCCUACCUGGUUUUGGAAGCACGAAUUUGUCCGAAAGAUUCCUAGAAUUCAUAUGGUUUGGUUUUCACUGGAGACUUGUAAUGCCAAAGUGUAUAACCACAUUGGUGGUUGUAUCACCAUGUGAAUCGAACUGCUUUCUUUUUGACUGGAAUAAUUUUUCUUGUACAAGUCAAUGAAUUAAUGACAAAACUGGAAGAGAAAAUGAACCGCGAGAAUCCAACCACUCCUCUUCUGAGAUCAGUUAAAAAACAACAGAGAUUAGAGCUUUGCACUUUGCAGCUGCACCUAACAGGCAAGAGCUCCUCCUCCUUUACCGGUUGUUGAAAGCAAAGCUCACUUACCCAAGAUGGCUGACCCUGUUAUCUCUCUUGUUAUUGAGAGAAUUGGUGAUCUGCUGAUUAAAAAAUCUGUUUUCCUGAAAGAUGUUCGACGACAAGUUGAAAGACUCAAAAAUGAUCUGGUCCGGAUGCGGUGUUUCCUGAAAGAUGCAGAUCAAAGGCAAGAUGAAGAUGAGAGGAUUCGCAACUGGGUUUCUGAAAUUAGAGCUGUGGCUUACGAUGCGGAGGAUAUCAUUGAGAUCUUUGCCAGCAAAAUUGAAAGCAUAAAGGAUAAGGGAUUGGCAUAUUAUCCCCGGCGGAUUGUGAGCCUCAACAAGAUCGGUAAAGAGAUUGAGUCCUUACAGAUAGGGCUCAAUGACAUAGCUGAUAGCCGCGAAAAGUAUGCUAUCAAAAAUCUUGGAGAGGGAAUGAGUUCACCCGGAAAAGAAUUUCGAAGGCUUCGCCGAACCUCUCCUUUCAGCGAGGACAAGGAUAUAGUGGGCUUCGAAGAGAUUACAAAAUCGCUCGUGGCAGAACUUUUGAAAGAGGACGAAAACCGCCGUGUGGUUUCAAUCGUUGGCAUGGGAGGUGCUGGUAAGACAACUCUAGCCAAAAAAGUUUAUAACCAUGCUGAUGUCAAGAAAAGAUUCAACUGCCGUGCUUGGGUCUGCGUCUCUUCAAGCUACGAUCACAAAGAGAUGCUGAGAUCAAUCAUAAAGCAAUUGAAUGCAAUGGAUAACAAGCUACUUGAAAUGCUGGAAAGGAUGGAAGAGGAAGACUUGGAACGAAGGCUCUAUCAAGAUCUACAAGACAAAUGUUAUCUUGUGGUAAUUGAUGAUGUAUGGGAGGAAGAAGCGUGGGAUUGUCUUGCUAGGGCCUUUCCUGAUGUUAAUACAUCAAGUAGACAGCUACUUACAAGUCGCAAAAGGGAUGUUGCCCAACACGCAGAUGCACUUAGCAAACCACAUGAGCUGAAAACUUUGGGGCAGGAAGAUAGCUGGCAGUUGUUCCUCAGAAAGGCCUUAGGCCAUGGGGAUAACGCUGGAUGUCCUCCGGAUUUGGAAGAAGUAGGCAGAGAGAUUGAAAGGAGAUGUGCUGGUCUGCCACUAGCCAUCACGGUUAUAGGUGGUCUGCUUCUGACAAAGAGAAGGUUGAAGAGUGAGUGGGAGAAAGUUCUCAACAGCUUCAACACAAACCUCUCAAGGAGCCAGAGUGGAGUAUCAGCAAUUCUGGAAUUAAGUUAUGCAGAUCUUCCUGCCAAUCUGAAAUUUUGCUUUUUGUAUUUGGGUUUGUUUCCCGAAGACUCCGUGAUUUCUGUGCGCAAGUUGAUCCAUAUGUGGGUUGCAGAGGGAAUAAUGCAGAAAAGAAGCGCAAAAAAAUUGGAGGAAACUGCAGCAUAUGAUGAUGUGGAACAACUUUGUAGCAAAAAUAUGGUCCAGGUGGCAGAAAUGACUGUUGAUGAGAGGAUUAAAAGCUGUAGAGUCCAUGAUUUAUUGCGAGAGCUUGCAAUAAAAAAGGCAGAGGAUGAAAAUUUUUUUCAGAUCCACGACACCAGAGAUGAUAAAAUAUCAGCCAAAUCCAGGUAUCUUGCUGUUCAUAUUCUCCCAGGGGAUAAAAAUUUUUUGGGUCUUCAACCCCUCCUCUCCGGUCUCUACUUUUUUUCAAUGUCCACGAUUACAGGGAAAACAUUAGUUUUGGCUUCAAAAGUUUAAGAAAGCUUAGGACACUGGACCUUGAGAAUGUUAUGAUGGAUUAUAUGCCAAAAGAAAUUAGUAAAGUCAGGCUUCUGAGGUAUCUCAAUUUAAGAGAGACACGGAUUGGAAAGCUCCCUCAUUCCUUCGGUUGCUUGCGAUACCUACAAACUCUUGACAUACGGACCGUUAACUUAGUGAUAGUUUCAAAUUUCAUUUGGAAGCUUGAAAGUUUACGGCAUCUAUAUGCACGUGAUAUAAGGUGUAAUGUGCCUCUUAAGAUUGAAGGAUUGAGGAAUCUUCAGACUGUGUCAGGCAUACACUUUGAUCACAUUAUGCGCAAUAAUAUGAUGACUUUGACAAGUCUUCAGGAACUGGUGAUGAGAGUAGAUGAUAGGUCAGAGAUAGACAAACUCUGCUUGCACUUAUCUGAGGUUGGAAGCCUAAAGACAUUUCAUCUUUACCGUGCUUUAGGAAGCGAGUGGCCAUCUCUAGGUGGACUUUCUAAACUCCAUCAUGUAACAGAGCUUAAGCUAUCCGGGAUGCGUUUGAGAAUGCUGCCUCCUGAUUUCCCUCCUAAUCUCUCUCGCUUGUCUUUGGAAGAAACAUUCCUCAUGGUUGACCCAAUGCCAGUACUAGAGAAGUUGGGACAACUGUCGUUCCUCAAAAUGAAAGUUGCAUAUGGGGGACCACAGCUAGUCAUAUUUAGGCAUGGGUUUCACCUAUUGAAAUUCCUUGAGCUCAGCCGCCUAUAUGAUUUGGAUGAAAUAAAGGUGGAGAAAGGUGCAUUGCCACAGCUCCAGUGCCUGAGAAUCAGGAGCUGCAGCAGAUUACGGAAGUUGCCGGAAGAGCUGAAGCACAUAUCUACUCUUGAUAAGCAUGAGCUUGUGGACGUGCCAGAAGAUUUUAUCAGUAGGAUUGAUGCGGACACAGUAUCCAAUGUCCCUAACUUCAGAAUAUUUGACUUGCCGAAGGAAAGGUGGUGGUAUUCGUAAUCAUGCAUAGAAUGCAAGCUAUGUCGUAUAGUGAUUAAUAGAAUUAUUUCAAGUUUUUAUCAAAAUAUAUAAAUAAAAUGAAUGUUUCAGAUUCAACAUAACUUUUGUUUUCCCCAAUUCAGUAAACUUGCUUUGCCACAAUUUCACUCUUUGUUUUCGUCAUAUAAUUCAAACAAGCUUUUUAAGUCCAUUUUUUUUAUUUGAAAUCUCACACUUCAAUACUACCUUUUCUAAUUAUCCCACUUUUAAACAAAGAAUGACUCUCUGUUAUUAAUGAUUUUUUGGAUAACUAACAGUGCCUACAGCUGUACCUUAUAUGAUUUGUAUCUCUCUAUCAAUUUACAUUGCAUAUAGCAUAUUAAUACAAGUAAAUAAUUAAAUAAACAAAACAGUUUAUAUCUUAGGUGGGUCUCAGAAACCCUGAUAUUAAACUCUUGGGAUUUGGAAAUGUCUAAUUCAAUAAAAAUAUCUAGAGGUAUUUGGUUGAUUCUAAUUUUUCCCAUGCUGUCCAAACUGAAAAAGAGAAUAAGAAAAUAAAAACCUCUAUUUAUGUACGGGAAGAGAAGAAAAGAAUGGUUGUAACAAACAGAUCAAGGAAUUCAUCCCAUAUUAGCAGCCCACAUACAAGACAUAACGGAUCUUAGCUUAAUGUUUACGAUAUGCUCAUUUGAGUUUCAAUCCGCUAAUGAUAGCAUUAAUUGUCUCAGUCAUAAACUGAGUCAGCAGGCAAUGCAUUUACAUUUUGAUGAGGAAUUCUUCGAUCCUCAGUGUUUCAGUACACUUUUGUUCAGAAAAACUUGAGCCUUUGCUCGAAUAGUGCCUUUGCUCGAAUAGUGUAAUUUCUCUAUUAGUAGAAAUAAAAACUUUUACCGUUUCGGAAAAAAAAAGAAGGAAUUCAUCCCAUAUAAAGUGUUGGUCCGUCUGAAAGUGAGGAUUAAUUGCUUCCUAAAUACUACUCACCAUACAUAUAAGAUGUUAAAAAAUAAACUUAAGCAUGUGAAAAUCAAAUAAAAAGCUAUUCAUUUAAGUUGUUUGGGGUAAACAUUGAAGGGAAAAACAUUACUGAGGGGAAAAUUUCUGAAUACGGAAUAAUUGUAGGCUAUUUAUUAUGAAAGGUACAUGUGAUGUUAUUUUUUCGAAUGUGUUCGUAGUAAUUUCAUUUUUACAAAAAUCAGUGCAAAUCUCAUGUGUAAUGGAUAGUCCAAGAUUGUACGCAGUUUAAAAGUUUGACACUCCCUUUUAAUUCUUCGUGAUUACUAGUUAGUUGAUUCUAUAACAUGUAUCGCCUUGAAGGAAAUGUAUAUACGUCUCAAAAAAAAGCAAGCGUAAUUCUGCUUAUAAAGAAAACUUAUAUAGUUUUUUGUGAACUAUUGGAGAAUUAGAGUGAAAAGAACAGUUUUAAAAGAAGGGUUAAUUAUAGAAACUCCCUUUGGUUAAAGUUGCAGUUCACCGCCUAAUGUUUAUUUCUUCUCACUUUGCCUCCUAUUUCAGUCCAACUAGUCAAAUUAACCACUAAAAUAGUAGGGUUAACAAAAGUGCCCUGCUACAUAGUUAUAAGAAAAGACCCCAAGGUUCUUGAGAUGUUCAUAUUACAAGAUAUGAUUUUUACCAUAGAAUAAUUAUUUUUUUAAUCUCUUGCAUAAAAUAAAAUGGAACACUGAUAUUCUUUUUCUUUUCAAAAUCAUCAUUCAUGCAAUUAAUUUAAGUGGGAAGACCCUGAAUUUUGUGGAAAAAGAUGACAAAAUGUAUUGUGUGUUAUGUUCAUUGAAUUGCCUAAUUAAAUCUUCUUUCUACCUACAAUCACGUGACUCGAUAAAUUGUUGAGAAAAAUUGAUUAUAAGUAUGCAAAUAUUGUAGUUUUAAAAAAUUCUUUACACGAACAAGUCUAAAUUUAUACCUCAUUUUAUAAUUAGAAAAAAGCAAAAAAAUUCCAAACUAAAUAUGACAUUUUUAUCUCAUAUACAUCACAUCACAAAAAGUGCUACAAUAAUUAUUUCAAAUAAUUAUUUGGAAUAAUGCUCUACUCUAUCCAAACAGAUAUUUCAUAAAUCUAGACUCUCUCGUGUUAUACUAACAUUAUUUGAAUCAUUAAACCACAAAUGCUUUCCUUCUUUCUUUCUUUGGUUUGCUAGUUGUUCCUGGGAAAUGACUGAUAAUUUGCAACACACAAUCAAGUUGAAGAAAGAAAAAUUGUGCAAAAGUGGAGAAAAUGGUAUUCCUCGGCCCUUUGCUCCAUGAAUUUAUAGCAGUAAUUUUACCAUAGUCAAUUAAGGAAACAGGAACAUUAGCUGAAAUUGUACUAAACAUCAGUUAUAAAUAAUGUCUUUAAAUUCAAUUAAAUUGCGUGGGAAUUUUCUUAUGAGGCGUGGCUAAUUUUCUCAUCUAGUCAAGGAUCAACGCGAAGACGCAGUCCCAAAUAUCUGUGAGAUCUAAUUAAUUUUACGUGUUCCUUAAUUUGUUAAUAUUUGCAUGUUUUCUAUUUUAAUUUCCAUGGGAUUGUUUUGUUAAUUGGAUAUCAAGGGCCCGAUGUGCAAUUUGACUUAUUAAUCUCCUGUCAAAUUAAUCAAUUAAAUCCGUAAUUGUUUAGUUGGUUAAUAUUAGUGACAACUAGUAUUUUCACAUACUAGGAGAACAUGCAAUCUGAUUUAAAUAACCCUCGUAGCGUGUUAUUAAUUUGGGUUAGGCUUUUCUAGUUUUUAAUGCAAUUAGGAAAUUAAUUCCUACGGUCGUACCUAGGAGUAUUUCCUGGUUAGAAGUAAUCAACGGUAGUACCUUGGUUAUCAAUAAAUUAAGGAAAAGCUGGUCGUUAGAGUUUAUCGGCGACUAUAACUAGCCUAUUAAUAAAAUUAAGUGAACCUUCUUUGCAUCAAUGAUCGGAUGAAUGGACUGUGUCUGCGUAGUUGUAUCCUUGGCUAGAAUUUAUUUAUCAUUUAUCUAAUUGCAUUUAUCUAAUUGCUAUUUACAAUUGUAUUAAUUAAUUAUUUAUUUUUGGUUAAAUUAUUUAAUUAUUUUUAGUUAAAUUGUUUAAUUAUUUUUAGUUUAUUUCUGAUAAAAAAUCCCCCGUGUCCUGAACUUGAAAGGAAUCAAAUUUUUCCCACUCCCUGUGGAUUCGACCCUACUCACUACUAUACACAGAAAAUUCAUUUUUCUCGAGUAGGUAUUUAUUAUUGCACAGGCUCGACACCUGCCAAUUUUUGGCGCCGUUGCCGGGGACUGGCGUUAAUCAUUUGUUUCUUUUUAAGUUCAUUUUUUUUCUGGUAUUUUUCUAGUUUAUGCCUCGCUCUUCUCGUACAGGCGAAUUAAUUUUCGACCCUGAAGUAGAGAAGACCGCGCGUAGAACGAGGAAAGAAACCAGGCGGCUCAGGGAGGAGCAAUACGAUAUUGCACCUCAGGGACUUGAUCCAGAGGUUGAGCCGACAAAUUUGUCUGGUGACAAUUCAAGUGAUUCAGACCAAGAGGAAGUCACUAUGGCAAAUGCACGAACACUAAGGGAGUUGGCUGCUCCAGAUUUAAAUCAGCAGCCCUUGUGCAUUACUUUUCCGCAUUUAAAUGAUGACACUCCCUUUGAACUAAAAUCUGGUCUAAUUCAUCUCUUGCCAUCUUUUCAUGGUCUACCAGGUGAGGAGCCCUACAAGCACUUGCAAGAGUUUGACGUCGUUUGCAACAGUAUGAAGCCUCCGGGAAUUACUGAAGAGCAAAUAAAGAUGAGGGCCUUCCCCUUCUCUUUGAAGGAUUCCGCAAAAGACUGGCUCUACUACCUACCGCCUGGUAGUAUCACCACGUGGGACCAACUAAAGAAAAAAUUCUUGGACAAGUACUUUCCUGCGUCUCGAGCUGCGAGCCUAAGGAAGGAGAUAUGUGGCAUCAAACAACACCCAGGCGAGUCACUCUAUGAGUACUGGGAGAGGUUUAAGAAACUGUGCACCAAAUGCCCUCAGCAUCAGAUAAGUGAGCAACUGCUCAUUCAAUAUUUCUAUGAGGGGUUGCUUUUCAGGGACAGAAGCAUAAUCGAUGCUGCAAGUGGAGGGGCAUUGGUGAACAAGACUCCUCGAGGAGCCUGGGAGUUGAUUGAAGGGAUGGCUGAGAACUCACAGCAGUUUGGUUCAAGAGAGGACAUCCCGACGCGUAGGGUGAAUGAAGUAGAAACAUCCUCUAUUCAACAGCAACUCUCUGAAUUGACAUCUUUUGUGCGACAACUAGCUGUGGGGAAUACAUCGCAAGCCAAAGUGUGCGGGGUAUGCACUGCCGUGGGUCAUCCUACGGAAAUGUGUCCAUUGGUUCAAGAAGAAACUGCUGAACAGGUGAACAUGGCUGGCCACGCGCCCGCGCCAAGAAAGCCGUACGACCCAUACUCAAGUACCUACAAUCCUGGUUGGAGGGAUCACCCCAACCUUAGUUAUGGAGGAAAUAGGCAGUCUAACUUUGUGCCAAAUAGACAGCAAGGACACCAACAGCAGUACCAUCCUCGCCCACCACCACCACCACACCCUUCAAACUCAAGUCCGUCCAUGGAAGAAAUGAUGAAGCAAUUACUUGCUAACCAACAAAAGACGGAUUCAGACUUGCAAAGCAUGAGGAAUCAACUGGGACAGGUGCAAUCAUUGCAAAAUCAAAUGAAUCAAAUGGCUAUAACAAUCAACCGUUUGGAGUCCCAAGUUCAAGGGAAGUUGCCAUCUCAACCUGAGGCAAAUCCAAAGAAUGUAAGCGCAAUGACCUUAAGGAGUGGGAAGGAAGUUCAAGGACCCGAACCCGUGAUUUCUAAAGACAAGGACGAGGAACGGAUCGAGAAAGAAUUAGAAGAGGAGGGCAGAGGCAACAAAAAUGCAAAGGUACCCUCGAACCCAAUUCCUAUAGCUAAAACUAAUCCACCUCCCUUUCCUAGCAGGUUAGAGAAACCAAAGAAGCAAGACAAGGAAAAAGAGGUUCUAGAGAUCUUUCGCAAGGUGGAGAUCAACAUACCCCUACUGGAUGCGAUUAAACAAGUACCCAGGUACGCAAAAUUUUUGAGGGACCUGUGUGCCAAUCGCAAGCGGUUGAAGGGGGAUGAACGAGUUAUAGUUGGGGAGAAUGUUUCAGCAAUUCUACAAAGAAAGCUUCCACCGAAAUGCGGAGAUCCAGGUAUGUUUACUAUUCCUUGUAGGAUAGGUAAGACUUUGAUUGGGAAGGCCAUGUUAGACCUGGGAGCCUCAAUUAAUGUCAUGCCAAAGUCCAUUUAUGCCUCCUUAAACUUAGGCCCUUUGAAAGAGACUGGGAUAAUAAUUCAGUUAGCUGACAGGACCAAUGCAUACCCUGACGGGUUGAUUGAAGAUGUUUUGGUAAAAAUUAAUGAAUUGGUUUUUCCAGCUGAUUUUUAUGUGCUCGACAUGGAGGAUGAACACUCCCGUGAUCCGUCACCUGUGUUGUUAGGUAGACCCUUUUUGAGUACAGCCCGAACCAAAAUUGAUGUUAAUAAGGGUACUUUGUCUAUGGAAUUUGAUGGUGAGAUUGUUCACUUUAACAUCUUUGAGACCAUGAAAUAUCCAUCCGAUUCAAAUAUUGGCUCUGUUUUCUCGAUAAAUGUUAUUGACCCUGCUAUACAGGAGGUUUUUGAAAUUGAAGGCAGGGAUGAACUAGAGGUCGUCCUGACCAGGACUUUGAGUCCGAAACAACCUCUAGGGUAGAGUUGAGUGAAGAGCUUAAAUGCGUGAUUGGAUCGUUGCAAACGUUACCAACCACGAAGACAAGGUAUGAUCUUGCACCGAUUUUCAUACCCGAACCUCAUCAAAGGUUACUUCCAUCUGUGGUGCAGGCACCUGUCUUGGAACUAAAACCACUGCCGAAACACCUAAAGUAUGUAUACUUAGGUGAAGGGGAGACACUUCCAGUGAUCAUCUCCGCGGGUUUAUCAAAGGUUCAAGAAGAGAAACUACUUCGAGUUCUUAGGGAACACAAGCAGGCGAUAGGAUGGACCAUCGCCGACAUCAAGGGAAUUAGCCCUGCGGUGUGUAUGCACCGAAUUCGACUCGAGGAGAAUGCUAAACCCGUACGGCAAGCUCAACGGAGAUUAAAUCCUCUCAUGAUGGAGGUCGUAAAGAAAGAGAUUUUAAAACUGCUGGACGUUGGAAUUAUAUUUGCAAUAUCAGAUAGCCCGUGGGUAAGUCCAGUACAGGUGGUCCCGAAGAAGGCAGGGGUGACAGUGGAAUCAAACCAAGAGGGUGAGCUCGUACCAAUUCGAAAGCCCACCGGAUGGCGACAGUGUAUCGAUUACCGAAAGCUAAAUGCCGUCACGAAAAAGGACCAUUUUCCCCUCCCUUUCAUUGACCAGAUGGUGGAGCGAUUAGCAUGUCGAGCUUACUAUUGUUUCUUGGAUGGAUUUUCAGGUUAUUUUCAAAUUGCCAUCGCACCCGACGACCAAGAGAAGACUACUUUCACCUGCCCAUUUGGAACAUUUGCAUACCGAAGGAUGCCAUUUGGAUUGUGUAAUGCACCUGCUACCUUUCAAAGAUGCAUGAUAAGUAUCUUUUCAGAAUAUGUUGAGAAGAUUAUUGAGGUUUUCAUGGACGAUUUUAGUGUAUAUGGUGAAAGUUUUGAAAACUGUCUAGAUAACCUGAAAUUGAUCUUAGUAAGGUGUAUAGAAACUAAUCUCGUGCUUAAUUGGGAAAAAUGUCAUUUUAUGGUUGAACACGGGAUAGUUUUGGGUCAUGUUGUAUCAUCUACAGGUAUUGAGGUUGAUAAGGCAAAAAUAGAUGUUAUAUCUACUUUACCUUACCCCGCGAGUGUGCGGGAAGUUCGUUCCUUCUUGGGUCACGCAGGUUUCUAUAGAAGGUUCAUCAAGGACUUCUCGAAAAUUGGAGCACCCUUGUUCCAACUUUUGCAAAAAGAUGUAUCCUUCGAAUUUGAUGAAACAUGUAAGGGGGCAUUCAAUAAGUUAAAGGAGUUAUUGACCACCUCACCUAUUAUCCAACCCCCUGACUGGAACCUCCCAUUCGAGAUCAUGUGUGACGCCAGCGACUAUGCAGUGGGUGCGGUAUUGGGUCAAAGAGUAGGAAAGGCAGCUCAUGCUAUCUACUACGCAUCUCGAGCCUUGAACGGAGCUCAAUUGAACUAUUCAACCACCGAAAAAGAGCUUUUAGCAGUUGUUUUUGCCUUAGAAAAAUUUCGGUCUUAUUUACUUGGUGCUAAAGUUAUUAUUUUUUCUAAUCAUGCAGCUUUGCGGUAUUUGUUGACAAAAAAAGAGGCAAAACCGCGAUUGAUACGGUGGAUAUUAUUGCUACAGGAGUUCGACCUGGAGAUCCGAGAUAAGAAAGGGGCGGAGAAUCUGGUAGCAGAUCACUUGAGUCGAGUACAAGUCGUCGAAGAUGACAUCCCAUUGAGAGAAGCAUUCCCCGAGGAACAUUUAUUUUCUAUUAACUCAUCUUUACCUUGGUAUGCAGAUAUUGUUAAUUUUCUAGUCACUGACAAAUUUCCUACAGGAUGGCCUAAGACAAAGAGAGACAAGUUGAGGAGCGAUGCAAAGUUCUACAUUUGGGAUGAUCCUUACCUCUGGAAGCGGGGUGCCGAUCAAAUCAUCCGUAGAUGUGUAAGUGAAGUUGAAUUUCAAUCUAUUCUAGCCUAUUGUCACUCUUUUGCAUGUGGAGGUCACUUUGGACCAAAGAGAACGGCUCGUAAGGUGCUAGAGAGUGGAUUCUAUUGGCCAACUCUAUUCAAGGAUGUCUACUCAUUUUGUAAGUCAUGUGAUAAGUGUCAAAGAGUGGGUAAUAUCUCUCGUAGGGAUCAAAUGACUCAAACCCCAAUGAUUUUUGUUGAAAUUUUUGACGUUUGGGGCAUUGAUUUUAUGGGUCCUUUUCCUUCGUCCUUUGGUUUUUUGUAUAUAUUGCUUGCUGUAGAUUAUGUUUCGAAGUGGGUAGAAGCAAAGGCUACCCGCACUAAUGAUUCCAAAGUGGUUGCAGAAUUCGUUAAGUCUAAUAUUUUUGUUCGCUUUGGGAUGCCGCGAGCAAUUAUAAAUGAUCGGGGUACUCAUUUCUGCAACAAAACGAUCGCUGCAAUUUUUAGGAGAUAUGGUGUCUUGCACAAAGUCUCUACAUCCUACCAUCCUCAAACAAAUGGUCAACCGGAAGCAUCAAACCGAGAGAUCAAAUCAAUUCUAGAAAAGAUGGUCCGACCCGAUAGGAAGGAUUGGAGUGUGAGACUAGAUGAUGCACUAUGGGCAUAUAGGACGGCAUAUAAGACACCCAUUGGCAUGUCCCCUUACCGAUUGGUAUUUGGAAAGCCAUGUCAUCUCCCGGUCGAGUUUGAGCAUAGAGCAUUUUGGGCGGUCAAACAAUGCAACAUGGAUAUCGAGGAAGGCGGAAUUCAAAGAAAGUUACAAUUACUAGAGUUGGAAGAAAUUCGAAAUGAAGCAUACGAGAAUGCAGUGAUCUAUAAGGAGAAGAAUCGGAUCUUUCAUGACCAACAGAUCUCUAGGAAGACAUUCGUCUGCGGGCAAAAAGUUUUACUAUACCACUCCAAAUUGAAACUAUUUCCAGGUAAAUUACGUUCUCGUUGGAUUGGCCCUUUUGUUGUGACUAAUGUCUUUCAUUAUGGUGCAGUAGAGAUCCAAAGUUUGAAGACGGAGAAGAAAUUUGUGGUGAAUGGUCACCGUCUCAAGCCGUAUUAUGAAGGAUUUCCAAUUGAACGGGUGGAGAUGAUGCAACUGGAAAACCCGAUUUGCUUAGUUUAAGCAAAUUCUGGACUCCGUCUAGCCAAAGACGUUAAAGAGAGGCGCUUUUGGGAGGCAACCCAAUUUUUUUUUUAAGUUGCUGUUACUUUGGAGUGAUUUUAUGUUUAAAGUAUGAGUUUGAGUAAUUUUGUUAUUUUUUCAUUUGUAGGUUUUGGAAAAGUGACCAAAUGAGGCAAAAAAGACGAAAUUUGAUCAAAGAUCUCAAUACCUCAAAUUCAGUAAUUGUGGUUUUUGAUGCAUUAAAGAGGUUUAGAAUGCAUGUUUAGAUCUUUUUACAUGUGCGUGAAUGGUUUAUUUUGACAUAGAAAUGAUCUAUGAUGCAUUUUGGGAAAUUGGGGUAUCAUUUGUAAUUAUUCAAAAGUUGAAUUUCUGCUAAAUUUUGCAGCAGAAAAUGCGUUUUUCAAGAAAACGCGCCACUGAAUCGCGUUUUCAUAGAAUCGCGUUUUCAAAUCUGCGCCUAUAAUUAAGAAAACGCGCCUUCAAAACGCGACAGGAAGUCGCGUUUUCUACCCAGUCGCGUUUUCCAGCCUGUUCAGAAACCAAAAACGCGCCUUCAAAUACGCGACUUAAAGUCGCGUUUUCUCACGUAGUCGCGUUUUCAAUGCUGCAAAUUUGGUGAAGAAACGCGACUUCACAAAACGCACCUUGAGGCGCGUUUUCUUGAGCCGCGUUUUCUGAGCACAAUGAUACGACCUCGGAUCCUUUUAAAAACGAAGGCUUGGAUCACUUUUCAACUUUACUUUUCUUCAUGUUGGCUUGUUUUUAGUAAGUUUUAGUUUUUCGAUUAAUGUUUGUGUGUUUUGUAGGAGGCAAUGGCAAGAGUUCAUGCAAAUGAUCUCAAUUGCAAGGGUGUUUAUAUUAAGGCAAAAAGGGAGUUUUCAUGUUCAAUUGCUGCAUUUCAUGCAUUUAAAGUGUUUCAUGUUUAAGUUAUAUUCAUGCAUGAUCAUAUUAAAUUUGAAUUUUAUUCAAAGAACAUGAAGUAGGUUGAAUGUGGAAGGUUGGCCAAGCAAAUUUGGAGGAAAAACUGCAGAAAACAGCUUUUUCUGCAGCAAAUCCGGCCAUAAAUCCGGAUUCUGUCCAGAAUGCUCGAAAAAAAAAAAAAAAAAAUUUGUAUUCUUUCUUUCCUUCUUUUCUUCUUUCUUUCUUCUUUUCUUCCCCGCUGCUUGCCCUUUUUCCCCCUUUUCUUUUCUUCUUCAUUCGCCGCCGCUAGAAGCUCCGCUGACCCACGACAGUCGCGGCAACUGGCUCGCGCGCCGCUCCUCCCUGCCGCUCGUCGACGCUGCCCACGCCGGACGCUGCUGCCGCUACCGCCGCCCACCCCAGCUCUUCUCGCCAAGAGUGACCACCAGCUCAUCUCACCUCCUUCACCCUUGUCAUAGCCACCGCCUCCAAGAUCCGCCUGAAGCCCCGAAAGCCGCGCACCACCAGAUCCAGCUGCCGCAAACUCUUCUCUCUCACAGCCACCACCUUCAUCACACCACUGGCUUCGUAUGCACGCGCCUGUCUCAAUCUUUUUCUAUUAUUUUUUUUUAUUUUUUUAUUUAUUAUUGCAGUAUGUUUUUAUUAUUUUUAGUACAGUACGUUUUUGAAAAUUUUGCGUGUUUGGACUACCUGACAUUUCUAUUCCUCCUUAGUUGGGUACUUCUGUGUUACUUUGCUUGUUUCUUUUUACUUUGCUUGAUUUUUAUUUAUUUAGUAGAUUGACUUGUGGUUAGUCGUGUGAUUUACUUAUUGUGUUUAAACUGCUGUACUUUGUAUCUAACUGUGGGUAAUUUGUUACAGUUGUUUGUUCAAUUGGGAGGUGCCUUUAACACUUAAAUUUACUUAAACUGUUGUCUAUUGUGGUUUGGAGUGAUAUUUGGAGAAAAUGGUGAGACUCAGAUCAACCCCAGGGGCUAAUCCACCGAUGUCUUGACGAUUCAGGGGAGUUUCGUUGCCCAUCUUCUUAUUCACUAUAUAUUUGUUACAUUGAGGGCAAUGUAUACUUUAAGUGUGGGGGAGAUUUGGAUUUGAUUGGAGUUUCUUUAAAUUAUUGCUUUUCUUAUUGUUGUCUUGAUGAAUAAAUGUGGCAACUCACUCUUCUAUUGCUGGUUGUGAUUUAUCCUAUGAAUUUUGUUUAGAUGGCAAGUAAACGCAUGUUAUCUUGGUGAAUAUCAUGAAUUUAAUGACUUGGUGCAAAUUGUGGUUAAAUUGUUUAGGCAAUAUGAAUAUUUUACUAGCAAUUGUUGUGUGGAUUAGGCAAUUGUUGAUCUUAGUUCUCCAUAUUAGGAGAUGACGUGGGCCAUGAUCUUUAAUUAUCUGGUUUUCUGGUGCUUUAAUUAUGAUUAAUAAAUGACCCUACUCCGCUAGUGUCGUCACCUAGUAACCGGGAGUCUUCACCACAAGUGUCGACUUUCGCGUCAAAAAGUGACUAUAUAUAUGAGUAGUUAGUCCUGAAGCUGUGAAGAGUUGAGUAACUGGGCUCUUUCAUCUAAAAAUGUCAGAGUUCACGUCAAAAGACUUGAAUAGCUUGGGACUGAGCAUUUAUAAAAAUAAAAAAAAAAAAAGAAAAAAGAAAAUAAUAAGUAAGUUUAUGAUCAUGUUGGCCUGCCGAUCCUUGUUCUUCAAUGUUGAGAUUUUGAUUUUCAGUUGACCCAAUUGCUAACUUUUGCUAGUUUAAUAUUUUGAUUUCUUAGACGACUUAGCCAUGAAUUGGACGAGUCUAUGAUUUCAGGAGCUAACCGGGAGAAAUAUGUCUUGACACUUAGCCACUAAAACUUGAUUUUGGGAUAAGCGUAGCUUGGCAGUAAAUGAAAUGAGAGUUAGCCAUUGUUGAGUUUAGUGUUCCCAUGCUUGAGGACAAGCAUGAUUUAAGUGUGGGGGGAAUUGAUAGGGUGUUAAUUGUUAGUAAUUUUAUUGUUAAUUCUCCUCUUUAUCCUUGCCAAAUAUUGCUUUAAUUGUCAAUAUAUAUUUAUAUUUGGUAUUUGGAUAUAAUUUCAGAAAGUGGAGCAGAAAAGUGCUAAAAGGGGACCUUCUUGAGAAGAUUUCUCCACACGUGAGAAACUUUCCACAAUCAGCCCAAAUUGUGCAAACCAACGGAAUUGCUGAUGAAGAGUUGCCUUCCUAUUAUUAAGUCCUGGCAAGUCCACUAACAAUAAGAAAUCAAAAGGAGACAAUUCUGCGGGGACCACGUAACAUUGAUUUAGAAAAUGUGUUCUUCUUUUGGGAGAUGUACUCAUUAGCCAUAGGUGGACUUUGAUGAUGAAAGUAGCUUUUCUAUUUGCUUCCUACGUAACUAGUUCUCUUAUGAAAACUAGUGCAGAGGAGAAUUGCAGAAACAAGCUUCAAAAAGACAUUAGACUAGUUUUGGAGUUUGCUCUCAAUAUAAGCUCCGUAGGAGGAUAGAGGAGUUUUUAGUUUUUCUCUCCGAGGGAUGUUCCAGAGGAGAGAAUAGGGAGUUGUUUUGGUUUGUUGAAUUCUAUUGUGCAAUUUUCUUAUUUUCUUCCGAGAGCUUUGUUAUUCACUCUCUCAAUUAUCGAAGAAAGAUGAUGUCUUUAAAUUCAAUUAAAUUGCGUGGGAAUUUUCUUAUGAGGCGUGGCUAAUUUUCUCAUCUAGUCAAGGAUCAACGCGAAGACGCAGUCCCAAAUAUCUGUGAGAUCUAAUUAAUUUUACGUGUUCCUUAAUUUGUUAAUAUUUGCAUGUUUUCUAUUUUAAUUUCCAUGGGAUUGUUUUGUUAAUUGGAUAUCAAGGGCCCGAUGUGCAAUUUGACUUAUUAAUCUCCUGUCAAAUUAAUCAAUUAAAUCCGUAAUUGUUUAGUUGGUUAAUAUUAGUGACAACUAGUAUUUUCACAUACUAGGAGAACAUGCAAUCUGAUUUAAAUAACCCUCGUAGCGUGUUAUUAAUUUGGGUUAGGCUUUUCUAGUUUUUAAUGCAAUUAGGAAAUUAAUUCCUACGGUCGUACCUAGGAGUAUUUCCUGGUUAGAAGUAAUCAACGGUAGUACCUUGGUUAUCAAUAAAUUAAGGAAAAGCUGGUCGUUAGAGUUUAUCGGCGACUAUAACUAGCCUAUUAAUAAAAUUAAGUGAACCUUCUUUGCAUCAAUGAUCGGAUGAAUGGACUGUGUCUGCGUAGUUGUAUCCUUGGCUAGAAUUUAUUUAUCAUUUAUCUAAUUGCAUUUAUCUAAUUGCUAUUUACAAUUGUAUUAAUUAAUUAUUUAUUUUUGGUUAAAUUAUUUAAUUAUUUUUAGUUAAAUUGUUUAAUUAUUUUUAGUUUAUUUCUGAUAAAAAAUCUCCCGUGUCCUGAACUUGAAAGGAAUCAAAUUUUUCCCAGUCCCUGUGAAUUCGACCCUACUCACUACUAUACACAGAAAAUUCAUUUUUCUCGAGUAGGUAUUUAUUAUUGCACAGGCUCGACACCUGCCAAAUAAAGAGAUUUUUUAAAGCAUUCAUAUGAAAUUUUAUAGCUGUUCACUUAUCUGUAGAAAAAGAAACCACAAAUAUCUCGAAUUUAGGUCGACCUAAUACAAAACUAGAAUAAUGUGCAACUUAAAAAACUGCAUUGAUUCAGAACAUUUAACUCUCAGAAGAAAAAUAUGAGAUCCCAAGUUUAUAUGAACUUAAAUUUGCACGCUGAGAUUGGAAAGUUGGAGGAUAAUUUCUCCUAGUUAUUAUAAACAUCAAAAGCUCCACAGGCUUUGGAAGUAAAUUUAGCAGAAUUUAAUAAAAAGGUUGUUCAGUAACUACAAGAUAAUACAUUUAACGAUCAUUUGCAAAAUCUUCCAUAGGAAUUUAUAUAUCAUACCUGAAAGCACCCCCAGAUGCUGUUAAAAUGAUACGUCGAAGAGCACCCUCAGGCAGUACACUGAAGCACAUUUUAGGUCUUUUUGUUAGCAAGUAUUUUUCACGAUUACAAGGGAAAUAAGGGGAAAUGACAACUGAAUAAACAAGAUUUCGGACUUAACAAUUAUCAAUUCAAAGUAUGAUCUAAAAGCAACUGGACACAGCAAAAUACAUAGGUGCACACCUGGAAUAUGGCAGAAUGUUCUGAAUCCGCAGGAAGAAUCUUCACUUGGUGCUUGUGCGCAAGAAGAAGUACAAAAGGACCACCAGCAAUUAACGUCUCUUUGUUGGCCAAGCAAAUGUCUUUCGCUUCUAUGGCAGCCACAGUCGGCUGCAAUAAGGAAUAAAUCAUUCACACGUCAAAGAACUCGUUACUAAAUCAUGAGCUUCACAAAUAGAACAGGAAAUCCCCACGUGCAAAAGCAACUAGCAAAGAAAGCAAAAUAGAUGCUUACUCAAAGCGAUAGUAAAGCAUAAGCAAGCUGAACUCUAGUCGUGUCUCAAGCAGAUGAUCAUCCAUGAAAAUUAAGAUUCAUGUUCUAAUGCAAUGUUUCUUUCUUGUUUCUAGAGCCUGUCUUUUUUCAAUUGAGUAGUAUUAUUUUGAAAGAGAGAUUUCUGAGUGCUCCACUCUCUACCAAUCUUAAGUAUCACUGAUAAUCAGUAAUUUCUCAAACUCAUCAACUUGAAAAAAGAAGUUAUCGCACAUGAAAAUAUGUGUCUGAGUUAAAAUGCAUAAGUUUUGGCAUUUGUAUUGCAUGUGCAGCAUAAUCAUUUCAUCUAAGAUGCUCUGAGGUCUGUCUGGUUAAAUUCUCUACAGGCACUUCUGGAUAACCCGAGACUCUGACAUGACAACUGCAAAUUAUCCACAAUUAGGACAUGUAUAAACAGUAUCAUGUGUUUGUGCAGACACCAAUAGGAUGCUUCUUCUGCGUGAUUAAUAAUGCUUUAAAGUAUGCUUUUUACAAUUCAAUAGUAUCUUUAAUAGUAUAGAUGCAUGUGCAGCUCAGAUCUGGCUACCAUUGACUGGCUUUUCUUUUUCUUUUUCUUUGUUUUUACUUUGCUUGGUUAGUUGUUGAUGAUUGAAUGGUGGUUUAUUUCUCAUCUAUUAGAAAUAGGGAGAAUUGUAGUUUUAGUCCUCAAUGUAUUACCCAUGCAUGGAACUAGUCCUCAAUCUAUUUCAAAAAGUAAAUUUAGUCCCUAAUCUAUCCAAUUUUCCAUAAAGGUGGAUAAUUGACAGAUUCCUUCCAGUUGAGUAACGGAAUGUGGCGCGUGCACUCACUGUACUAGAACGUGCAAGUGGUUUCAAUUCUCCCUUCUAAUCUAACAUACAUGCUGGAACUAACAUGUUAUACCCUGAGUUACACUUCAAUACAAAGGUUUGGAAUCAGAUUUCUUGAAGAACCUGCAAUGGUUCCUAAUUCUUUCUCUCGGCUGCAACAUUAAUUUCCAGUAGCAGCAGCAGCCUUUCAUUUGAUAUUUUCUCAUUAGUUCUAUUUCUGUUUUAUGUCCUAGCUGAUCUUGCAAAGGAUACCUAUUCAACUACAGAUUAUCCUAAGCUAAACACGGAAGUUUUUGACCAGAUUCCAAGAGGAAACUUAAUCAAAUCCCAUGCCGGUGCAAGGCUGCAAAAUCUGACGCAAAGCAACCUGCCCCAGAUUUCUUUCAUGCGCACGUUCAGAUUCUUGCAAGUUACUACGGUAACCUACUUUUACUACUUAAAGUGAACAUAUUCAUACAUUCCUAGCUACCUGUUUCCAUCCUCCUUUGAUAGAACCUGCACAAUCCGUACCUGUUUCUUAGCUAAAGAGCAGAAUUUUCUUUUAGCAAGCUACCAGUUCUGAGCAGGAUUUCUCGCAACCAAACUUACUUUCCUUGACUAGAAUCUAGCAUACUAUAUACGUACUCAAGGGCUUCAGCUGAUAAAAAAAAAAAAAUUAUUGCGGUCAUUUUACCUCUUUCUUUCCUCUUAGAGUUUGGAAAAUUGCAGACUGCACUUUUAAUUUCCUGCUUCGGUUCCCAAAAUUGCACCAGCCUCUCCUUCGUACUCACUUUUGGCUCACGGUUUUGAGGUUACAAGCUGGAGCAAUGAAGCGAGCAAAUGUCUAUCUUUCUCUUCCUCACUUUCUCGGUUGCUGGCUGGAAGCAAGGAGUAACCAGAAUGUUCUCUUUUCCUCUCACUCGGUUGUGUUUUGAGAUGAAGGGGUGUGGCUGAGUUUCUCUCUCAGUUUUGCUCCUAGUGUUUAGUUGGUAAGAAAAGAGUUGAAGCGUGCUUCUUCACUCGGCCACCGCCCAAUUAAUAUAUCAGUUUCUAUUGCUCCAUUCACUCACCGCUUGCACUUAGCUAAUAAUUGGCAGCUACUUUCUCCUCCUAAAUUCAUUUAUCUCGCUGCUUAUAGGACUUAAGAAUCAAAAGGUAAACAAUCCACUCGGUGGUCUCUUUUUUUUUUUUCAAUCGGUGCUGCCAGCUAAGCUGCUCACUCGACCGGUUGGACCGCGAACCGGCCAUGUCACCGGUCCGGUCUAAUGCUAAAGCCGGAAGCUCAUGAAGAACCGUUGAAACUCGGACGAACCGUGUGAACCGUGAACCGGCGGUUUUUUAAAUUCUUCAACUAAAUAUUAAGAAUGGUGUAACUAUGAUUCGAACCUGGGCCUCCAAGUUUGGAUAUGACAAUCUUAUUGCUGGGCUGUAGUUAAGUUUGUUGAGAAUUCUACUUGACUAAAAAAUAUAUUAAAACAUCAAGUUCUUCUCUUUUUUUUUUUCAAUUUUUUCUUCUUAACCAUUUUUAACCCAAACAUCCACAACAAGAUUUUCUCAAGUCUUCACCAUUAUUAUCAGGUUAUUAUCUUUAGCAGAUUGUAAACAAGUUGAAAAUUUCAACUUUUGUUGUUUUCCAACAUCUUGGUAAGUUUAAUUUUUUUUCUUUUCAAGGUUUUUUUUCUAUAUUAUUAUCUUUAGUUGAUUUUUUUGCAUUUUCUUCUUUUUCCCCUCAAUUUUCAUAUGUUUCCCUCAUUUUUGUUUUAUUUUUAUUUGAUUAAUUAAGGAUGAAAUUUUUGCAAAAGUAGUGCACAUCCGUGUAGGAAUUGGGUAGGAAUUACAAAUAAUAACAUUGGACUGAUAAAAAAUAUGGUAGUUGGCACAUAAUCAAAGCUAUUGAUAAUUGAAUUUAAAAUAAUUAAUGGUAUAGGAUCAUUGAAUUUAAUAUAACAUGUUAAUUAGUAAUGUUUAGUAGCAAUUAAUUUUUUAUGUGUUUAACUGUAUAUUUUUUUUCAAAAAUUUUAGUUUUUUUGAGUUUGAGCAAUUAGAUUUAUAUUUUUAUAAUGAAAUUUUAACUUUUUCAGCUUAAGUUGAUGAAAUUGUGAAGGUGGUGUGGUUGUUUAUCAUGCCAUUGAUAAAAGUUUGCUAUUCAAAUGGUUUGUCUUAACUUGAACUGUUUCAUGGAUUUUUUUAAGGGUUGUAAAAGAAUUUCAAUAUUUAAUUUAUUUAUUUUUUGUGUUUUUAUUUGUGAUAAUUGGUAAACAUUUGGAUUGUAUCUAUUUAUGUUUAUAAUGAAUUUAUGAAAACUUGUGGUGAAUUAUGAUAUUUUAAUUAUAUUUAUCAAUCCAUGUUUUAUGUAUAACUUUUAGUAAAUUUAUUAUUAUCAUAAUUUAAAUUAAGUUAUGUUGGUAAAGUUCAAGUGUAGAAUGAAACCUGUUUAGUACUUUACCAAAAAAAAAAAAAAAAAACAGUGAACCUGUGAACCGGCCGGUUGGACUGGUCGGACCGCGAACCGGCCACCUCUCCGGUUCACUGACCGGUCCGAGUUUAAAAACAUUGGUUUCUACUAAAAAUUCUGAUGGUUUAUUCCAGUGGUGCUCACUUAGGCCACCGCUCAAAUUUCUUGUAAAUUAUUUUCUCAUCUUCCCCUCUGCCGCUGUCGCUCUUUUCACCCUUCUGCGACCCCCCUGAAAUGGGCUUCCGGGGUAGAACCCUCCAACUUGACAAUGCUCGAACUCACCAGUCGUGUUUGCCGCCUUUUAGUUCUCGAACGCCAUUCAGACCUCAAGAACCUUUCUUUCCAAUUCUCCCACAAACUCGUUGACACUGUCCUCCAAAAACUGAAGCUCAACCCCUCCGCCUAUCUUCAGUUCUUUGGAUUAGCUUCAAACCAGCCAAAUUACCGACCCCAUUUCAAGGCCUACUGGAAAAUUGUUCACAUUUUGUCCAAGGAUAGAAAAGAACAUAGAUGUGAAAAAAUGAAAAGGAGAGAAAAAGAGAGGAUAGAUUUUGACUUUUUAAAUAGUUUCUUGAUUUACAAACAUUGAAACCACUUGCACAUUCUAGUACAGUGAGUGCACGCGCCACAUUCCGUUACUCAACUGGAAGGAAUCUGUCAAUUGUCCACUUUUAUACAAAAUUAGAUAGAUUAGGGACCAAAUUUACUUUUUGAAAUAGAUUUAGAACCAGUUCCGUGCAUGGGUAAUACAUUGGGGACUAAAACUACAAUUCUCCCUUAGAAAUAUAACUAAAAGUUCAAAAAUACAACUAAUUCCAUAACCAGUAUCAAAACUAUAAAUGCAUCAUCCUUUGAUGGGCCACUGACUGUGCAUACUAGUUAUUUCAACAAAAAUCUAACGCUUAAAACCCGUCUUGACGAAUGCCACUAAUGCCUGUAGUUGCACUAGUUAAUCAAAUCCUUCAACUUCUUCAUGGAAUGCAAAACGGCAAUGACUUCCAAGGUCAUCUUUAUUUAUGAAAUUCCAUUAAAAACAUAUUUAUGUAAAGAAUUGGGUAGUGUAAAACCUUAAAUGAUAAAUAUAUUCAUUCAAACAAUAAUAUGUGCAUUUCAACUGGAGAUUAUUUUGGAAAAAUUUCUUUUGAUUUAUCUAGCACUUAUUUGUGAUAUUAUGUAGGGUUCAUAGAAUUGAACAGCCCUUAACAUUUGAGGCGAUUUGGAUUCUGCCCCUUAAUAUUUUUUCUAAGCACUUUGCCUCCUAGAUUAACAACCAAAGGUAAAGGUCUAGUAAAAACACAUAAUCGCCCUUAAGCUGGCGAUUGCAGUUUUUCCCUACAAACUACAACUCUAGUUGCACUCUGCCCCCAAAAGAACUUUAUACUCAAUUUACCUCCUAAUUUAUGUUGAAGGAUAAGAUUAUCUUUGAUAUUUUACCUAUUCACAGUGUUCUUUUUUCUCCCUUUAUUUCAUUUCCCUCUCUCUUUUAGUUUUUCCCUUAUUUUUAUCAUUAUUAGCAACUACUAAAAAAAACUGCUAUUUUAUUGUCAAUAAUUUUUUAAUCACAAGCUCCAAGUUUUAUACAUGUUUGAAUAAUUUAUUGCCCAAUUAAAUAUGCUUUCAAAUGCAGAAGACAAGAAUACAGUUAUGCUGUAACAUUUAGUUUUUUAGUUGUCUCCAACAUUCUUUCAAGUAUCAAAGGUUAUUUUGUUUUUCUUUUUUCACUAUCAAUAGUUAAUAAAAGUUUUGAUGUUAAGUUUGCUGUAUGUUGUAGUUAGUUUGUUACGUGGAUGACAAAGCAUAUAUAACUUAAAAAUGAAAAUACAUAAAUCUAAAAAUAUAAGUUAGAGGCUCUGUUUUUAAACUGGGAUUGGACCAGCCGGUCGAACUGGGAACCGGCCAAUGGUCCGGUCCGGGUUAACUUUAAAAACCGGAAAAUUCAAAAUUCGGUCAAACCAGGUCAAAACCCGGGUUUGACCGGAAAAAGACCCGAUUUUUUUACUUUUUUUUUAAAGGUCAAAAUAUUUUUAAUAUUAUGUUUUGACCCCUAGGUUGUUAAAAUUUAUUAAUAUAUCUCAAAUAUUUCAUACUUUAUAAAUGUUGUCUUAAAGUUUGGUGUUAUUUUUCAAUUAAUUCCAUAAUUUUAAUUCUAAACUUGUUAAUGCUCAUUAAAUAACAUAAAUUGCUAUUUGAUUGUUCUAAUUUCUUUGUAUUUUCUUGUUAAAUAUAUUUAAAACAUUAAAUACAUAUGAAUAUACCUUUAUUAAUAUUAACAUGUUAUUAGAUAUUUUACAUAAAAUAUUUUAAUUUUUAAAUAAUUUUUAUUUAUGACGUCAUCCGGUUCAACUCCGAUCGAAUUCGGUUGAAUCCAUUGACCCCUGACCCUUGACCUCGACCGAGUUGAUACCCGGUCCGGUUUUGAAAACAUAGGUUAGAGGCUCAAAGGCUCAAAUUAGGCAAUUAUCAAUACUUAUGUAAUAGUUUUGAAGUGAAUAGAGCGGAUGACAUAUAUAUAUAUAUAUGUAUGUAUGUAUAUAUAAAGAAAAAUAAGUGACAGAAAAAACAAAACGUAAUUGAAAUAACAGUAGUGUAAGCUGCCUUAAAAUUCUUUAGAAGGCAAACUGCAAAUAAGGGCAACAUUUGAAAUUAAGGCAUUAUAUAACGGUCAAACCUUAUUUUCACUGCCGAGGAGCUGUAAAGAAGUGCUUGGGAAAUAGUACUAGGUGGCAAACUGCAAAUCACCCCAUUAAAGAAGUCUAAUCAUCCUAUCAUAGAUGUUGAAUGCUAUUAAGCAUAUGAUGUAUGUGAAAUUAAAAAAUAGUAAGAAAAUAAGAAGUAAUGAGAAAACAUAUUUUAAGAAUGUCCAAAAAAAAUUUCCAAAUAAUUUCAUCCUUUUUUUCUGGUUCUUUAUACUUCAUCCAAAGUUACUUAUACAUUUCUUCAAAUUUCUGUGCGCAAUUUAAUCAUAACCAAUUGAAUCUCAAAAUGCCCCAUAUCACGCCAUCAAGUGCCUCUAAAUUCUAACUGCAGCAAUCACUUCUCAAUGGUGCAUGAGAACUCAAAUGGGUAAGAAAUUGGCCUCUGGACUUCACACAACAUGGGCCAAUUCUCCAAGCCAAGUUUUAUUAAGGGAAAAUCGCAUAAAUGGUCCAUCACAUAUUAUAAUUGUACUUUUUUUAUCUAUUACUUUCAAAAUGAAGUAAAUUCAUCCUUCACAUAUUCAAAAUGUACAUUUUGUUCCUUACACUCAUUCCAAGCGCUUUUUGGCUAGGAAAUGUCAUGUGCCACCACGUAAUGAUAAUUUCAAGGGCAAAACAAUAUUAUAUCCUAUUGUCAACUAAAAAUUAAAUUUCUGAAUUUUCCAUGUCAGAAUGACGGCAAAUCUGAAGUCCAAACACAUGUCCUGAGAUAUGUGCUCUUUUUUUGUUCUCUAUGUUCUUCUUUUACUUUUUUAUAUAUUUUGCAUUUAUUUUGAUAUUUCAUCAACUUUGUUUUCACUACAACUUUUAUCCUCACUUUUCCAUUUGUUAAAUAUUAUUUUGGGGUUAACUUUCUUCUUUGGAAUUUUUUAUUUUCCUAUUUUAAAAGUCCUCAAGAAUUUUCAAAAUAACAGUUAAACUUUUUCUUAAUUAUUAGUUUUACUAGAUGUGGUGUAUUUUGGUGAGAAUAGGGUGUGAUGUCUAUUUUACUUAUUUUACCCGUAAAAUCAUUAUCGAAUGGUAGCACAUGACCUUUUUCUAACUAAAAAGUCAUCAAAAUGGAUAUAGGAACUAAAAUGACAUAUUUUGUUUAUCUGAAGGAUGGAUUUUCAUCAUUUUAAAAGUGACGGGCUAAAAAGAUGUAAAUGCAAUAUGUGAGGGACUAUUUGCAUCAUAUUCCUUUUAUUAUGGUCAGCCAUUAAGGAUGGAUUUACAGAGGGUGGGCAGGGGCAACCAACGCCUCCCCUCCCUAUAAUUUUGUAAAAUCUAUAUAGGCCCUUUAAAGUUUUCUAAAACUUAUAAAUAAAGCCUUAAUUUUUAAAUCAAAAUUUGUCCCUUUGCCUCCCCCAAUGUGUUGUCAAUAUUUAAAUCAACUAAGUAAUCUUCUUUGAUUUUUCUUUGAAAAUGAUUUAUAUUUGAAAGAAAUAAAAUUAUAUCCUAUAUUUCUUAACAAAACUGAUCCAAACGAGUUUUCUUGACAACCAUGUUUGGGCCCCUAUUCCCAACCCAUAGACAAGGCACGGACUGCCUCUUAAUGCAUGGUAUGGAUUGCAACUUACAUGUACUAGUGCGUUCCACCUAUUGCUCUGUUCGUUCAAACAAUUCCACAUCGGCUUAUAAUUAAACAACUUGAUCAAUUUUUCAGAAAAUAUAUUGUAUGGUAGUAGUGAUACGAUAAUGCAGUAGGAGAGCUGGCAAUAUAUGAAGUGUGGGGGGAUUUUGGGGAAUGGGAGAAACUCUUGAAAAUUAAAUAUAAAUAUUUUGCAACUCUUCAAAAAAUAAAUAUUGAAUUUUUCUAUAAGAAAAAGUGAAGGAAAUUAACCAAUAUAUAGUAUUAGAUUAAGAUUUUAAUAGAACAAGAGAAGGCCUUCAUAUAACUAUUCUAAAAUUUUAUAGGGGUUAAAAGAAGUUUCCAAAAUUUAGAAGGGGCUCUUCCGGUAAAUGGUAAGAUUUGAAAACGUAAGUACGAAUGACAGAGGCGGAGGAAGUUAGCUAUGUUCCAAUCUAUCUACAAUGAAUACUAAAUUAGUUCUUUGUACAAAUGUAUUGAACAAAUAAUGUAAAGAAUAAUUAGUUGAAACUUGAAAGGUGAAUUUAGCCCCUUACUCUUCAACUCGCCAUUGAGAUAUUAUGAUGAGAGGCGCUUUGAAAUUGAGCAACAUUAGUAACGGGACAAAUUUCAUAUGUUCAUGUACGUGAGAAUAGUUGGUAAAUCUGGAAUGUGUCCAAGCAAUUAUAUUGUAACUAGCUAAGAAGCAAUGCCUAGGAACCUUACACAAACAUAUAUAUGUAUAGGGAAAAGACAGAGGAGGAUAUAAGACAAUUGCAGUAAAAGCCAAAAAGGAGAAUAUAAAAGAAUAGGAAAACGGCAAAAAAAAUAAGAUACACAAAUAAUAUACUAAAAUCUCUUGAACUGACAUAAAUAACCUUACAAUUAACAAAAUUUGUAAACCUAUUACAGACCAACGGAGUUGAACUAGUAUACCACUUUUGUGACUUAAGUACUUAUUUGAAUAAUAUAAUUGUUGAGUCGACAAAAGGUCAUAAUCAAAAGGGUUUAUCUGCACUUAUACUAACUAAUAAAAACUCCCCAAAAUAUCGUAUUUCUAACUUUUUAGUGGAAAGAUUACACAGUGUCUUUCUAUUUAACACAACUUCUUUAUUUAACCUUUGCUCUUACAAAUAAUUUCUUUUCACAAUGAAUAAAAAGAUUUAUGACUCAAAGAAAACAAAAAUUUGCAUUCCUACAGAACUUGUUGGUUAUAAUUAGAAUAUAAGUUGAAAAUGAAAUUUAGGGUGCAUCCAGUUUUAAGUUUCUAGUCCGAUAAUGGUUGGGAAGGACACUUAUGAUAAGGAAGAAAGGAGAAGAAAAGGCAAAAGUGUAAGACAAACAAAAAGUCAAGGAAAAAGAAAAAAGAAAUAUAUUGAUUAAUCUAAUUGGCUGUGCCUUUCAUAUUUUAUAAGUUUGAUACAUCUUGAUUUUUUGGUUUUCCCCAACAUGUCUUUCUUUUUAUUUUGACAGUGCAAUGCAUUUUUAAACGUUCAAAGGCAAAUGCCACAAAUCUAAUAUUUAGAAUUAAAAUUAAAGAUAUGGAUGGUGAGAACAUACUUAACCUUGAAGGGAAGUGGGCUGAGAGAGGUGGUGUUAUUACAUGACAUACAGUCAAUAAGCCAUACAGAUUAGGCUAGUAUCCCUCUCCUACGUAACGGGUAUUUUACCUAAAAAAGGGCAAAAUAUAUAUAUAUAAAAAAGACUCCAUAUAAUUAAGCUAACCUGUGAAAAGCAUUUUAUGGUUUCAAAUCAUACAUUCUGGUUUCUCAAGAUUUGAACUAAUUUGAAACAACAAUAAAAAUCAUCAAAACUAAUUGAGGCAGAUGAAAUGAUAGAAUUAUCUUAAUAUAGGGGGGGAGGCCCGCGCAAUGCGCGGGAGUGGGGUGCCUGUGGGUCGCGCAAUGCGCACUCCAUAAUGCGCGUGGUGAGAUCUAUCUAACCUUCGUAAAUAAUAGUGAAGAGAGAAAAGAUGGAAGUUGUAACUGAGAAGCCGUACGAAAAUAAUAGAGAACCACAUCAUAGUAUUAUAAAAAACCAUAGCUUAGAUCAGGAUGUUUGAGUUCAUGACCAUACGGACAGGGAUAUAGGCCCAAUGAUAGUUUCAGAUUUAGAUUAAAUGCUCAGUGGCUCCUUUUCUAAGAAGGUAUAAUAGACCACCUUGCACUUAACCUAAUUUGAAACAGUCUUAUUUUAGAUACUUCUAUUUACAUAGAACAGAUAAAGGAAAAGUUCAGCCAAGUUUGUCCGUUAAAGUAGUAGUACUUAGGAAUAAUGAAGAUCCAUUCGCAAAGGAUAUAACUUCAAGGAUGGGCUUUGGCAGUUUAGGUGCGGUGUUUCUUAGUGGGGUUGACUCUGAGUUUCAUUGGGGCUGCUGCAACUGCUGCCUUUUUCUUCUUAUCUUCUGUGUUAGAAGGACUGAGUUGAUCCACUCCUUUGCUUUGUGUUUCUCCUUCCAUUAUGCUAUCAACUUUUUCUAUUGCCAUAUUUUCAGCCAUGUCGGUAACAUUCUUUUUGGAAUGUUCUUCUUGUGCUGCUGCCCAAGUGGAUGCUGUAGCUUUGUAGUUGGUGAUAUAUUUGCUGAUGACAUAGUUUUCUUCUGCAGUAGCAUUGUUGAUAUGGGCAACUAUGGCAUUGUACUUUUCUGAGCUCCUGGAACUGUGGAUUGUAUUUGAUUUCUUGACCAAGCAAACUAAGUUUUUCUGCUUGAUGAAAUCUGCUAUAGUGGCGUACUGGACAUUUCCCUGUAGGAAGAAUAGAGACUUUAAGUAUUUAUUUGAAGUGAGCAGAAUGUUGCAAAGUAGUUUUGAGUUCGAAUGUACCUGCUGCUCUUGCUUUUGGAUGUCACUUAUGCAGAAUGGGAGGAGUUGUUCAGCAUCAUCACCACUCAGGUCAAGAGUUAUAGCACCACUCAUAUCACUAAUUUGCACUGUUAGUCUGCAGCUGUUUUUGGGUUCAUGUUAUUAGAAGCUUUUUUGGCAGCAGGGGUUGUUAAUAUUAGAUUAAGGUAUAUGUUUACCGUGGAGUGAGACGGAUGCGCUGGUAGCAUGAAGUGCAGGUGAUCUCGCAAUCUGGCCUUGCUCUGAUGUAUUUGUAGCAGUGGGGGCAUGAAUGGUACCAUAGCUUUUGACUUCUAUCUAGAAGUUUUGGUAUGCCUCUAAUCCAAUAGGGCCUUGCCUGCAAUGAAUGAGCAUUGUAUUAUUACAAAGGCUCGGACAAGUAUACCAAGUUUGCUAAUAGUAAUAGAAGUCAAAGUAGAUAAUCAAUUUUGUAGCACUGUUAACCUAUUGUGUUAAGCCAUUUGUUAACAUCUAGUACGCCAGGCAAGAAUUGUAUUAGGCCCAGAAGACCCUCUUAUAAAAGAUAAUGCAAAGCAUAUGAUUCUUGAAUUUCACAUGGGCGAGAGUUUCAUAAUAAAACUAUAGAAUCCAUCAAGCAAUUAAAAAGAAUUAAAAAGCUUUACGCUACAGUGAGGUUCACAAGAGAGAAAGUACAAUUUGACAAGUAAGAUAAUGAGUAGGGGAAAAAAUGGUAAUUACGCAGUAGCAUUAAAACACGAAAUUCCACCUACAAAGUCACAGAGAUGCAAAAAUACGAAGAAAUGGGACAAACAAGUAAAUAAAAAAUUACUGGGUAAAAUGGGAAAACAGGAGCUACUAAUUUCAUUAACGAGGACAAAAUUACUGGAUGAAAGCCCGUAUAUCCGGAAAAACCAAAUGAAAGGGAGCAUUAAUUAGUUCUACAAAAACGUACAGAUACAAUGAAAACUAAACUGAAGACAUUUUUGCCCAAAACAUUCAAAUCUCAUUACCAAUCAAUCAGGAGAGUAGGGAAUGGUAGUUCAAGCUUGUAGUCAGUAUAAUCCAAUUCGAUAACCCACAAGCCAAUUUUGUAAUGGAAGAGACUACAGACUUUUUGGCUGUUGGCAUGCAUGCAGAAAUAAAGGAUUGUGAGUGAGUUGUAUAUGUACCUCAACCACAGCUGUGAGAUCGCUGAUAGUUAUAACUCUGUCAUCAUCUGGUACAGGUAGGAGUUUGAGACGAUCACCAUAAGUCCGCUCAGCAAUGAAACGCGUGAUUUCCUCUUGAUUGUGACUGCACCUAAUAUUUUAUUUGUUGUAAUGUAAAGGAUAGUAAGCCUUUUUGGUAAUGAAUGUUGAAUAAUUUAUAAUGUAACUAUUUUAAAGUAAAGUUACCAGUUACGCAGGUCAUUGGCUUGCUGAAUUGGAGGAUUGAUUAGUAUGCUGCUGGAGAAUUUGGUGGAUAGAUGCAUGGCUACAAAGUUGACAAUAGCAACAUAAGUUUUUCCUUUUCUGGUUUCAGUCAACUUAGGAUUUUUGUAAAUGGUUUUUAAAAGAGUACGUACCAUGGUAAGAUGUCACUCGGACUCGAAGCGCUGCAACCACAGGUUGGGUGUGGAUCAUAUCAGCUAUGUCUUGUCCCUCUUCUGAUUCAUGCUCUCCCCAAAGGGUCAGUACCAUUGGGUGCGACAUAUGAUCUGUAAGAAUGAUAUCCCUAGUUGGUGUUCCACCUCUGAUUGCUUUCGGGUGCACGUGAAUUGCUAUUCCAAUAAGAUCUAAUAACCAGAGUUUGAUAUUAAAAAGUGUAACUAUGACUAUGUAAAUUAUAUGUUAAGGUAAAUCAGGAAUGGUACCUAUUUCAUCAGUUGUGUCAAUGUGCUGAUAAACUGAAUCGUAGUCAGCAAAGUUAAACACAUUAGGUAUCAGAGGGGGGUCCACUUCAUCGAUUUCUUGGACAAGCGUGGAGUUGUCAAUGGUCCAUGAGCACUCAUUUGGGUACGUACUGUACCUUGGCAACACAUUUUGAAUCCUAGCAUUCGAUACAUAAUAUCUUCGAUAUGGUUCAAAGUACUUCCUGAAGAACAUUAUAUCUCCAGCAUAAAUUAGAGCUUGAGCAGUUUGACCCUGUAAUUUUGAAUACAGUAAGUGCUAUGGUAAUUAAUUAGUUGUGUAUAGUGCCAAAGUAUGCAAUGAUAAGCUAUAUUACCUGACUAUCAACAAACACCAACUUUUGGUAGCGUUUUCCAUUUCUUGAAACCUGAACCUUUUGCUUUUCAAUCACUUGAACAAUGGCAGUCCAGUUGUCCAUGAGAGGUUGGAGUUCUGUGAAGUUUACCAGGUUGCUUUCCAUUUUUUGACGUUUGAAGAGUGCUGCAGACAACUACCACAAAAUCGAAGGAUUCCAAAGACAAGAGUUACACUCCGAAGUAGUAAGUUCAUAGAAUUUAAAUAUAAUGUAUUACUAAGACAUUUACUGGUACUUUAUUUGCUAUUUACAUAUAACAGAGUACUGGAAUUAUUGACAAGAUAGCUGCAAUACAUCCUUGUAAACUAUAUUAGGAGUCACAUAAUCUAAACUUGAAUCAUAUACAGGAGGUGUGAUCAAAAUUUUAACAGAUUUGCUAUUUUUAGCUCUAGAUAAUGCAACAUACAGCUGCCCAUGUGAAAAAACAGGUUCUCGCAAAUAAAUGCCAACAUAAUCUAAAGUUUGCCCUUGAGCUUUAUUAAUGGUCAUUGCAAAACAAAGUCUUAUAGGAAAUUGCAUUCGUUCAAAAGAUAUAGGAGAAUUAGGGUCAUUUUCAACACGAAAGCAAAUUCUAUGUAGAAAUACUUGCUUCCCAGCAAAUUCACCAGAACUUAUGACUGCAUCUAUAAUAUUGUGUUUAAGUGAUUUGCAUAGAAGUCUUGUUCCAUUACAUAGACCUUCUGGUGGGUCAAUGUUUCUCAACAACAUUAUUGGUGCAUUUUCUUUCAAUGUCAAUCGAUGUGGAGGAAAACCAUUUGGAGUGUGGCUAUUCAUGAAGUCCUCUAAAAUUGCUUGCUGCGAAUUAUCUAAACAUUUAUCUCUGCUUAAAUAGUCAAAUGGGGUUCCGGGAAAUUCCUGUAUCAAUUUUUCAUUGAUCUGAUCUACAAAAUCAUUUUUUGUAGUUAAAAUUGCUCUAUUAAUUAAUGAGUAUGUAUUUUCAGAAAAUAUGUUGAAGUUUGGAUAGACAGUUGUAAUCAAUUGAUUUAUGGAUUCUGCUUCAUUUGUAUAGCGAAGAAGCAAUGCUUGAGAGAUGUGAAUACUUUCAUUUUUAACUGUGUUUUCUGUUCCAUUACCUAUACGAAGAAGGUACUUGCUAAAAUCAGGAUCUAAUCUUGCUCUCAUGUUUUCCUUCAAUUUUAAUUUCUGCAGAUGAGGCCAAAUAUAAGAUUUUACAAGGCUAGCUUCGAUAAAGUCUGAUUUUGACCCUUUUACAACUACCGGCAGAACUUGCCUAAAAUCACCACCAAAUACCAUCACUUUUGACCCAAAUAAUUCAGAGUUAUCCAUUAGGUCUCUAAGUAAACGAUCUACUCCCUCAAUUCCUGCUCUAUGUGUCAUAGGCGCUUCAUCCCAAAUGAUCAAUUUGGCUUGCUGUAAUAACUUUGCCAAUGAGCUUUGUUUGCUUACUUUGCACAUGUUGUUAGGAUUCAUGUCUAAAGGAAUUUUAAAUCGUGAGUGGGCUGUUCUACCUCCAGGUAAGAUAGAAGCAGCUACUCCACAAGAGGCCGUUGCCAAAGCUAUACAUCCCUUUGAUCUAACUGCAGCUAGUAGUGCACGGUACAAGAAUGUUUUCCCUGUUCCCCCAGGCCCAUCAAUAAAGAAACUUCCUUUGCUGUGUAUAAAAACAGCAUCUAUGAUAGUAUCAAAUGCUACUUUUUGAUCCUCAUUUAAUUUAGAGAUAGCAGCAAUAUCUUCUUCAUUGACUUUAAAGUUUAGCUCAGAAUUUGUGUCUCUUGUACCUCUAUCCAUUUCAUCAAACUUUAAGAUUCGUGGUACUAAUCCAUACAUAUUAAUGUUUUUUCCCAUUGAUUCUAAGAACUUGCUAAUCUCAUAGAGAACUUUAUGUUGGACCUGAUCGUUUGACAAAUUCAAAGUUCUAUUGAAAUCUUCUGACAUAGAUUCUUUGAAUUUUAACCAUAAACUUCUUGGAUCAGCAGGAGUGAAGUAAACUAAUAGGGUAGCAAAUAGUCUUCUAAAGCUAUAUGGCAUGUGGUAUAAAGCUGCUUCUUCUAGGCACUGCUCUUGAGGGUUAUUGGAUUCAAAUAAUCCUCUCAUUAUUGCUGCUUCUCUAAAGGUAUUAACAUAAACACCAUCGACAGUUUUCAGGUCAUCAAAUGAUGUUGGCCCUUUUACAUUCAAUAACAAUAAUCUUAAGAAGUACCUCUCACCCUCACUUGGAUUUGCUGUAACAAUUCGGCCUAUUGAACCUCUUUGUUGCCUAAUAUCCCAUAUGCGUUUACCAGGUUUCCACACAAAAUGUUCAGGAAAUUCUUUGUAUGUGCAUUUCAAUGUUUUGGCUCUCUCAUCAGUAGCAUUCAUAUGGAAAAAUUCAGUUAGCAUACUUUUCUUAGCAAAUUUACUUUUCAAAAGAUCUCUAAGAUCAGCAUCAUCUUUGAAGGUCAGAGAUUGGUAAUUUUCAAGAUGUAGCUGAAGGUUAAUGACAGCAGGAUGUGUUUCAAAUAAGGGAAAUCUGUAAAUUCGCCAAAUGGCUUCAAUAGGAGAAACCCAUCUUGCUGAUUGGUACUCCUUAAUUUCAUCUAUCUCUUUAGAUCUGUCAUCUGAAUUCACAGCAAAGUGUAUUUUAUCAUGUCCCUUAUAUAUGUACUUAUAAGUAUACUUGACUACCUUUAUUGUUGAGCAAAUUUCAACAUUCAUAUGGCAAUUGAAUUUUGCUAACAAGUAAGGAUUAUAUGGAACUACCCAUCUAUUAUCCAAUUCAUGGCCUCGAACUUUUACCUUUUCUCUAUUGCUCCUCCGCCUAUAUGUUGGAUAAGAAUUUUCAGAUUGUGUAGUUUUUUCUGCCCACUGUUUAGGAUAAUGAUUUUUGCAUUUUUUAACUGUUGUACCUUGCAUACACACAUUAUCUGCAUUUUUUUCGCCACAAGGACCAUGCAUCAUGUGCUUGCGAACCAUUUUAAACAAGUGUGGAUGCUCUUUUUUGUCUGGAAUCUCAGCAGAAACUAUGUGAUCAUAGGAUUCCGUUGAAUAUAAUUUAGACGCUGGGUGUAAAAUUAUUAAGAAAUGUGCAUGCGGCAACCCACGUUUUUGGAAUUCAACAACAUAGGUGUAAGCAGCUACUUUACCCAAUACCUCUUUUUUAAACAACUCUUCUUUUAAAAUUUCUAAUUUGGCAUGAAAAACUCUAGCAGAAAGAUCAACACGGUUUUGAGACUCAUCAGUGGGCAGUAAGUUUUCUUUUAUUUCUGGCCAUGAUGGGUUACAAGUCAUUGUUAAAAAAAUGUCAGGUUUUCCGAAUUUUUGAACUAAGGCCAUAGCAUCAACAUACCUUCUUUUCAUAUCACGAGGACCUCCUAUAAAAGAUGCUGGCAAAAUUACUCGUUGCCCUACUUUUGAACCUCUACAUUGGCCCUCAACUACAGAAUCCAUGACACCCUGUAAUUGCUCAGUCCUAAUUUGUUGUUGCCUAUGCCGGAAAAAAUCAAGCCUUUGACUCUCAAUUUUUACGUACAUGUCCACUACAUACUGUUGAAAUGCACGGGCAGUAUUAAGAAUACUUGGUUUAUUUUUCUCCCUCAUCUGGAACCUAUAUGCAUAGUAUUCACGCAUGGACACAUUCUCCUUUGAAUUCUCAAAGUUUUUGAAAGCUGUUUCAAAAAAUUUUAAGCUUCAAUUUACAUUUGGUAAACUAAAAUUGUAUUCAUAAAAUUUGUAUUAUAUUUAAAAACAACUAACCUUUCUCUUCUGAUUCUAUUAUAUCUUCGGCAGAUCUGAAGCUUGUUAAAGUUGCAGUCUGUUGAUGAUUUCUAACUGACCUUUUCCUUUUUUUUGGAUUACCAGUGCCAGAUCUCUGAAUUCCAGGUUGCCACCCUGUUUCGCCAAAGGGAAAUAGAAGUGGAUACUGCAAUGGAUCAUAACAGCCAUAGUAAUAUUGAAUUCUACGGCUUUGACCCUCUUUUGUGUAUACUUGAAUGUGUCUAGCAUAGCUGUCCUGUGAGUUUUCACCUUCAACCCACAGUGCAGCUACUUGGGAUACUGUUGGCUUGUUAAAGACUCGCUGAUCAGUUUGACAGUAAGAUUUCAGGACUAUUUGAUAAUUGUUCAAGUCUGGAACAUGUCUCAGGCUUCGGAAAAAGCAGGCAUAAGGGUUACUUUUCAUGAGUUCCAUGAGUUUCACCACUAUGCUCUCAGUUAGUUUUGUUGAAAAAGCCAAUCGAUUUGCGAUUUCAUGUUCAGUAUCAUGAAAGUAUAACUGCAAAAACAUUCCCGAUCCUCCAUGGGGAAUCAAUUGAUUUAUAAAAUGAUACGUUUGGCCCUGAAUUUUGAAAGUAUAUAUUCCGUUUCUUCUUUGGCAAAGCGAUUUAUCAUAGUUAACUCCAAAAGAGGUGAAAGCGAACAUACUAUUGUAUGUUCUUACAUAGGUUCUGAAACAAAUUGCUUCUUCAGUUUCACCAGUAAAUAGCUCUAUUAAUAUGUCUGGCAUUUUAUUCUCUUCUAAGACUACUUCUCCAUCAGAGCAACAAAAGUUUGCAGACUCAGAAUAAAAUUUUUUGGCUCCGCAGUACUUGCAAUUCUGUUGCUCUGGUAAUCUAUCAGCUUCCAAGCUUAUCGAAGAUAAUGCCUCAAUUCCCGUCACCACCCUUUUAUGUUGUUUGCGUACAUUGUUUUGUUUCCUAAUCGAAGCAUUUUGGUCUUCCCCACAGCUUUUAACUACAUGAAUGGAUCAAAAAUGUCAUUAAUAUGAUUUUUAAUAUGUUGAAGUUUUACAACUUGUUUUAUUAUGUAGAAGGAAUAAACCUGAAUUCUGUUUACACCUUCGUCUUGACAUAUGUUUAGCUUCUCUUGAACGUUUAGGUUCAACUGAAUAUCCUAUUUAUGCAAUGGUGAUCAGUUUUUGUCAAUGGGAUCGCCACUGUUAUAUGAUCAACAAUGGUGAUCAGUUUGUUAGCUAACCUGUUAGAUCCUCCAUUGCUUCAGAAAGCAAGCUAUAGCAAGAGUUGCAGAUGGGUGGUUGGUCUACAAUAUUGGCAAAUAAGGUGAUCACUUUUAGCUAGUAGCUAGGGAGAAAUCUCGGUUGGUAAUGUUUGUUUCAAGAGGAAAGAAUAAUUAAACUUAGCAGUAGGAAACAAUAACUAAACCUGAAGAUUGGGUCGCUUUAGAAUGCUGACACUUUUUUAUCCGUCGAGCUGUAGAAGUAGAACCUAUACAUUUUCCACAGGAUGUUAACUAACAUAUUUUGUAGGUCUCUUUUAAUAUAUCUUUGGAUAUUUGUGAAUUAAAAAUGUUUUUAAUUCUAUGUGGUUCACCUUUGUGAUAUGUUGAAAAUUCUGAAACAUGCUCCUUCUGCCUUCGAUUACCUUCAACUUUGUCUCCAGGAACUAAAUAGAUUGUGAAAAUGUUAUGCCUAUAUGACAUCACAAUAGCCUAAAGGAAAAGGGAUUACAAAAAUAACCUGCCUCACUGUGGUGCUUAUGACCACAGUUAGGUUCCUGAAUGCGAAAAGCCUGCUGUAACAGUUGCUUAUUACUGGUGUGCUCAUCAUCUGAGCAUAGAGAUACAGGCAAAGGUAGUUUAGUUUACAGCCAUACUUGUUGGGAGUUAUUAUAGAGGUAGGUGGGCAUCUAAAUAUUCACUAUAAUGUAGUAUAUACAGCGCGAUACCUUUUCCUCUCAAUACUAACGAGGAGGUAAAAGUAGUCUUUGUCUUUUCUUUUUUACUUUUAUAGGUAUCACGGCGUUUUUUCCGUUGGAUUUCUUUCUGCUCCUCAGUUAAAGAGGCAUAUCUUUGUCUAGCCUUUUCGUUACGUCGAGCUUUUCGGUCGAACAUUUUAGAAGGAUCAAUGUUUCGAUUCAUAGUGGGUUGCUAUGGAAAUGUUGGGUCAACUAACAAAAGUGGUUGGAACUUGAGGUUUACACAAACUUGAACAAUUCGAAUGAAUCCUAAGACACAAGAAUGAAUCCUAAGACACAAGCUUAUUUGUAGUAUACUUCAGCACAGAUUCAGCCUACAAAUAUUAACCACUUUUUGCUACCGAAUGAACUGCAGCUCUUUUAAAAUAAGGAACAACUACAAUACUAAUUGCUUAUGCUUUCAUGUAUAUACACAUGUCAUGAAAUCUACGAGCGAUGAAAGAGCAAAAGAUUUUUUAACUGUACUACAUAAUACUCAAAUCCAAUGUAAACAAAAGAAGAUUGCCAAACAAGCAUAAAUUGUAAACUAACGGAGAUUUCCAAGCAGGCAUGAAUUCAAUGAUAAACACAGUCCACAAAAUCAUUUUUAAAAAAAACAAAACAGCUAUUCCAGCAAGUUUGGAGAAAGGUCGAAAAUGAACUAACCUUUUUUAAAAAGAAACCGAUAAAACUUGAUCUUGAUGAGAAGAGUUUGAGCCUGCAUGACAAAAAAAAUAAUUAACUUGGUAUGAAAGGCCGGAAUUAAUAAACGGACGAAGGAUGCAGAUGAGAACAAACACAUCAAGUCUAAGAAAGCAUGGUAAUUCUUUUUUUGAAAGCAAAAGCCAAAAUCAAAUGGGUAAAAUUACUUGUAUACGAAUCUCACCUCAAUUCCAAGGAAAUUCCAUAUCGGCGACCAAACAUAUCACAGAGAAACAGCUAUAUGUAGCAACAGAUUUAACACCAACCAAUCAUAGAAGGAAAGGAGAGAAACGGAAGAAGAUGGAAGGCUAUGCGUCUAGCAAAUGCGGAAGGAGGAGGAAAGCCAUAGGUGGAAAACGUGGGGGAGCUAAUACUUCAUCUGGUGGCUGUUUAAUAAUUAGAGCCAUUAAGAGGAAUAAAGUGGAAGAAGAAGCAAAUAAGCGGAAAUCAAACCUAAUCAGCCAAGGAAUUAAAGAAGCCCAACAUAAUAAGAGGAACAGAAACUGACAUGGGUGGCAAACAUGGAGAAAUUAAGAGACCGUUUAACAGAGGGAGGUGAAACUGGUGGAAGUUGAAUUAAAAACCUCUCAUAAUAGUCACCAAUAAUCAAAGGGGCUUCGGUGAAAUUUGCAAAGGGGCAAAUGAGAAAACGGUUUUGGGUGGCAGAGGAAGAGAAACAGGGGUCUGACCAUUUAAUGUUAGAUUUGAUUACUGAGGUCCCUUAUUCAGUGCCUAUUCAGUGCUGUGUAAUUAAGCUUAGCACCGGCCACUUCAGGAUUGGCAUACGAAGGAUUAUACUGGUGCAUUUUAUUUAGGAAUUAGUAUUCUACAUAUGGGCUCAUUUGGUAAUAUGAGCCCCUAAGCAAUUAAGAAAGGGACCCAUCAAAAUAAUAAGAGGAGAGCAGACUACAAUGGGUGAUAACGUUGCAAGCAUCAUGGAUAAAAUAGUCAUAUUAACACCAAUCAUUGCAUUAACAACUUGUACAAUAUCAGCUCAACAUCUCUACCUUGUCCAGUUGUCCACUCAAUUGACAACGAUAUCCAAAAAGGGCGGUUGAAACUUAAAGCUUUCUUGCACAACGAAGAUUUUCUUAUAUAUGUAUAGGAUAUUCAAGCAAAACAAACUUUCCAAAGAACCAUCCUAAUUAAUUAAAUUUAUGGAGAAACACUUUAUUGUUAAGCCAACCUAUGAAAGAACCCUCUAUGAUUACUGAUUGUUGUCAUUAGCAUUCUCCACCUUCGAUCGUCCCCUUCCCCUUCACCACAACCCCCUUUGUCCCCUUUUUCCUCCUCUCCCUUUCCCUCUCCUGCACCCCCUUCCCUUCCUAUGCAACCCCUUUCCUGCACCUCCUCACCUUCUUUCUAUGACUAAAUUUAUCAUAGGAGAGAGAGGAUAGGCUUUGAGGAAAGGGUGAUUUGGUCACAACCUCUUCUCUCUCUCUUUCACAACAAAUUAUGGUCAUUGGAAGGAGAAAGGAUGCGAAGAAAUGGCUGUGAAAGGAGAAAAGGGAGCGGGAUGCAAGAAAGGUGGUGAUGGAGAAGAGAAUGGUGGUGGCAAGAGGGGAGUGGUGGUGGAGGAAGAGAUGGGGGUAGUAUUUUAUUUUUAUUUAUUUAUUUAAUGUAUAGAAAUAAGGUGAGUUUAUUUAGGAGUUUUUAUUUAUUUAUUUUAUGUAUAGAAAUAAGAUGGGUUAUAUUUGAAAAUUUUUAUUUAUUUGUUUAUUGUACAGAAAUAAGGUGAGUUAUAUUUGAGAGUUUUUAUUUAUUUUAUGUAUAGAAAUAAGAUGAAUUGUAUUUAGGAGUUUUGGAUUGUUUUUGAGAAUAUUAUAAGUUCUAAGCGGUUUAAUAGGUAUAUCAGCUAAAAAUUUGAUUUAAAAAAUUAUUUUCCAGGUCAAGCACUUGCAAUAGAGGCACGUUUAUCUCAAACUCAUUAAUUUAAAUGAUUUUUUAUUGAUUUUUCACGUUAGUUCAAACCACGAAAUACUAAAUUGUAUGACUUGAAAUCAUAAGAGGCUUUUUCUAUAGGUUUGCUUAAUCAUAAGGGGCUUUCUGCAUUUUACCAUUUUAUUUAACUUUAUUUAACUUUAAGGAUAUGAUAGGUAUAUCAUCAGAAUUUUUAUUUGUUUCCAGUAAAUACUCACAAAAGAGGUGCGUGUAUCUCAAACGGAUUAAUUCAGAUGAUUUCUAUCAUUUUUUUAAAGUAGUUCAAACUACAAGGUAUUGGAAUGUAUGUUUUGAAAUUAUAGGGACUUUUUUGUAUUUUAUCCAAAAAAUUAAAAUGAUAUGUUUCAUCUCACAAAUUUUAGAAAAAAACUAUUUUUUUGUCCUUUACUUUUAAAAUGAAGCUAAUCAAUCCCUCACAGUUUUAAAACAAUGCAAAUCAAUGCCAAAAUGACAACCUGAUAUAGAUUUCAAGGGUAAAAUUGAAACAUCACUUUAGUGUUAACCAAAUCUAAGUAUAUCUGACAUAUACAUCAUAUUAAGUCAAUAGAAAAAGGAAAAAAAUUCAAAAUUACAGCAUAAGAAAAACCUUCUCUCUUAAAAAUUAAAAAUUUUGAGAAAGUGAUAUUAGGUUAACAUAAAAAAAAUUAAAAUUAUGACAUAAAAAACAAACCAUUCACUUUAAAAAGAAGAAAAUUUUAAAAAUUAUAACAUCAAAAACAAACCCUUCACUCUAAAAAGUUUUAAAAUUUUUGAAUUAUAAAAUUUUGAUUGUUUCUUUUUGUGUUGACUAAUGUCAUUGCCUCAAAAAAUUUUAACUUCUUUUAGGCAGAAAUGUUUGUUUUUUAUGUCAUAAUUUUUAUUUUUUCAUUUUAUAGUGACUUAAUGUCAUGUACGCAUUAUAUGUAGCUAGAUUUGGAAGAACUAAGAUGAUGUUCCAAUUUUAUAUCUAAAAUCUAUAUUAUAUUAUCAAUCUGGAACUAAUUUGUUUCAUUUUUAAAAUGUGAGGAACUAGCUUGUAGCAUUUUAAAAAUGAGAGAUAAAAAAUAUUUUUUGCCAAAAGUAAAAAAUGAAAUAGGUCAUUUUUUCAACAAAAAAUGCCAUACACAUUAAUUAUCUUUGCAUGUUAAUUAGUUCCAUCAUCAAUUAUGUGGCAAAUGUUAUGUCAAUAGGUGGGGUAUUAAUGAGGUCAGAUUCCCACUCUGCUCCAAAAAAGAGAAAGCAGAGGUAAAUGAUGGAAAAUUGACUUGAUAAGAGAGGAAUCUAGUACAUUUUUGUUCUUUUUCCACCUAUAAAGGUGCUUUUGUAAGUCUAGAUCCAGAAUUUCUUGAAAAGUUUUGUCUGAUCAGAUUAGUGGUAUUGGUGAUUUAGUUCCGCUCAGUUCCCCUCUUAACCCCUUUGAUCAUCCCCUAGGAGUAGGUCUAAAUUAUAAUAUAUCGUGUCUGAAAAAAAAAACCUAUAAAGGUGCCUUGGUUUCGGCUUGUGGAAAAUUGAUCGUUGCUUGUUCAUACCAGGACCAAGGCUUUACUGUAGCAUCCAAAACCGUGGACCUAUAAAAAUGUCUUGGUCAUGGCCUGCGAAAAUUGAUCAUUUUAUGUUCAUUCCAAGGGCCAAGACUUUGCUGUAGUAUCCAAAACCGUGGACCUGUAAAAGCGUCUUGGUUAUGGUUAUAAGUAGCAAAUAAAUUUAUUUAACUAAAUUUAUUCAUAUCUGUUCACGAAUAGACGAACUAAUAGUUUGAAAAAAAAAACGGAGUUAUUAUUGAACUAAACUAACCAAAUUUCAAUUAAAUUUUGUUAAAUGGAACCUACCAGGUUGCUAUACUACUUAUUGCAAUUUAAAAGUGCAAAUUCAAUAUAGAGAAAUCCCAAUUCAUCAACUAUAUAAUUAUUGCGCAUUCAUGAAUAUAGAUUUUGGGAAUGAAAAUUAAAAAAUUUUAAUAAUAUUAUAUAGGUAUAAAGCAAAACUUGUUUGUUAAUGAUCCACCCCAAAGCCAUCUUGAAUCUAUCAUGAUUCCACUUGAAUGUUUCUUAAAAAAAAAAAAAAAAAACUUGUUUUCAAAUCAUUGUAACUUAGUUUUGAAAAAAAAAAAAACUUGUAACUGUGAAUUAGUGCAUGAGAAAUUUAACUAUUAAACACUAGUUAUUUCAUUCUUCAUCCUUCGUAUACUUUGUUUGAUAUCCACCGUCCCAAUACUAGUAGCGGUAAUAUGUCACUACUACAAUCCUAAUAAUCAUUUCUUUCACGUCUCAGUCUCAGGGCGGGGUGCUUGCGCUAGCAUUCCUUGUCUCGUCUGCUUUACCUUUUUUAUCCCCCUUUUAUCUAAUGGGGAGAAGAAAAAUUAGAAAAGCUGAAAAGAAAUGUAAAAGAGAAGGCAUGUCUCCAGAAAACGUCAAACCUACAAUUGAAAGUGGACGAUAUUUGCGUCGCAUUCUUUCGGUAAUCUCAUCUCAGAUGCAAAAGUUUGCUGGGAUAGUUCUUGGAUUGUGCAGCAACUGGCUCUUUGUUUUUUUUGCUACUACAGGAUAUGAUACCAUGACAAUAAAGUAGACAAGUGGAUCUAGCUUCUUGAUCACUCCAAGCAUUUGAGAGGUUCUUGUUUUUUCUUUUUUUCUUUUUUUCAACAAAUGAUAACAGCUUUAUAGAUAUUAACACUUGAUAGUACAAGGAUUAAUUUGAGAGGUUCUUGUUGAAAGGAAAGAAAUUCAAAGGGCCCUGUUUGUUGUUCAGCUUCUAAUGUUCCUAAUUUUCACCAUGAAAAUUGUUAUUUGGUCUCUGCACAAAGUUGUUGGUAGAUGUCUGCGAUGUUACAAUGAGUACCAUUAAUUAGGUCUUAAAUAUCUUGAAAGAUUUUGCACUCCAAAAGGUAGUAUAAAUAAAGCUAAAGUACAAUGACAGGAUCGACGGGAUGAAAUAACCGAGGAGCAAAAUUCAAUAAUGUGUCCAGAUUAUGAAAUGGAAAAGAUGCGCUUGAUUACUGUAGCUUAUUUAGGUCAGUAGAAAAGGUGAACAUGAUGGAAAGAAAGGAUCUCAGGCAAAUAAUAAAAUGAAGGCAAGGAUAAAGAUGAAUUAUUCCACCGUCCCAAAACACGACAGCAGCAGCACCUUUAUCUUUUUUGGAGGGCUCCCAGACGUCCCUACCAUGUAAAUCGAACUGCUUUCUUAUUGACUGGAAGAGAAAAUGAACCACGUGAGAAUCGAGCCUCUCUUCUGAGAUCAGUUAAAAACAACAGAGAUUAGAAGUUUUGCAGCUGCACCUAACAGGCAAAAGCUUCUCCUCCUUUACUAGUUGUUCAAAGCAAAGCUCACUUUACCACGAUGGCUGACCCUGCUCUCUCUUUUGUUAUUGAGAGAACUGGCGAUCUGCUGAUUCAAAAAAUUGUUUUCCUGAAAGGCGUUCGACGACAAGUUGAGAGACUUCGAAAUGAUCUGGCCCGGAUGCGGUGUUUCCUGAAAGAUGCAGAUCAAAGGCAAGAUGAAGAGGAGAGGAUUCGCCACUGGGUUUCUGAAAUCCGAGAUGCUGCCUACGAUGCGGAGGAUAUCAUUGAGAUAUUUGCCAGCAAAGUUGAGCUCUUCACAAAGGACGAGGGAUUGGUCACCAAAUUGACAUAUUAUCCCUUGAAAAUUGUGAACUUCUACAAGAUAGGUAAAGAGAUUGAGUCCUUACAGAUGAGGAUCAAUGACAUAGCCGACAGCCGUGAAAAAUACGGUAUCAAAAAUCUUGGAGAGGGAACGAGUACACAUGGAGAAGAGCUUCAACGGCUCCGACGGUCCUCUCCAGUUACUGAGGACAAGGAUAUAGUGGGCUUCGUGGAGAUUACAAAAUCGCUGGUGGCAGAACUUUUGAAAGAGGACGAAAACCGCCGUGUGGUUUCAAUCGUUGGCAUGGGAGGUGCUGGUAAGACAACUCUAGCCAAAAAAGUUUAUAACCAUGCUGAUGUCAGGGCAAGAUUCAACUGCCGUGCUUGGGUAUGUGUCUCUUCAAGCUAUGAUCACAAAAAGAUACUAAGAUCAAUCAUAAAGCAAUUAAAUCCAAACGAUGACAAGCUAUCUGAAAUGUUGGAAAAGAUGGAAGUGGAAGAGGAAGUGUUGGAAGAAAGGCUCUAUAAAGAUCUCCAAGACAAAUGUUGUCUUGUAGUACUUGAUGAUGUAUGGAAGGAAGCAGCGUGGGAUUGUCUAUCCAGGAGGGCAUUUCCUGAUGUUGGCACAUCAAGUAGAUUGCUGCUUACAAGUCGCAAUCGGGAAGUUGCCGUACACGCAGAUGCUCUUAGCAACCCGUGUGAGUUGAAAACUUUGGGACAGGAAGACAGCUGGCAGUUGUUUCUCAAAAAGGCCUUAGGUCAUGGGGCUAAUGCUGGGUGUCCUCCGGAUUUGGAAGGAGUAGGCAGAGAGAUUGCAAGGAGAUGUGCCGGUCUGCCACUAGCCAUCACGGUUAUAGGUGGUCUGCUACUGGGCAAGAAAAAGUUGAAGAGUGAAUGGGAGAAAGUUCUCGACAACUUUAGAGCAUACCUAUCAAGCAGCCAGAGUGAAGCAGGGGCAAUUCUGGAAUUAAGUUAUGCAGACCUUCCUCCCAAUCUGAAACUUUGCUUUUUGUAUUUGGGUUUGUUUCCUGAGGACUCCUUCAUUUCUGUGCGCAAGUUGAUCCAUAUGUGGGUUGCAGAGGGAAUAAUGCAGAAAAGAGAAGCAAAAAUUUUGGAGGAAACUGCAGCAUAUGAUGAUGUGAAGCGACUUUGUAGCAGAAAUAUGGUCCAAGUGGCGGAAAUGACUGUUGAUGAGAGGAUUAAAAGCUGUAGAGUCCAUGAUGCACUGCGAGAGCUUGCAAUCAGAAAGGCAGAGGAUGAAAUUUUUUUUCAGAUCCAUGACACCAGAGAUGAUGAAAUAUCAGCCAAAUCCAGGUACCUUGCUGCUCAUAUUCUCCCUCUGGAUAAAAAUUAUUUUGGGUCUUCGGCCCCUCCUCUCCGGUCUCUGCUUUUUUUCAAUAUCCACGGUUACAGGGAAAACAUUAGUCUUAGCUUCAAAAGUUUCAAAAAGCUUAGGAUAUUAGACCUUGAGAAUGCUGAGAUGGGUUAUGAUUUGCCAAAAGAAAUUGGUAAAGUCAGGCUUCUAAGGUACCUCGGUUUAAGACGCACAUCUAUUGGAAGGCUCCCUCAUUCCUUCGAUUGCUUGCGAAACCUACAAACUCUUGACAUACGGAACAUUAACCGAGUGAUAGUUUCAAAUUUCAUUUGGAAGCUUGAAAGUUUACGGCAUUUAUAUGCGUAUAAAAUGGAAUGUGAUGUGCCUCUUAAAAUUGAAGGAUUGAGGAAUCUCCAGACUCUGUCACGCAUACACUUUGAUGACAUUAUGCACAAUAACAUGAUAACUUUGACAAGUCUUCAGAAACUGGGGAUUUGGGUGGAUGACAGAUCAGACAUAAACAAACUCUGCAUGCAUUUAUCUGAGGUUGGAAGCCUAAAGGCGCUACGUCUUUAUUUUGAUGGAGGAAGCGAGUGGCCAUCUCUAGGUGGACUUUCUAAGCUCCAGCAUGUAACAGCGCUUAAGCUGUUCGGGCUGGGUUUGAGAUCGCUACCUCCUGAUUUCCCUUCAAAUCUCUCUUGCUUGUCUUUGAGUUUCACACGUCUCCAGGAUGACCCAAUGCCAGCACUAGAGAAGUUGGGACAGCUGUCGUUCCUCAAAAUGGAAUUUUCAUAUUGGGGACCACAGCUAGUCAUUUCUACGCAUGGGUUUCACCAAUUGAAAUUCCUUGAGCUCAACUUCCAACAUGGUUUGAAGGAAAUAGAGGUGGAGAAAGGUGCACUGCCACAGCUCCAGUGCCUGAGAAUCAGGAAGUGCCUCUCAUUAGAGAAGUUGCCGGAAGGGCUGAAGUACAUGUCUACUCUUGAUAAGCUUGAGCUUGUAGACAUGCCAGAAGAUUUGAUCAGUAGGCUUGAUGUGAGAGAAGUUGCCGGAAGAGCUGAAGUACAUAUCUACUCUUGAUAAGCUUGGGCUUGUAGACAUGCCAGAAGAUUUGAUCAGUAGGCUUGAUGCGGACAUGAUAUCCAGUGUUCCUAACCUCAGAAUAUUUUGACUCUGGGAUUUCGCAGAAGGAAGGAGGUUCAUAUUUGUAAUUCUCGCGCAGAAUGGAAGUUAUGUAGUGUAUUUCAAGAUUUAUCAAAAUACUAGAGAAUUGUUUCCCACACAAUGCGUGGCAGUAUUAGACCUGUUGAAAAGGCCAUUGAUUGUGUAGAGAAUAUUUUCUCCUGAAUGAUAAUAUUUUCUACUGAAUUAUAAUUACAGUAGCGCGAUGCAAGGCACAUUAAAAGGCAUAAAUCAAUAUAUCAUGAUGCAUGCUCCACAGAGGGUCAUAGAAACCUAAACAACAAAGGAUAGCAAUAAAGAACAAUUACGCUCUGUCUUGUUUAAAAAUUGUAAAUCAACAUAACUAAGGCUUUUGCUAAUUUUUUACUACAUCUUGACAUCAUCUCUUUUCUAAGAUAUCACGGUGCAGAUUAUCCAAAUGUGAAUGUUGAAUAUCUUGCAAUUCUUCGAAACUGAUAUUAGUUGAACUUAGUGAAACGCUACCAAAAUCAGGCAACACAGCUCCGGGAGAAGGGAAGAGGAGAAACAAAGUACACCUGAUAUUUGAAGUUAACCAGAAGUUGUAGCGUCAAAGCCCAAAGUGCCCUCAGAGAUGUUCAUGCGAUACCCACUGAAGCAAACCAUUAUAGCAGCAGGGUAAUUAAAGCAAAGUUCAUGUCCAUGCGCAAAACCAGAGAAACAAAUAUAACAAAGAUAGCUGCAACAAAAUGAUUGAAGAGUGAGAUAUGUUAAAAGUCUCUAUCACUCCAGUUAGGAUCUGUCUAGUGAAUAAUCCCCUUUCAAAGAAUUAAGUUAUGGAACUUAGAAGUGCUUAUCUAUGACAGAAAUUAAUCAGUGCAUGACCAGCAUCAACUUCCUAAAACCAAAAUUGAAACAAAAACCAAAUUAUAUCAAACAAAUGAUGAUUGACUGCAGAUUCUACUUAUUGAUCCCCAAAACAUGUGAAAAAUUAAAACCAAGACGGUAGGAGCUGAGAAAGUAUUCUUUGACUGGUCUUUGGUCCUAACCACGACAGUCACUAACACGACAAUGCAGUUAACGGCAAAAUUAAUGUUUCAUAACAUAUAAUUGCUGCAUAAAAUUUCUGGGUUCCUCCUAGCUUAAUGAAAUUGAUGUUUCUAGGUCUAUCAAUGUAUUGUUUCCAAUGGAAUUCAUCCAACAAUAAAUCAACAUACCACAAGACUGGAACAAAAAAAAUUGAUUAAUUAAAAGAUAUAGAGAAGAUACACAAAAUGAUCAAUCAGGCUUAGAUCUGUAACAAGAGGAGGCAAAAUGGAGGGAGGCACCACCAUGGUUGCAAAUUCUCAGUUACAUAUGCGAAUGAGUUCCAUCUCAUCCCAGAAGCCAUCUGGGUUGCCAGCCAAGAUAUGGGUUUGAAUUUACCUCUAUGCAUUUCACCAUCAAUAACUCAAUAAAAGAUUUUCAUCGUUCCUGCCAGGAAAUAUACACAAACCUCAAUGCCUAAAAGCAAAAAUGCGAGAAUAAUUAUGAUUAUAGAGCAAAUACGAGAGUAAGAAAUUACAUGAAACAAUUUAAAAAGGCGAAAUUGAACUAAAUAUACCUCUCUUAGGUCUCUCUCUCUCUCUUAGUCAAAUGACACAAAUGUCCAGUUUACAUGCCAUGGCAGAUUGAGGUUUCUUAGCUGCUGAUAAGUAUGGCCACUAUAAAAACAAAUGCCAACCCAAAAGCUAAUUUACCAACAAAAUUCAAACUAAUAUAGAAAACAUUAGCAUCUAGAUGAAACGAGGUGAAUACGGCAAUCUUAGGGCAUGAGUUUCGGAGCUGACACAAUCUACAUACCAUAUUCAUGAAGAGGAGCAUCAUAAUCAUAGCUAGUGGCAAUAAAUUGUCCACCACCUAUCCUGCCCAAGUUUGUUCCUCCAUGAUAUUGCUAUAAAGACAAGAAACUAAGAAGACAAUCACAAUAGUAAUUUAGUAGGAAUUUGAGGAAAAAUAAUUUUUAAAGCACUAAACUUUACCAUGUAGUAAUAGUUAAUUAAAAAGCCCCAUUUUCAAUAAAUUCUGCAAGAGAAAAUGCCAAGUCUUUAGCCGGAUGGUAAGUUACUACACCUCUGAAUUCAAUAAACUUGGAAAAAAUGGAUAAAAAUAGAGUCACUUCCUGUCAUAAAACUCCAAGAACCACGUGUAACUCUCUAUAAAAAAAAAAAAAAAGAAGCAAUAACUGACCGUCUAGUUCAGGUUUCUAACCACAUCUUGGGUUUAUAAGCCUUAUUUGGGGAGAAAUAGUCACAGUAGAAGCCGUUGCAUGUAUUUGUCUGGGCAAAAGUAAAACAGACAUACUAUUAGGGUAUUUAUUAUCCUCUACUUCUUGAACAUACUAUAAGGACAUUUAUAAAAGUAUAAGCUACGUUGUACUGGUCUAAUACAACUUGAAAAAUCUUAUUUUAUGUAUAUUGUGCUAUUUAAAUAAAUGAUCCCCAUUAAUUCUGAAUUUCACAUUAUCUACACCUUAAAUGAAGCAUAAGCUCAACUCAAUGCUAAGCUUAUAGGAAAUGUCUACAAGGCAUAAGCUAUUCAACAAGAUGCUUUUCAAUGUACUAAUCCUAGUUCACCACCUUGUACAUCACAUAUUAAAUAAAAUACUAUGACUUACCAUCAUUUUGAUGAUAAACUAUUAAUAUUAGCCUAUUAUAAAACGUGACUUACUAUCAUUAUCUAGUGAUAAGUUACUAAUGCCAUUAAUACACCAGGUACCAAUGUUAAGUAAUACAUGUAAAGCAUCUAACGAUUUUCUUAUUAUUUCAAAAAGUUGUCCAUAGCCCACUAGUACGAUUGCUGGAAAAGUAGUAGUUCAGUCUUAAAAUCUUGCCUCUUGCACACUACUUUGUCCGUUAGGGAACAAUGAAUCAAAGAAAAGCUCUGGAGAUUCUUUUUUAUUUUUAGAAAAAAAUAUUUAUGCACUUUGUUCGCUCAUUUGAAAAUGGUUUGGCUUUAUUUUACUGAGUAUUCAUCAUGGUCCACUGAAUGAUUCAAUGGGAACUUAGAUCUACUUAAUCAUGCAUAGCUACACACAAAUUAACAGUGGCAUUUUGUGAAGGUUCCAACAACAUUCGCUAAAUAAUGGUAGUUCUUCACAGUAGUGUCAAAGAUUUAGGAAUCUUUCUUAUCUCAAGGAUGUAAGGAAGGAUGAUCAAGGUGUUUCGUUCUAUUGUUGGGAAUGUAUUGACUAAUUCUAAUGCUAUAUGUUAAACUAAUUAAUCCAUAGCUUGAAAAUCAGUUUGUUGUGUUUGACAAAUAUGUUGAAAUAAUUGUCUCAAAGGCUGAGAAAUAUGUGUAAUACAUUGAAGCAAAUAUGUUGAAUCGAUCUCAAUUUGCUUUUGACAAAAAUGUAAUUUUUGAGGACAAAAUAGAGCCAUGAAUAGAUGAACACCCCUGAGGUUGUGGUGAAAGUCUUUAAUGCUUAAAUUUCUAUGAAAAUUAGUCUAAAAUCCAAAAUGCAUUUCUAUUAGCCAUCAAUGGAGAGUUCGAAGACAGGCCCUUUGUUCCCCUCCAAAGAAAAACCAGCAUAAAAAUAGGAAGUUAGAUAUAAGGGACUCUUCCAGUUUAGCAUAAUUUAACGCAAAAUUAAUCAUAUGCAGUAUAGCCCUAUUAAAGUUUUUCUCUUCGUGGAUGUAGGCUUGGUGAUUAAGCCGAACCACGUUAAUUCUUGUGUGUUGUUCAUCGUCAUGCUAGAUAUUGUUUUCUAUUAAAUUGUUGGUCUUUUCCUUUUCAAAAUAAUUGGCCUGAUACCCUAACAAGUGGUAUCAGAGCUCCGUUGGGGUUUUGGUUAAUUAUUUGAAAUUGAGUGGGUGGUAGUAUACCAUGGGAUUUGGAACUAUACAGUUUCCAAUUCAACCGUUUAAUGGAACUACAAGUUUCACUCUUUGGCAAAGAAGAGUGAAGGAUAUUCUAGUUCAACAAGGUUUGGCAAAAGCGUUGAAUGGAAAGAACAAGAAACCAGAGAGCAUGAAUGAUGAUGAGUUUGAAGAGUUGGACGCAAGGUGUGCGAGCACGAUUCGGCUUUAUGUGGCGGACAACAUCAUAAAUAAUGUGAUAGAUGAGGAAGAUUCUGCAGCAGACCUCUGGAAAAAAUUGGAAAAGCUUUAUCUGGCUAAAAGCUUAUCCAAUAAGUUGCAUCUAAAGCGGCAACUUUAUGCACUAAAGAUGGAGGAGGGUGGCAGUCUCAUGGAUCACAUGAAUACGUUCAACGGAAUUUUGGAUCAACUCCAAAAGGUUGGCGUGGAUAUUGAGGAAGAAGAUAAGGCCCUUUUACUUCUUAUCUCAGUCUCUGAUUCUUACGAAAGUGUCGUGACAACUCUGUUGUAUGGAAAUGACACUUUAGAGUUCGAGAAUGUGCAGUCUUCUUUGUUGGAUCAUGAAAAACAAAGAAAGGCAAACCAAGAUGUGACACUAGAAGCUGCUUUAAUUGCUCGAGGUGAGAAUAAAAGAGGAAAAUAAUUUGGCGGUGAAUCUAAGGCAGGUGGUUCAAAGGCCAAGAGAAAGGGUGGAAUCUAGUGUUUUGGUUGUCAUGAGUUUGGCCAUAUCAAAAGAUAUUGCCCUCAUCGAAAGAAAAAUGAUGAAAAUGACUAUGAUAAUGUUGCUGGAUAUGCAUCAGGUGGAGAUAUUCUCACAAUCUCCAAAGGUAAUAAUACUUCUUCUCGUGAUGGUUGGAUUUUAGAUUCUGGAUAUGUUUCACAUAUUUGCUCCAGGUUAGAUUAUUUUGAUACUCUCUAAAGAAAGAAGGCAGGUUUUAUGUCCUUGGGUGAUGGAUCUACUUGUCAAGUCAAAGGUAUUGGAGUGGUGAAAAUCAAAAUGUUGAAUGGCGAGAUUCGUUCUUUGGGUGGUGUGGCUUAUAUUCCAAAGCUACGAAGGAAUCUAAUUUCUUUGAGCCAGUUAGACUCCGAGGGUUACCAUUUUUUCCGCGGCAGGUGGAGUCUUAAAAAUCACACAUGACGAGACGGUCUUGUUAAUGGGGAAGAAGUAUGGUAAUUUGUACCAUUUGAAUACCUCAAUGGAUUGGGAGCGGAAGGGGAUCCAAGAAUGCUCUCAAAUUACAAAUGGUGGUGAGAGGAAAAAACCUGCUAUAGGAGAGGGUGAAUUGAGGCCCCUCUCGCGAGUCAACUAGAUGUUGGACUCGGUUAGCUACACACGUUCAUUUGCCGAUUGAAUCAAUUGAAAACAAGACCGUAUUGAUUCAGGUGUGUAGCUAGGCACCAAGGGACUUGGUGGGAAAAAGCAAAUGGAGUUUUUUUUGGAUGGUUUGCUGUGUUUGCUAAAAGAAAUUUUCGCCAAGGUGGAGAUUUGUUAGGAAAUUGGCUUAAUUUCUUUUGGGUAGAAUUCUUAUUUGGUGUGGAAAGUAACUAGUUUCCUACUUAGAUUUUAGUUACUUGAAGUAGUAGUCAAGUAAAGUCCUAUUUGGUUUAGAAUUAGAUGUUGUUUCCUACUCUAUAUGAGUUUAAGAAUUAGUAUUGGUUUCUAAUUGUUAUUUGGUUUUUUGGUCAAGUAAUGUUCUCUAUAAAUAGGUAGAUUGGCAUACUACAAAAAUACAAGAAAGGAGUGAGAGAGUUCUUAGUGGGUGAGAGGGUUAUACAAGAGUUGGGGCUUGGGAAUCAAGUUGUAAUCUUGUGGUGUUUUUCUCAUAGUAAGAAUAAGUUUUUCUCUCCGUGGAUGUAGGCUUGGUGAUUAAGCCGAACCACGUUAAUUCUUGUGUGUUAUUCAUCGUUCAUGGUAGAUAUUGUUUUCUAUUAAAUUGUUGGUCUUUUCCUUUUCAAAUAAUUGGCCUGAUACUCUAACAGAAGUCCCAUCCAUUCAUUUCAUUUCUCUUCCUUCCUUAUUAAAACUCCCAAAGGAAUCAAAUGGUAAGACUUUCUCUCGGGAUACUUUCUUUCCUGUCCUUUUCUCUCAAUCCAAAUGAAGCCCAACUCUGCAUGCGUUUAUCUGAGGUUGGAGCCUAACGACGUUACAUCUUCAUUUUGAUGGAGCCAGAGGAAUACCAGGGCAGUUGCCAUCUCUAGCUGGACUUUCUAAGCUCCAUCAUGUAACAGAGCUUAAGCCAUCUAGGUUGUUGAGAAUGCAGCCUCCUGAUUUCCCUUCAAAUAUCUGUUGCUUGUCUUUGAAAUGGACAUUCCUCAGGGAUGACCCAAUGCCAAUACUAUAGAAGUUGGGACAGCUGUCGUACCUCAAAAUGAAAGAUGCCUACCGAGGACAAUAACUAACCAUUUCUAGGAUAUGGCUUUCACCACUUGAAAUUCCUUGACCUCAGAGACCUAGAUUAUUUGGAUAAAAUAAAUGUGGAAAAAGCUGCAUUGCCACAACUCCAGUACCUGCGAAUCAGGGAAUGCAGCUCAUUAAGCAAGUCGCCGGAGGAGCUGAAGCACAUGUCCACUCUUGAUAAGAUUGAGCUUGUGAACAUGCAUGCCUGAAAGUUUUGUUAGUAGGCUUGAUGCAUGUGCGAGACCAGCACAAGGGCUCCGCUGCCCCUUACCUCAGAAUAUUUAGGGGUCGAAGAGCGUGGCAUAGAUCGAGCAGAAAAAAUUUGCCGGAACGAAUUGAAACUCACGCACGAGUCAUAAGGGCAGCUGUUCUUUUCCAAGCGGCUGGUUAACCAUCAUGAUGGUAACAUUAGAAAGCAAGGUGAAGUUUGCCAUCUUCAUUGCUUGUACCGAUUUCUCUCUAUUUAUUCCUUCUGGUUGCCAUCUUGAGGUCGCCGGUCCCGUGGACUAUAAUAACUUCAUUGUGUAUUUCUGGUUUUAUAUUUCUUGCUUUUUCAUCUUCAUUGUGUAUUUCUGGUUUUAUAUUUCUUGCUUUUUCAUCUCCGGUGAGGAGGCUCCUUAUGGUGUAUGUGCUGCAGGCUGAUUUUCAAUGCAAUAAAUCAAUGAAAUCAUUUCCCUCUUUUAUCAAAAUAAAUAUAUAACUAAAAUAUUCUCCAUUCAAUGUACUUACUUUGCCACUAUUUUACUCUUUAUUUUGUCCAUUUUAUAUAAUUCGGACCCUACUUAAGUCCUCUUUUUGGGUGAAAUGUCACACUUCAAGACCUGCUUUUUCAAUCUUCCUCCUAUUAAACAAAGAAUGGCAGUUGUAUGGCUAAUUUUUUUUUUUUUUUGGGAAAAUUAACGGUGUCUAUACCUAUAUCAAUUUACAUUCAAUAUAUCAUGGUGAUACGCUGAUACUAGUCUUAAUAAUCCAUGAACACUUGUGUCUUCAAGGCCUAUAAGUCCUGACACUAAAUUGUCAGCAUAUGGAAAUGUUUAAUUUAACAAAAAAAUAGAACGAAACAAAGGCCACCAUCCAUCCUGUCUAAAAACUGAAAAAAGAAGAAAAGGAAUCCAUGUAGAAGAGAAUAAAGGAUUAACCGUAGCAAACAAAUCAAGGAAUUCAUCCCUUCUAAACUGUUGGAUUAUCUGGAACUGAGGGUUCAUUAUUUCCUAUACACUACUGAAAACAUAAAGAUGUAAAACAAAAGACAACAAACUCAAAUGUGCGAAAAGGAAAUGACAAACUGUCCAUCUACAUUGCUUGGAAAUAAAGAUUGAAGAGGAAAAAUUUUGUGUUUUUUAAAGAUGGUACUUUACUUUCUAGCUACUAACACAGCACUCACAGUUGACAGAUUUGUCUGUCUAAAAUUACAUCAUACCUUCUCCGUUCAAGGAAGAUUAACCCACAGCUAAAGUUUAGGGAUACAUCCAAUAAGAAAUCUUUUCCUCUUAGUUUUACUCCAAAAAGAAAAACUAGUGAUAGCAUCUUUGUGUAAAUCACUGUCAUAAUAUUUGUGUAAAAGUGAUUGAGCAUUUUAUGCAGUGGCCAUAACAUACAAAAUUAAUUGCUCAUACAGAAUUAUAUAAAAGAAAUAAAUCUCAAAUGGAGCCUCCCUAUUUUUGAGCUGCGUUUCUUCUACAAAACUUUUAAAUUAAGAAGCAGUUUUAAUACCUGUUUUUAAACCCGUGAAAAUGGAACUUUUAAAGUAAGUUGUGUACUUCAAACUUACCAUCUUGAAUUAUUGAUAUUUUAUUGGAUACUUAAAUCUUUCCUUUUUCUUGACAAGUUUUUGAAUUUUCUAAAAACUAGUUCAAGUAAAGCUAAAACUUCUUUCAGAAAAAUCGAAAAAAAAAAAAGAAGCUAAAACUUUUAAUUUAGACAGAUAAAUAAAGGUAAAGAGUUAACUAGGAAAGGGCAAAAAAAGGAGUGAGUUCAAUUUUCUGAAAAUGAAGGCAUGUUAUUAUUUAAAAGAGUUAAGGGGGCAAAACAAAAAGAAAUUUGUUACAAUAAGGCAAUAUAAAAGUAAGUUUUUUUUUUAUCAGAAACGAUAUAUUUGUAUAACUUACUCUAUACUAAUCUAGGGAGGAAGGGGAGCCUAAGGAGGCUGUAGUAGGAGCUAGUAGAUAUACAGAUCCAACUAGAUCAAGAAAAUGUUAUGACACAACCUUAAAUUUUUUUCGUUGCAAAUGAGAUUUGAACCCUCACCUACAGCGUGAGGAGGGACUUAAUGGUGACCACUGAGCCAUUGGCCUGGUUAAGUCAAAUCGUCAAAAGACGCAAAACCGCCCAGGUACAAUGGUUCUCCAAUGAAAACAAAACAAAGCAAAACAAGAACUCUGUCACUCAACUGGACCCCAUUCGAGCCAAAUUGAACAUCUUUGACUAAGCACGAGUAUUAAGAAGAAACAAAAUUGAAAGUGAUAAUUUUAGUAUUUAUUUAAAAAAAUAAAAGGUUUAUCAGCAAAAUUUCUGAAGUGACAUAGUAGUAAUUGCGGUUCGAAGUUUAGGUAUAAAAACUCUACAUUUGAAAUUCGUUUAUCGCAAAUCAUUUAUUGGACAUAUCCUUCAAAGAUGGAGCGCCCAUAUGCAGUCAGAUUUCUGCAUUCGUUGUAAAAAUUAAAAGUUUAGUGUUUUUGGGUUAUGUUAGCAUCUACAUUGGAUAUUCUCAUUUUGUCUUCAAUAUUACAUUCUAGAUUUGUAUGUCUACGUCAUAGUUAUAAAAUCGGCUCCAUUCAAUCAUUCAACCGGUUAAUUUGAUGAAUUGGUCACUUAAUCAAGUUGGGUUAACAGUUAGAUUGAAUAGAGAAUAUAUUCAUUAACCUGUCAAUGACUCGAUGAAUCAAUCAAUAAAAUUAAAAAUCAUUGGUUGAACCACUAAUUUAAAAAAUCAAAAUAAUAUAAUAUAGUUACUAGUCGGGCUAAUCAAUCCAGAAUUGGACGAACAACCUGUUGAAAUGAUCACCUCUUUGAGUUGAGGUUCGAGUUAAAUGUUACAACUAUGGUCUACAUUAUCUCAAAUGUUAUUCUCCCAAUUAUUGUGGCCAAUUAUUGUGGAUUAAAUUCUUGUAUACAUUUAUGAAGACUACCUAGGUUGACUAGAACUGUAGAUGAAUAUUCUUUAAACGUUUGUUCCUUCCUAAAAUAUAUCCCUCGUAGAUCCGCAUUCUUUUUUACAACCUUCCUCAACCGUGCCAAAAUUUUAAAUAUUAAUGUUCGAAAUUGGCUCAAUUUUUUAAAAUUUAAAGAAAGUACAUCACCAUAAUAAGUUAAUAACAAGAUGUGAAAUGUUUUAUUGUCGAGUGAGAUCUACAAAACAGUGUUCUAAAAUUUUCUUAUUUUACAAAAUCAUUUAGGAUUGAAACAAAUCCAGACUCAUCUUUCUAAAUACAGAUAUUUGAUUCAUAAGUACUAAAAUUUGUAUAAAGUAUGAAUUUAAGAUACUGCCUCUUCCAAAAAUUUAAGACACGGGAACACUACUGUUUCCAAUACCUAACGUACGUUCCACAACGCCAAACCAGGGCUCCCACCGUUAUCGCAGCAAUUGCACCUUGCAAUUGUUGAUCGAUAUGAAUUUAACUUUCGAUUGGAUAAAUAAGAUCAAUACUAGAACACAACUUUAAAUAAGUAACACAAUUUGCUUUGAUUUUACAUAUUAUUAUCUUAUUAUGGAUAUAAUCAAAAUAAGUUAUUUGACUCGAACUCACGAGUAGUUUGAUCAAAAAUAAAUUUUGAUUAACUAUAAAGCUAAGCUUGAGAACAUGAACACAAGCUCUCAAGUUCGCUUGCCAUGGCCGUCAGUUGAUCUCAAAAUUCAUGUUUCUUGCUCACUCGAAUUCAAGUUUGAGCUUAAUUAGCAAAGAAAAAUGUUUUUCAAACUUGAGUAUAUAUGCUCACGUUUACGAUCAGAGUCUCUACAUCUAUACGAUACUUAAAGAGAGAGUAACAUUUGUAUGAUGUAAAGUGUAAACCCACACCUUUUUGAAAUUCUUAAUCAAUCCUCAAUUAUAAGAACAAAUUGGUUUCAAUCCAUUCAUAUGAACACAACUUCUCACAAUCAACAUAUAGUUAUCUCGUUGAGAUCUAAUUACAACUUCCGCACACUAAUCCUUUCACGGCUCUACUUUUUUUUCUAUCAUGUUUUUAAAUACAAUAACUUUCCCUAAAGUAGUGACUAUAGAAAUUUUAUAUACAAACAGACAUGUCUAAAUCUAAUAUGGCAUGUAACUUGAUAUGACAAAAAUAAUAAUAAUAUAUUUUCUUGCAAUAAGAACACACCUUAGUGUGUGUUGUGCGCCAAAAGCACUGGUUAUAUCAAUUUGCAAUUGGCUCGAGUAUUCUGGCACGAGAAGCCGAUCCUGGCUUUUAUAGCGUUUCAGUAUAUACUCCUUUCUUUCAGGCAGUCCAACUCCCACCCAUUCCACUUAGUCCCCACUCACCAAACUGCCACCAACAACAAAGCCGCCUCCUCUCCCCUCCUUCCUCGGCGGAUACCCAACGUUCACCUCAUUUCCCCCACCAACCCAUAUCUGCCUGCCUAUUUUCCUCCUUCACUUCUUCUACUUCGAUUCCAUCCAAGAAACCUCCAAAAAUGCAGGGCACAGCGAUUUCAUUCUCCCCUUCAAUUUCCCUCCCAAUAAACCGAAUUCAAUUUCCACACACCACCACAGAUUCCUUCUAUCUCCUCGCACUGAACUUCCUCUCCAUUUCAACCCUCUGCUGAAAACGCCGGCGGUUUCGUCCCGCAAGCUAAUUACGCCGAUUAAAUGCUCUUCCUCGGUGAAUCCGAUAAGUUCCGGAUGGAUUUCUGGCCCGCCUCCGGAGCCCGAAUCUGAUGACAAUGUUAAGGUUCGGGCCACUUCUGUGCCGAGAGCGCCCCCGGAAAGCCCGAAGGAAAAGCUUUGGUUGAUACUUUAGUGCUGGGACUUCUUUUUGGACUUUGGUAUCUGUUUAAUAUCUACUUCAAUAUCUAUAAUAAACAGGUGGGUUUGUUUAUUUUUUCGUUUAUGACAUUUUAAUUUUUUUUUGAAGCAAAUUUACGUUUAUGGAAAAUGAUUCCAUUUUUGUUAGUUUACUUUGAUCUAUACUUUUGGAAUGCAUUGAAGUUACUUUGAAAUGCAUAGUUGCACAAGAUUUUAUUUUCUGGGCAGUUCUGUAUGAGGGUCUGAUUUAUUGAAGUUAAUUUGGGAAAACACUUAUCUUUUAAAUUCUUAAAUUUAGAAUCUGUAGCUGAAAUCAAAUACUGAUUCUAAGACUACUAACAAUGACUUUUAAACUACGGGGCUACAUCUGAUUUGAUUCUUGAAGGAAAGAUAAUGUAUGUUGUUUUUUUUAAUGAAAUUGGGCAAUGAUACUGGAAUAUAAUUUAAUUUUGAAUGAUCUACCAUCUGACAAUAAGAAUAUGUUAAUCCCGAUGUGAAAUUAAGUUUGUAGUUCUCAUAUUAAAUGAAUUUAUUAGGAUUUUUACUUCAGUUAGUAGCAUUUAUAUUACCUUUUUCGUUUAUACUAGUUGAUAAUUUUUCCCCCUAGCAGGGAUGGAUGGGAUUUAAGAAGCGGGGAUUUCUAAUUUUUGGGGCCUCAACCUCAAAGAGUGUAUGAUAAGUUAUAAGUAGCUUGUACGAAUGAUUGUUUUGUAGCGAGUGUACGAUGGCAUUGUGUUCUAUAUACGUGAUGAUUGCGCUCUCUCUCUUGUUAUUAAAUUGCUGGAAAAGAGAAUAUAUAGAUUGCAGAUUCUGAGGUUGCUGUUGUUUUUGUAGGUCCUGAAAGUUUAUCCGUACCCAGUAACUGUUACUGUGGUUCAAUUUGCAGUUGGGACGGUCUUUGUUAUUUUUAUGUGGCUGUUCAAUCUAUACAAGCGGCCCAAGAUCACUGCUGGACAGGUAGUAUGAUACUGGUGUGGGAUUUGAUUCCUUUUACUAUUCUAUGUUGUCAAUAUGUUGAUGUGGGUUCUGAUUUUGAUGUUGGCAGCUUGCUGCUAUCCUACCAUUGGCAGUGGUUCAUGUGUUGGGCAACCUUUUCACGAACAUGAGCCUUGGAAAAGUCGCGGUUUCUUUCACUCACACUAUCAAAGCUAUGGAACCGUUCUUCUCAGUUGCCCUCUCUGCCAUGUUCUUAGGAGAGGUUUGCUUUUUCUUACGGCCUUUUGUCAAUUUCCCAGUUUCUUCUGUGGUAUUGAUUUGGUUGAUUUCUGAAAUUGUUUUAGGAUGACUCUUUAACGAAAUUUCUUUUGGCCAGCCUUAGAAUGAUAAAUUCUUUGAACACCUCAUUCCGGUGGUCUUUAUGUUUUAAAUACUGUUGGAGACUUUCAAUCAAUCUUUUCUGGAGUUUGAAUAGAUGUUUUCUGAACUACGGAAUAACUGUUCUAUUGAACCAUGAAUUUGGGACUCGUUCCACUUUAGUUACUUUUGCUAACUUACUUUUCCUGUUCAUGCAGAUGCCUACCAUAUGGGUAGUCUCAUCUCUUCUGCCAAUUAUGGGUGGAGUAGCACUGGCAUCUAUGACUGAGGCAUCCUUCAAUUGGUAAGAACUGUUGGUGCAUAUGCUCUAUUUAUGUCAUUUUGUUCUACAUCCUUCUUGUAUAAGUGCUGCUCUUUUAAGUUAUCUAAUCCAUAAUUCUUGUUUCACUUGCUAAAAGGGCUGGUUUUUGGAGUGCAAUGGCGUCAAAUUUGACUAAUCAAUCUCGAAAUGUCCUUAGCAAGAAAUUUAUGCUUAAGAAGGAGGUAUGAUUUUACUCUAGGUCCUUUAUGUUCAUAACUGGACGUAUUGUCAAGUCUGUAUUAAUUGGAAAAUCUGGUGCUUUCUCUUUGUUUCCCUGCAUUCUUUUAGUGUUUAUUACAGAAUUUCCUUUGUACUACUACUUAUAUCAUGAUGUGGUGACUUGUGCUUUCAUUUUCUUUUCCUGCCUUAAGUUUCCUAACAAAAGGUGGUUAACAGAGCUUGAAUUUCCUGUUGUUUGUGUGCAAAUUUUUGUUAAAUUAGAGAAUAACCAACAGCAUCUUCUUGUGCAGGAAUCAUUGGAUAAUAUCACCCUCUUUUCUAUAAUUACUAUCAUGUCUUUUUUCUUGUUGGCUCCGUUUGCUAUUUUCGCGGAAGGAAUCAAAUUCACUCCUGCUUUCCUGCAAUCUGCGGUGAGUAAUCCCCCCCCCCCUUCCUGGAAAUGCUUGGUGAUUGCUUUUUCUUCACCUUACAGAUAUUUUCCUCUGUUACAAUCAAUUGCAUUUCCUCCAUGCUGACAAGAAGAUUUGUUUGCUUGGCAGGAAUUGAAUGUCAGGCAGGUUUACACUAGGUCUCUCAUAGCUGCUCUGUGCUUCCAUGCAUAUCAACAGGUAUAAAUUGUCUUCUAUGUACAUUUUAAACCAGUAGGUCUCAUGUUAAUAAGCUUUCUGCACAUGAAUUGCAAUGAUACUACUGUUUUAGUCUAUUGGACCUAAAGAACCAAAUGCAGAAUUUUUAUAUACAUUGAAGGGAGUAAUGAGUUCAAAAAUGGCUAAUCUUAUGUCUCGCUGCUUGGUCCAUCUCCCCGCUUUUUAUUUAUUUUAUUAUUUUUUUGGGGGAAUCUUUAGCAGCACUCAAUUUGCUUUCCCCAAGUGAUUUUGCAUCUGCGCUGAUUGGUAUGUAUUGUUCAUCAUUCAUGAGAAAGAUAAAUAUUCUUUGGAUUGACUCUGGGAUCAAGAUCAAUCUGUUUAUUCUCAUUUAUUCUGUUUGCGGGUGCCAUUGAUUUAUUGAACUGGCAGAUUAACUUCAAAGAAAAUUAAUUGAACUGCAAACUAGACGUCUCUUAUUGUUCCCAUACCCAAGCGAAGACAAGAUCGUAAUAGACAUACUAGGAGAAUCCUUUGUGUCCAAGGCAUCAUUUCAUCAUUUCUUAGUUUUGGUUGUACUUCCUAAUUUUGGGUCAAAUAGCAGUCUUGGAACAUUUAUAAUUUGUUUUAGUCAUGAGUGAUCUGGAUGAUGUUCUAUAAGUCAGUUAAUAAUGUUAUCUCUGGGUACCGAGCAAAAGCAGAAAUUGGUGUUUACCUGCCCCUUGUUUUCCUACAUGUGGUCAGAUGUGCCAUAUUUCAUGUGUAACAUAAGCUUCUGUCUUUUCCUGGACUGUAAGUCCACUGAAACAUGGGAGAAGGCUUUUGACCAGAAAGGCCUUUAUUGAAACAGAAGCAUUUAUUUCUAAUACUGUGUAGGAUUUCUAGCCACAAUAUUUGGAAAUGUUGAACCAUGAUUGAACAUUUUCGCUAGUAGUGGAGUUGGGGAACCUUGGUUACUCUGAUGUUGAUCUUUUUACCUUGAGAUUUUGAGAUUCACUUUAUGUACUGCAGAUGUUUCUAAUUAGUGUGUUUUGGAAUCAUACUCUACUGGUGUUAACUUUGCCUCAUGCUAACACUUGUGAAGAAAAUAUUGCAAAAUCUCCAUAAUUGCUUGAAACUUUUCAUAGUAUCAUACAAUAACAAUAACAAUAACCUUCUCCAUUUGUAUUUUAUUUGUUGAAUUGCAUUUGUUUUAGAUGGACAAACAGUUAAAAAGGUUACACUAAAGAUAAAUACUUGAUUGAAAAGCAUGUCUAGAGAAUUUUAUAAAGUUCUUCAAAAUUUUGUCUGCCAUGCAACCACAAGAGAGUGUAGGAAUGAAGUUUGUCAAUCCACCCUUCACACUUUGCUUGGUUUACCUGUGUCUAAGUUUGUAGUGUUCCUAUGAUGUUUGAUGUAGUUUUGUAAGAAUAUAUCGCAACACUAACCAGUGAAAUAGUUAAAUUGUGAGAUGAAGUGACUAUCAGGAAUGGUAUAUGACAAAAUGGUUAACUUCUGCUGGUCCCUUGUUUCUUACCUGGCCUUUUGGAUUGACUAAAUUAUAUUUGUUUUUUGUAGAAUGCACCGAUGUGCUGCCAAUGUUCAUGCUUGUGAAAUUGAAUGGACUUUUUUGCAAAGUUUGUAUUGCUAGUGCCUUCUGAUUAGUGACCGAAAUACUCAAGCUCCUGGACUAACAUGCUUUUCUGUGGCUAUAAGUGGUAAGCUGAACUAGACAAAAGCUGUUGCUGGGAAGCAUGAAUGUGUAUUAAAAUCCUGUGACUGCAUAUUAGUUAUUCUGUAUCAUUUAUGAACUCUAAUUAAGCAUUGGGACUAUGCUGCAAUUAAAGAAACAUAGCAAAGAGGGAACCAAAUAGCAAGGGAAGAGACAUCCAGAAGCAAUUUGAGAGGAAUUGAAAUCUAAUCCAAGUUUCACUGGGCCUAGACAUGUACAUGCUGAGAGAGGGGAAGAAAGAGCAUGUGCAGCCUGAGUGUUGCCAGGUGUAGAAUAAGAUGCUCAUCAUUUAUCUGAAAAAGCUGUGGUAUAUAUAGCUCAGACUGAAAUCUUAAAAAAACUUAAAAGUUGGACAUCUGAGAUUUCUGGUGAUAUUCUUUUUCUGAGGACAUGAAAUAUUUUCUCCAUUCGUAUUAUGGUUACAUUGAUUUUAUCAACUGGCGAAAAAGUUCAUUUUAUUGAUGCUUAGAAGAGUUUAUUCUGCAGGUUUCUUACAUGAUAUUGCAGCGCGUAUCUCCUGUAACUCAUUCUGUGGGCAACUGUGUGAAGCGGGUUGUGGUGAUUGUCUCAUCUGUUCUAUUCUUUAGAACACCUGUUUCACCUAUUAAUUCUUUGGGUAUGGUUACCUACUCUUUUAAGUCCAGUAGCAGUGAACAUCUUUCACUUCUCUGAGUAUCUCCUUGCACAGAAACAGUCACACACACACACACACAAUAUCUCUCUCUCUCUCUCUCUGUGACGUCCCUUUGUGUGCUAGCGCGUAGUCAAAACAGAUAAUAAUUUCAAUCUUUGGUUUGACUGGCCAUUAUUUUAUUUUACCAAGUCUUUCAUCUUGAUUUUGCAGGCACUGGGAUUGCUCUUGCUGGAGUAUUCCUGUAUUCAAGAGCGAAGCGCAUUAAGCCCAAGCCAAAAACAGCUUAAGCUGUGCACUUUAAAGAGUUUUGUCGGUAAACGUUAUCUUUAGAUGAGAAAGCAAUAGCACAAAUUGGUCAGAUGUCUAGGCAGGAACUUUAUCCGAUUUUGCAGCUUUUUCAUUACGUUAAUUUUCUUCCUGGUACUCGUGUAUUCUUUUGCUGGAAAACUAAAUACAUCCCGGCUGCAAAUGCACUAUUCUGAUUUCACCAUAGUUUGUUGUGUUUUGCGCUAAAUGUAGUUGGUAAUAUUAUAAAUGUAGGAAGUGUUCUUCUCAACAUUCUGGUGAAUAUGACUCCGAAACCAUUUUGGGCUUUUCCUCAUGAAUGAGAAAAUAUGGCUGCUAUGAUUCCAUUUACUUUUUGAGUUAAAAGAAGAGAAAAGAAGAGGGAAACUGAGGUUAAAGAACAAAAGAAGAUUCCAUUCACUCUUUGAGUUAAUCUUAUUUAUAUUGAUCAUGUAUGCACUAUUAGAAUUAGAUGCAUGAUAUAUAUAUAAAUUUUUUAUUUCAAAUUCAGAUUAGUUGUUAUGCAUGGGUAUAUAUUGUCAGUUUGGGUGAAAGAUGAAAACUUAAAAAAAAAAGAGAAAAAAAAGUAGAGAGUCAAGAAUGCAGGCCAAAAAAAAAAAAGAUAUUGUUGGAUUGUCAUUUUUAAUACACUAAAUAAGAAAAGUAUAGACAGCUAAGACCAAAACUGUUUUUCAUUUUAUCAUAGACUCUUAGAUGCUUCGAAUAAUUUUGAAUUAAAGUAUGAACGUCUCUUAAAUUCCAAUUAGUUAAUAUCCUCACUAUUGUACUUUUUUAUCUUCGUCAACGAAAAAAUAAGAUAAAAGUUUAAGACCCAUCAAUUGUUGAAUAUAAUGGCAUCACAUUUAUUGAAUUUAUAUUGAUGUCGCAAGGUUUUAAAAAAGUAGUCAUGGCAAAUGGGUGGGAUGGUUGGACUAGAGUUGUCAAACGGGCAUUGUGGGCUAGAAUUUCAAGUUUGGCAACCUCAAGUUUCAUAAGAGGUUUUGGGUCAAGAGCUCUCACUUACCAAAAAAAAAAAAAAUUUGGAUUUGAUAGGAGGGAUGAGUUGAGUGGCUCAGGAAAGGAAGUAUAAGUGAAAAGUUUCGAUUUCAAAAUCUCUCAUUUAUGCUUGGUCAGAAAAAAAAAAGAAAAAAAAAUGGGGGGGGGGGGGGGGGGGAGGGAGCUUCAAGCUCAUAAUGUGUGGCCCACAUUUGUCUAAUAAAGAUACUUGCCCAUGAAUAGAUAGAUAUGGAUAUUUUAAGUUUUUGUAUACGAGUAUAAAUGGGUUACACAAUAAUACCCAUUUAAUAAAUAGCUAUUAUUGAUUAAUCUAUUAAAUCCAAUUAACUCAUUUAGAAUUGUCUUCCCCCAAACAUCCUCUCUUUGCCCCACCCAUUUUUUUUAAAAUUUUUCAUUUUGUCAUGAUGUUAACUACUUUUGUUUCAUUAUUAUUAUUAUUAUUUGUUGGUUUUAUCUUAUCAUUUUAAUUUUUCUUAGUUUGUUAACUUGCUCACUUUUAGCUUUACCAAUUUAUAACAAGUUUUAGCCUCUUUUCCUACCUUUUCUAAAUGAAAUUUUAAAUUUACACACUAAAAAAAUGCUAGAGGUUCAAAAUUUUUGAAUUAAGUUUUUAUGUUAACUUUUAUAGUACUUAGUUCAAAUUUUUAUAUUCUUAUUGUUUAAUUAUUAAAUAGUAUGUAAUUUUGCGACAUAGAGUACGAAUGGCAAAAAAAUUGAUAAUUAGGCUUAUUGAACAUUAUAAGUAAAUAUUUAAAACUAACAAUGUGUGCAAAGGGUGGUAUAAAUUCAUAACUUAGUUUGCAAAAAUGAAUUUAAAUGAGUUUACAAAAAAUUAAAAUAAAUGGGUUAUAAAUGGGUAAUUGGAUUACUCAAUUCAUUUUUUGAUUUAUCCAUUUAUUCCCAUUUAGUUAAAUGGGUAUAAAUAAGUUGACUUACUUAUACUCAUUACCUAUUUUAAUCAAUCCAAACCCGUCCAAAUCACCCAUUUUGGCACCUCUACUUAUAAGUUAUAUAUGAUGCUUAUAUAUAAAUUAUAAAUUAUAUACAUUAUAAUACAUAUAAUAUUUAAUGCAUAUAAAACUGUUUGGUCCGAGAUUUAAUCAGGUCAAACCUAAUAAAACACAACUCACUUCAAAAUUUAGUUAGGCCUAAAUAGAUGCCGACUCACUAAUAUAAAAGGUUUGGACCUAAACUUCUCAGGGUGAUCGGGCCAACCUCGGCUCCAUUGAUAGUCCUGGGUGGGACUCGAAUGAUAUUAGAAGAUAUGAGCUUAUGCACAAGCAAAUUAUGGCAUGAAAAGGUUACAAGAAAUUUCGAGUCCCAUGUUGAUCAUUCUGGAUUUGCCUUUGCAAAGAAUUUAAGGCUUUAUUUGGAUUGAGAAAUUUGGCGAAAGAUUUGAUUUUGAAAUUCAAUCAAAUCGCUUUAGGAAUUUGAUUUGCUUAAAAGUUAUUUGAAUUUAUAAUUUACUAAUUAUCUAAAUACAAUUUAAAUACUAGAAUAAUUGAUGAUUCACAAAUCUAAAUGCCUCCUAAAUAAUCUAAACAACUAAAGGAGUUUCAAAGAAUUUCAAAUCUUUCAUCAAAUCUCUCGAUCCAAACGUAACCUUAAAGUAAUUGAAACUUUUAUAGUUUAAACCAAGUAUCAUUGAUCUAAGCAAUAUAUUACCAAUAGCUUUUUUUUUUUUUCAUGUAACCAGUCAUAUGACCAAAUAAUCCUUUUAAAAACUUAAAAUACCUAAAAAAUUUAAAUUUCAUGUAAGUGGAAUGAAAAUAUGAAAUACAUAAACUACAAGUCUACAAGUGUAAUAGUUUUGAAGUGGUUAUUUCUGAGAUCUUAAACGUAUAAUGUAUUACAUGAAAUUAUUCUCCUUUGCAGCUUGAUUUUAAGUGUAAUUUUUUCCUCGUUUUCUAGUUGAUACCAAACAAAUAUAGGUUAAAAAGAGAAACUCAUUUCAAAGUCUAGAUAAAUUUAUGAGGGUGGAAAUCUAGUAACAAGAGAACAUAUACAUCUUUCAAUUCUAAUUCAUCAAAAUUAAGGAAGAAAGACAGAUUGCAUAUGUUUACAUAUUUUUAGUGGAGAUUAAUUAACUAAGAAAUAAAUUAAGCAACACACCUUGACAUCUGGCUCAAAUGAUCGUUGCAUCUUUCACUACACUGCUCUUAAACUCUCCUUUCAGCAUCUUAAUUAGCAAUCUGAAACAAUUUUUCCACCCCAAAUUUCUCUACAAAAAUAGAAUAGUCUCCUGCUUAUGCAUAUAUAGAAUGACUUUAAAAUUAAGCAUAUAUAUUUCAGAAGUCAAGAGAAACAUUUUUAGCAAACCUAAUUGAUAAUAUAAUAACUAUCAAAAUCUCAUCAAAUUUUUGGAUGUUUACCUAUCUCCUCAAGCGUCACUGCUCCUUCGCUGAUUUAGAUACGUUUUGACCUCCCCGUUUUUCCAUCAAAGAAGAGAGGUAUUAUUGGAAAUUACGAAAAGUUGUCAUUUUGGACAAGAAAUUUAGGAGAUUCAAGGGGAUAAGGUUACAGUCAGAUGAAUUUGCAACCACUACUGGAGUUUCAUUACUAGUAUAGCUCAACAAGCUGCCUGUUAUCAUUUUCUUCGAAUGGCUUGAACUCUAAAAAAUCCAUAAUCGAUCAUGGAAGAUCCAUUAAAGAAGGAAUCAAGAGGCAUAUUUAGUAGAUUGGAUUCAUACAUUAGGGUUGAAAGAUGAUCCGGUAAUAGUAAGUCAUCAAGGUGCUCAAAAUCUCGGAGAUUCAAAAUCCUUUUUCAAUUUGAGGUUCCAAGGAAUUGGUUGGCAAGGUAACUUGUUGAUUGCUAGCUGGUUGAUUGCUACAUUUUCUGUUCAACUCCACGACAAAGAAAAGAAGAUAACCAAAGAUAACCAAAUUCUGUAGUGUUUACUUCAUUCCCAACCGCCUUGCCUAAAUAGGUAAAAACCAGGUGGUACAUAUGUUAUUUAUUGCAUUUUGAGUCUAUUUGAGCUGUGCCUAACAGAAACACCUCUUCCUUGCAUUUAUUACGAUACCUUUUCCAGGAAUAUUGGAAUUGGAAUACUCUUAUUGAUAGAAAGAAACCCAGCUUUGAUUUUCACCAAAAAGAAAUAAAAAACUAUUCUUCUUGUUAUAUAAUUCUCAUGUAUGUGAAUAUGAAUCCAUUUUCUUCAAGAUUUUGAGAAAAUCUUGAAUACAAGGUUUUGUUUAAUUGUAGUUAAAGGCUUAUUUCAAGUGUCUUGACUGACUAAUUAAACUUAUCUAUGUUUCAACAUAAUUAUGCACAAAACCUGCACAAUCAAAGCACCAAGAAACAAAAAGUGAAAGCAACUAAAAUUUUUGGUACUAGCAAGUGUCAUUUUCUCAACAUUUCAAUGUUUUUGCAAUUUAUGCUAAUGUUUUUCCCUGUAGCAUGGGCCUUGAUUAAGAUCAUGCCUUCCUCCUCAGUGUGUGCAUCCUUCCAUACAGGACAAUGAAUAAGUAAAGGAAUUAGCAAGUGUAUUAAAUAACCUAAUUAUCAAAGUUGUUUCAUCUUUUGGCCUUUGAUUUCUACUAUAGGAAAUGAUAGAGCAAAAAGGGAAAAAUUUGUAGACUGGAGUAUUAAAAGUAUUAUUAGCAUAUUCUUAAUUUUAUAUGAAUUUCAAGAAAAAAAUCAUAUAAAAGAAUUUGAAAUUUCAGCAUCUUAACAAUUUGAGACAAUUUUCCCACCCCAAACUUCUUUACCAGAUGGAUUAGUAGCCUACUUAUGCAUAACCAUGAGGAUGAAAUCAAAAGUAAUGCAUAAAUAAUUGCAUAAAGAAAUAGAAACUUGUUUUACCAAACCUAGAUAAUAAAAUAAAAACUAUCAAAUAUUUUGGAAUAUCCAUCUUUUUUAAUGGUCAAUUGCUCCUUUAUUGAUUUAGAUAUUUUUUGAUCCCACUAGGCUUUUUUUUUUUUUUUUUAACAAUAAGACGAGAUGUUUGAUAGGGUGUUAAUUGUUAAUAAUUUUAUUGUUAAUUUCCCCCUUUGUCUUUGCCAAAUAUAGUUUUAAUUAUUAAUAUCUACUUAUAUUUGGUAUUUGAAUCAAUUUCAGGGAAUGGAACAAAAAAACACAAAAUAGAGGGACUUUCUGGAGAAAAUGAGACUUCUAAGGGCUUCACAAACCGGGCCCACAUGUGCUGAGAAGGAGACGGAUUUUUUUUUGCUUCUGGCUGAUUAAUACUUAAUAGCGGCUGACUAGGAGUCCUACUAGUGAUAGGAAACAAAAUAAGACGGAAGGCCUGGGUUGGUGCAGGAAAUUUUCUUUUUUUUUUCUUUUGGUUAUGCUUGUUCCUAAUUCAUGGGGACCACUGGAGAUAGCAUUAGUCAUCUUUCUUUUGGCCUUGAAAAGGUAUAAUCGCACAGAAGGCUAGGACGGCUCUUGAGCUUAGUCUUUAGCAUAGUUUUUAGUUUUCUUUCUUUUUCUUUGUCAGGCACGCUUACUGUUCGACAAUAUUUCCCAACAGGAAGAAUAUCUUUUACUUCUAGCUUUCUAAUGAAAAACGUGAUGUCUUUGCAAUCAAUUAAUUUGUGUGAAGAUUUAUUUAUACGGCGUGGCUAAGCCUGCUAUCUAGUCAAGGACAACUCGACGGCGCAGUCCGAAAAUUUGUGAGAUCUAAUUAGUUUUCAUGCGUUUCUCAAUUUGUUAAUAUUUGCACAUUGUCUACUUGAAUUUUCAUGGAUUAUUUUAUUAAUUGGAUGUCAAGGGCCCAAUGUUCAAUGUGAUUUAUUAAUCUCUUGCCAAAUUAGUCAAUUAAAUCCGUAAUUGUUUGAUUGAUUAGUAUUAGUGGCAACUGCGUGUUUACACACUAGGGAACGUGCAAUCUAAUUUAAAUAACCCUCGUAGCGUGUUAUUGAUUGGGGUUAGUUUUUUUAAUUAUUAAUGCAAUUGAAAAAUUAAUUCCUACGGUCGUACCUAGGAAUAUUUUCUGGUUAGGGGUAAUCAAUGGUCGUACUUUGGUUAUUAAUAAAUUAAGAAAAAUUGGUCGUUAGAGUUCGUCGGCUACUAUAACUAGUCUAUUAAUAAAUUAAGUGAACUUUCUUGUAUCAAUGAUCGGAUAAAUGGACUGUGUCUGAGUAGUUGUAUCCUUGGUUAGAAUUUAUCUAUUUUUGAUUUAAUUCUGCUAUAUUCGUGCUAGUUAAUUACUUAUUUUUAGUUGAAUUGCUUAAUUGUUUUUAGUUUCAGUCCGAUAAAAUCCCCUUUUACCAAUUGAAAUUUCAAAGACAAAUAUUUUCAGUCCCUGGGGAGACAAUCCUGCUUGUCACUGUCUAAUUUUUAGUAAUUUUGUCAAUUAAUUAAUUCUGGUAUAUCGGAUUAAGCAAACUCUUCGGGAACAAAGUGAAUCAAGUAACCCAUUGUACACCUAGAGUCCCUGUUCCAGUACCUAGGGUUAAUUAUUGACUGCUUUUAGUGGUAGUUAGGUUCUAUUUUUAUUAUUAUACAGGCUCGACACUGUCAAUUUUUGGCGCUGUUGCCGGGGGCUGGCGUUAAUUAUUUGCUUCUUUUUAAGUUCAUUUGUGUUCUAAUUUUUUGGUACUUUUCUAGUGCAUGCCUUGUUCUUCUCGUACAGGCGAAUUAAUUUUCGACCCUGAAGUAGAGAAGAUUGCCGCGUAGAACAAGAAAAGAGACCAGACAGCUCAGAAGGAGCACUCCAGUGCUGCAUCUCAGAGACCUGAGCCAGAAGUUGAACCAGCAGAUUCGUUUGGUGACACUUCGAGUGACUCGGAUCAAGAGGAAGUCACCAUGGCAAAUGCACAAAUACACUAAGGGAGUGGCUGCGCCUAAUUUAAAUCAGUAACCUUUGCAUUACUUUUCCAAGUUUAAAUGAUAACAUCUUUUGAGUUAAAAUUGACCUAAUUCAUCUCUUACCAUCUUUCUAUGGUUUACCAGGUGAGGAGCCGUAUAAACACUUGUAAGAGUUUGAUAUAGUUUGCAAUAGCAUGAAACCCCCGGAAUCACAGAAGAGCAGAUAAAAAUGAGGUCUUCCUCUCUUUGAAGGACUCUACGAAAGACUAGCUGUACUACCUAUCACCAGGUAGUAUUGUUACGUGGGACCAAUUGAAAAGAAAUUUUAGACAAAUAUUUUCCUGCGUCUCGAGCUGCAAGUCUAAGGAAGGAGAUCUGCGGUAUCAAACAACACCCAGGCGAGUUCUCUCUGAGUACUGGGAGAGGUUUAAGAAGUUGUGCAUCAAAUGCCCUCAACAUCAGAUAAGUGAGUAACUGCUCAUCCAAUAUUUCUAUGAGGGGCUACUCUUAGGGACAAGAGUAUAAUCGAUACUGCAAGUGGAGGGGCGUUAGUGAACAAAACUCCUCGGGCAGCAUGGGAGUUGAUUGAGGCGAUGGCUGAAAAUUUACAGCAGUUUGGUUCAAGAAGGAUGUCCCGACCUGUAGGGUGAAUGAGAUAGAAACAUCCUCCAUCCAACAAUUAGUUGUGGGAAGUGCUUCACAAGCCAAUGUGUGUGGGGUAUGUGCUGCCUUGGGUCAUUCUACAGAGAUGUGUCCACUAGUUCAAGAAGAAAAUGCAGAAUAAGUGAAUGUGCCAGUCACGCGCCCGCGCCAAGAAAGCAGUACGACCCUUACUCAAGUACCUCUAAUUCUGGUUGGAGAGAUCAUCCCAAACUCAGCUAUGGAGGGAACAGACAGUCCAAUUUCGUACCAAAUAGGCAACAAGGGUACCGACAGCAGUACCAACCUCACCCACCACCACCCCCUUCGAACUCAAGUCCGUCUAUGGAAGAGAUGAUAAAGCAACUACUCACAAAUCAAAAAAGACGGAUUCAGACUUGCAAAGCAUAAGGAAUUAAUUGGGACAAGUGCAAUCAUUGCAAACUCAAGUAAAUCAAAUGGUCAUCACGAUCAACGUUUGGAGUCCCAAAUUCAAGGGAAGUUGCCAUCUCAGCCUGAGUUGAAUCCAAAAAAUGUGAGUGCAAUGACCUUGAGAAGUGGCAAGGAAGUCAAAUGACUCGAACCGGUGAUUCCUAAGGACAAGGACAAGAAACGAAUCGAGAAAAAAUUGGAAGAGGAGGGCCGAGACAACGAGGAUUAAAAAGUACUCCCGGAUCUGAUUACUAGAGUUAAGACUAAUCCACCUCCCUUUCCUAGCAGGUUAGAGAAAUCAAAGAAGCAGAACAAGGAGAAAGAGUCCUGGAGAUCUUUCGUAAGGUGAAAAUCAACAUUCCCCUAUGGAUGCGAUCAAGCAAGUACCCAAUAUGCAAGGUUUUUGAGGAACUUGUGUGUCAACCGAAGGCGGUUGAAAGGAGAUGAGCGAGUGGUAGUGGGGAGAACGUGUCAGCAAUCUUAUAAAGGAAGUUUUUACCGAAAUGCGGGACCCAGGUAUAUUCACUAUUCCCUGUAGGAUAGUAAUACCUUGAUUGGUAAGCCCAUGUUAGACUUGGGAGCGUCGAUAAAUGUCAUACCAAAGUCCAUAUAUGCUUUUUUGCAUUUAGGUCUUGAAAAGAGACUGGAAUAAUAAUCCAACUGGCUGACCGAACCAAUGCAUACCCUGACGGGUUGAUUGAAGAUAUUUUAGUAAAAAUUAAUGAAUUGGUUUUUCCAACUGAUUUUUAUGUGCUUGAUAUGGAUGAUGAACACUCCCACGACCUCUCACUUUUAUUGUUGGGUAGACCUUUUUAGCACAACCCGAACCAAAUUUGAUGUAAACAAGGGUACUUUGUCUAUGAAAUUUGAUGGCAAGAUUGUUCAUUUUUAACAUUUUUGAAAUCAUGAAAUAUCCGUUAGAUUCAAAUGUUAUCUCCGUUUUCUCUGUAAAUGUUGUUGAGCCUGCGGUACAGGAGGUUUUUUAAAUUGAAAGCAGGGAUGAGUUGGAAGUUGUCUUGACCAGGCACUUCGAGUCAGAAUGACCUCUCAAUGGGAUGUCGUCUUCUACGACUUGCACUCGACUCAAGUGAUAUGCUACCAAAUUUUUCGCCCUUUUUUGUCUGUGAUCUCCAGGUCAAAAUCUUGUAGCAAUAGUAUCCACUUAUAAGUCGCGAUUUUGCCUCUUUCUUGGUCAACAGAUACCGCAUUGCUGCAAUUAGAAAAAAUAAUAACUUUAGCACCUAGUAAAUAAGACCUGAAUUUCUCUAAAGCAAAAACUACUGCCAAAAUCUCCUUUUUAGUGGUAGAAUAGUUUAAUUGAGCUCCGUUCAAGGCUUGAGAUGCGUAGUAUAUAACAUGGGCUGCCUUUCCUACUCUUUGACCCAGCACCGCACCCACGGCAUGAUUGCUGGCAUCGCACAUGAUCUCGAAUGGUAAGUUCCAGUCCGGAGGUUGGAUAAUAGGUGCACAUUAAGUUCGAUGAAGCAUGUAAGGGGGCGUUUGAUAGGUUGAAAGAUCAAUUAAACGGAGCUCAAUUAAACUAUUCUACCACUGAAAAGGAGAUUUUGGCAGUAGUUUUUGCUUUAAAGAAAUUCAGGUCUUAUUUACUAGGUGCUAAAGUUAUUAUUUUUUCUAAUCAUGCAGCAAUGCGGUAUCUGUUGACCAAGAAAGAGGCAAAACCGCGACUUAUAAGGUGGAUACUAUUGCUACAAGAUUUUGACCUGGAGAUCGAGACAAGAAAGGGCGAAAAAUCUGGUAGUAGAUCACUUGAGUCGAGUACAAGUCGUAAAAGACGACAUCUCAUUGAGAGAAACCUUUCCCGAUGAGCAUUUAUUUUUUGUUAAUUUAUCUUUGCCUUGGUAUGCGGAUAUUUAAAUUUUCUAGUCACUGACAAGUUCCCUGCAGGAUGGUCUAAGGCAAAGAGGUACAAGUUAAGGAGUGAUGCAAAGUCUUAUAUUUAGGAUGAUUCUUACUUCUGGAAGCGUGGUGCUGACCAAAUCAUCUGAAGAUGUGUAAGUGAACUUGAAUUCCAAUCUAUUUUAACUUAUUGUCACUCUUUUGCGUGUGGAGAUUACUUUGACCAAAGAGAAUGGCUUGUAAGGUGCUAGAAAGCGGGUUUUAUUGGCCGACCCUCUCCAAGGAUGCAUACUCAUAUUUGUAAGUUAUUGAUAAGUGUCAACGAGUAGGUAAUAUUCUCGUAUCGAUCAAAUGACCAAACCCAAUGAUUUUUGUUGAAAUCUUUUACGUUUGGGGUAUUGACUUUAUGAGUCAUUUUCUUCGUCUUAUGGUUUCUAUAUAUAUUGCUUGCCGUAGACUAUGUUUCGAAAUGGGUGGAAGCAAAAGUCACCCGUACUAAUGAUUCAAAGUGAUUGCAGAAUUCGUAAGAUCUAAUAUUUUUGUCCGCUUUGGGAUGCCGCGAGCUAUUAUAAGUGAUCGGAGUACCCAUUUCUGCAACAAGACGGCUGCACUUUUUAGGAGGUAUGACGUUUUACAUAAGGUAUCUACAUCCUACCAUCCUCAAACAAAUGGUCAGGCGGAAGCAUCAAACCGAGAGAUCAAGUCGAUUUUGGAGAAAAUGGUUCGACUUGAUAGGAAGGAUUGGAGUAUGAGGCUUGAAGAUGCCUUAUGGGCAUAUAGAACGGCGUACAAGAUGCCCAUUGGCAUGUCCUCUUAUCGUUUGGUAUUUGGGAAGCCAUGUCACCUCCCCGUCGAGUUCGAGCAUAGAGUAUUUUGGGCUGUAAAACAGUGCAAUGUGGACAUCGAGGAAGGCGAAAUUCAAAAAAGUUGCAAUUACAAGAAUUGGAGGAGAUUCGAAAUGAAGCACAUGAGAAUGCGGUGAUUUAUAAGGAGAAAAAUAAGAUUUUUCAUGACCAGCAAAGCUCUAGGAAGACGUUCGAAUGUGAGCAAAAAGUUCUACUGUACCAUUCCAAAUUGAAGUUAUUUCCAGAUAAAUUACGUUCUCGUUGGAUUGGUCCUUUUGUUGUGACUAAUAUCUUUCAUUAUAGUGCAGUGGAGAUCCAAAGUUUGAAAACGGAGAAGAAAUUUAUAUUGAAUGGUCACCGUUUUAAACCGUAUUAUGAAGGGUUUCCGGUUGAACGGGUGGAGAUGAUGCAAUUGGAAGACCCGACUUGCUUAGUUUAAGCAAAUUUUAGGUUAUGUCUAGCCAAAGACAUUAUAAAAAGGUGCUCUUUAGGAGGCAAGCCAAAUAUUAAUUUUCUCAUUUUAAUUGUUCAAUUCUUUAAUCAUGUCGUUUCCCAUUUGGGUAGUAAUCGGUUUUAAUGUUUUCCUCUACUUUGACCAAGACAGGAAUCUUGGCGUGCCAACGCGGUGAGGGCACGCGAAAGUGAUCCAGGUCAGUGGACGUUUGCCAAUUUUGGCGUGCCGCGCCAUGUUGAUCAAACCUAAACACCUCGCGACGAUUGGCAGGAAAUGAAAUCUUAACGUGCCGCGCGUGAGAAGGGCACGCAAAAGUGACUCAAGGUCAGUGGACGUUUUAUAAUCUUGGCGUGUCCACGCGGUGUUUGACGACCCUAAAAUGAAUUAAAAAAAAAUAAUAAAAAAAUAUAAAAAAUAUAAAAAAUUUUUGUUAUUACUGUUGCAAGAAAAAGGAAGGAUUAUUUUCUUUUUAAACCCUAAAAAAUUUAAUUAAUUAAAAUUUAAAAAUUUUUUAAAAAUUAAGAAAAUCUAUAAAAAAAAGGAGAAAAUAAAAAAAAGAAAAAUUUUGGUCGAUUAAUAUUUGAAUAAUUUUGAAAAAAAUAGAAAUAAAAUAAAAACCCAAAAGAAAAAAAUAAAAUAAUUUUUUCCCUUUUCUCUUUUCUCUUUUCUUUUUUUUUCUUUCUUUUCUUCUUUUUUCUUUCUUUUUUUCUUCUUUUUUCUUUUCUUUCCUUUCUUUCUUUCUUUCUUUCUUCUUUUUCUUUCUUCUCCCUUCUUCCCCGCUGCUUUCCCUUUUCCCUUCUUUUCUUCUUCGAUCUCACUCCCAAGCCGCCGCUGCUGCCAUCGACGCCGCCUCGCGCACCACCAAGCGCGACAGCCGCGCGCCGCCCCUUUCUCCCUGCUGCUCUCCACGCGCGCCUCCAUCCAGCAGCUGCCACCGCCAGCUCUGCGCGAGCUCCACUCCAGAGCACGCCAGUCCCUGCCACCAGCUCUCCAGCCGCCGCCAAGCUCCGAGCUCCACCUCGCGGUCCAUCACUCACCUCGCACCCCAGCUCUCCCUCCGCCUCGCUCUCACUCACCUCUCGCCACCUGAGGCCCACCAAGCAGCCGCGCGCCACCAACUUCACAUCGCUCGCCGCCGCUCGCCGUGGCCUCCUUCUUCACCCCAGCCCAAGCUCGCUCCUCCCUCUCUCUCCCCCACCUCAGCUCAACCUCCAACCAGCCGCCGCCACCUGCUACACCGCUCCUCCAACCUCGCGCGCCCCCACUGACCUCCUCCUCCACCAGCUCCACGACGACGCCGCCUCUCCUUCGCUCCACCCUCGGUCUCGCUCCUCCCCACCUAGCUUGCCGUCCCAACUGCCGGGCGGCGCUGCUCACGCCACCCACAGCCACGCCAUUCCAC
rnacentral:lncRNA from 1 species